rnacentral:lncRNA from 1 species
GCUUCAAUAUGUUUCCACUCUCGAAACUCUCUACAUUGUUAAGUGCUCUGGUUUGGCAACAUUACUACACUGGAUGGGCAGCCUUUCCUCGCUUACGGAACUUAUUAUUUAUGACUGCUCUGAAUUGACAUCACUGCCAGAAGAGAUCUAUUCCCUAAAAAAACUGCAGAAAUUUUAUUUCUGUGAUUAUCCACACCUACGGGAAAGAUACAACAAGGAAACAGGUAAAGACCGGGCCAAGAUUGCUCAUAUCCCACAUGUUCGUUUCUACCUUGAUUCCGAUAUGGAAUGGCAGGUAGGUCCGAAAUCCCUAACCUUUCUUCCCAUUUUUAUUAUUUAAGAAUCAAAAUGCUAUGUUUUCAUUUUGUCUCUGGUAGUUCUUUUAUGUUGGCACCUCAUAUGUUUGUUUAAAUGCUCACAUCAAUAACUUUUUGAAAAAUUUUCCAGAUUAACAUCAUUUGCUGAUGCUGUGCACUAAACUAAUCAUUUUACUUGGGAGUUGUACAUUCUAAGAGUUUGAGGAAAUAUUGAGGUCUGGUAUGAUAACUCUCAAUCCUUGGAACUGCAUUCAUCUCCUUCUCUUUCUCGAUUAACAAUCCAUGAUUGCCCAAACUUGGCAUCCUUCAAUGUGGCAUCAUUACCUCGUCUUGAGGAACUAAGCCUGCGUGGAGUCAGAGCAGAGGUACUGAGGCAGUUCAUGUUUGUCUCUGCUUCUUCUUCAUUGAAGUCUCUGUGUAUACGGGAGAUUGAUGGUAUGAUAUCUCCCAGAGGAGCCGCUUCAAUAUGUAUCCACUCUCGAAACUCUCUACAUUGUUAAGUGCUCUGGUUUGGCAACAUUACUACACUGGAUGGGCAGCCUUUCCUCGCUUAAGGAACUUAUGAUUUAUGAAUGCUCUGAAUUGACAUCACUGCCAGAAGAGAUCUGUUCCCUUAAAAAACUGCAGAAAUUUUAUUUCUGUGAUUAACCACACCUAGAGAAAAGAUACAACAAGGAAACAGGUAAAGACCGGGCCAAGAUUGAUCAUAUCCCACGUAUUAAUUUCCAAAGUGAUCGAGUUAUGGAAUAUAAGGUCCGAAAUCCCUAACCUUUCUUCCCAUUUUUAUUAUUUAAGAAUCAAAAUGCUAUGUUUUCAUUUUAUUAUUAUGUUUUCAUUGUAUCCCUGGCACCUCAUAUGUUUGUUUUUACUGCUCACAUUAAUAAUUUUGAAAUUUUUUUCCAGCUUGGAUACGCUUUCCGAUGAUGUGCACUAAACUAACAAUUUUACUUGGAGUUGUACAUUCUAAGAGUUUGAGGAAAUACUGAGGUCUGAUAUGAUAACUCUCAAUCUUAAACGUUGUUUUGUGUUUGGAACGUUACUACACUUGAUACAUACCCUCACCUCACUUACAGAGCUUGGAAAUCGUGGCUGCCUUGAAUCGACGUCACUGUCAGAAUAUAUGUUCCCUCAAAAACCUGCAGACACUAAAUAAUCUGCAUCUGUUCACAGAAAGAUGCUGAAAGGAAAGGUGAAGACCAACCCAAGAUUGCUCAUAUGCCACAAAUUGAUAUCAUACAUCCAUGAAGAUUGAACUGAUACACAAUGCCUUUCAGGUCUGAAAUCCCUAACUUUUCUUCUCAUUUUCUAUGACUUCAUUUUCAUUAUCUUACUUUUAAAAUGCUCUGUUUUCAUUUGUUUUGGUAGUUCUUUGUAUUUGUGCCUUACUUGUUUGAUUAAAUGCUUACAUCUUCAAAUUAUUUUAUUCUAAGUGUUUUGCAUUCUAAGAGUUUGAGGAAAUACUGAGCUCUAAUAUAACUAGUAGAGUCCACCAUUCCUAAGAAGCUUACCAUUUCCUAGUGCCCAAAGGAUCCCGAAAGGAGACAACUUUGGAUUGGCUUGAAGAUUUCCCAUGGUCCAAAAAUUUGUAUUUACUAGACGCUUGAUACAAAAAGUAGUUUAAAUUUAGCCAUUAAUAUAACUUUUUUAUUAGAGAAAUAAUUGCCAAACAAAUGCAAAAUAGAAAAUGGUGUUAAUGAAUUCAGUCCUUCAUCUAUAUUGCAGUUUAGCAGCUUUUGUUAGAUAACAGGUAUGGGGUUGGGUUUAUUAUGUUACCAUUCCAAAUAUUCUUAAAAAAAUCAUCAAGGCUUUGUUUGUUUUCUUGAAAAUUUGAAGGAAAAAAUAAAGAGAAAAAGUGGAAGGAAAAAAAAAAGUGGAAGUCAAUAAAUUAUUUUUAUAUUAUACUUUAAACUCAUUUCACUUUUUUUUAACUCUUUGAUUUAAAGAUUAAAUAAUUUGAAAAUGUAUAAAUUUAUAAUUAAUCUUAAUUAUAUUUGAUUUUCUUUGGUAUUUUCCAUAGGACAAUUAAACUUGAGAAAAUCAUUUUCCUUAACAUUAUUUUCUUAGUACUUUUCGGGAACCAAGCAUAACCUAAAUGUUCUAGUUUAGUUUAGCAGCUUCAUCAAAUUAGAUAGACAACCUCACAUCUCUUAUUCAGCUGAGGUGUUAUGUUAGUUAAUGUUUUGUCUCUGCUUCUUCAUUGAAGUCUGUCUAUUGGAUGCACAGAUGAUAUGAUCCAAACUUAAAUUGAACGUUGCUCUUGUUUUGCAACAUUACUGUACUAGAAAGGCAACUUGAACUCACUUAUAGACCUACCUAUUGGUGACUGCAUUGAAUUGACAUCACCUUAGAAGAGAUGUGUUCCACAUGGAAAAUCUUUCAUUAUAUGCACCUACUUGCAAGAUACCAAAAGGAAACGGGUGAAUACUUGCCCAAGAAUACAAAGGGCCACACUUGGUGAAGGUUUCAUCAGUAAGGAGAACCAUUUCAAGUAUGAAAUCCUCCAUUCUCAUUUUUUGAUGACUUCAUUUUUAUUCAAUAUCCAUUUGAAAUAAUUUAAGUUCAUUUUCUUUAGAUAUUAUAUUUUCUUGCUUGCUCAAUAAUUUCAUUCAAGUAAGUUGUUUGGAUAUCACAUUUUCUUUGGGUUUUUUUCUUUUUAGAAUAAUUUCAAAAUGUCAUUUUUUACUAUUCACAAAAUUUGAUCAUAGUUGAGUGAUUAAAAUUCAAGUUUAUUCUUAUUAUCAUUAGUAGUUAUUUGAUAUAUUUGUUUGCUAAUACAAAAAUAAGACUAACAAGUAAUGUGCAUAGAGUUUGUAGAAGAGAAGAAAGAUUUGAUCCAAGAUAUUCCUAAAGAUCGGAAACUUUCAAAGCCACCCAAGAUCCCACAGGUUGAAUUCAGAUUCAUUCAGUUUACAAUCCAUUAAUUCUACUUAUAUCAUCUUUGUUAUGUUACAAUUUGCCUUUACUUGUUAUGCAGCCUACCUUAAUAAUUUGGGGAGACCAAGAUAAGGUAUUCCUAGUAGAAUUGGCUCACAAAUUGAAAAGGUAAACUUGUAUCACCUACCUACAUACCUACAACAAUACAAACACUAGCUCAUGUCUUUCUCACUAUUGAAAUUGUUAUUGCAUGCAGACAUUUCAGGUGAGGAGGCCCAACUUGUGAUCAUAGAGCAUACUUUUAUUAUAGAGAAGCCCAAGGAAAUAUUUAAGCACUUGAAAUCCUUUCUCAUUGAUUUGCUUCCACCUCCCAAGCAACACCUAGAACCACUCGCACCAUGACGAAGUUAAAAGGAACUAAUGCAACAUUCUCAAUAUAUUAGAAUAUAUCGAAGGAAGGGUGGCCACAUAUGAAGACCCUAUUCCAAGGUCAAAUUUUAGAUUUUUGUGUUUUUCUUAUCACUAUUCCUAUACUAUUACUAGUGCACCUUAUUUGUCAAGAUGAUUAAAAGGGAAUUCCCUAGGAUAACUAGUGUCUCAAGUGAUCUUGAGGUUCAUAAAUUUUUGGUUUCCAUAAGAUAGGUGCCAACUAUUUUUAUUUUUUUUACACCCAUGCAAUAUUCCGGUCAUCUAUUAACAAAGGCUAAAAUUUCUUGUAGAGAAUAGAAUAAAGAACUAAAUUACAUGCAAAUAGGACAUUAUUAUUCUAUUUACAAGUAAGGGCCAAAAAUUAUUGAGGGCCAUCAAGCACAUUGUUCCUAAAAUAAUAGCAUCCAUGUUGUUGAGCAAAAGUUUUUUUAUAUUGGCACCUCAUAUGUUUGUUUAAAUGCUCACAUCAAUAACUUUGAAAAUAUUUUCCAGAUUUUCAACAAAUUGUAAUGUUGUGCACUAAAUUAAUCAUUUUACUUGGAGUUCUACAUUCUAAGAGUUUGAGAAAAAACUAAGGUCUGAUAUGACAACUCUCAAUCUUAAAUGUUGUUUUGUGUUUGGAAUAUUACUGCACUUGAUAGAUGCCCUUACCUCUGUUACAGAACUUGGAAUUCAUGGCUACCCUGAAUUGACAUCCCUACCAGAAGAUAUGUUCCCUUAAAAGCUUGCAGACACUAAACAAUUUGCAGCUGUUCACACUUAGAGGAAAGUUGCUGAAAGGAAAAGUGAAGACUAACCAAAGAUUGCUCAUAUCCCACAAAUUGAUAUCAUACAUCCAUGAAGAUUGAACUGAUACAGAAUGUCUUUUAGGUCCGAAAUCCCUAACUUUUCUUCUUAUUUUCUAUGACUUCAUUUUUAUUAUCUUACAUUCAAAAAUCUUCUGUUUUCAUUUGUUUUGGUAGUUCUUUUUAUUUGCACCUUAUUUGUUUUAUUAAAUGCUUACUCCAGUAAGUUUGAAAAUUUUUACAUCUUCAAAUCAUUUUGCUUGAGUGUUUUGCAUUCUAAGAGUUUGAGGAAAUACUGAGCUCUAAUAUAAAUAGUAUUGGUCAUAGAGUCUUCCUUUCUUAAGAAGCUUACCAUUGACCUAAUGGCCAAAGGAUCCCAAAAGGAAACGACUUUGGGUUGGCUUGAAAAUUUCACAUGGUCCAAACAUUCAUAUUUACUAGAUGCCUGAUAUAAAAGAACUUUUGUUCUCUUUUCAAUUUAGCCAUUGAUGUAGUCUAAAUGUUUUAUUAGAGCAAUAAUUGUCGAGUAAAUGCAAAAUAGAGAAUGGUGUUAAUGAAUUCAGUACUUCAUCUAUGUUGUAGACUUGUAGUUUAGCAGCUUCUGCUGAUAAUGAGUGUGGGGUUGGCUUUAUCAUGUCACUGUUCCAAAUAUUCUUUAAAAAAUCAUUUAAGCUCUGUUUGGUUCUUAGAAAAUUUGAGGGAAAAUGUGAGGAAAACAAAAUAGAGAGGAAAAGUGGAAGGAAAAAAAAAGUGAAAGUCAAUAAAUUAUUUUUGUAUGCUACUUCAAACUCACUGCACUCUUUUUAACUCUUUAAUAUAAAAAUUAAAUCAUUUGAAAAAUGUAUAAAUUUCUAAUUAAUUUUAAUUAUAUUUGAUUUUCUUUGGUAUUUUCCAAAAGACAACCAAAUAUGAGAAAAUCAUUUUCCUUAACAUUUUUUUUCUUAGUACUUUUAGGGAACCAAACAUAACCUAAAUGUUUUAGUUUAGUAGUUUCAUCAAAUUAGAUAGAUAACCUCACAUCUCUUAGUGAGCUGAGGUGCUAUGUUAAUUAAUGUUUUGUCUCUACUUCUUCAUUGAAGUCUCUAUCUAUUGGACGCACAGAUGAUAUGAUCCAAACUCAAAUUGAACACUACUCUUGUUUUGCAACAUUACUUUACUCAAUAAUUUCAUUCAAGUUCUUUGGAUAUCGCAUUUUCUUUGGUGUUUUUUUUAGAAUAAUUCAAAAUGUCUUUUUUAACGGUUCACAAAAUUUGAUUACAGUUGAGUGAUUAAAAUUCAAGUUUAUUAUUAUUAUUAUUAUUAUUAUUAUUAUUAUUAUUAUUAUUAUUAUUAUUAUUAUUGGUUAUUUGAUAUAUUUUUUUUCUAAUAGAGACAAAAGACUGGCAGCUAAUGUGCAUAGAAUUUGUAGAAGAGAAUAAAGAUUUGAUCUAAGCUAUUCUUAAAGACCAGAAACUUUUAGAGCUACCCAAGAUCUCACAGGUUGAAUUUUGAUUCACCUAGUUUACAAUCCACUAAUUAUCCUUAUAUCAUUUUUGUUAUGUUACAAAUUGCCUUUACUUAUUAUGCAACUUGUCUUAAUAAUUUGGGAAGACCAAGAUAAGGUCUUCCUAGUAGAACUGGCUUACAAAUUGAAACGGUAAACUCAUAUCACCUAUCUACAUGCCCACAACAAUAUAAACACUAGCUCAUGUGUUCCUCACUAUUGAGAUUGUUGUUGCAUGCAGGCAUUUUGGGCGAGGAGGCUCGACUUGUGAUCAUCAAUAACACAAGGCAUGUUUUUAUACAGAGAAGCCCAAAGAAACUUUUAAGCAUUUUGUUAGCCCAAGGGUUCUCCUAAUCAGGUUUUGAUGAUAACAAACCAUGGUUAAGUGACUAAUUGGUUUGAAUGGUAAAGAAUCUUAGGUAUAAAUUUGGAAAUUCAUCAAAUGACCAAAUGGAUACAAGAUCGAGACUUUUGGAAGACUUUUGAUUAUAGGAAACAAAUGUAAGAUGAAUGCAUGGGUGCACUUAGGUUUUACAUAUCUUUUUAUGCAUCUUUGAAAACUCGGUUUAUUCCUUAAAAUUACGAUUUCAUUAAAACCCAGGUUUUAUCAAAUGUAUCUUAGGCAAAACGUUUCAAAAUUGGCAUAUCAAUUUACCUAAAGACCUUGCCUAAGUGUUAGAAAGGAAAAGAAUUGAAAAAUAUAGGUUUUCGGGGCUAAAAGACUGAACCGAUCGAGGCACAGUCAAUCGGCUCAACCAACCAGGGAACCGAACGAUCGGUUGCUCUUGUCCGACCGAGAUCUGGUCGAGGAGUGUCAAAAACACACUCUCUCAUCCAGUAGCCUUCUCUUCCCAGUCGAGGUACUCUCCUUCCCGAUCGACCUCUAGUCGAGGUUCAGUCGAGGCAACGGUAACCUACCAAAGCAUUAAAUGCUCCAACGGCUAGUGAACCAAUCGACCCCCAGCUCGACCGGUUAAGGCUGUUUUUUGCUUUUUUUGGCUCCCAAGCUUAGAAACCUAUAAAUUGAGAGCUCCACUUCAUUUAUGACAUAAAGAACACUUGCAAUCAAUUUUCUACCCACUUGUUCUUGCCUUAAAAGCUCUCAUUUAUUUCUUAGUGCAUUAAAUCCUCACUUGCAUAUCCUUUAGUGCACCCUUGUGAAUCAUCCUAGCUUUGAUUUGUAUUUGAGCUAUCAUUGAGCUAGAUUGAGGGCUUCAUUCUUGUAAAAAUUGAGUGUUAAAGCCUUCAAGAGGUUUGAAUCUUGAAGAGAUUAUGUAAGAGCCCAUUGGAGCCAGAAUCCAAGUUUAAAGGAGAUUGGAAGCUUUGUUGAAGCUUCAAGUUAGUGGAACCCUCACUCGGUUAGGAGAUUGAGGAGAGUGGACGUAGGCAAGGAAAUGUCGAACCACUAUAAAAUCCGAGUGUAAAUUUUCUAACUCUAUCUCUUUAUUUUUUAUUAUAUUGUGAUUGAAUUUGUUGUGUUGAAAAAGUUUUUGAAAAACCCAAUUCACCCCCCUAUUAGGUGUUUUUCUCAUUAAUUUGCUUCCACCUCAUAAGCAACCCUCAGAACCACUUACACCAUGACAAGGUGAAAAGAAACUAAUGCAACAUUCUCAAUAUAUCAGAAGAUAUCAAAGGAAGGUUGGCCACAUAUGAGGACCCUGUUUCUAAGGUAGAAUUUUAGAUUUUUGUGUUUUUCUUGUCACUGUUUCUAUACCAUUACUAGUGCACCUUAUUUUUCAAGGUGAUUAAAAGGGAAUUCCCUAGGAUAACUAAUGUCUCAGAUAAUCUUGAGGUUCACAAAUUUUUGGUUUCAACAAAAUAGACGUCAAACCAUUUUUAUUUUUUUCUACACCCAUGCAAUAUUCCAUUCAUUUAUUAAUAAGGACUAAAAUUUCUUGUAGAGAAUGGAAUAAAGAACUAGAUUAAAUGAAAUAAGACAUUAUUAGUCUAUUUACAAGUAAGGGCAAAAAAUUCUUAAGGGUCAUUAAGCACACUGUUCCUAAAAUAAUAACAUCCAUGUCAUUGAAGUUUAUUGCAAUUACAUUAGCAUAUAAAACAAAACUAUUUUUUUUUUCUUUAUGUUCACACCUUAUCCAUUUGAUAAAAUGCUUAAACAAGUAAGUUUGAAUUUUUUUUUUUUUUUUUUUUGUUUUCAAAUCAAUUUAAAUUUUACAUUCAAAAGUUGAAUUAUUAUUAUUUUUUUUGGAAAAUUUAACCGCACUUUAGAAGUUUGUGAUUAUUCUUUGGUCCAUCUUAAAAUGAGUUCCUGCAUUCUUCCAUUCCUCAAAUUAAAAUCACAAUAAAAAGUUUUAGAUUGACCUAAAAUUUUCUCAUGGCUUAGAAAUUCAUAUCUACUAGAUGGCUAAAGCAAAAAACACUUUUGCCUUGUAUUUUAAGUAAUCCUUGCCUGCUAUUUGUUUAUUGAGAGCAUCAUACAAGUUGUGAUUAUAUUUCUUAAUUUUUUUAUAUGAUAAGACAGUAAUUGGAUUGAGAAAGAUGCAACUUGUGGAGCAGAAAAUUUCUUAACUACUUCCCUUGUAUUUGCUUUGUGUGUAUCAACUGUUCUAUUAAUUAUUUUUUAAAAAUAUCACUAAAACAAACCUAUUAUGUCAGUGCUCUCUAUUGUUAUGUAUCAUAAUUUAGCUAUUUUUUCCCUAGAAAUCAUGCUUGUUAUUGUGUUAAUCAGUAGGUAGCAUAAGAACUAUUUUGUUCAAGUUAUUUUGUAUUGGCAUUCUUCAUGUUUCAAAAUAUUGUCAGACUAGCAAUUUUACUGCAGAUAUAAUGUUCUCAAAUCAAUGCAAAAAUGGACGAUUGUGGGUCUUGGGCACAACCUUCCUUGAAGAGUUGAAUUGAGGGUUUCUAUAAACUAGGUCUCUAUAUCAAUAGAUUCUACAUUUCAUCACUAUGGAGACCUUACAAUAAAUAUCGCAAAAAGCUUCAUUUACUACAUAGUAAGGAUAAUCCUAAGGACUUAAAAGUUUGAGUUGUCUCUUCCAUGGCAGCUUCAGAUCUCUUAAUGAGCUCCCAGUCAUUGCCUACCUUGAAUAUAAAUCACUGCUAGAAGUAUGUGCCCUCAACAUUCCCAUGUUCCCGAUAUUGACUAGAUAUUUGUUGCUAAUUCAUGAAGAAUUGAAGGGAUCUUUGAUAAUGACAUCUAUAAUGUACUUCAAGUUCAUGAUCCAAACUCUCUUCUUGCUUUCAAUAACUUCAUUUUUUUUUAUAUUACUUUAUGGUCAAUGUUAUAAGAAUGUUGUAUUUUGUUUACCUGAUUCUCAUCCAUCAGCACACAGGAAAGGAAAAGUUUUACAUUGCUUUCCUUCCCUUUGCUCUGUGUUUAUAUAUGUUUAUGCAGCUAAUGUGAACUUCCACCAUAACUUUUUAAGUUUUUUUCAUUCUCGAGUUUGGGAAACAACUAGAUUUGAUUGUAAUAUUUUCUUGUAGAUAUCACCUUUCUUAAAAAGCUUGCAUUUAUUCACAUUUUCAAGAUGACUAAGUCAUCUGAUUAUGCUUAGAACUAUUGGUUUCUAUUAAAUUCAGGUAUGAUGUUUGCAAUUUUAAGCCUCUUACUCCUCUUGAAGACUACAUAAGUUUCUAGUGCUUUUACUUUAAUGGUUAUGGUCAAUGUAUCCUCUUGUUACUUCCUGUUUGCAUUCUAUAUGUUCAAGAGCUUUAUUAAAGUAAUUAUUUUAUUGAAGAUAUAAUUGUUUUCAAGUCAAAGAAAAAUUGAAUAAUGACGUGGUUUCAACAACUUCUCAAAAGUAAUUGGAAAGUAAGGAACUUUGUGGUAGUAUUCUGAUAUCACAUUGGGCUUUCAAAUCGUUGUCUUGAAUUGACAUAAAUAACAUAAUUUCUUUUCUAGUUGAGCUACUUCAACAUGUUAUUAUGCUUCAUACUCUUUCAAUUAUGUUUUGUUUAGGUUUGGAAACAUUAGUACAUUAGAUAUGUUGCCUCGAGUUACUUACACGACAUAAAAUUCAUCUUUGUUGUUAACUGGCAUCACUACCACAAGAUGAGUUCCCUCAGCAUUCUACAGACAACUAUAAUUUGGGACAAUUCUGGUUUGGCAACAUUAUCGGAGUUGAUAGACAACCUAUCUUCAUUAACAAAAACCUUUAAAUUUAUAUUUAUCCCGAACUAGCAUCACUGUUGGAAGACGUGCAUCCUUAACACCCUAUAACCACUCAUAAUUGGAGACUGUUAUGGUUUGUAAACAUUCAACAAACUUGAUAGGUAACCUUGCACCACUUACAGAGCUUCAAAUUCAUGGCUAUCUUGAAUUGACAUCACUUUCAAACUAGAUGGUUCAUCCAAACCUCAAUUAACACCCACAAUUCAGGACUUCUCCAUUUUGGCAAUGAUAGCAUAUUUGAUAAGCAUCCCUACUUCACUUACAUACACUAAAAUUGAUAGCUACCUUAGAUUCACAUCAUUAUCACAAGAGAUUGGUUCCUUCAUAUCCCUGCAGACACUUGUGAUCUUUUAUCGUCCAUGUAUAUUAGAAAGACUUAAAAGGGAAAUAAGUGAAGAUUGGCCCAAUAAUCUUCAGUCCUAGAUAUUCAUAUUUGGUGAAGAUUGGACUAAUAUAGAGUUAGUUUAGGUUUGAAAUCCCAAUCUUUCUUCUCAUUUUUUAUGGUUUUGUUUUUAUCAAUAUGCUCUGUUUACAUUCUAUAUGGUAAUUUUUGUAUGUAUUAGCAUAUAAAUAAAAAAGGACUUAGAUGAUUAAUUUGAAAAGUUUGCAUCCUCAAUUAAUUAGUAAUUAAAGACCAAACUGAUCAUAUUACUUUAAGUCUUGCAUUGUAAGAGUUUGGGAAAAUGUUAGGGUUGACUGAACUACUAUUUUAUAAUAGAUUUUGCCUUACUCAAGAAUCUUGUGAUUAUCCCUUGGCACAAUCAUUUCUCGUGUCUAAGAAAUUCAUAUCUACUACAUGACCAAAGAAUUUAGUAGCAUUCAAAAUUUCUGUUUUCUUUCAAGUCAGGUGUAUUGCUUGCAAUUCUAACAUGUUUCCUAUUUUGAACGUUGUAUUGUUAUUUUACUAUCAAUGUGUUAAGAGCAUUAUACUCUAUUUUCUAUAAUGUUGUUUACUUGUCAUAUGUAUUAAUUAUUUUAUUGCAAAUGUACUUGUUGCCAAGUUAAAGCAAAAUAGGAAAGUGAGGAUUUUUCAUGGACCAAUGCCUCUCUCAGUUGCUGCCACACUUUACUUCUCUCUAAGUUGUUGAAAAUUUAGAAGUGUGGUAGCAUAAAGUAUUCAACUCAAGUGCUUUAGUGCCUCACUACCCUUGAAGCUUUAGAAGUUGUCAAUACAAUUGGGGUUUCAACAUGUAACCAUUUUGGAAAUUCUAAGAAGUGUAAGUAUUAUGGUUUUGCAACUUUAUUCUACUAUAUAGGCAACUUCAAAUUGCUAAAUGCCCUGAAUUAAAAUCACUACUAGAAGGAACCCAUGAGACUAUAGAAACUCAUAAUCUACUACUCUUGCCACUUAUUAAGAAUGCUAAAAGGAAAAAGUGAAGAUUGGCCUGAGCAUGAUUGAUUAAUAAACCACACAUGGUCUCUUUAAUUCAAGUGUGUCAUAUGUUAUAUGUUUCAUGUCAGUAAUCCUACAUUUCUCUUGUUUCUAUUGGCUCUAUUUUUUUUGAAUUAUUUUACAAUCAAUCUUCUAACAAUGUUCUACUUUUUUUACAAUUUUUUAUUAUUCUAAAAUGAAUUAAGACAUAUAAAGAAAAAAAUCACCUUGUUUGAUUUUCAUAUACUAUAUGCUUAAAUGUACAUGUUUUUUUUUUUCAUAUGUAAUAAGAUACCAACAAAUUGAGUGAGGAGCACAUCUUACUAAGUCGCUUGUCAAUCUAUUCACCUUCCUAAUCUCAAGAUUCUUCAUGUUUGAAUUAAAAUACCAUGAAGUACAAAAACAAAAAAUGAUGAAAAGUAUUUCUCAUCAUCUUUAUUUUUAUUAGAAGGCAAUUUGUAGCAUCCUCUUUCCCAUUCCUAAAAAAUACUACAGCUUUGUAGGUUGAGAAAUUAGACAUGUUUUCUUAAAUGAUCUUCUUGGUCCAUGCAUGCUUAUAUUUGGAAGAUUUUUAAACCAAGUAUUUUAUGACAUAUAUGAUAGCUUUCAAGUUAAUGCAUAAAUGGUGAUGGUUAGGAUGCAAAAUAUAGUCUAUGCUCAACCUAUUUAUUGACAAACUACCAAGGGCUAAUGCUAAGGUAAACACCCAGCACUUGCAUCAUACUCGCUCUUCUCUGCCCUCUUUAUUUGUUUUCCAAAGUUCAUAUAUAAUGUCUUUAUCAUUCAAUUUUUCAUUUUCAACCACUUUUUAAACUUUUGUCUUUUUAUGGUUUAUUACACGACGAUCCAUUUCUAAGAAAUUGUUGUACUCUAUUUAUAAAUCUUAUCUUUUUGUUCUUAUAGACAAUAGAACAACGUGGUAAUUGCAUGACAUACAAUUUGUAAUAGAUGUUCAACUAUAUAUUAGGUAAUCUUUAAUUGCCUUGGAGUUGAAACGUUUGAUGUUGAUAAGGUUUGAUAAUUCUCGCUUUGGUGCUUUGUUGGAUUUCAAUUUAGGUAAUUAAUUGAUCUUGUUAUGAUUCUUUGAUUGUUAUUAUAACUAUUGUGAUAAUCAUUCUUAUUUUAUCGUGGUAAUUGACUUCACUGACUUUUUAACAAUUAUAUCAUGAGUGAAAUGCCCAACCUAUUAUUGUUAGUAUUCCAUUAACAUACCUCUAAUGCCACCACUAAUAAACAUCAUGUAUUAAUAUUUAUAACACGUUUCAUUACUGAAAUAAUUUAAUAUUUUCAAAUUUCUUUUUAGAGUGUGAGAAAUAACCAUUAAUCUUUACAACAGCAUAAGUAUCAUUGAUUUGAUAUUGCUUUCUUGAGUAAUUUGGCAAUUUAAUUAUGAAGUUUAGUUGGACAUUACUUGAGAUUCAUGUCUUAUGUAUAUGAUCUAUUUUCCAAGCUUCAAUUAUAUUUAGUAGACUUGUAAGUGGUGUUUGUCUUUGAGUUUCAACUCUUGAAAACUACUAUUGGAGCCUAAGUUCACUUUCAGUAAGGAAAAAAAAAAAAAAUCAACCUUUUCCUCAAUUGUGUAAUUUUAUUCACUAUUGACAUGCCCUUAAAUGGCAUUGCUAUUAUUUGUAGGGAACAUUGUCAAGUUCUAUAUUUGUCUAGAAAGUUAGAAGAAGUAUUUAAUUUGAUAUGGUUUGGACAUCUUGCUACUAUCUUUUUAAAUUAGUUAUCAAUAAUUUUUCAAAGUUGACCUUUUUGUUUAUCUCAUACUCCUUUUAUAUUAAAAGGUACCGCAUGGGUAUUGUGUAGAGGAAUCAUGCCUUCUUUAAUUGAGGUGAGCCUCUUGCAAAAUAUUUCAAGUUUGCUCUCAUUCCAUUUGUUACUUCAUGUCUAUUUUUUUGUAAUCAAUCAAGCAAGAGUUUCUUACUUGUACAAUGGUGAACUUGCUUGCAUGAAUAAUACUCUUUUUACUAUUUUUUUUCUUUCUUUAUUAUAUUCAUUGAUAUGCUUAGAAGUUAAUAGUGAAUCAGGUUUUUUGUUAAAAGAAAUCAAAUAUUGGUAAUUAUUUAGUAUGAUGUUUGUAAUAAUCAAUUAUUGAUUGUCAAGAUACUUGACUUAAUCAAUUAUUAUAUUGAAAUCAAUUUAGUACUAUGACUAAUACCAAAAGGAUAAUAUUUAGUCUUGUUUGACCAUUAGUCACUAUUCUAGAGACAAAUGCUCACAAGUUUUACAUCUUUGAAGCAUAUGAGAAAAGUUGGCUCAACUGUAUCACCAACUUACAAGCUCCUUAUAGUGUCCAUAUAUAUAACCUUCGUUGUUCAGGUUUAUGAUUCCUAUCUCAUUUUCUUUUUUCAUCUUUUUAUUGUUUAUAAUUUUUUAAUUGAUUUGUUUAUAAAUUUUUAAACUUUAUUAGCAAUACUAUUUUUUUUUUUUUUAUUCUCAUCUGCAAUAGAAUAAUAAGUUGAAUAAGAAGCAUAAACUACUUAAUUGGUAUAACCGUUUACUCAAUUCUCUUCUCAGAUAUUUUUGUUCAAGGUAAUCAAAGUAUCAUUCUUUUUAUUUUUAAAGGUACUUGAACUCAGUGAGGACCAUUCCCAAAACAAGCAAUAACUACAGUUGGAUUACUGAUAUCAUAUCCUUGAUUGACAUCUAUGCCAUUACAUUUGCAUCUAAAGGAUUUAUGAUGAAAAAAAUAUUUUCUUUAUUUCCAUUUUCCUUCCUUCUUUUGAUCAUAAUUUGUGUGCUUAUUGAUAGCAUUCAUACCCUAAUAUAUUUGCUAGCAUAUAUAUGCAUGUCACAAUCUAUUGAAUUUUUUAGCAUAAGGUCUUAGAGUAUUCACAUAUCUCUAGGUUCUAUAUAUUUAUAAUUUUUCAACAUCAAAUGAAGUAUAUGAACCUUAUCCUGAAGGUGAAGUCUCUUUAAAAGGAGUUUCAACAUGUUAGCAAUUACCUAACUUAAUAAUCUAACAAUUUGGCACUAUAUAUAAUUUUGCAACUCUUUCAUAAAGUAAUUGUGUUACCUUUAUUCACAUUUUCUAUCUUUAUUUAAAAAAAAAUGAAUUGGUAAUUGUGUGUCAAAUCUUGCUUACAAUCAUUAAUAGGUACUUAUAUGCUAAAUGGAUAAAGUUAUUUUACAAUUGUUUCAACAUAUUUGACACACAAGUACCUAUUAAUAAGUAUAUAUUUAUAGAUGUAAUCACUACCAAGCCAAUGCGAAAAGCUAUAACAAUGAGGAUUACAACGCUUCAAUUAUGUCUUGGAGAUUCAUAUUGAAAAGUUGUAAAUGGUGGGUGAAGUCUCUUUAAAAGGAGCUUCAACAUGUUAGCAGUUACCAAACUUAAGAAUAUAACAACUUGGCACAAUAUAUCAUUUUGCAACUUUUCAUAAAGUAAUUGUGUAACCUCUAUUCACAUGCUCUAUUUUUUAUUUUUUUUUAAAAAAAUUUGAAUUGGUAAUUGUGUGUUGAAUCAUUCUUACAAUAUUUAAUAGGUACUUAUACACUAAAUUGAUAAAGUUAUUUUACAAUUGUUUCAACAUGUUCUGAAAACAAAAAAGAUUUAUAAGUAUAUUUUUUUCUAGAUGUAAUCACUAGCAAGCCAAUGUGAAAAGCUAUAACAAUGAGGAUUACAAAACUUCAAUUAUGUUUUGGAGAUUCAUAUUGAAAGUUGUAGAUUAUGGAUGUAUAGUACAGGAGUUAGAUUGAGUUUAUCAUUCUAUCUUUGACAUCUUAGUUUUCUAUGUAUUGUCCAUCAUAUAUAUUUGUCAUCUAUUCUUUACAACCAAUUUUUUAAGGACUUCUAUGAUUUGUUUAAAUUUAUAUAUUUGUUUUUAUUUGUACUAGAACUUCACCAAGCUACAAAAGCAUCACAAGUUUUGCAAUUGGAGUUCAUGGAUCAGGUAUUUUAGUAGUUUUUGUACCUGAAAUUUUUUUAUGAUACUAAUGAGGAUGUUUACCUUGAUUAAUUUAACACUUAUAUUGCAAAUAUCUAUAUAGGAGUUCUAUACAUUUAUUUAAACAUUUAUAGACAUAUUUAUCCUCUUUCUAGCACAUUCUAAUGAUAUUUUUAACAUUGAUAUAAAUUGUUUGCUUGAAGGUUUCAACUAUUGAAAAAUUAUUAUUCAAGCCAAAUGUUAAUCUUUUUCUAUAGUGGAUUUCAAAUAAUAAAUUCUUAUUUGAUUAUUUGUAGGGAAAAUAAACAACUUCUAUGUUUGAUAAGAAAGAAGAUAGAGUAGAUCAAUUUCACAAUAUACGAAUGCUACGCUUUCUAUACUUUUAAAGAUGCUUACAAUUGGCUUUCUAUACUUAACAAGUACAUCUUAGCUAAAAGUGAAAAAAUGUUUCUCUUUGCACAUGCCUUCACUACUAUUUUAAUUGCUAUCUUAAUAUGUUAUGGAAAAACCACGACAAAUAACAAUAAUAAGGAGAAGAAAUAAAAGAACAAAAAUAUAAAACUUAUAAAGUAGGACGAUCUAUGUGGUUUGGCCUAAACCUACAUUUAUAUGUGAAAAUGAAGAAGAACUUCCACUAUUAUUAAAGGAGAUUAAAUUCCUAAAGCUUUCAAAUCUCAUGAUUACACUAAAAAUGGACUUUUUUUUUUCAAUCAAAAUCUCUUCCUUUAUUUUCUUGAUUAUAUAAGAAUAUUCCAUAGAGAAUUAAUUGUGUAAUUAUCAAAGAUAACUAUUCCUAAAAGAAAAAUCUUAUAAUAUGAUAUUUCCUUUAGAAUAAAAGAAAAAUCUCUUAUAUAAAUAUAUCAUAAUAGGAAAAUAUUAAAGACUUAUAAAUUGACUCAAAACAAUUUGAAAUAUUUUUCAACAAUCUCCACAUUGGCUCAAAUUCUCAAUAUUCAAAUAAACUCAAAAGUCUUCUAUGUUACUUUGCUCUUAUACACCCUUGAGGGGACUUCAAGUAAUGUCAAUACCAAUUAAGUCUAAGCAAUGCAUGAACUUAAUCAUAGAAAUAAGUUUAGCCAUCAUAUCUAUAACUUUAUCAACUAUAAUAAAGUGCUUUCUAACAUCAAUAUGUUUGGUGCUCUCAUGUAAUAUAUGAUUUUUAGUCAAAAGUAUGAGACUUGGCUACCAUGAUAACAAUAAUCAAUGAUUGGAAUCAAAUAAGUACAUUUUGUGUGCCUAAACUUAGGCAUUCAUAUUUAAUAUCCAAUUCUAGUUUCAUCCCUUUACUCAUUUUAUUCCUAAGUCCUUAAUUUUGGGUUUAAUGUAUUUUUUAAAUAUUUUCCUUCUUUUUUGGUAUAUUUAUAUCACAUUUUUGCUAGCCAUUAUAUUUUUCAUGUAUUGGUUGCUAAUUUUACACUCCAUAGUUGUCACAUCAUCCAACUAAUGGUUGUUACAUUAUCCAACUAUGGGCUACCACAUGCUCCAGCUACCUUAGCCUCCUUGCCAAGUAUUUUCCAUGCCAAAAAAAGAUUGACAACUAUUUCAAUUGGUUGGUAAAGUUGAGAAAAGCUUCCACCAACCUCGCCAUUAAGUUGUGCUCCUUGCUCCAAUUUCUAAUUUUGCUUCCUACCCUCUUGUGGAGUUAGUGUGGAAAUGACUUUAUACAAGGGAGAUGAAGGUUGGUUUUGUAAGGUAGUUUAUUUGUAAACUUGUAUUUCCUUUAUUCAGACGAUAGUUCUCAUUUCUUAGCCUUGAUUUUCAAUUUUGAUCCUCUUGUCUUGCCACUAUGAGUGGCCAACAUCCAAACCAAGGAAUAAUUUUUAAUAAAAUAUUAAUAUUAAUAUUCAAAUAAAAUCAUAUAUUUAUAUUCCUUAGCACAUUUAUAGGAAGAGAAAUAUUUGGGCACUAGGCCCAAUUCACUUUUUAUCAUAAAAAUAUGAAUAUUAAUAUCCUUAUCCUCAUAAAAGCAUAAUUAGCUUAUUUUCUAAAAAAUUGAUAAUAAUAAUAAUAAUAAUAAUAAUAAUAAUUACUAGUACGAUUUUAUUUUAAAUGGAUUUAAAAAUAAAUAAAGUUUAAUUUUUAAGGUAUACGUGCAUAAGUUUUUCAUUACAUAUACACAUUUAAUACUUAAUUAGUAAUAAUGUAUUCUAAAAUUUUUUUAUCUAGCCUAUAACUAAUUAAUCACUUUUUUGGAAUUCUAAAUUGUUCUUAAAAAUUAAAAUAUUCAUUAAAGAAUUGAAAGUGUUUAUUAUGUUUAACUUAAUUUAAAUUUAUUUAUCUAGUGAGAAAAUUCAUAAAAUAUAGUUUUAUGUAUAAAGGAAAUAGUAACGACUUUACAUUUAAUGAAUCUUUUAUUUUAUUUUGAUUCAUUUAAUAGUCUAUUAUCUUGUAGUGAUUAUAUAUAUAUAUAUAUAUAUUUAAAAUUUAUUAAACUCAUUAAUAAAUUCAAUACAAAGUUUUACUUAAUUUGAAACUCAUCUCUCUAGUGAAAAAAUUGAAAAAAUAUUAUUUUGUGAAAAAAAAUACAAUAAAAUCAUUUUAAACUAAUUUUUAUCCAUAGAUUUUUGUAUUUAUUAGUUUAUUAUUUAAUUUUUAAAUUAAUUUAAAAAAUUAUUAGACUUAUUAAUGAAUCCAAUACAUUAUUUUUUUUGUUUAAUUUAUUUAUCACACUAUCAAACAAACUUUUAUUAUUUAGUAAAAGACCUCUUAAAAGAUGUUUUUUUUUCUAAAUAAAAAUAAAAAUAAUAUUCUAAACGAUGUUUGAUUUGAGAGUUUUUUAAAAAUAAAAAUAAAAAUUAUUUUAAAUUAUGUGUACAUAAUUGUUGCAAAUUUAUUUCUUUUUCCAUUAUCAUUUUCAUUCUUACCUAACAUUGAAAUGGAAACAAAUAAUCAAUCAAACCUUACAUUUAUUCUUGAUGCCCUCUGUGAAAAAAAAAAGUGCAAAACAUUUAUUUUUUCUAAUCAUCAACCAUCCAUACAUAGAAAAACUACGUGUGAUCUUAAGCCAAAAAAGAUAUUGCAUCUAAUCAAAUUCAAUAGACAUGAUGAUAUCUAUACUAUUUUUUUUUUAAUUAUAUUCAUAUUUAUGUCAGAAAAUAAUUUUUUUAUUUUUAGAACAUUAAACUUUUUAAAAGUCCUUUCUAGGAUAUUUUCUAGCUUUUUCCUUUUGCUAAUUUUUGCUAUUCAAACAAAUCUUAAGAAAUGAAUCAAACCUGGACACAAUUGAAGAGUUUGGCAUCCUUGUUUUUAUAUUCCAAAGCAUAUAUAGAGAUUGGGGUAAAACAACUUGUACCUAAGAAAAAAAAAGGAAAAAAAACCACAACAAAAAAUUAACCAAAAAUCAGAAAAUUAACUAGAAUAAAAAAUCAAGAAAAUAUUUUUCUGGGUUAAUAAUUAAUUAUAAUGAAAUCAAAAUCAAAAGAAAAAAUACAUACUUCCUCCUGGCUUUGCUUACACUGAAAGCCAUGAAAGAAUUGGGAAAGUAGUAAAGAAUAAGAACAAGAACCACAUCCAUAUUCUGGGGAAAGCAAAUCCUCUGCUUUGCUGCCUUCUUCAGAUUGAAGGCAACUAUUAAACGGGUUGAGGGGUUAUGAGUUUGACUUGGUUGAGUUUGAAGCUACAAAAGUAAGAAGAAUGGUAGUAAUUUUGGAAGCAUUUCUAACUCUUCUAUAACUUGAAAGAUAAAAAAUUUUAAGUGUUAAAAAUGUUAAAAGAGCUUUUUAGAAUCACCCCCAAAUGUACUCUAAAUUAUUUAUGACUUGAUGUCACCUUCACACUCAUUUUCCAGUGUCAUUUAAUUUUGUUGUUCCCAUAUUGAAGAUUUAGGGUAAUGUAAUGUUCAAGCCUUCACAUUUUGCCUUCACAUUUUGCCUUCACUAACCUUUGAAUUUUAAUUAAAUUCUUUGAAGGAUAUUUGACCACUUCAUUGUCCAAAAAUGCUUAUAUUGCCAUUUUUUUUGUCUUUUUCUACAAUUCCAAUUUUACUAUUUUUCUUUUAUUUAUUCCUAUUAUUAUUUAGGCUAUUAUUUAUAAUAUUCUAAAUAUUAUAUUUAUAAUUGUUAAUAGUAUAAUUACUAUUUUUCAUUUAUUUGUCAUUUAUAUUGCUUAUCUUAUCUUUAUUCAUGUAUAAGACUCAAAAACUGCAAAAAGCAUUAAUAAGUAACAACUAAACUUCAAAGUGAUAAUAAAAUUCAACUACAUUGAUAUUACAAUAAUACAAAUGAAAUAUAUAGCAACCAGCCCUUAAAGGGGCUUUUAAGAGAUAAUGAGUCUACUUGAGAUUGAAAUUUAAAGUAGAAUCACCAUCUCUAUAGAUAAAUAUAAAGCCUAAAAAGAAUAGAACAUCACUAAAUAAUAUUAAUAAAGCAACAACUAGAUCAAUGGAUAGUGAAAAUAAAGGUUUACAAAAUGAGUCACAUAAGUAAGAACAACUAAAUUAAGAAAUGAAUUACAUGUCUGACAGAUCUAAUGAGGGAAAACAUUGGAUCUAGGUACCCAUGAUUGGCUCCUUGAAGUUGACCUACCUCCUCAAGAGGUACAUAGGAGUCCUUACUUGAAAAAUAUUAAAAUCUAUAGGGUGAACAUAAGAUCUAAUAAAUAGGCACGAUAUGCAAAUGUUAGGAUGGUUAGUCCAAGGUAAAAAAAUAGUUCUAAAACAUAUCACGUAAUAAUUUUGGUGUAUUAUGAGAGGAAAAUUGAUUUGUGAGAACUAUACUUUAUGAAUAGAAAUGUGAGGAAGAGUGAAAAACACUUAGUAGAGUAAGAGGGCUAACAGUUCAGGGUAGUCAUACAAGUAGUCAUACAAAGUGUGGGGAAAUAGAUGUAUCUAUUUUUGUCCCUUACAAUAUUUUUUAUUGUAUAGUGAAAUAUUAUCUUUCAAAUAUGGAAAUAAGCAUGGUUAGGUGUACCAUGUUAAAAUCUUAAGUAUUUGUUUUAUUUUGUGUUCUUCCAUUAAUAUAUUUCAAUAUUAGAGCUUCCAUUGACUCAACAAUUUAUUAUACUAUGAAUCGUCAUAAGUGAAUAUAUUUUUAUAUUAGAAUAAACCAUUUUCUUAAUUAUAAGUAUAUUUGAAUAUUUUACUAAACUAUUUUAAAAUAAAAAUAUAGUAAAAAAAAUUUAAUAUAUAUAAUAAUAACAUGAUAAAUAACAUAUCCCAAACCAAAUGCAACAUAAAUUUCUAAAUUGUCUCUUCUUCUUAGUUCUCUAUAAUAAUAUUGUCAUACCCAUUGUUUAAGCUAUAAAUUAACAUUUUAUGUUCUUUGAAACAUAUGUAUUACCAACUCAAUAUAAAUAGCUACGAAGACAUAUUUCUCAUUUUCCCAAUCAAAAAGCAUUGUGAGUUGAAACCUUUUUGUUUAGAAAGUUAACUUGCAAUGUUAAUAUUCUUUUUUUAUAUUAGCCCCCUAGGAAUGCCAUUGCCUUUCACCACACUUUUAGUUUUUUUUUGUUUUUUCAAUAUUCUUUUUUACUUCUACACUAGAAUUUAUGUAACUUCUUGUUUUUUAUUAUUAUUAUUAUUUUGCAAUAUUUUCUCUUAAGUCUACCUUACACUUCUUAUUACCUCUCAUAUAUAUAUAUAUUUGUCUUUUUCAAGUACUUGGUUGCUUCUCUAUUACAAUUCAUUAACUUCCUAUCCUUUUAUUUAUUUUUAUUUUUUGCAAAAUUCUUUCUUAAAAUACAUAAAUCCAUAGUUUUUAUUUUAAAAGUAUCAAGUAAAGAACAUAUACCUACUCAAACACCAUUGUAUAAUACCCCUAAAAUUUCCAAAAAUCCUUAAAAUUUCAUAAAUUCUCUGCAAACUUAUCCCUAAUUAGAUGCUAUUACAUUAAAUAUAUCUAAUUCACUCUAAACACAUGAUUGAUAAUAAUACAAAAAACUAAAACAAUAUUAAUAUGCAAUUUAUUAUUUUUCAACACACUGUAAUAGUUCCCAAAUAUUUUCAAACAUCAACUAACAAACCUAAAUUUAUUCACUCAAAAUACAUAAUUGAUAACAAUGGAGAACUAAAAAAAAAAUUAUAAAUAUAACAAUUUUAUACUUUGAAUACAAUUCAAUAAAUCCUAAAUUUUUAAAAACAUUUAACUAAUAAACUUAACCAUACUCAAAUAUUAUUGUAUAACAUCUAUAAAAAUUUCAAUAAUUUAUCAAAUGUGAAGACUACACUCACCGGUUUAGUAGAAUCACUUGCCUCUUCUAUUGGUAAUUGGGAUUUUUGUUCAGUAGCUUCGCUUUCCUUUGCUUCACUUUCUUUUGCUUCACUUUUUUCUUCUGUUCGCAAUUGGCAUUUUUGUUUUUUCGUCACUUUUUUUAAUCUUUUUAUAAAAUCACUCUUCAAUGAACUCAUUGUUUCCUUCGUGCUUGAAGAUACAAUAUGAGAUAACUUGAAAAAAACAGAAUAACAAUUUUUCUAAGGAUUCAGAAUGAAACAAAGGAUGAAAUGAUAGACGAGAAAUUUUCUAGGGUUCUUGAAGGAAAGAUGAGAUUUUCAUUUUGUGCAUUAAAGGAAGAUAAUGAAAUAGAAGAAGACGAUGAAAGAUGAAGACUCGUUCUAUAAAUGAAGCGAAAGAGGAUUAGAGUUUUCCUUUUUGUGCACCAAAGGAAGAUAAUGAAGUAGAAGAAAAUGAUGAGAAAUUUUUUUUGGAAAAUAUGAGGAGUCAUUCUGUAAAUGAAGCCGAAGAUGAGAAGGUGUAAGUGUUGGAGAGAAAAAAGAAGAAGGGCAUUUUUGUCUCAAUCAACAAUUUUGUUUUAUUUUUUAACCGGUGGGUUAUAUUUACAAAUAUGAGGGUUAUUUUGACCCCUUUAACCAAAUAGCCUUAUUUUUUUAUCGAGUUACAACUUUAAAUUAGGUGUAAAAAGAAAUUUUGAUAUGGUAGAUAUUGUACAGUUAUAUAUUGAAAUUCCAUGGUUCAUUAGAUAAACCAUCCUUGAAUUUCUUCGGUUUCAAUCAAGAUGAUAGAUCAUCCUUCCACAGAGUGUGACCUGAUAUGACAUUGAUUUUCUAGGGCUUCAAACACGAAGGGUGUCAAUGACUAAGAACUCCAUUUGAUUACCGAGAAAAUGAGGAAAAAACCCCUCAAAUAAAAUAUAAAUACAAUUCAGAAUUUCAAUUUUACUUUGUUAGGGACCCCAAAAAUGGGAAUAUUCACUUAACUAGCCUAAUCCAACCACCUACCUUAGUUCAAUUCAGUCCCCACUUUCUAGAGACCAAAACAAUAUAAACAUUCAUGUGUUUGGCUGCUCAGAAAGCAUAGGAUAAGCAAAGAAAAGGACGGUGCCUCCUCGAUCAAAUAGUCUUUUUUUUUUUUUCUUUUCUUGCAUUUUCUUUUUUCAGCAACCAAAUAGAACUUUUUAAUUGAGCAUUGUUGUAUACAAUUUAGAUUUCUUUCCCUCGGUUUCUCCGCAACCAAAUAGAAUUUUUCUCAAUUGAGCGAGGGUCUAGUAUAUCCUUUGUUUUCCUGUAACCAAACAGAACUUCCCUUGUUAUUUUUUUUAUCUUUUCUUUGAAUUUCUCAGAAACCCAACGGAGUUUACUUCUGGUGCAACCGUGCAAGAAAAUGGUUUUACCUGAUCGCAAUUCACUGGACUAGCCGAAGCAACAGAGGCUUAAGAAAAAAAGACUGAGCUUUGUUUGUUAGACCCCCUCUGUGAGUACGCAAAGUAAGAAGAAUUGAAGCUGAAAUUAGGCGGCUUCCAAACACGUCCUAGGAGUUGGUUUUAAAACCCAUUUUUCCCCUUUUUGGUUGCAAUCGGUCUGCAAAGAUGCCAUUAAAAGGUAACUACAGUUGGUUGCAUGAACAAGAAAAUGAAAAAAAAAAGUUAAAAUUAAUUAAAAUUCUAUGUAUUUUAAAAUUAUUUAAUAUUUACAUUGAAGAGUAAAAAUAAUUGCAAUAUAUUUAAAUAAACACAUAAAAAUAAUAAUUUAUUAAUUUUAAAUCUAUUUUUAAAAUUUUCAAAUUUUCAUUUAUUUUAUUCCCUCUAAGCUUUCUAACUAAGGUCAUAAUUUGGACAAAUUGUUGGGUUCAUAGUAGAUCUAAAUAAUCUAAUAGGGAUAAAUAAUUGAUUAAUUUAAGUUCAACCCAACCUCUAAGCUUUCUAACUAGGGUCAUAACUUGAACAAAUUGGAUGGUUAACAUACAACUUGGACAAAUUGGUGAGUUCAUAGCUAAUCUGAAAAAUUUAAUAGGGAUUAACAAAUAAUUAAUUUAAGUUUAGCCCAACCUCUAAAUAGAGGUAUUUAAUUCAAGCUCAACCAACUUCAUUUCUUUGAGCUCUGGUUGAUGAGGUUAAACUUGGGUUAACCCCUGAUUGUAUAAUUCAAAAUACAUAUAGAAUGUUUUUCAAUAAAAAAAAAUUAUGUACUUAUAUCAAAUUUUAAAUAGUAAGUAGGACAAAAUUUUAAAAUAACAAAAAAGAAAAAAAAACAAAAAUAAAAACAAAGUUAUGUAUCUUUUUUAAAAAGUGAAAAAAUAUAUUAUAUAAUAUAAUUUGAUUUUUUUUUAAUAAAAAUUUAGAAAGAAUAAAAUUAUUAUAUAAAAUAACAUAUAUUGGAAAUAUUAUAAAAACAUUAAAAGUUUAUUAAGUAGUUAUUCAAAUAAGUGUUUCUAUCCCUAAUUUAAACUUUGGUUUCAAUCUAACUCGAAUUGAAUUUGAGUUGAAAAAGUUUAAUUUGAAUAUUAAAAAUAAUUGUCUAAACACGAUCAAAUAUCGGAUUGGAUUCGACUAAUCUGCCAAAGUUGCACUCCUACCAAGAACCAUACACAAUAAAAAAAAUUUAAGCUAUUUUUUGUUCUAGGAAAGUACUCAAAAAGGAGAAAUAAAGAAAAAAAAAAUGAUUUUAUAUGUAUAAUUAAAAUUAGUUAAAUUUUAUAUAUUUUAAAAUUAUUUAAUUUUUUUAUAUGGAAAAGAAAAAAAAAGAGUGAAAUAAGUUUGAAAAAACAAGUAAAAAUGAUUUGUUAACUUUAAUAUUUUUUUCUUUUCUUUUCUUUAGUUUAUUUUUCUCAAAAUUUUCAAAAAAUAAACAUAGAAUUAAAAAUAAUAAUAAUAAUUAUAGAUUAGGAAAAUCAAUUUUAGAACUUGCUUAUAUGAUUGCAUUAUUUUUUGUAAAUAAUAAUUUUAUUGAAUGUUAAGAGAGUGGUAUUAAAUGCACAUUAUUUAAUAUUUUUAUAUGGAUAUUUUUAUUUCUAAAGAAAGUAAUCUUUACAUGGAUUGGACCACUGUUUAUUUAUCCAUGUGGGCCAGCCUAUUAAAAACCAUCAAACCAACAACCCAAGGGGCGACCCUGAUCAUUCUCGGGGGCCCACAACCUUCAUCUCUAACAAAAGCUCUUACUCACUGAAACAUGGGCAGGAUCACCUUCCACACACAUCUUCAUACCAGUCACCACGCUACCGCAACAAUCCUCCUCCAUGAAAGCCCACCUCCAUCACAGCAAGCAGAAAAUCCAUCACGUCAACCAUCAACCUCCACACAGACCUAACACUGCAUAGCCGUGUUUUGGGAGUGUUAGAACGUGAUUAAAGAUGAUUUAAUUUGAGUGUUCAUGGAGUUUCGCUAUAAGAGGGUGAUAGACCAGAGUAUCAAUGCUCCCUUUGUAACUUUAGGGCCAAAGAGGAGUCAGUUUACCAAAAAUUCUUCAUGAAACCAUCCAUUUAUCUCAGGGAACAUUUAUUAAGUAGAGUCAAAUAGAUUUACAGAUAAGAGACGAUUUAUUCCUUUGAAUGAAAUAACCUUAUUUCAAAUUGCCCUAAUGUGGCCUAAUAAGCAAAAUUACUGGUUAUAUUUUGGACACAUCUCAGUAGAGGUUUGGGGGAGAAAAUAGAAGAAGCAGAGAUGCUUACUUACUUCAGAGGGGCCACUGCUCGCCACCACCACUUCAUGGCUGUGCCCAUUUCACUUGCCCAAGUCACUCUCUUCUCCAAACCCUCCAUUUUACUCCACAGAAAUGCCAUCAUUGGCUUCUCCUUUUCCAUUCCUUUCUCCUCUUCUUCUGCUCACAAGAUUCAGACUCACAAGUGGAGGCAACCGGUGGUCUCGCUUCUGGAGCUUGGUGGAGUCAAGAUUGGCAGAGAUGGUAACAUACCCACAUCCCAAAAUUGCGUUUAAAAAGGAUCUUUAGCUUGAAUUUCGUGUGCCCAAUUUGCGUUUUUGCAGACAUUUGCACUCAAGUCGUGUCGUUUGUUUGCAAUUUCACAAUCUGAUUUCUUUUCUAUUGUGCGUUUUUUUUCUCCUGCUAGGUUCGAAUUCAAGCAUCCAAUUUGCGUUUUUGUGGGUAGUCUUAUGCCCAACUUGUGUAUUCAAUUUGCAAUUGUUGUUAUCAGACUUCCUUCUCUCUUUUGAGACUUACACAGUUAGAGACGUCAUUUCUGUGAAAUUAAGAAUGCAUGUUCCAACUUUCACUUCUUUCUCUCUCUCCCUCUUUUUUUUUUUUUUUUUUUGUGAAAUUGGAAUUCAAGAACUUAUUUUGCGUUUUACAAGCUUAGCGGGUUACGUUUCUGUUCUAUUUGUUGUGCUGUUGGAGGUGUUUGGUGCAUUUAUAUAACUAGGCUUGCAAUUUCGCCCUCUGAUAAAGGUUAAAUUUUCUCCCUUUUUAUUUUUUAUUUUUUUAAUGGUGUAUUUGUUUUGGGUAUUUGGUGAAAUGAGGAUUCUGUACUGGGUUUAUGGCAUUUUUUCAAUUGGUUUGAUAUAUGUGAAUGUGGGUUUUGUAGGGAAGAUAUGCAAAUUUUUUGAAAGAAGCAUGCAAUUACAACUCUGAUUUCCUUUAUAUUUAUAUUUUUUUAUGCUUAUUUGCAUAUUGGUUGAUGUCAAAAUUCAUCUAAUGGGUUGUUUUUUAUUGCUUUGGAUUGGUUUAAUGUAGUUGAAUGGUGGAUUUUGUUUCUAAAACUUAGGGUCAAUUUCAAUUUUUUUUUCUUUUUUUCAAUUUGAAGACCUGGGAGUCUAUGUGAUUGGAAUUGAUGUACUCGAGUUUUUGGAUUUUGCUGAUUGCUUGAUAAACUUGGGAUGCAGAGCCUUAAAAAAUAAACUAUAUUCACUAAACUAUAUCUCUGAUUAUACUUCGUCAAAGCGUGAAAUGCAACUUGGAGUCUUUGUAUUUUUAAAAUUUUUUGGGUUAUUCUAUUCUGAAUAUUUGGUAAAAUUAGAACUCAUGUACUGAACCUUUUUCAAGUUCUUUUGGUUGGCUUGAUAUAUUUGGUUGUGGGGUUUGUAGAUGUGGUGAGGGAUGAUCCUACAAACAAUGUCCCGGAUGCAAUUUUUUUGAAACUUGGAAUGCAGCUUCACAGGAGGGAUCAACACCCAAUUGGAAUUCUGAAGAAUGCAAUAUAUGAUUAUUUCAAUGCCAAUUACUCUAACAAAUUUGAUAAGUUGGAUGACCUUUGCCCAAUAGUCUCCACAAAAGAGGUUUGACAUUAAGAUAUAAAAUAAAAAUUGUAUGCAUGUUUUUUUUUUUUCACUGUUUUGAGCUAUACAUUGCACUAUUUGGAACUUGUAUUAUCUUGCUAUGACUGGUGCCUGACAUUUUGUUGCGGUUUUUAUUUAUUUUGCUGCCCAUUUCCUGUUGGUUUUUGUCCUGUCCUAGGUCUUUUAACAUUUAAGAAUCCAUGAAAGUGGUAUUUGCAUAUGUUGCCAAUUAUUCCAUUGACGAUGUUCUAAGUAGGGAACCUAGUAUCCAAACUUCCAUCCAAACUUCCAUAUAAAAAAAGUCCAGAACAGGCAUUCGGUUUACCAGGUUUAUCAGUUCUCUCCAGUGUUUAUUCAACUCUUAAAUGCAGUAUUCUGGACAUACUCCAAAUUUGAAAUUCCUUUGGUAAAAUAAAGGCAUGGUACUUAUAGUGGUCUAUUAAGGAAAAGGUUUGUUUGACCUAGCUUUUGUACAAAAAAUUCAAGGAUAGUCUUGCAGAUAUGUAUUGUAUAGGUGUAUAUUUCUCUAUCAUGACACAAGUGAGAAAAAAUUCACGAAAGUUGUUUUGUUUUAAUAAAAAAUUGAAAGUUAAUUUAUGUUUUGAGAGGGACAUUAGACAACCUAGGAUUCAAAGGGACAUGUUGUCUCUUAGGAAAAUAUAAUUCAUAGCAUUCUCAAUCACUUACAGGUUAUUUUAAUCCUUUUAAAUUGAUUUAUUUAAUUUUUUUCUUUAUAGUAGGCAAGCAAAAAAUAUAUUUACAACACCUACUAUUAUCAUUAUUUUGGUAAUUAGCAUUGAUGGAGAUUGUAAAAAUUCUCUAAUAGUAUUGCAGGAGAAAAAUAAUAUUUAUGAAUUUUUGUUAAACGCAAUUGUCAUAAUGAUAAUAGUUAAUUAGAAUAAUAUAAGUUUGUAAUUGGAAAAAUUUUAAAAAAUAAUAGCUUUUGGAAAUAGUUUGAAUAGGAGUACAAAAUUCUUGGAUUUCAUGGAGAGCUUAGGUGGGAUCUAAAGCAUGGGGCUGUUUGCUAUCUAUUUUAGUAUUUGCUGCUCUUCUCUCUUAUAGGUGUUCAGUUGCAGCUUGUAUUCUCUGAGCGUACUUGGGUUGUGCCCCCUUUUGUGUUCUUCAAUAUAAUCUUCAGGCUCAUGACUAGUGCAAUUUCUACUAAUUGAUCACUUUUCACUUCAAAUAAUAUUCAGUAAUCCAAAUAGCAUUUAUCAAAUUAUUUUUAACUGCCAUUAGAUUUAUAAAGAACCCAAAAUGUGAAAAUUUCUUCUUAGGCAUGAGAAAUUGUCAUUGUUAUAAACCCCAUGUUUGUCUUGUACUUACAAGCAUAAUUAUAAAGCAUGAUCUGCAUGUCUUAUCAUGAAAUAUAACAAUGUCAUAAAAUAGAUGAUUGAUAAAAUAUUAGAAGUCCAUUACAAAUGCUUAAUGGAACUGAAAAUUAUUACAGAGCAAGUGCAUAUUUCAGUCAAACUUUUAUGCAGUAGUGGUAGCUUAUAAACUCACAACUUUGUAAUCAUGUGCUUGAAUCAAGUAAACUUAAUGGAUCUCAGCUACAUCUGCUCUACAUUUUAACCAUUGUUUUAUGUUAUGGGAAUAGUGACUGAAUUUCACAGUCCCAUCAUUAUAAUUUAUGCAUGUAAAUUCAUUUGGGACUUAGUUUUCACAUGUGUUCACAUGUCAUAACUGUAAUUUCCCUAAUUUUAUGAGUAAGAAAAACUCUUUAAUUUUCCCUAUUUUGACUGAAACUUUAGGAACUUGGACUUUAUUUGGUGCAAAUGUAUGUUAUCAACUAUUGCUUUUGACCAGUCAUGAGUAGAUGCUAUUUAUAAAAGGACACAAAGGAGGAUAUAAUCCAAGUGCACUUGUAGUCGACAAGUUACUCUGGGCAUCAAAAUUGAAAGAAACAACAAUGAAGAAAAGCAUCAAGAAAGUGCCCCUACCUCCCAAACUGUCAAUGAACUACUGGAAGGAUCUACUACUAUUCAAGAUAACUUCUUCUAAGCACAACUACAUGUAACAGUACUUAGCCUGCGCUAUGGUGUCAAAAGGUAGGCUCAUUGGAACAUGCCUAUUUUGAUGGAUUUUAGUUUGUGGGGAUAGUUAAAGUGUAAAGUGUAAAGUGUUUGAUAAAAUAAAUUUGCUAGUUUUAAUAAAUUGGAAUUACUACUGAAUAAAAUGUGAAGCUAGGUAUUAGGAGGAGAAAGAAAGGUAAUUAAUUUAUUUGUAUGACACUAUGACUUACACACUGUGAAGCUUACUGGUUGGGAAUUGUUGAACAGGGGAACUUACUUAAUAGGGGAGAAAGAAUCACACAUAUUACUUGAUGAGAAAAUAUAAUUACAUUAGCCAAAGGCCAAAAAUAUAUGAGUGGUUCACUGAUUGCAUAUUAUUGGAAAGAGAGCUGAGCAUCAUAUGAUUCAUAAACUUUUUACAAUUUAAAGGCCUGGGUCCAAUGAGAUAUGUUGCAUCAUAUUACCUAAUGAACCAAUGAAGUUUAUGGAUUUCCAAAACUUCUUGGAGAGGUUCACUAUUUUAUGGUUCUUUUUUUUGAUAAGUAAAAGUAUUGUAUAAAAACCACCAAUGCAGUGGAAAAAUAAAUACAAGAAAGAACACACUCCCCACUCCCUAGCUAAAAGCCAAGGACAGAGGAGCAGCCCAACACACACCCUUAACGGGUUCUCACCCAACCAACAAAAUCAACUAAGGUCGAGGGACCAUCUUUUAUAGACAAUUUCGUCUCCGACCAAAGAAAAUAUACAAACGAAUACUUAAGCCUUUGAAUAGACAACUCUUCUUCCUCAAAGGCAAUUUUGUUCCUUGCCUUCCAAACCAUCCAAAAAAGACACAAAGGACUUGCUCUCCAAACACCCUUCCUCUUUUUUCCCACAAAAGACCCAUUCCACCCCAACAACGUCUCCUUAACAAUUUUGUUCUUUUUUUUUUAGGGUUCUUUAUUCCAAAACUUUUUGCUCCAUACCUCUUUGGAGCUCAAUUCUUUGGCAAAGCAGGAAGAAAACAAAUUAGCAUCAACUUUAGCUUGACUUGAGAUCACAAAUCCGACUAGAGAUUUUGCAGUAGUGUGUUGAGGUCUAAUCCGAAUCCAGGUUGUGAUGUGUGCAUCAAAGAGUCUUUCCAUAAGCCAUGAAGCUUUGAGGUGUUUUGUGAUGGCAUGACUGGAUAAUGAGAUGCAUUUUGGUCUGAAAUUUGGAGUUCGGUUAUGCAUUUCUGUAUCUAUAUCUCCAAAAUUAUUAACUAAUUUUAAUCAUUUUAUCUAUUUUUCAAAAUAAACAUUCAAAAUUGAAAGUUUGUGUCACGAGUCUUCAGGCUUAUCCGGAAUAGAAUGUCCUGCAUUAACUCUUGCUGUUAAUGCAUAUAAUACCAGGCGAGUCAACACAGCCAUUUGCUUGCUUAUGUUGACUUUCAAUGGGUUAAAAUUUAUGGCUUCAAUGGUUAUUACCAUGCUAACACUAAAACUAUUUUUUUGUUUUUGAUAGGUGUUGAAAUAAUGCCAAAGUUAGGACUUUAAUUUAGGAAUAAAAAAGGAGAGAUCAUUUAGGAUAUUUCCUUAUGAUUUAGUUUCCUAAUUUUAGGAGAGAAUUAAGCUAGAUUGAUUUUUUCUUAUUCAGUCAUUUGUGUAUAUAUAUGUGUAUGGUGUGUACCGAUUAAUCAUCAAUAAAGGAGUUCAGAAAUUCUUCAUGGUAUCAGAGCCAGUUUUCUGAAACCCUAAUCCCUUCUGGCCACCUCUUAUUCAGGCCAUCACUCAUUCCGGCCAAAUCUCUCUAGCCAUAUCUCAAUCCGAUCAUCUCUCUCUCUCUCAUUCCGGUCAUCAGUCCCUGUUCUCAGAGCCAAGGGAGAAAACGCUUUCUGGUCAGUCGAAUCGUCGUCAGAAAACACUCACCGCCGGCAACUUUUCCGGCGAACUUUCCGGCGACUGUUUUUUUUUUCUACACCGCAAGGAGCGCCUGGAGGAGAUCUCCAAUUUGUCCCAAAGCACCGGAACCAGAAACCCAUCCACGCGCCACCCACGCGCGUUUUUCCGCCCGGCGACUGCAUCUCACGCGCCGGCGCGUGAGGGCGCGUGAGCCACUUUCCGACGACGCGCUUCCUCCUCCAGGCUCGCCUGACGCCGACCAGCCACCCUUCUUACCUGUUUGUGCAAUCCGAGCCCUGCACGUGCCUCUUUUGGGGUUCUUUUGCUUCCGCGGGCCCUCUGAUCAGAUUUUCCGGCGUCCUCCGGCUAUUUUUUCACAACUCCAGUCCCUGCACGUGCCUUGGGAAGUGUUCUUCUACCUUUCCGGUCCAUGACAAAAUACGGAAUGGCAUCAUCACAAGUAUCCAGCGUCACGUCACCAGAAUCAGGGGGCAGAUCUGAAAUUCCAAACCUUGGUGGCAAUGAUUCCUCUCCUAUUCUCAUCACAGGACACAAAUUAAAUGGCCAUAACUAUUUACAGUGGUCACAAUCUGUGUUGCUGUUCAUUUGCGGUAAAGGAAAGGAUGAGUACCUCACUGGAGAAGCAGUCAUGCCAGAAACUACAGAACCGGGUUUCAGGAAGUGGAAGAUUGAAAACAGCAUGAUCAUGUCAUGGCUUAUCAAUUCCAUGAACAAUGACAUAGGCGAAAAUUUCUUGCUGUUUGGGACUGCAAAGGACAUAUGGGAUGCAGCCAAAGAAACUUACUCAAGUUCUGAAAAUACUUCAGAACUGUUUCAGGUUGAAUCAACUCUACAUGACUUCCGCCAAGGAGAGCAGUCAGUUACUCAGUAUUACAACACACUCACAAGGUAUUGGCAGCAACUUGACUUAUUUGAGACUCACUCAUGGAAAUGUUCGGAUGAUGCAGCAACAUACAGGCAAAUUGUGGAACAAAAGAGACUGUUCAAGUUUUUCCUAGGACUAAACAGGGAAUUGGAUGAUGUUAGAGGCCGAACCAUGGGCAUUAAACCCCUGCCAAGUCUCAGGGAGGCUUUUUCAGAGGUUAGGCGUGAAGAAAGUAGAAAGAAAGUGAUGAUGGGAUCAAAAGAGCAACCUGCCCCGACAUUGGAUGCCUCUGCCCUUGCUGCUCGGUCAUUUAAUAGUAGUGGUGGAGAUCGUCAGAAACGGGAUAGGCCUUGGUGUGAUUAUUGUAAGAAACCAGGCCAUUAUAAGGAGACUUGCUGGAAGCUUCAUGGCAAACCGGCUGAUUGGAAACCAAAGCCACGGUUUGACAGAGAUGGCAGAGCACACGUGGCUGCCAACUCUGAGAGCACAUUUGUUCCCGAGCCGAGUCCAUUCAACAAAGAGCAGAUGGAGAUGCUACAGAAAUUAUUAAGCCAAGUUGGCAGUGGCAGUACUACCGGUGUAGCCUUCACUGCUAAUCGAGGAGGAAUGAGGCCGUGGAUAGUAGACACAGGUGCUUCUGAUCACAUGACAGGAGAUGCUGCCAUUCUUCAAAAUUACAAGCCAAGUAAUGGUCAUUCAUCCGUCCAUAUUGCUGAUGGUUCAAAGUAAAAAAUUGCCGGGACAGGUUCUAUAAAACUUACUAAAGACUUAUAUCUUGACUCUGUCCUCCAUGUUCCAAACUUGGAUUGUAAUCUUUUGUCCAUUAGCAAAUUGGCUCGUGAUCUCCAAUGUGUUACUAAAUUCUAUCCAAACUUGUGUGUUUUUCAGGACUUGAAAUCGGGGAAGAUGAUUGGCAGUGCUGAACUGUGUUCCGGGCUCUACCUCCUUUCAUGUGGCCAAUUCUCAAACCAAGUCUCUCAAGCAAGUUGCGUACAGUCUCAGAGUAUGUCAGAGUCUUUCAAUUCUGUGUCAAAUUCUAAGGUCAAUAAAGAUAGUGAGAUUAUAAUGUUACACUAUCGCCUUGGUCAUCCUAGCUUUGUUUACCUUGCAAAAUUGUUUCCCAAAUUAUUUAUCAAUAAAAAUCCAGCAUCUUAUCACUGUGAAAUUUGUCAGUUUGCAAAGCAUACUCGAACAGUAUAUCCUCAAAUCCCAUACAAACCUUCGACUGUUUUCUCUCUAGUACAUAGUGAUGUGUGGGGUCCCUCCCGGAUAAAAAAUAUUUCUGGCACUCGAUGGUUUGUGACAUUCGUUGAUGAUCAUACUCGGGUAACAUGGGUUUUCCUUAUGAAAGAAAAGUCAGAGGUCGGACACAUUUUUCAAACCUUCAAUCUUAUGGUUCAAAAUCAAUUCAAUUCCAAAAUACAAGUCCUCAAGUCAGAUAAUGCAAAGGAAUACUUUACUAGUAGUCUCAGUACUUAUCUUCAAAAUCAUGGCAUUAUCCACAUAAGUUUUUGCGUUGACACCCCACAACAAAAUGGGGUGGCUGAACGCAAGAAUAGACAUCUCUUGGAGGUUGCCCGGUGCCUUAUGUUUUCCUCUAAUGUUCCAAACUAUUUCUGGGGGGAAGCUAUUCUCACAGCUACCUAUUUGAUUAACCGUAUGCCAUCCAGAGUGCUUACCUUUCAAUCCCCACGUCAACUUUUCUUAAAACAGUUUCCUCACACCCAUGCCGCCUCUUCUGAUUUACCACUCAAAGUAUUUGGUUGCACGACAUUCGUUCAUGUGUAUCCUCAAAAUCGUAGCAAAUUUGCUCAUCGAGCAAAUAAGUGCAUUUUUCUAGGGUAUUCUCCAACCCAAAAAGGGUACAAAUGCUAUUCUCCAACCAACAAAAGAUUUUACACCACCAUGGACGUCUCUUUCUUUGAACAUGUCUUCUUCUAUCCCAAAUCUCAUGUUCAGGGGGAGAGCAUGAAUGAACAUCAAGUUUGGGAGUCUUUUCUUGAGGGUGUACCUUCUUUUCAUUCAGAGUCACCAAAUCCUUCCCAAUUCGUGCCCACUGAGUUGUCCACACCCAUGCCGCCAUCAGUUCAGCCAGCCCAGCACACAAAUGUUCCUUCUCCCGUGACCAUCCAGUCUCCCAUGCCUAUUCAACCUAUAGCCCCACAACUUGCUAAUGAGAACUUACAAGUUUACAUCAGGAGGAGGAAAAGACAGGAAUUAGAGCACGGAUCACAGUCAACAUGUGGCCAAUAUAUUGACUCCAAUUCAAGUCUUCCUGAAGAGAACAUAGGUGAGGAUAGGGCUGGAGAGGUGUUAAUUCCCAGCAUUGAUGAUUCUACUUUGCCAAUUGCAUUGAGGAAGGGUGUUAGGAGAUGUACAGAUCAUCCAAUUGGGAAUUAUGUUACGUAUGAAGGGUUAUCACCAUCUUACAGAGCAUUUGCCACUUCUCUUGAUGAUACUCAGGUUCCCAACACAAUACAAGAGGCAUUAAAAAUUUCAGAAUGGAAGAAGGCAGUACAAGAUGAGAUUGAUGCACUUGAGAAGAAUGGGACGUGGACUAUCACAGAUUUGCCGGUUGGGAAGAGGCCUGUGGGGUGCAAGUGGAUUUUCACCAUAAAAUACAAAGCAGAUGGAUCAGUCGAAAGAUUCAAGGCUCGUUUGGUAGCUAGAGGGUUUACACAAUCCUAUGGGAUAGACUAUCAGGAGACUUUUGCUCCUGUUGCAAAACUGAACACUAUCAGGAUCCUUCUCUCAUUGGCUGUCAAUCAAGAUUGGUGCUUGCAACAACUGGACAUAAAAAAUGCGUUUCUAAAUGGGGACCUAGAAGAGGAAGUCUACAUGGAAAUACCACCUGGUUUCGAAGAAAGUAUGGCAAAGAAUCAGGUUUGCAAACUCCAAAAAUCCUUGUACGGCCUUAAACAAUCUCCUCGAGCCUGGUUUGAUAGAUUCACAAAAGCAGUCCUGAAGUUGGGCUACAAACAAGGUCAGGCUGAUCAUACUCUAUUUGUCAAGAAGUGUCAUGCCGGGAAAUUGGCCAUAUUGAUAGUCUAUGUCGAUGAUAUUAUUCUAUCUGGGAAUGAUAUGGGGGAGUUACAGAAUUUGAAGAAGUAUUUGUCAGAAGAGUUUGAAGUUAAAGACCUUGGAAAUUUGAAAUAUUUCCUUGGUAUGGAAGUGGCGAGAUCAAGGAAGGGAAUCGUAGUCUCUCAAAGAAAAUACAUACUCGAUCUUCUUAAGGAGACCGGUAUGCUUGGAUGCAAACCAAUUGAUACUCCUAUGGAUAGUCAGAAGAAACUUGGUAUCGAGAAAGAAAGUACACCGGUAGACAGGGGGAGAUAUCAGCGGCUUGUCGGGCGCUUGAUUUAUCUCUCACACACUCGGCCAGAUAUUGGCUUUGCAGUGAGUGCUGUAAGUCAAUUCAUGCACAGCCCCACUGAGGAACACAUGGAAGCAGUCUACAGAAUUCUUAGAUAUUUAAAAAUGACACCAGGGAAAGGCCUAUUCUUCAGAAAGACAGAGAACCGUGACACUGAAGUAUACUCAGAUGCGGAUUGGGCAGGAAACAUCACUGACAGGCGGUCCACUUCCGGAUAUUGUUCUUUUGUCUGGGGAAAUCUUGUUACCUGGAGGAGUAAGAAGCAAUCAGUUGUAGCCAGAAGUAGUGCAGAAGCUGAGUACAGAGCUCUUGCACAGGGAAUCUGUGAAGGGAUUUGGAUAAAAAGGGUUCUUAGUGAACUGGGACAAACGAGUUCAUCUCCAAUUCUGAUGAUGUGUGAUAAUCAGGCAGCUAUAAGCAUAGCAAAGAACCCCGUGCAUCAUGACAGGACCAAGCAUGUUGAGAUUGACAGACACUUUAUCACAGAGAAGGUGACUAGUGAGACGGUCAAAUUGAACUAUGUUCCUACCAAGCACCAAACCGCAGACAUCCUCACCAAAGCUUUACCUAGGCCUAACUUCGAAGACUUAACUUGCAAGCUGGGAUUAUAUGAUAUAUAUUCUCCAGCUUGAGGGGGAGUGUUGAAAUAAUGCCAAAGUUAGGACUUUAAUUUAGGAAUAAAAAAGGAGAGAUCAUUUAGGAUAUUUCCUUAUGAUUUAGUUUCCUAAUUUUAGGAGAGAAUUAAGCUAGAUUGGUUUUUUCUUAUUCAGUCAUUUGUGUAUAUAUAUGUGUAUGGUGUGUACCGAUUAAUCAUCAAUAAAGGAGUUCAGAAAUUCUUCAUGAUAGGUAAAUAAGAGCUUGUAUUAGAAGGGCCCAAGAAACUAGGCAAAGAAGACAAAAAACUUUUCCCCUAACUAGACAUAUGGCCACUCUAUAAAAUCAAUCAUAGACAAAGUAUGAUCCUCCAUAAACACUCUAACCCAAUUUACAAACGUAUACAAAAAGAAAUGUUUUAAAGGUUGGUCGGACUGUUCGAUAUCAUUAAAUGCUCUUUCGUUUCUUUCCUUCCAUAAAGUCUACAUUAAGCAUAAAGGGGCAACCCUCCAAGACUUCUCCCUUCUCUUACCCACAAAGGCACCAUGCCAACCAAGCAAAUCCCUUUUAAUCGAAGAAUGCAAAACCCACUGCACACCAAAAAGGGAGAAAAUCAAACUCCAAAGCAUCGUAGCCUUUCUGCAAAACAAGAUUAAAUGGUCACUGGUUUCCUCUUUCUCUUUACACAAGCAUAUUCAAACUAAUAACUAAUAGUUAUUGGAUUUAAAGCUUGUUUGUUAACGUUCUUCAUGGUUGUGCUUCUAUUUUUAAUCAAUUCUCUUGGCCAUCACCGUUUCCCCCUUAUUAAGAUUGGGUAUUUAAGUUUCAACGAAACAGCCUACUAAAUCCUCAAGAUAGAUCCUAUUUAUAAGGCAUGGGAGUUUUGGUCAAUGUCUGCUUCCAAAAUUCUUAUCCAUAUUUCUAUGAAUUCUUAUGCCAGAAAGUCUACUUCUUGCAGAAUUUUGAUGAUGUCUUGGUUCCUCCUGAUCACAUCAGUAGGAGUUACAAUGAUACAUACUACAUUGACUCUCAAACUGUCUUGAGGUGCCACACUAGGGCUCAUCAAGCAGAGCUGUUGAGGAGGGGACACACUCAUUUCCUUGUGACUGGAGAUGUUUAUCAUAGAGAUUUCAUUGAUUCAACUCACUACCUGUUUUUCAUCAGGUUUCUUAUUUCUGAUUUUAUCAAUGAUUGUUUUCUAUUAACAAGUUUCUUAUGUUUUCUUCAGUUCAAUAAUUUUGCUUCCUGAUCAUGCAGAUGGAAGGUGUUCGUGUCUUCUUUCCAGGUGAUUGGGAGACAUCUGGAAUGGAUGGCACAUCUUAUGUGGUUGAGGAUUUAAAGAAAUGUCUUGACGGUUUGGCGCAGCACUUGUUUGGUAAACUUAGAUCAGGAGAUUGUCUUAAUCAGAUACAAACUUAAUACUAUCAGUUGAUGCUGCAGUGAGAAAUAUGGGUUAAGGAAUUAUUUACCAGGUCUCAUAAUUCAAAAUCUGGGAAAUACAUCAAGUAAAAGGGGAGGAAAAUAAUGAAAUAAUAAAAUAAUAAAUUUAAGUGGGGGAAAGCAAUUCAUGUUAUGCAAAAGCAGUACAGGUUGGUCAUUUAGAAGUCAAAUCAAGAUAGUCCAGAAUAAUAUAGGGAAUUAUUUGUGAUUCUCAAGGUACUUGUUAAGAAUCAUUGACAAAUUACCUAAAGAAACAUUUAAGAGUGCUAUUAUUCUUGAAAUUUCUGAAAUCUAUCAGAAAGGUAGUUUUCAUCUUGGGGUUUACCAUAUACUGUAUAGAAUCUGCGUGGGCUAAAUCUGUUGAAAUUUGCAGGUAAUGUAGAAAUGCACUGGAUUGAUACAUAUUUCCCUUUCACCAACCCAUCAUUUGAACUUGAGAUAUAUUGUCAGGUAUGCUUUUGAUCUAGGUGGUGGUUACAUUUUAGCACUAUAUACUUUGAAUUUCUUUAAAACUUUGUUUUUGAACUAAUUUUCACAGAAACAGGCUCCAUUUCAUUUUUCUGUUUUCACCUUUUGCAAGAAAGGGUAAAAAUCAUUUCAAAAAUGUGAACUUCAGUUUAUUCCAUUGCUGGCAUGUGUGGCUUUCAUCUGUUAUUGAAGACACUAAGAUUCAUAGACUGAUAAUAUUCCAAUGCUUAUAAUAACAGUAAUGUUGGUGAUAAAAUAAUAUAAAAGUAGAAACAAAAUUAGUUGUCUCCCUUUUUUUUCGUUUAGUUUCUUUGUUCUUCUUACCCCUCUGAUGUGGGGAGGGGGUGUGGGGCUCUUUGUUGUCGCCAAAUGUGAAAAAGAAGAGGCAUUAUGUCCUUUUAUUUUGGAUUUACAGGACCUAUUAUGAAGGCAUUUAUGACUUCAAGACUUUUUUGUAUUUUAUUUUAUGGAAGCAUUUUUUUAGCGUCACUAGUGAAGGAGAAAUUCAUAAACAUAUAUACACACAUGCUAGUGGGCAUACACAAACACUGAUGUUCCACACAGUAAUUAAAAAAUUCUUGCUUUGAGGAGUAUCUUUUUCCUGAACUCAUGUCCAUGUCAAAUGGCAACAUGCCAAUGACUAUUUGCCAGCAGAUGGAAUGCUGGCAACACUUUUAUGGAUUGAAUGUUUUCCUUUCCCCUUUCUUUGUAGUGAAUGAUGUGUACUCUUUAGUUGCUCUUACAUAUUUGAUGCAUUGUGCUUCAUGCCCUAAUUGAUGCAGAACAGAAAAGUACCAGAAAAAAUGAUGGGAGUCUAGGAAUUACUUCCAAAAACCUUAGGCUUCGCAUAUAGGUUUAGUUUGCAUCACACAAAAAAGAAACAUUGCAAGCUGGAAGGUUUUGUGUUUUCAUUCAUUGAUCCUUUUAGAAGAUAGAGUGAUCAGCUUUGUAAACUACAACCCUAAGACCCCUAAUACUCUUUGGAACCAAUCACAGUAAUAAUAAAGCUGAGAAAUCAGAAACUUGAACUGAUAAAUAAAAAUUAAAAGGCACUUGCAAAUAUAAAGCAUUAAUGACUUUGGAAAUAAGAACACUCCAAUACCCCCCAUGCCCUUCGGAAAACUCAACCUUGACAAGUUAAAGUCAUGAAAUUUCUCAUAACGAUCACAAUUCAACUGCUGAAAUUCAUUGCUUGUGAUCCACAUACAAUCUCAAAGUGGCCUUUCUCUCCAUUCCACAAGAUGCUUUUGAUAACCUCCUCUUCUGGUUGAAACAAUUUAGUGACCAACAACUUUUCAAUCUUCUCUUUCAAUCAAGGGGCUGGUAGAAGAUGACCAUUUGGACCAUUAAUUGAUGUAGCAGCUUUAGGAUUAGGAAAAAGGGUGUGGUCUUCAAUAUUAGAGAUCUUAUUAAUGCCCAUAUUUUCUGGCAAGUCAAGUACAUAAGCGUUGGGACUUGUUUUCCUGAGAAUUUUAUAGGGACCAACAUUCUUUGAGUGGAGUUCUUAUAGGCACCUCUAGGAUAUUGUUCAGGCCUUAUUCACACAAUAACCAUAUCACCUUCAAUAAGUUCAGCAAAUUUUCUUUUCACAUCAUCGUAUGACUUAUUUAUUUAUUUGAUAGGCAAGCGGGAAAAACAUGUAAUCAUAUGACUUAUAAUUUCAUUGAUGAAAACAAGUUUCAUUGAACAUGAUAAUGUAUGCCAUCUAUAUGCUCACUAAAAGCAUCAGAUUCAAUGCUAGGUCAUGCAUCCAUUGGUAAAGGAACCAAAUCCAUAGGCUUUCUAGGAAGUGAUUCAGUCACAAUCUCAAAUGGACUGUGACCAAUAGACCUGUUCAGGGAGCUAUUAUUUGCAAAUUCGGCCAUUGAUCUGAUCUCCAGCUAGGCAGUGAAGUAAAUGAUCCAAGCUUCAAUUAACGACUUCUAUUUAGCCAUCUGUUUGAGGGUGAAAAGCAAAAGAAAACUUUAGUUUGGCAUUCAGUAUUUUCCAUAAAGUUCACCAGAAGAAACUCAUGGACCUACCAUCCAGUUUAGGAAAAUCAUGAAGGCGAACAAUUUCCUUGAAGAAGAGGUUUUUUUUUUUUUUUGAUAGGUAUUCCUUGAAGAAGAGUUUAACAAUUAGGCAACAUCUUUAGUCCUUAAGCAUGGGAUAAAUUGUACCAUCUUGGAGUAAUGAUUUACCACUACACGUAUGCAAUCAUGUCUCUGACAGUUUUCGGCAAACCAGGGACAAAAUCCAUGCAUAGGUCUAGCCAUGGCUCAUGUGGCACAGAAGUGGCAUGUAUGGAUCUGUAUUCUUCCUUUUCCUCUUUGAUAAUUUGCAGGUUCGAUGUCUGGAGACAUUCUUAGCCACAUCUUUUUCAGACUUGGUCAAUAAAAAUGAUUUUCCACCAUUGUAAUGGUUUUAUCUCUUCCAAAAUGACCAGUUGUUUCUCCAGCAUGAAGUUCCAAUAUUACUUGCUCAUGAAAUGAUGUUUUGGGUAAGCAAAGCCGAGUCCCUUUGAAGCAAUAUCAAUCAUGUAAAAAAUCACCAUAUUCUCCCGAAUUUCUAGGCACUAAAGCAACACAUAUAGUGCUAAAAUCUUUGCAAGAAGGAUAAGGGCUCUUAAACGAGUCAAAUCCAACAACUUGUACAGCAAUAGAAGAAAGAGUGUAUGCCAAUUUGCUAAGAGCCACUGCAAAGAAUUCUUUGUCAUAGAUACAAUAUUUCUGCUUUGCUUCAUUAAGAUUUUUGCUGAGAAAUGCAGUAGGGACACCUCUAACUCUUAUAUUUGAUGCAUUGCAUGCCGCUUCUAACACCUCCCGGAAAAUUGGAAGCUGCAAAACCAGUGCUUCAAUUAACGUUUUUGCCUUGGUCCAAUUCAACUGAUUUUUCUUCAUAGAAUAAGUUAUAGGGGCUGUAACAUUGCUGAAACUUAUGAUGAAAUGUCCAUGGAACAUUUCUAGCCCAUAGUAACUUUGUACUUAUUGUGAUGUGUUGGGAAUUAGGAUGGCUUUUACUUCAUUCAUACUUCCAAUCCUUUUGCCAAAACAAGAAGCCUAAGAAUACUACUGCUGAGAUCAUGAAAGAGCAUUUCUUCAAAUUUAUGUAGAGCUUUUCUUGGGGAACAACUGUCAUAACUUGCGAUAGAUGAGAGAUGUGAUCUCCUUUGGUCUUGCUGUAAUUAAGAUGUCAUCAAAGUAAACAACCAGGAACUUUUCAAUAAAUGGCUGAAGUACUUGAUUUAUGAAGCACAUGAAUGUGCUAGGGGCAUUUGAAAGGCCAAAAGGCAUGACUAGCCACUCAUAGAGGCCAUCUUUUGUUUUAAAGUCCGUCUUCCAUUCCUUUUCCAGUGUGCUGCUUAUUUGAUGAUAUCCACUCUUUAAAUCCAUCUUUGAAAAUAUGCAAGAGCCAGCCAUCAUGUCAUAUCUAACAUGUGAUUGAAUCAAGGGAUAGGAAACUGAUACUUGAUGGCUAUCUUGUUAGUAGUGUGACUGCCAACUACUAUCUUUUUUUGGUGUUAGCAAGGCAGGGACAGCACGAGGGCUUAAACUUUCAUGAAUAGUUCCCUUGGGCAGCAGCUACUCCAAUUGUCCUUUUAGUGCUUCAUGCUCACUUGGAUUCAUAUGAUAGGCUGGAAGAUUAGGCAGUUGAGGCCUUGCCAUAAAAUCUAUAAGCAUGCUGGAUGUUGCACAGAGAGGAAAGUUUUUGAGCAACAUCUAUGGUAGGUCUUUUCGAGCAACAUCUAUAGUCAUCAGGAUCAUAGGCUCUAUAAUCAAAUGAAUUUCGGUUUCUUCAUCUUUUUGUUGUUCUUGUUGUUCUUGUUGUUCUUCAUGCUCCAUUCCGAUGUACAAAUUGUUCUUUGGACAAUUUAGGUUAUUUGGCCGGGUUGUUGACACUUAAAACACCUAUUAACCUUACCCUUAGGGUUAGCGGCAUUAGAAGAAUACAACUUAGACCCUGUAGGUUGGACAAAUGGCUCGGAUUGGCCUAUUCUUGCACUGCAACCUACAUCAGUGAACCUCCUCUGCACUGGUUCUAUGGAUGAAACUCACAUCCCAGGUACGCCUCCAUAUCUAAUGCAAAUUGAAAAGCUUUUUCUAGGCUGUAUAAUGGAUGAUGCAUCAACUCUCUUCUCAUUUUAGGUCUCGAUCCAGCUUUGAAUCAUGCAAGAGUUUGCCCUUGGGUCUUCUACUAUUUGACUCCAAGUCUUUAGCUCAUGUAAUCUUUGCAUGUACUUUGGUCUCUGCAACAGACAUGUUGUUUUGAUUCAUAGUAAUGAGGUGAUUACAUAACUUAUUACAAUAAUUGGUCCUGCAUAUAUUUUUCACAUAGCUUAUCCUUCAUCUCCUGCCAUGUGCUGACAGGUGGUAGCCUCAUCUUCCCAUCUUCCUAGUAUCUCUUUCAACAUCUAUCCACUAAUCUUUUGCUAGGCCUACUAGUUUCAUUUUAGUAAACCACCCUCUCUGUUCAUCAUUCAUACAUACCAAUCAAAACAGUCCUCAAUUGUAGCUAGCCAAUCAACAAAUUGAGUAGCAUCGCCCUUCCUUCAAGUUAGGAACUUCUCCUUUUACUUUCCUUGUGAUAUCUUCAGCAGUUUCACAAGGUUUACACCUUGUUUCAGGUAGUCCUCUAGCCCAUUCAGAUAUAGGAUAUUGUGGUGCAUGUCCGAUGUUCCUCCAAGUUUUUGUUGUUAUUAAUUUGAGAUAAUUCUCCUUGCACAACACGUGCUAAAUCAUUAGUGGGCUGAGAUAUUUGUGUCUCAAUGUUGCUUAGUUGAAUAUGCAGGCUAUCAAGCUGUUCCAUCACCAAAAUAGUAUCUCAUCAUGUUGAUUAUUAGAUAAAUCUAUUUUGAAACUCCUCCUAGGUCUUGUAAUCAUGAUCUCAGCUUGCUCUGAUGCCAAAAUUGAUGCCAAACAGAAAGGUAAUAGAAAACAUGUUGGGACUCUAGGAAUCACUUCCAAAUCUUAGGCUUCACACUUAAGUUCAGUUUGCAUCACACAAACAAGUUGAACUGUCACAGUACGAUUGGUUCAUAAUAAGGUGUCAUCUGAUUGGUUCUCGUGGAGGCAACCUGUGAUUGUUCAAACUGGAGGCUGCACCUGAUUGAUUACAUUGAAAGUUGGAAGGUUUUGUAUGAGAUAAAUGAACCAACUUUAUCCACUAUAACUCUAGACCUUAGACUCUUUUGGAGCUAAUGGCAAUACUAAUGAAGUUGGAAAAUCAACAAUGUGAACUGAUAAAAAAAAUUGAAAGACUCUUGAAAAUGUAAAGCAUUAAUGAUUUUGGAAAUAAGAACACUUGUGAUCCUUUGACUAGACUCAUAAACAAAACUUAGACUGAAAUCCACAUUGAAGUAUAUAAAAUCCCAACUGGGCCUAUUAUCAUCCUAAGUAUACCAAAUCAUAAUUUGGGCCUUAAGAGUCCAAUCUCUAUGCAUUUGUUAACCUUUCACAGGUGAUUGCCACUUGUCUUCAUCGCUAACAAACACGAUUAUAGCAUCAGAGAAGAGCCAUGUCCCCAAAUCUGGCAGUAAAAGUUCUUUUUACAAGCUAACCUCAGGGAUCCAAUUACUACAUUAUUGUGUUAACCAUGAGCAUUGGUGCUCCUGUUCUGCUUGCAUGGUUACACUGAACCUGCUAUCCAAAUGUGUUGGUUGACCGAAUGAGAAACUCUAGGAAAAUGAAUGAAUUCAUAGUGACAUAGCAACAUUGAAUGCAACUUGUGUGUUUGUGUGAACAGGAUUGGGCGAGUUAAAGAGAGUUUUUAGAAGGGAUAAUACCUUUUUAAUUGGUCUUAGUGUUCAGUAUGCAGCUGGUUCAGUGAUCAGGAGGCCAGUUUAUAAUACAAUUUUCUUGAGAUUUUUAUUGAAGUGAUCCCUUGAAAAGUCAGGCUACUUUUCCAAGAAGUAAAUAUUUUAUCUUGUAGGUUGUAAAAGAUGCAUUCUCAGAAUAGGUGCCUUGAUUAUGUUUCUUCAGCAGAAGAACCUACAAUUAGGAUCCUGUGUAUAUCCUUUCUUGGAAUUUUCAUAAAUUUACCAGUAUUAACUUCCUAUUUUAGGACUAACUGUUCAGAAAAUCUAUGGAAAAGACUAAAGAGUAAGUACUAAGUAGAACCUCCAAGGGCUGCUAAAAAGCACUUCCCAGGGCCAUGAGCCAAAACUGGGCCAUUUGGAAAGGGGUUGUAACAAGUCACUUGACUAGGGGUUGUUAGAGGCCAUCAUUAGCCAAGAUUGGUUUUAGAUUCAACUUUAGGAAUUUAUUUAUUUUUCCUGAUUUCUCUUUUAUUUUUAGUUACAUAAUCAUAUUUGACUCUUGCUUUCCACUCUAAAUUCACAAUAUGUGAACCUUAUGAUAGAAAUUUUUAACUUCAGAACAUGAGUUGGGAUGUAUCAGAGAAGAAAGUUUCAAAUCCCUGGACUAGCAUUUCUGUAAUGCCUCAAUGAAAUUUUAUUGUAUGAUUAUCUACUUGAAGUAGCAAACCAUUAUCCUUUUAUUGCCAUUGAAUUGUGAAACCAUUAUGCCAUUACAUUGACAUCUCCAAAUGAAUUAUUUUAAUUUGAAUAGUUUUGCAUUAACUUAUUAUUUGACAAUCAUUGCCUAUAGUUUUUUGGCAGAACACUAUGAUCUCACUAAGCAACAUCCAUUGAUAAUUUAUCAGGAGAAAUGGUUAGAAGUUUUAGGUUGUGGGGUGACAGAGCAAGAAAUAUUACAGAAAAGUGGUAAAACAGGUAAUGUUGCUUGGGCUUUUGGGCUUGGAUUGGAACGGCUAGCAAUGGUUCUGUUUGGGAUACCUGAUAUUCGGCUUUUCUGGUCAACUGAUGAGCGGUUGACCUCUCAAGUAAUUCCCCAAUUCAGUAAAUGAUACUGUAUUUUAUUUUAUUCUCCUUUUCUGUCUUUGUGGUUAAGUAAUCAUUACCAAAAUUGAUAUCCUUAGGAAAAUAAAGCAUGCUGAAAAUUGACCUUGUUGACAUUCUUAAUGUCUGAUUUAGGUUCCCUGAAUGUUUAAUUUAAAUGCUUUGUAUGCAGUUCUCAAAGGACCAGCUUGGGGUCAAGUUCAAGCCAUUUUCAAAGGUAUUGCUUAUAUUUUUCUCAGUUUGAUAAUAGUAGUAUCUUCUUCUGAUGUUGUGUUAAUUGAAACUGUUGCAUAAUUUUCAUGCAAAAGGAUCCAAGACAUUUUGGGGGCCGGCAUUUCUAAGUAUAACCAGAAAAAGUCCUUUAUGCAAAUAUGUCUUUUACAUUCUGAAAUCGAAAAAAUUAAUUACACACAACAUAAUAACUAAAUAUUUAUACCUGUUAGAGCCCCUUGUAACCUUCUCUAUUGGCUGCUAGAAACUGACUAUUGUCUUUUUGCAGUAUCCUCCUUGUUACAAGGGCAUGAGUUUUUGGAUUAAUGAGUCGUUCACAGAAAACAAUUUAUGUGAGGUUGUAAGAGGAGUUGCUGGAGAUUUUGUCCAGGAGGUAUGCCUUUUUAUGUUUCUUCUUGUAAAUUGUUCAUUAGCUAUAGAUCUCUUCAUGGUUCACUUGGUAGAAUUUUCCUAACCAUUUGUAUAGUUACACUGAAAGCACCGAACCAAUUUGUGUUUUAAUUAGGGGUGUGCAGGGUUUGGUUUGUUUAGUUUCGAACUUUAAAAUAAAACCAAACCAGUCUAAUUGGUUUUAUGUAUUAGGAACCCAAGCUGGCCUAAUCGGUUUUAUGUAUUAGGAACCAGACUAAUUGAACUGAAAGAGGGAACUGAUCGGUUCAGUUCAGUUUAAUAGCAAUAAUUGAUAUAAGUUAAUUUACUAUAUUUCGGUCAAGAAAUAAAAUAAUUUUUUUUUUUUUAAUCAAUUUGGGUCGAAACCAAAAAGCUCAUAAUAGGACAUUGUUGGUCAAAAAGCUUAUAAUAGUUUAUUACAACAAGUUGCUUUAGAGUUUGCUCAAAUUACAUCAUUGUAACUCAUUUCAAAUCAUAUUAUUGUAACACAGCCGCAUGAAUAACUGUUGUUAUAGUCUAUGCUUAUCAUACUAAGUUUGGUUUGGGAUUCUAUCGAGUGUGAAAGAAGUGCACCAAAUUAAUAAGGUAACCAAUGGUUAUUGUAUAUUAUAGGUGUAUGUAUAUAACUUUUGAUUUGGUUUGGUUUAUUAUUUGUUUUCUAAAUGGCAUAGUUCAGUUUUUUUUAGAAAACCAAAAUUGUUGAAAAAUCUUUAAAAAUUGAUUGGUUCAGGCCAGUGUGGCUCAGUUCUAUCAUUUUUGUCCAUUUAAUCGGUUUUUAACACACCCCUAGUUUUAUUUCACUUUUCAGUUCUUGGACUUUCCAUGAAAAUAAUAUUGUUGUCAUGAAGCUACUGAGGCAGUUAUGGACCAAUUCCAUCCUCUGAAUUUGCUCAUAAAAGAGAUCCUCUCUCUUCUCUUCUUUUCUAUCUACCAUCAGUUGCAAUAAUAGAUCCAGUUUGCACAAAGCCAAGCUUAGAAAAUCUGGUCAUUGACAACCUGAAUAGUCUCUGGGAGCAUCCAGUAUCUUUUCUCCUUUGUGAGGGUGGAUAACUGGUCUGGGUCCCCUGCAUCAUUUUUCAUAGGUUGCAGAGCUGCUGUGUCCGUAUAGGAAAUAACAUGUUCUUCCUUCAUAGCUUUAAGUGCCAUCAGGAAUUGGAUAUGCUAAUAUGAGUGGGAGGACUCCAGAUGGUGGACUUACGAAGACCUCCACUCUGAUUCAUUGAUGCCAAACAUAUAAUUGUGAUAAAGAGAGGCUUCGGAAGUUGAUAUUCUUUUAAAGUGUUUCCAAUAUUGAAGGUUUAUAAAGAGGUUCAAAUUGAGAAAUUACUAUUCUCUAAAUAAUAGGAUCGUAGUCGGUUUUUCGUUCAAAAUUUGUCCUAUAUUCCAAGAUGAUUGUUGACAAUCUGAUCUAUAGUUAAACAGUGGCCAUAAUAAGUCCCUAUUUUCCUAGUGCCUGAAAGUGAAGCUCCAUUCUGAAGUUUUCUAAACUAUAAGAUACAUUUUUGACUUCCAGGUGCAAUUGAUCGACAAUUUCACCAACAACAAAGGAAUGACCAGUCAAUGUUAUCGGAUAGCAUACCGGUCCAUGGAGCGUUCACUUACAGAUGAGGAGAUAAAUGAGUUGCAGGUAUUUCAUGUUUAGGGGAUUUUGUACAAGUGAUUAAUAUUUCGUCUUGAUUACAGGUAAUGACUAAUAACCUGGAAUUUGGCUAUGAUUCUGGGGUGCAGUGGAAUGUUAGGGAGCAAGUGCACAGCAAGUUGAAGGUUGUUCUUAGAUGAGAUUUCUGAUGCUGGGAACCUAAUUUUUCUAUCUCACUCUGAUAAGUCUCCUUGUGAACAUUUUCUAUUAUUAUUCUUUUUGUUCCUACCUUUUACAUUUUGAACUAGGUACAGUUGGGAAAUUAGGCAUUCAAAACCAGCUUUAAUGGGAGAAACACUUUAGGAAAAUAAGGAAAAUGUACUAGAAAGAAUAAUGCAUACGUUGAUCAAUGUGAAAUUUAUUUUUGUAUACAAUGUUUCUCUAAUAAUUUUAACAAUGCCUGACCUUAAAUAUAGUAAUUAAUUGCUCUUUUGCAGUUGUAUUCCCUUUUAUUUUAAUUUUUAAAUUUUUUUUUUUUUUUUAAGAACAUCACAAACAACUAUUUUAUUAUAUUAAAAUAGUAGGUACAAAGCAAGAUGAGAAAUCUUCCCAAUUAGUAUAAAACACCCUUAUGCAAUAUUUAUGAAAAUAGGUGUAUAGUGUCCAAAAAGAUCAAUUUAUCUUAUAGGCCAAACUGGUUUGGACAAUGCUCACUAUAGAUCCAUAAGGUAAAAAAAUCUCUUAUAGAAGAAACCGAAUGUCUUCCUCCAUGCUUUGCUAACACUCCCAGCACAAUUGCUUUAGCAAUGAACAGCAAUGAACCUAAUAAAAUGGCCAUAUCAUUUCUGAUCUAAUAUCAAUGAUUUGAAGUUAUGACCCCUCAAACUUCUAGGGUUCUCUUUUUUUUUUCCUUGGUCAUCCGUGAUAUUAGAAUGGUAGAAGCUACUUCUAAUAGGAGAUUGGAGAGGCCUAAAGCUUUUGCUUGCAAUAAACUCUCUAGAAAGGUUAGGAUCUUUGCCUCAAUGGCUAAACUCUGACUUGCAUAUAUAGAGAAUUCUCUUAUUAUUAUACCAAAGUGGUCAUUGAGUAACUCUCUAAUCCCCAACUCCCCUAGUUACCCAAAGAACCCCAUUAACAAUUAGCAUAUAACUUAUGCAGCACAUGCUACACUGAUGGAGCCUUUAGGAACUAUUUUCAUGUUUGUUAGGCUAAUUCAUCCUCAAUAUUAUGUCAAUGCCAACUUUUAGCUUGAGUUUGAAUUGCCUAUAUUAUGGAAAGAAAAUAAGAUAGGAAGAAACAUGAAAUUCUCUUGUUUGAUUUACUAUAAAAAAAUAUGAAGAAAAAUAAAAUAUAGUAGAAAUGACUUAAAACCGUUAUACGUUCAAAUUCUUUAGUUUUUCUAUGAUAGAAAAAUAAAUUUGAAGAAGCAAGUAACUUUAGUUCAAAUUCAUUUUAUUGGGUAAUCAUUGUUUUUAUUACCCAUCUCAAGUUGUUAAGUCUUUCAAGCCUUAAAACUGAUUAGAGGUGAUUGUGAUAUCCUACAUGGGAUAGGGAAAAAAGUUUAUGACAUUAUACAUGUAUACAUUUCUUUUAAUAAUAUAGACACAUUUAAAGUCACGAGGGAUCAAAAUGAACGAUAUCAAUAUAAAAUGAGAACAAUCUAUUACAAUUAUACUUGCAAUAACCUUAAAAAAUUUGGAUACAUAAAACUACAAUCAUGUUUUUGUUGGGAAAAACGGUGUAGUAAAUACUUUUUUGUUGUUAUAUUAUAAAAACCAUAAAUUUCUAAAUUUCCGUUUCCUUUUCAAUUCUUUAUAUGUUUAAAAUUUUCAUCCAAACCAAGAUCCAAGAAAAACUUAAAACAAAGAAAAAAUGAAAAAUUAAUUUAACAUGUAUAAUUUUUUAAUAAGAAUUUAUAAUUCAUAAUUCAAACGAUAUUGUGAAUUGUAGACACUGGAUUAUACUUAGAGAAUCAUUCAAAGAAUGACGGUCAUGUGAAUGACAUAGGAUACCCAUUGCGUGCAUGUGACAUCUACUUCAUUUAGAGUCAGUUUGACAAUUAUUCUAAAAAACGUUUUUAGUGUAAAACAUGUUUUUGAAAAAAAAAAUUAGAUGCUUGACAAAAUUUAUGAAACACUUUUAAGAAUCUAAAAAAUCACGUAUAGUGUUUUAUGAAGAAAAACUUAAUAAAAAGUGAUUAUCCUCAAAAUACUUUCAAAGAAUACUUUCAUUAAAAAUACUUUAAAUAAAAACACUACAAAACAUACCUUUGAUUCAUUAUAAAGUAAUUUUCAUAUUUUAUAUAAUUAGACCCAUGCGAUUUGUCCACUAUUCAUGAUGAAUUUCCCUAUUUUAUAUAAGAACCCAUGAGAUUUGUCCACUGUUCUCUUUUCCAACUCUUCCAACUUCUUAUCUAAUAUUUAAAAUUGAUAAAUAUGAAUCCCUUUACCCUAGAGAAUAGUUCUAAGUGAACAGCUUAGCUUAUUUCAGUUUUCAUCUAAAGCAUAAUAGGUAUUCAUUUUACAUUCUAAUUCAUCUCCAUUCUCAUCCUAUUCUUCUUAGUCGGACAUGCCAAACACAUCCUUAAGCCAAGGAUGAACUUAUCGGUUAUGACUAAUAUAUCGAUAAUUUAAUUUUAUGGAUGUAUUGAGAUACAUGGAGAAAUAUCGGUGGAUAUUUUGAUAUAAAAUAUAAGUAAGAUAAAUAGAUUAAAAUUCAUGAAAAUGUUAAAAGAAACUUUAAAAAUGAUAUAAUAAAUAACAAUAAAGAUUUUAAAGUUGGUAUACUAACGAAAAUGAUAUAUGUAUGAUAUAGUUUAUCAAAUUUGAUAAUAAUAUAUGUGUGUUAAUAAAAAAUUAUUAUUUUGAUAUGUCAAAUAUUAUUCGAGAAUAAUGUUGCAACUUUUGUUUAUAAUACAAGUAAUUUUAAAAUAUAAUUAAUAUUAAAAUUGUGAUCUAUUUAAUUCAAUUAUAUAUAUAUAUAUAAAAUUUCUUUAACAUUUAGUAAAUAUAUUAAUGAUAUAAAAAAAGCUCUGUGAAGAAAAUUGUCAUCAUAAUUUUUAUGCCUUUUGUAUUCAAUUAAAUGAAAACUUUCAUUUAAUUAUCAAAUGAUUAUAAUUAAUUAAUUUAUUAAAAUAUUCUUAUAAUAUUUAUUUUUAUAAUGGCUUUUAAUAUAUAUAUAUAUAUAAUUGGUCGUCUUUUGUCUAGAAUUCGAAUUUACCGUGUUGACCAUGUUUGAUCAAGAAUAUUACUCGAGUUUUGACCACAUUUGAUGAUUGAGAAUGUCAUCGAUGUUUCGUGAUUUUUUAAUCCUUACCUAAAACAUGACAUUUUAUUUCGUUUUUAUUCUCAUCCUAUUCUAAUUUCUAAUCUGACAUACCAAACACAUCUUACGGUCUUCAAAGGUUUUGUCCAAGGUCUAACUCCCAAAGAAUUGGUGUGGUGAUCAUUAUUUUUGUUAGCCAUCAAAAGUCGUUGGAUCUUUCAAGUCCAAGGGAAAAAAAAAUUAAGCAUUUUUUAAAUAAACAUACCAAUUUAAACAUUUUUUUAAUAUAUAUAUUUUGGUAGCUUUCGUAUCAUGAUGUUGACAUCGUUUAAAAUUGGGAAACUUGUGUUUUGGUCCUCUGAUAUAAAAAAUAUAUGCUUUUGGAAACUAAAAUAUAUGAAAUAUGAAAUCCAACUAUUAAUGGGAAAAAUGAUAUCGGAAACGUGCACUAUGUCCUGUUUACUUUUCCUCUUCCCAUAUUGCCCCUAAAUUUCCCCAUGUCAUUAGCAAGUCCUCUCCAUGUUAGCAGAAUAAUCUGAAACUUGAACUAAUUCUCAAAGUUGGAACAUAAAAAAACCCAACCCUAGAACCAAAAGUAUGGAAACUCGUCUACGUUACUGAACAAGGAAGUGUCAAAAUGUGCCUUUUAUUGUGCCUUUGCCUGAGACGACUUAGUAGGCGCUUGCCUUAUGCCCUAAAAAUGAAUAGAAAAGAAUUAAUGGCUUGGAUUGUGUACCAACAACCAAUCUCCAUAAAAGUCAUUUGCCUUGAGUUGGUAAGGGAACUUGCUGCAAUUCAAUCUAGGGUUAUCAUAGAUCAUCUAUUUUAGCUCUCAAUGUUGUUUCAGGUAACAUAUUUGAAUGAUAUUUUAUGAAUUUCAUUUAAUACAAUAUGUGUUCUAAAUGAUGCUUCUUUUUUUAUAAUUAGAGUUAAUCUCUAUUUACUUUUCUUAGAUUUUACCAACUGUAGUUAGAAUUCCUCCAGUUCAUCUUUUAAAGAAAAAACAACAUUCGGUUGAUUAUGGGUGUUGCAAUUUCUAUUGGAUGUGUGAGCAUCAUACUAAUAUGUGAAGUUUUUUACAUAAAAAGGAAAUCUUUAGAUGUUAAUGAGGAUGAAGGCACUUCUUUUGCUCAAUAUUACUAAAUUUAAGCUUCAGAUGUCAAUGAGAAUGUCAAUGGGCUUUUUUCUACAGAUGUCAUGGUAGCAUCUUUAGUUAGUAUUAUUUGCUGCCCAAUUAUAGAAGACCCAAGAAGCUGGAUGGGCUUGAGAUGCAUGGAGUGGUAGUUGAGUGAUUUAUCUUAAUGUUCUUGAUUCAACUUUUUGCCUGUAAUAUAGCAAUGACAUUUCCCUAAGAAUAAAGUCAUCUCCAAAGAAUCUUUGCACAAAUACACAAUGAUCAUAAGUUGUCUUGUUGUAUCCUUGCUUCUCCAUAAUUGACUCAAACUUCUUGUAUCAUUGCCUAGGUGCCUGUUUCAUGCCAUAAAGACUUUUCUUCAAUCUAUAAAAAUAAUCUUCUUGUCCUUUUACUUUGAAUCCCUUUGAAGGCUCCAUGUAUAUCUCUUUCUCCAAGUCACCAUGGAGGAAAGCAAUUUUCAUAUCCAUUUGUUUAAUCUCUAAGUCAAGACUAGCUGCAAGACCAAACACUACACAAAUGGAUGACAUUUUCACAAUUGGAACAAAGAUUUCUUCAAAGUCAAUGCCUUUCUUCUAGCUAAAUCCCUUGACAACUAGUCUAGCCUUGUAUCUUGGGUAUGAAGUGUGUUCUUCUUGCUUCACCCUGUACACCCAUUUGUUUUCCAAGGCUCAUUUUUCCUUUGUGCAGCUUCAUUAACUCAAAAGUGUGAUUAGCAUGCAAGGACUUCAUCUCAUCUUGUAUAGCCUCAAUCCACUCUCUCUUCUACUUACUCUCUAUAGUUUCUUCAAAGCUCUUAGGUUCUUCCCCAUCAAUGAAUAUGACAUACUCUUUUAGGGAGCAUCUUGUGGAAGACUGACGAUUCCUGGUAGACCGUCUAGAUGAGACUAUAGGAGUAGCUUGUGGUACUUGUGGCUAGUCAAUAACUUCAGAAUUUAUAACCUCUAUAGGUUCUAAAUCAUCACUUGCACCAUGUGGUCAUUUUGUGUCUCAACAUCAAGUUGAUUUGCCAUUGGUGUUAAAGAAAUUAUUUCCAAGUCAAUCAACUUGUCACUACUAUCAAAUUUUGCUUUCUCCACUUCAUCAAGGUCUAUUAUUGUCUAGUCUUCCAUAAAUACAAUGUCUCGACUUCUAAUCAACUUAUUCUCAACUGGAUUAUACAAUCUGAACCCAAAUUCAUUUUGGCCAUAACCCACAAAUACACACUAGCGUGUCUUCACAUCAAGCUUGGACCUUUCAUCUUUAGGAAUGUGCAUAAAGGCCUUACAUCCAAAGACUUGCAAAUGAUCAUAGGAAACAUCUUUGCCUAUCCAAACUCUAUCUAGCACAUCAAACAACAAAAGAAUAGAAGGUGAGAAAUUCAACACAUGAACCACUAUAUUUAAAGCCUCACCCUAGAAAGAUUUAGGCAACCUUGCUUGUGAAAGCAAACAUAUCACUCUCUCAACCAAUGUUCUAUACAUCCUUUUAGCCAAACCAUUCAAUUGCGGUAUCUGUUAGCCUAAGGGCUCCUAAUCGGGUUUUGAUGAUAACAAACCAUGGUUAAGUGACUAAUUGGUUUAAUGAUUAAGAAUCUUAGGCAUAAACUCGAAAAUUCAUCAAAUGACCAAAUGGAUACAAGAUCGAGACGCUUGGAAGACUUGUGAUCAUAGGAAACAAAUGUAAGAUGAAUGCAUGAGUGCACUUAGGAUUUUCACACGUUUCAUGCAACUUAGAAAACUCGGUUUAUUCUUUAAAACUUUGAUUUCAUUAAAACCCGAGUUUUUAACUAAUGUACCUUAGGCAAAAUGUUUUAUAAUUGGUUUAAUAAUUCACCUAUUGACCUUGCCUAAGUGUUAGAAAAGAAAGAAAAUAAAAAAAAUAGGUUUUCGAGGCCAAAAAGGCUCAACUGGUCGAGGCUAUGGCCAAUCGGCUCAACCGGUUAAGGAACCGCUCGACUGGUUGUGCUCGUCCGGUUGAGGGAUGCGAAAAACUUUCUCUCUCUCCCAGUGGCCUUCUCUUUCUAGUCGAAGUGAUUCUCUUCCCGAUCGAUGUCCGAUCGAGGAUCGGUCGAGGUUCGGUCGAGGCAACGGUAACCUAUCAAGCAUUAAAUUCUCCAACGGCUAGUGAACCAGUCGACCCCUAGCUCGACCGGACGAGGUUACCUUUUGCUGUUUUUGACUCCUGAGCUUAGAAACCUAUAAAUUGAGAGCUCCACUUCAUUUAUUGAUAAGAGAACACUUGCAUUCAAUAGUCUACCUACUUGUUCUUGAUCAAAAAGUUCUCAUUUCUUUCAUAGUGCAUUAAAUCACCACUUGCAUAUCCUUUAGUGCACUCUUGUGUGUCAUCCUAGCUUUGUCUUAUAUUUAAGCUAUCCUUAAGCUAGGUUGAGGGAUUAUUUCUUGUAAAAAUCUGGGUGUUAAAGCCUUCAAGAGGUUUGAAUCUUGAAGAGAUUGUGUAAGAGCCCAUUGAAGCCGGAAUCCAAGUGUAAGAAGAUUGGAAGCUUGGUUGAAGCUUCAAGUUAGUGGAACCCACACUUAGUUAGGAGAUUGAGGAGAGUGGAUGUAGGCAAGGAAGUGCCGAACCACUAUAAACUCGAGUUUGAAUUCUCUAGCUCUAUCUUUUUAUUUUGCUUAUAUUGUGUUUGAAUUUGUUGUGAUUGAAAAGUUUUUAAAAACCCAAUUCACUCCCCCCCCCCCCUCCCCCCUCUCCCCUCUCCCUUUUGGGUGCUUUUCUUAAUUAAGCAUAGCCUUUGUUUUCUCAAUUGGAAUUAGAGCUAGACCUCUUGUUUUUUAAAGACUUAAUCAUCUAAGAGGAAAUGGCUAUUCCAUCAAGCUCAUCCCAAGCUGAAAAUUUUUCAAAACAUAGAGCUCCAUUCUUUACGGGAACCGACUAUCCCUAUUGGAAAACUAGAAUGACUUGGUAUUUGCAAUCUACAAAUUUAGAUGUAUGGGAUGUCAUUGAAGAUGACCCAACUUUUCCCACUAAAUUAGUUGAUGGAGUUUUGGUUCCAAAACCCGAGUAAGAAUGGAAUGAGCUUGAUAGAAGAAACUUUCAAUUAAAUGUUAAAGCCGUUUUUACUUUGCAAUGUGCUAUGGAGGUUGCUUGAAAUAACUCAUGAAGGAACUAAUCAAGUGAAAGAGUCAAAAAUUAAUUUACUUGUUCAUAAGUAUGAAUUGUUUUUAAUGAAAGAAAAUGAGACUACUAUUGAGAUGAUUACUAGGUUCACUGACAUUGUCAAUGGUCUUGAAACUUUUGGAAAAACCUGCAAGGAAUCCGAGAAGGUGAUGAAGAUAUUGAGGUCUCUCCCAUCAAAGUGGCAUACCAAGGUCACCACAAUUCAAGAAGCAAAAGAUUUGACUAAGCUACCUAUGAAAGAGCUCAUAGGGUCAUUAAUGACAUAUGAGAUCAAUUUGACAAAUAAGCUACAAGAGGGUGAAGAUAAAAAGAAGAAGAUCAUAGCCCUCAAAGCUACAACCAAGGAAGAAGAAGAUGUUGAAGAAGAAAAACCAAGUGAUGAAGAUGAUGAUUUAGCCCUCAUCACAAGAAACCUCAACAAAUACAUGAGAUGUGAAAGGUUUCGAGGAAGGAAGUUCACCUCUAAAAGAGAUCCUCCUAAAAAGGAAUCAUCCCAUGGUGAAAAGGAGAAAUGAGAAGAGAAAAGAGAUUUGAUAUGCUUCAAGUGCAAAAAACCGGGACACAUUAAAUAUGAUUGUCCUCUAUACAAAAGUGAAGCCAAGAGAAGAAUGAAAAAGGCAAUGAUGGCCACUUGGAGUGAAAGUGAAGAAUCCUCCGAAGAAGAAAAGGAGAAGGAAGUGGCAAACAUGUGCUUCAUGGCAAUAGAUGAUCUUGAUGAGGUAAACUCUAAUUUUAUUGAUGAAGAUAUGCAUGAUGUUUUUGAAGAAUUAUAUGAGGAUUUUGAAAAACUUAGUUUGAAAAAUAAUUCUCUUAAAAAGAAGAUUCAAGAACUUGAAGAAGUCAAAGAAAAAAUUUCAAUUAUUGAAAUAUCUAAAACUCAUCUUGAAAAAGAAAAUGAGAUUUUGAGAAGUGAAAAUGAGAUUUUGAAAAAGAAAAAUGAAUGGUUGACCUCAUUUCUUUCAAUUUUCUCUUGUGGACAAAAAUAUUUUGAAAUGAUCUUAGCUAGCCAAAAAUGUGUCUUUGAUAAACAAGGGUUAGGAUUCAAAUCUUCAAAAAAUCAAAAGUAUUUUAAAAACUACUUUGUAAAAGAAUCCACAAGUGCAAGUCCUUCUACCAUUUGCAACUUUUGUGGAAGAGGAUGACACAUUAGUAGUACAUGUCCCCUAAGAAAUGGUUCUUAAAAGAAUUCAAAUGCCAAGCUAAAAAGGUUUGGGUUGAAAAAUCCAAAAUCACUAACCCUCAAGGACCCAAAAAAAUAUGGGUACCUAAAUCAAUUUAAAUUUUGUUUUGUAGGGUUUAAAAAAGGAUAAAUGGUUCUUGGAUAGUGGAUGCUCAAGACACAUGACCGGGGAUGAAUCCAAGUUUGCCUUCCUUACAAAGAGAAAGGGAGGAUACGUUACCUUUGGAGACAAUGCAAAAGGAAGGAUCAUUGGUCAAGGUAACAUUGGUAAUGGCACAUCCUCUCUUAUUGAAAGUGUUUUAUUAGUGGAUGGUUUAAAACAUAAUCUCUUGAGCAUAAGUCAACUUUGUGACAUAGGUUUUAAAGUGAUUUUUGAAGCAUCUCAUUGCAUCAUCAAAGAUAUUCAAAAUGAUAAAACCAUCUUCAUGGGCCAUAGGUGUGACAAUGUUUAUGCUAUAAAUAUUUCAAAAUAUGAUGGCCAUGAUAGAUGCUUUUCAAGCAUGCAUGAUCAAAGUUGGUUGUGACAUAGGAGGUUGGGACAUGCUAACAUGGACUUCAUUUCCCAACUCAACAAAGAUGAACUUGUUAGAGGCCUUCCCAAAAUAAAUUUUCAAAAAUACAAAGCUUGUGAAUCUUGUCAAAUGGGAAAGCAAAUAAAAAACUCUUUUAAAAACAAAAAUUUCAUUUCAACAUCUAGGCCUUUUGAAUUGUUGCAUAUGGAUUUAUUUGGUCCCUCUAGGACACCAAGCCUUGGAGGAAAAUCUUAUGCUUUUGUUAUUGUGGAUGACUUCUCUAGAUACACUUGGGUUUUAUUUUUAAGUCAAAAGAAUGAAGCCUUUUAUGAGUUUUCAAAGUUUUGCAACAAGGUUCAAAAUGAAAAAUGUUUUACAAUUACUUGUAUAAGAAGUGAUCAUAGGAGAGAAUUUGAAAAUAUUGAUUUUGAAGACUAUUGCAAUGAGCAUGGUAUUAACCAUAAUUUUUCGGCUCUUAGAACUCUUCAACAAAAUAGGGUAGUUGAAAGGAAAAAUAGAACUCUUCAAGAGAUGGCUAGAACCAUGCUUAAUGAAAACAAUUUACCAAAAUACUUUUGGGCCGAAGCGGUUAACACUUCUUGUUAUGUUUUAAAUAGAAUUUUAUUAAGGCCUAUUCUUAAGAAAACUCCCUAUGAGCUUUGGAAAAACAAAAAACCCAACAUUAGCUAUUUCAAAGUCUUUAGGUGCAAAUGCUUUAUAUUAAACACCAAAGACAAUCUUGGAAAAUUUGAUGCAAAAUCGGAUGUUGGAAUUUUUCUUGGUUACUCAACUUCAAAUAAAGCCUUUAGAGUUUUUAACAAAAGAACCAUGGUUGUUGAGGGGUCCAUCCAUGUUAUUUUUUUAUGAAUCUAACAAUUCUCUCCAAAAAAAGAGAGAGCUUUGAUGAUGAUUUAGGCUUGGAGACCUCCAUGGGAAAAUUACAAAUUGAAGAUAGAAGGCAACAAGAAGGAAUUGUUGAGGAUCCCAAGAAAGAAGAAUCACCUUUAGCACUACCCCAUCCUCAACAAGUGCAAGGUGAAUCAAGCCAAGACCUUCCUAAAGAUUGGAAGUUUGUCAUUAACCACCCACAAGAUCAAAUUAUAGCUAAUCCAUCUAGUGGGGUAAGAACUAGAUCAUCUCUUAGAAAUAUUUGCAAUAAUCUUGCUUUUAUCUCUCAAAUUGAAUAUAAAAAUAUAAAAGAUGCUCUAGUUGAUGAAAAUUGGAUGAUUGCUAUGCAAGAAGAGUUAAACCAAUUUGAAAGAAGUGAAGUAUGGGAAUUAGUGUCAAGACCUCAAAAUCAAAGUGUUAUUGGAACUAGAUGGGUCUUUAGAAAUAAAAUGGAUGAAAUGGCAUAAUUAUAAGGAAUAAAACAAGAUUGGUAGCCCAAGGUUUUAAUAAAGAAGAAGGGAUAGAUUAUGAAGAAACCUUUGCUCCCGUAGCUAGAUUGGAAGCCAUUAGGAUGCUACUUGCCUUUGCAUGUUUUAAAGACUUUGUUUUAUAUCAAAUGGAUGUGAAAAGUGUUUUCUUAAAUGGCUUUAUAAAUGAAGAGGUAUAUGUUGAACAACCACCCGGCUUUCAAAGUUUUAACUUUCCUAAUCAUGUCUUUAAACUUAAAAAGAUACUUUAUGGUUUGAAACAAGCACCUAGAGCAUGGUAUGAAAGAUUGAGUAAAUUUCUUAUGAAAAAGGAUUUUAAAAUGGAAAAAAUUGAUACAACUCUUUUCAUAAAAACCAAAUAAAAUGACAUGCUCUUAGUGCAAAUAUACGUUGAUGAUAUCAUUUUUGGAGCUACUAAUGUCUCUCUUUGUGAAGAAUUUUCUAAAUGCAUGCAUAGUGAGUUCGAAAUGAGCAUGAUGGGAGAACUUAACUUCUUCCUUAGACUUCAUAUCAAGCAACUAAAGGAAGGAACCUUCAUCAAUCAAGCAAAGUAUAUAAGAGAUCUCCUCAAAAGGUUCAAUAUGGAGGAAGCCAAAACAAUGAAGACUCCAAUGAGUUCAUCCAUCAAGCUUGACAUGGAUGAGAAAGGUAAGUCCCUCAACUCAACUAUGUAUAGAGGCAUGAUAGGUUCUUUGCUAUAUUUGACUGCUAGUAGACCCGACAUCAUGUAUAGUGUAUGCUUAUGUGCUAGAUUUCAAUCUUGUCCUAAAGAAUCCCACUUAAGUGUUGUAAAACGAAUCCUUAGAUACUUGAAACGGACAAUGGACAUAGGUUUGUGGUAUCCUAAGAGUGAUAACUUUGAAUUAAUUGGAUUCUCGGAUACCGACUUUGCCGGUUGUAAAGUUGAAAGGAAAAGCACUAGUGACACUUGUCAUUUCCUAGGACACUCACUUGUUUCAUGGUAUAGUAAGAAAUGAAUUUUGGUAGCUUUAUCAACGGCGGAAGCCGAAUACAUAGCAGCCGGUUUAUGUUGUGCACAAAUUCUUUGGAUGAAACAAACACUUAGUGAUUUCAAUUUGAUUUUUGAGCAUGUUCCUAUUAAAUGUGAUAACACUAGUGCCAUAAACAUUUCAAAAAAUUCAGUGCAACACUCUAGGACUAAGAAUAUAGAGAUAAGACACCAUUUUCUUAGAGACCAUACACAAAAGGGUGACAUUACACUUGAAUUUGUAAGCACAAAAGAUCAACUUACUGAUAUUUUUACAAAACCUCUAAGUGAAAAACAAUUUGUUGAUAUUAGAAGACAACUAGGGGUGAUUUCUUUAUGAUCAAAUGAUUGCUUGAUGAAUUCUUGAUUGAAUAUACCUUAUGAUUACGUGAAUUUCAUAUCAUAUAGAAAUAAUCUUAGGAAAAAGGUCAAAUUUUGACCAAAAAUCAAAAUUCCCUUGGCAUUGGACAUAAAAAAUUGGGGAUUUCAAUUGAAAAGGGUAGGGGGAGGAUCACAAGACAAGAAAAUACCAAAAAAUUGGAGCAUUGACCGUUGACCAUUGACCAAGCGGUUCGUCGAGGUUGGGAAUUUAAAAAGGCCCCCUGCGCUUCAUUUUUCACAUGUUAUCCUCCAUACCUUGAAGACUCUUCACAUCCAUGCUUCUAGAAGUCAAUUUUGGCAAGAUCUUGGACUGUUUGCAGGCUUUGGAGUGGAUUUUGAGACGUUUUGAGGCUAGGGUUUUGAUUUGAAACCCAGAGUUUCAGUUUUUGGGGGUGAUUUCUCUCUAUACCACGAACCUCAGGCUUGGUUCAACUUCUUCUCCGUGCGCCUAGGGCUUUAGGUUGGUGUUUUCUCUCUCUUGUUUGAUUUCCUUCUCCUUUUGGACUUCUCCUUCUCCCUAUUCCAUUCGUUGGAUGGCUCCUAGGCGAGAGACGGGCACCUCUAGGGCUCAAGGCAAGCGCCCUACUGAGCCAUCUCAGCCUGAGCAGACGGAGGCUCACCGAAAGGCGAGGUAUGAUACGACCCUCUUCAGUUCCGUUGAAGAUCUUAAUUAAGCAUAGCCUUUGUUUUCUCAGUAUCUUUGGAGGAGUCUUUUGAUGGCGGAUACCUUGCUAUUUGUGGUACUCAUCAAAUGACCUUGAAUAUUCUCCUCUAUUAUCAGUUCAGAUACAUUUAAGUUUUCUUCUAGUUUAUCUCUCAAUUGAAGCCUGAAAUUACUUGAACACACCCGAUACCUUAUCUUUAUGCUCAAUGUGUAUGCACAAAUCUUCUUUGAAUGAUCAUCAAUAAAAGUCACGAAGUAUAGUGAACCACCAAGGGUUUUUACCUUCAUUGGACCAUAUAAACUAGAAUGGACUAAGUCAAGCAAAUUCUCAUUUCUUGAAGAAGAAGGGCGUGUCUUGAACGCAACUCUAUUUUGCUUUCCUACCAAGCAAUGAGCACACUUUUGUAGACAUGUGUUUGUCAUCCCAAACAAGUGAUUUUUUCGGAAUAGUACCAUCAUUCAUUUCUCACCCAUGUGACCGAGUCUCUAGUACCACAACUCAAUUGUAUCCACAUUUUCAAUAGCAUGAAUGACAUCUUUAGAAAGUCCAACUUGCAUUAUGUACAAAUUAUGAUUCCUUUUACAUCUUGUUAUGACCAAAGAACCCUUAGUAAGCUUCCAUUGACCAUUACCAAGACCACUAUAGUAGCCACCAUCAUCAAGCUUGCUAGUAGAGGUAAGGUUCAACCAAAUGUCUGGAACAUGCUUUACACCUUUGAAAAGCAGUUUCAUACCAUUACGGGUUUCUAAUAAAAAAUUACCUAUGUCAAUAACCUUAGCCACACCAUUGUUGCCCAUCCUUACAACUCCAAAGUCAGAUGUGUAAAAAUCCCUACAAAAUGUAACAUGAAUAGUAGCACCACUAUCAAUUACCCAACUAGUCUCAUCAAAUGCUGAAUUGAUCAUAUCAUCAUCAUACAUUAGUAAAAAGUCUUCUAUAGUGGUGGCAACUCAAUCUUCAUCACUGCUCUUAUUGCCUUUUUCUUUCCUGUUGUUCUUCUUAUUUUCUUUCUUCAACUUUCUACAAUGUUUCUUGAUAUUCCCCUUCUUACCACAAUGGUAACACUCAACAUUAGCAAAUUUGCCUUUGGACUUAUUUCUACUACUUUCCCUGUUUUUCGGAAUCCUACUCUUGUUUCCCCCUCAUGGCUCAGUAACUAUCAUAUCUGACUAUGAGGAGGAACGAUGUGACUUUUUUCUCAUCUUUUCAUUUAGAACAUUGCUCUUAGCAAUUUCCAUUGUAAUCUCACCAUCUAGAGUUGAAUUAGACAAUGACAUUUUAAAUGUCUCCCAAUAAUCUGACAAAGUGCCCAAAAGCCAUAAACCCUAUACCUCUUCAUCAAAUUUUACCCCCAUUACAUCCAACUAAUUUAUCAAACCUUGGAAUGAAUUCAAGUUAUUGGUCAUAGGAGUAUCCUCACGAUAUCUCAAAAGAAUAAAAUAUUUCAUCAAAUACAUUUUGUUGUUUCUGGUCUUUUGAGCAUACAACUUUUCAAGUUUGAUCCACAAUGUACAUGCAUUCUUCUCACCACUAACAUGGUUUAACACACUGUCAUCUACCCAUUGUCGAAUAUACCAACACACCUGCCUAUAAAGUAAUGUACAUUCCUCAUCAGUUUUGCCAGUGGGUUUUCCUUGGACAAACAUAGGGUGAUGGUAACCCUUCUCAUAUAAUAAAUCCUCCAUUUUAUCCUUUCACAAGGCAUAAUUUGAGCCAUUUAAGCUUACCAUUCUGUUUGCACUAACAUCCAUUCUUCAACACAACACAGGCAGCCAAAGCUCUAAUACCACUUUGUUGGGAGAAAGUUGAACACAGUAUCACAAUUAAAAUCAACCAUGCAUGCACUGGAAUUUUAAUGUGGAAAACAUCUUCAAUGUGAGAAGUAAAAACCACAGGACCAGAGUCCACUCAGAAAGGGUUCACUAUCAACCUAAGUGAGAGUACACAAUUUGUCCCAACAUUAAUUGGGGACUAUCAAUAGCAACAACCAUCAAGAAAAAUCUUAGCUUCACAAGCAUAAACACCAAAUAUUAAAAGAAUAAUAGAAAAAGAUCACAAAUUUGGUGUUCUGUCCGAAUAUACUAAUCUGUCCUGAAAACUCCAAUCAACGAUCCAAUCGUUAAAAUUUAAUUACCAUAAGUUUUGAACCUCCUAUUAAAAUUUCACUUCAAUCAGACCAAAGAUCAAAGAAAUACCACUCUUUGAUGAAGACUGCAUAGAACCGAGAUUUUCUCCUCUCAUUUUCUGUCCUGUUUUAUUUGAAUGAUUAUAUAUUAUAGUCAACUACUCUGAUCGACGAGCGAACCGACCAGAAUUAAGAGACAUAAGAGACGAAGAUACUAUACAAAUUUCAACACGAUCCAACGGUGUAAAAUAGAGAUCAAGAAGAUUGAUUAAAAUUGCUCUAAAAUGAUUCUAUUUAUGACCAACUCUGUUUAGGCGGCUAUAGAGUGAAAUAGAAAAGUUCAACUAGAAUAAGGAGUUGCUUGUGAUAAACCAACUGACCAAGUUUCAGUUUAAACAAGCCUUAGACCAUCAAGAUCUAUUACUUGGAUGAAAAUAGCUCUUUCACCUCUUCAAUUUCUUAUUAUUUUUUUUUCUCUCUCAAAAUCAUCAGUUGCACUCUUCUCACUGUAUAUUUCAAGAAGUGAAUCUUUUUUGGGGUUUUCAAAAAAACCUUACACCGAAAGACAAAAAUGCCCAUAUAAUAUGGGAUUUGUUGGGUUUGACAUAUAUGGGUCAUCCUCCACAUGAGAGGGAAACCCAACCCAACAAUAGUUUAGUACCUCCUAAUUGGAAGGAUGACUUGUUUUUGUCAUCACGAUGAGUUUUCCAUGGUGAGUGCACUAAUGUAUAUGGUUACACAUUGGACAGGACCUAUGAUGAGUCAUGAUAUUGGCUAUCAAGUAGUCAUCAUCUUAUAAAGCUACUAUAUUGUAUGAGCUCUCAACCUUGAGAAGAUAUUAAGCUAGUAGUAAAAUUUUUAAUGACUUUAACAUAUAGGUAAGAUCCUAAAGUGGUAAUAUAUUCCCUAUGGAUUGAGAUAUUAUUGAUAGAGGUUGGUGAUAACAUGUAUACUCAAGAUAGACACCAUGAUAUCUCCUAGGUUUUAGAUAAUAUAUCCAUUUGAGUGAUCCUAAGGACAUGUGAUUAGGAAAUCCGUGGUCAUAGUAAUUCUUUAAUUGGAAUUUGACAUAUGCUUCUUAUGAAAUAAAGUAUGUCGAUUUAUCACAUAAGAAGAGGAUUAGAGACUCAAGGACUCUAAAGGAAAUUUUAUAAGGUAGAUAACAUUCACUUUAUUAGACUACGAUCAAUAGCUUAUGAGAAGUUUGCAUAUAGUAGACAAUGGAUCAUAGACUAGAGGUUUGUAUCUCAUAGUUAUAAUAUCAUACGAUAAUGGAGUAUAGUUAACUCUAUGUAGUAGGAUAUUAAGUCAAUUUUAGAAUUGAAAUAUGAGGUAGCCAGUAUUUUCUUAUGAGUCUUAGUGGUCCUCACUUAAAAUCAUAUUCCAUGGUGGCAUGAUUUUUUUAAGAGAUUAUGAGUUUUAUAUUCAUAUGUAUGCAUACAGACAUUUUGGUAGACACGAAACGUUGCACAAGAGUUUAUGAAUGUUUUUGGGUUGAGUUAAUUAAUUAAUUAGAACCCAAUUAAGUUAGUUAAUUAGGACUCAUUGGGCUAAAUUAAGUGACCCAACUCAAUUCACUUAAACUUAGAAGUAAUUCUAUAUAAACCUCCUUAAGUUUUAGGGCUUAUAUUUUGAUUCAUUCUAUCUUUCAGAAUGAGAGAAUCCCAUUCUUCAUUCCCAAGUGAGAAUUCCAUCAUUUUUAAGUGACAAGGUCUAGGAAAGAGCUAUUGGGUGGAAGAUCAUGAGGUUUUCGAGAUCCAUACCAUCAUUUUCUUUGAUUGGAACUAAUCUAGGCACAUCUAUUAGUUUAUUGGCCAUUGAAUCAACAAAGGACUAUAAUGCAAAAUUGUUUCAUGCAGUACCUUAAAAUAAUUAUGAAGGGCUGUAAAAAAAUUGAACCAAUGGUUGUUACUUUCUACAAACAAUAUAAGGCGUAAAAACCUAAAGCUUAGUUGAUUUUGUGAGAGCCAACUAGUCCAAAAGAUCAGUUAUAGCGGAAUAGAACUCUUGAAUACUCAUGUUCUUAUGUUCAAGAGCUCAAAUAUCAAUCUUUAAAUAAUAUUGAUUUGCAAAUGUUGCUAGAUCUUGUUGACAAAUUCAUACUUUGCCAACUACGUACUUAUCAAAUUCUCAAUAAAUUUGUUGAUCCAAUUGAUAAUUUUUGAAUUGUUUACUGCUCAAAUGUUUAACUGUUCUAUAUAUUUUUCAUCAUCUCCAUUUCUAGGUUUGUGUAGAGUUAACCCCACAUCUUUUUUACCUUUGAAAAAUUUCCCAUUGCAUAACUCCAAUGUUAGGAUAGAGCCCUUAAAAGCAUAGUAUGAUAUAACAAAUUCAAAUUUAUUAUUCAUUUAAUAAAAUUUUAGUUUCCUAUUUCUAUCUAUCUUAUUACAUGCAUUAUAACUUAUAACCAUUUUAGCCUAACAUUUUUUGCAUUGUACAUACUUUGGGUGCAUUAGGAGUUACACAGAAGAUCCAAGUCAUGAGUUGCUUGCAAGUAGAUGAUUUGUUCACAACUAGUUCAUAGAAUUAGGUAAUUCAUUGAAAGUUGUAGUACACUACCUACUAAUGGAAUGGAUGACUAGUCUUGGUCAUUUGGGAUGAGUUUCCCAUGUUAAGUCCAUUAGUUUGUACAAUUCAACAUUAAAUAAGGCCCAUAGUGAGUUAUGAUGUAAAGUUAUUGAGUAGUCAUGACCUCACCAAGCUGCUAUACUAUAUGGUCUUUUAACCUCGAGAGAAUAUUUAGUUUGUGCCAAAGUUUAUAAUAGCUUUGACCUAUAAGUGAGAUCCUAAGAUGGUCAUAUAUUCCCUAUAAAUUAGGUCAUUAUUGAUGGAGGCUAGUGACGGCCGGUAUUCUCAAUAGAGAUACCAUGAUAUCUUAUGGAGAUUGAGACAAUAUGUCCCAUUAGGUGAGCCUAAGGAAGUCUUGAUAAGGAAAUUAAUGGUCAUAAUAGUUUUUUAAAUUAGAACUUGACAUAUGCUCUUUAUGAGAUAAGAUAUGUCACUUCAUCUCAAAAUAAGAGAAUCUGAGACUCAAGAAUCAUAAAGGUAAUCUUGAAAGGUUGAUAACAUUCAUCUUGUUAGAUUAUGGACACUAUUUCAUGGGGAACUUGCAUACAAUGGAUAGUAGGUGUUAAUGGAAACCCUAGAUUUCUUCGUUCGUAAACCCUAGAUCGUAUAGGUAUAUGCAAAUCUACCUAGGCUUCUCUAGAAACUAACAUAAGUGGAAACAUGGCUUUUAAAAACCAUUUAGAUUAAUAAAACUAGAGAAGAAUGAAUUAUACCUAGAUUUAGAUGUUCCUAGAUCAAUUCAUUGCGAUGAAGAUGUUUCAAUGUUCUAGAGGUCUUGUACACCCAAAGUCUUCUGUCUAAUUACUCAAUCCAUGACCUUGGCACUCUAAAGAGUGGACUUUGAAAAAGAGAUGCCUUGGCUCUCUCUCUUUCUCUCUAUUUCUCUCUGGAAGUGGAAGACGACAAGCAAAAGCCUUAGAAACCCUAACCCCUAAGGGGAUAUGUAUAGGGUUCCCCUACUAGGCUUAAGUGACUUGAGCCUACCAAGGAUUAGGUCACUUAAUCUAGCCCAAAAUAGAUCUUGAUUUAUUAAUCAACCACACAGGGUCAUCUAAUUAAUCAAUUAGCUCAAUGAAGAGAACUUGUUCUCUAUUCCCCUAUGCAACCUUGCGUGAUUGCUAAAACACCUUUAUACACAUCUAAUCCUUAGAAAUCGUGUCAUCAUGGUAUAUGAGCUCAAAGUGAGGACUACUGGGACAAAUAGGCAUACUAACUCUCUCAAAAUCGAAUUCCAAAGUUGAUUCACUAUCCCACUAUAGAAAAUCAAUUGCACUCCAGUACCUUAUGUAGAUAACAAUAAGAUGAAGUUUGGGUCUGUGACCUACUAUCUACUACAUGCAAUCUCUUCAUGAAUUGGUGUCCAUAAUCUAACAAGGUGGUGUUAUCACAUAAUGUAUGAUAAGAAAUAUGAAUUUGUUACAUUAGAUAAUAACAUAAUGUAUCCUGGUAGGAAAUAUGAAUUUUAAAAAUGCAUCCUCUAUAUUAAGGUAAAGUUAAUUUUUUUAAACAUAAAAUAAUAUAUUUAUAACAAAGUUAGUAAUAUGGAUGAGAUAUAAAUUAGUAUUGGUAUCAAGUAUUUCAAUAUGUAAACCUAAAACAUAUUACAUUUAUAAUAUUAUUGAAAUUUUACCCAUAAUAUAUCUUUAUUAAAAAAGUCAAUCUAAAAUUUUUCAAAUUUUUAUUACUCAACUAUAUCCAUAUAAUUUUCUAUUAGAAUCAUCUAAAAUUUCUUUAAUAUCUUUAUAUUCAUUUACUUGAAAAAUGAAAAAUAACCAAUAAAAUUGUUCAUUUUAUUAAGAUAUUUUUAUUAAAUUUUGUUAAAAAAAAAAUAAAUCAUUCAAAAUUUUAAAUAAGAUUUCAUGUGAAAUAUUUUAUUUGAAAGUUUAUUUGGUUUCAUUAACAAAUUUAUUUGAUAUUUUUUUUAUUGUAAAUAUAUUAAAUUAUUAAAAUUAUAGUAUUUGUCCUAUAAAAUUAGGGUUGCAAUUUGGACGAGCUAACCCAAACCAACAUAAAACCAACCCAAUGUUUGGGCGGGCUUGGGCACCAUUUUUUGUAACUUGGGUUGGGCUUGGAUUCAUUUUUAUCAACCCAAAUUAAAUUCGGGUUGGGCUUGGUCAGAUGACUUGGGCAACCCAAACUAACCCGAACCUGACUAUAUAUAUAACUUUAAGAAAAUAAUACAUUGGUUCUUUCCAUUCUAUUCUUUGAUAGAGAAAAAACCUUCAAGCCCUAGUCCAAGGUUCUUCCAUUAUUCGAUAUUGUUCAAAUCCUCAAGCCCUAGUUCAAGAUUCUUUCAUUUUUUGAUGUUGUUGUCUCCAUUCAAGGUCAUCUGACAGAAAGCAAAAACCAUCAGGCCUUAGGUUAAGAUUCUUCAUCAUCAUAUAAUGUUACAAUCGUCGUUCAAUACCACUGUUGUUCACAUUAUAUUACUAGGUUUUUGAUUGCCAACAAUUUAGUUAAUAAAUCAUGGAAAUAAUGGAAAAGGUUGAUUUGAAAAUAAUUCUAAGAUAUCCCUUUUUGGUUUUAAAUUUAUCUUCCUUGAGUGAUGAAUAAAGAGGACAAGGCAAGUUAUUUAAGGCAAUGGUGAAGCCCUUAUCCUUUAUAUGGAAGAAGUGUAGAAUUGUUACCUAUACAUAAAUUAUAUUAUAAUGGUCUACUGUAAUAUGCUUGGCUUAGCAUCCCUCAUCAGGGGCAUGCCAUGGGAGAAAAGUCUUCCUUUUGUAAAAGAAGGGUUGUGCAAUAAAUGAAUGUUGUGUGUUUGCUUUUUGAACUAAUUUUUAUUGGCCUAACUCAACCCAACUUAGCCAUCACAUAAUCAACUCGAGCUCAACCUAUGUUAAAUAAUUUCAAUUCGAGUUGAGUGCAUAAGAUUGGAAGUCGAGUUAGGUGAUCCUUUGGGUUGAUGUAUUUCAAGGUAAGAUUGAGCUUGGGUUGGCCAACUUGCCGAGUUGCAACCCCAUAUAAAAUUAAUUUUUCUUUAACAUUUAUAUUUUAUGAAAUAUUAAAAAUUAUAUAUUUUAUUAAUUGUUUUCCAAAAAUCGCAAUUUUGGUGAUUUAGGUCUUGUUUGGUAAUUGUUUUUGAAAACAUUUUUGAAAAAAUAGUUUUUAAGAACAGUUUUUGAAAACUGUUCUCUGAUGUUUUUUAGAACAAAAGUCUAUUUGGGAACCUAAAAUUAUUUUUAAUAUUUUUAAAUACGUUUUAAAAAUAAUUUUUAUAUCCAUAACUUUAUUUUUAUUAAUCAUUAUAUAUAUAUUUGUAUAAUUAUUCUUUAAAAUAACUCUCAAAAAAUAAGUGAAAACAACUUAAAACAAUUAAAAUAUAUUAUUUGAAAACACCCUGUUUUCUAUUUUUUAAUAAUAUAAAACAGAAAACAGUUUUUAAUUGUUAAACGUGUUUUUAAGUUUUUUUUUUCUAAAAAACAAAAAACUGUUUUUGAAAACAGUUUCCAAACAUAGCAUUAAUGCAAAGCCAGCCAAUUUUUUGUGCUGCCAACCAUACUGGAAACCCAUCUUGUUGGCCACCCAGAGGAGCUCAGUUUUUUUUAUUUUUAUUUGUUAGAGGAGUGGGGGACGAUUUCUAUGAACGAGCUACAUGGGACAUGUGGAAAAAAAAAAAAAAAGAUGGCCACCUUGCCAUGGUGGUGGUUGAAGAUGGAGACUUGCUAAGCGGUGAACAGUGGAACGAGUAGAAGCUUAUAAGAGAAAAAAAAAAACAGAGCAAAGGGACUGGGAGGGUUGAGUUGUGGGUGAGCUGAUUCAAGAGGAAGGAAAAAAAAUGAAGCUGAAACAAAGGGAGGUUUUUAAGAGAAAGUGAAAACAACGAGUUAAUUUGGAAACAACUAGGAUGAGAGUUGUAGGUCGGCUGAUUAGAGGAGGUUUUCAGCAAGAGCUAAAGAAGAGGACCUUUAAACUCUACCGGAAAAGUUCUCUCGUCUCACCGGUGACUACGGAUCUGGAAAACUAAAAUGCGCAGGUGGUGGCGUUGCUCCCCCUACUAUACUUACGGAUUUUAAGCUCAAUGGCUACGGAAACCUCGAUUUCUACAACGUGUGCUUGGUUGACGGGUAAAACCUUCCUUUGAUGGUGGUGCCACAGGAUGGCACCGGGGGGAACUGUACCAAAAUCGGGUGCUGCUCUAGACUUGGGAAAUGAACAGGUUUGUUCGUUUGUCUCGUUACAACUUCUUUCUGAAUCUUUCUUUGAUUAAGACAAGUAUGUUUUUCCAAGUUUUGGUUUUUGCUCUCAAAAAGGGUCUUUUUGAUGAUUCUACUGUUUUUUUUAGGAGUUGAAAUGGGUUUUUGAUGAAUUCAAGUGGGCGUCUUUUGUUUGUUAAUGGAACGGUUUUGUUUUUGGUGGUCAAAACAUUUUUUUUUUAUAAUGAUUUUGUAGUCAUUUUAAGGAGCUGUGAAAUGGGUGUUUGAUGAAUUCAACUGGGUUUCUUUUACUUGAUGAAAUGCCACCAUCCGUGGGGUUUGGUUAUGUAAACAUGAAUUUUUUUUUUUUUUUUAUGAUUUUGAAAGUGAUUUUAAGGAGCUGUGAAACGGGUAUUUGAUGUGUUGAACUGGGUCUAUCCUAUUUGCUAAUGGAAUAGGUUUUAGUUUCUGAACUUGGAACAUGAAUUUUUUUAUUUUUUAUAUGAUUCCGUGUAUAUUUUGAUGAGCUUGACAUUUUGUAUGAUGAAUUGAACUCAGUUUUGACUAAAUGGGAUAGGUCUUGGAUUAUGGUUCAUGGUUUAUUUUGAUGAUUUAUUGAACCGGAUUUCCUCUGUUUUGGGACCCACUCCACUCCUGCAUGGCCAUUUUUGACAUGCAAUUCCAUCGAACACGUGUCAUCCUCUUUGAUUUUUCAUCCUCAUAUGUUAAAAUAUGAUUUUCAAAACUCCAAUUUUCACGUUUAAUUUUUAAAACUUUAAUUUUUAAAAUUCCAUUUUUUUUUAAUUUAAUCUUCAAAACUCUAAUUUUCAAAUAAUCUUCAAAGUUCCAAUCAUCGAAAUUUAAUUUUUAGAACUUCAAUUUUCAAAUAAUUCUCCAAAAUUCCAAUUUUCAAAAUUUCCAUUUUCAAAAAUAAUUUUCCAAAAUUCUAAUUUUCAAAAAUUCUAAUUUUUCAAAAUUUCAAUUUUCAAAAAUUCUAAUUUUUCAAAAUUUCAAUUUUCAAAACUUACAUUUUCAAAAAUAAUUUUCCAAAAUUCCAAUUUUCAAAACUUCCAUUUUCAAAUAAUUUUCCAAAAUUCAAGUUUUCAAAUUUAAUUAUUAAGAAAUCCCAUUCUCAAAUAAUUCUCCAAAAUUCCAAUUUUCAAAAUUUCCAUUUUCAAAUAAUUUUCUAAAAUUCCAUUCUAAAACAAUUCUCCAAAUUUCCAAUUUUCAAAACUUGAAUCAUUUUCUAAAAUUCCCAUUUUCAAAUUUAAUUCCCAUAAUUUCCAUUCUCAAAUAAUUUUUCAAAAUUCCAAUUCUCAAAUUUAAUUUUUGAAACUCCCAUUUUUCGAAUAAUUUUUCAAAUUUUCAUUUUUUUUAAAUUUAAUUUUUAAAAUUUCAAUUUUCAAAACCCUAGUUUUCUUUCAAAUAGUUUUAAUCCCACUUCAGUUUUCAAAUAUUUUUAAUUUUACAACUUUUCAUCAUUCAUUAGGGUUUUAAGUCACUAAAAAUCAUAUUUUUAAAUAAACUUGCUACUUUUCCUUUCAGGUAAGCACUUUCACAAAUUUUCUUUGUUUUUAAAAUAAUAUUUUGUUUCUCUUAAUUUUAAAUAAACAUGAAGGCAAUUUUCAUAAUUUCAAAAUAAUGGAAUUUAUGGAAUUAAUUCAUGCAAAAUAAUUGGGCUUUGGUGGGAGCCUAACAUUCAUGACAUUUCUUUCAAAAAUAAUUCAAGUGAAUUGCAUUAUCGAUAUUGUUUGAUUUUGAUUGGUUUUGUGUGAGAUAUUUUACACUUAAUAUUGUGCACUAAUUCUGUUUCAUGAUAGCGCUUUAUUACCUCUAGUCAAGGUACGCUCUCACUCUCAUUUUGUUUAUUUAUUCGUUAUCAUAACUUGCUUUUGAUCUAUUAUCUUUUUGGUAUUCAUUGAUUUUUCUAGUUAAUUGUCAUGUUUGCUUCACCUUAUUUAGUAGAGACCCAUUUUUCAGGGGCUUAGAGGGGUGCUACGGUCUUUACCGUACUUUUCCAAUAAGUAACCUAACCCUCGAAUCCGACUUUGGUCUUCCACAAACUAUCUUUUCCAAAUAAGGAGUCACACUUAGAGUUUUCUUUCUUAUUUUGUUUUCCCUUAAAAAUAAAAUAAAAAUAAGUGGUGACUCCAAGUAUUUUCUAAAAAUCAUUUUUUUUUUCAAAUAAAAAAAGCGAGUUUUGCCAUCAAGUGGAAACACAUCUUGCGAAAAUGUGGGGUCCACAUAUCCCCUUCCAUUCCUUCAUACCCAAUGAAAUCUAAAUAAAUCGCCAGCCUAUUUUUUCAUUCUUGCUUCCAACCUCUUUUUUAAUAUUUAAAAUUGAUAAUAUAAAAUCUCUGCACAUGAUAUUGCCCACUUUGUCAUGGAAUUGAGAACAAUGAUAAAUCACAAUUUUCACACAAAUGAAAGUCUGUAUACUUUUUUUUUUUUUUUUUUGUAAGGAAUAAUAUUGUGUAAGGAACCAUUAAUGUAAACAUAUUGAAGGAAAAACAUAAAAAAUAAAACAAAUAUCACAAAAGAUAUAUAGGUUUAUCUCCACUUUGAACCAUGAAUUCUUUUGAUCUACUAGAUGUUUUUCACUUUAGGUGUUUCUUACUCCUCUCAUAAUUUUUUCCUUUCAUAAUUUAGAAUAUUUAUAGAAAUAUUUCCACUGACUUUCCUUAUUCUAUAACGAAUUUAAUUACAAUCACCUAAAAUUAGAAAAUAUUCAUAACUUUAUGAUAUUCUAAAUAGGAAUUUAAGACACCUUCCUAACACAUAAUCAUUUAAAUUUAUUUUUUUCACACAUUAUACAUUUUAAUUUUUCAAUAACAAUUUCCACACAAAUAAUUAUUUUUAGAUUUUUCUUUUUAAAUUUUAACAACAUUAAUAAUUUAAUAUUUCAUCCAAAUAAAAAAUAGUGAAAUUAAGAAAAAUUAAAAGAAAGAUAAAUAAAUAAACUAGUCACAUAAUAUAUAAUAGUUUUUCAUAAAAAUUGUGAAUUAAUAAUCCAACCAGAGCUCUGGGCCCACAUGUUAUAUAUACUGAGAAUCCACAUGUUAUAAUGAGAAAAAAAAAUGGAUUUAAAAUUUAAAAUUAUUUGAACAUGUUUCUUCUAACUCGUUGUAUAUAUUUUCCUUAUUUAUAUAAAGAUUAAUUAUUUUAAUUAAUUUUGAUAAUAUUUGAUUUUGUUUUUCAAUGAUAAACGAAAUAUGAUCAAAUGAAUAAACCACUGAAGUAUACUAUGCAUUUUAUAUAAAGUUUUUUUAUAUUAGUACCCAUGUGAACUGAUCAUAAGAAACUGGGUACCAUCAAAACUGUACAUCUGGAUACUGAGGAUCAGCAGAACAGAUGUAAUAAAUGUUCAUAUUUUCUAUAAUGUCACAUGGGACUUAGGAUGGUUCUUGGUAGAUAAGUUAAUUGACUUGGAAUCUUAACCUAAUCUAUAAUUUAAAAAAUGGAUAAAUUAAUUAAUUUAAGAAUAGUAACGGUCCAUAUUUUGUCAGGCCACAUGGGAGUUAGAAUAGUUUAAAGUGAACAUGUGACCUGAUGUAUAAUAUAAAGUGGAAAACUUGUCCAUCGAAUCCAUAAAUUAUAUUAUAAUGGUCUACUGUAAUAUGCUUGACUUGGCAUCCCUUAUAGGGCUAUGCCAUGGGAGAAAAGUCUUCCCUUUGUAAAAGAAGGGUUGUGCAACAAAUGAAUGUUGUGUCUUUGCUUUUUGAACUGAUUUUUAUUGGCCCAACCCGACCUAACUCAGCCAUCAUAUAAUCAAUUUGAGCUCAACCUAAGUUAAAUAAUUUCAAUUCGAGUUGAGUACAUCAGAUUGGAAGUCAGGUUGGGUCAUCCUUUAGGUUGAUGUAUUUCAAGGUCGCACUGAGCUUGGGUUGGCCAACUUGCCGAGUUGCAACCCUAUAUAAAUUGUUUUACAAAAAUCGCAAUUUUGACGAUUUAUACUUUAUUUGAUAACUGUUUUUAAAAACAUUUUUAAAAAAAUAGUUUUUAAGAACAGUUUUAAAAAAUUGUUCUAUGAUAUUUUUUAAAACAAAAGUUUAUUUGGAAACUUAAAAUUGUUUUUAAUCUAUUUUUAAUAUUUUUCAAUGUGUUUUAAAAAUUUUUUUUAUAUCCAUAGCUUUAUUUUUAAUCAUUAGAUAUAUAUAUAUGUAUAUAUAUAUAUAUAUAUAUAUAUAUAUAAUUUUUAAAAAUAACUCUAAAAAAAAAAUUGAAAAUAAUUAAAAGAUAUUAUCUAAAAACACCAUAUUUUUUAUUUUUUAUUAUCUAUUUUCUAAUAAUAGAAAAUAGAAAAUGGUUUUUUAUUAUUAAAUGAAUUUUAAAAUUCUUUUAUUCUAAAAACCAAAAAUUGUUCUUGAAAACAAUUGCAGGGCAUUAAUGCAAAGUCCAAGGCAUUAAUGCAAAGUCGCCCAACCAUCCCCUUCCAUUCCUUCAUACCUAAUGAAAUCCAAAUAAAUCACCCUUUUUUCAUUCAUGCUUCCAACGUCUUUUCUAAUAUUUAAAAUUGAUAAAUAUAAAAUCUCUCCAUAUGAUAUUGCCCACUUUGUCAUAGAAUUGAGAAUAAUGAUAAAUCACAAUUUUCACACAAAUGAAAGUUGUAUACUUUUUUUUUAUAAGGAAUAAUAUUGUGUAAGGAAGUAUUAAUAUAAACAUAUUAAAGGAAAAACACGAAAAAUAAAACAAAUCAUAUAAAAGAUAUAUAAGGUUUAUCUUCACUUUGAAUCAUGAAUCCUUUCGAUCUAUUAGAUGUUUUCACUUUGGGUGUUUUUUUCUCCUCUCAUAAUUUUUUUUCUUUAUAAUUUAGAAUAUUUAUAAAGAUAUUUAUACUAAUUUUCCUUAUUUUAUAAGAAAUUUAAUUACAAUCACAUCUAAAGUUAGAAAAUAUUCAUAACUUUAUGAUAUUCUAAAUAGGAAUUUAAGACACCUUCCUAACAAAUAAUUAUUUAAAUUUAUUUUUUUCACACAUUAUACAUUUCAAAUUUUCAAUAAAAAUUUCCACAUAAAUAAUUAUUUUUAGAUUUCUCUUUUUAAAUUUUAACAACAUUAAUAAUUGAAUAUUUCAUCCAAAUAAAAAAUAGUGAAAUUAAGAAAAAUUAAAAUAAAGAUAAAUAAAUAAAUUAGUCUCAUAAAUAUAUAAUAAUUUUUCAUAAAAAAUUAUGAAUUAAUAAUCCAACCAAAGCUCUGGGCCCAUAUGUUAUAUAUAUUGAGAAUCCAUAUGUUAUAAUGAGAAAUAAAAAAUAAAAAAAUGGAUUUAAAAUUUAAAAUUAUUUCAACAUGUUUCUUCAAACUCAUUGUAUAUAUUUUCCUUAUUUAUAUAAAGAUUAAAUAAUUCAAAAAUAUACAAGUAUUUUAAUUAGUUUUGAUAAUAUUUGAUUUUGUUUUACAAUAAUAAACGAAAUAUGCUCAAAUGAAUGAACCAUUGAAGCAUACUAUGCAUUUUAUAUAAAGUUUUUUUAUAUUAGUACCCAUGUGAACUGAUUAUAAGAAACUGGGGACUAUCAAAACUGUACAUCUGGAUACUGAGGAUCAGCAGAACAGAUAUAAUAAAAAAUGUUCAUAUUUUCUAUAGUGUCACAUGGGACUUAGAAUGGUUCUUGGUACAUACGUUAAUUGAUUUGGAAUCUUAAUUAACCUAAUCUAUAAUUAAAAAAUGGAUAAAUUAAUUAAUUUAAGAAUAGUAACGGUCCAUUUUUUGUCGGGCCACAUGUAGCCCUUACCUGAUAUAUAAUAUAAAGUGGACAAGUUGGAGCAUGCUUCCCAGAGUGAUUUAAAAAUUGUUGAAAAUUAAUGUAGAUGGCACCACAUUUUAUAUUAUUGAAUACAUCCACAACCUUUAAUUACAACUGGCAUGGCCUGGCAUGACUUGUCCACGGAAUCCAUAUUAUUAAUCAAUACCCAUGUGACCUGGCCUAUCCCAUCCACCAUAAAGAUAUCUCUUACUUUGUUCUCUAUUCUCUCACAAUUCCCUCAGCUUCUCAUCCUGUACGUGCUGUAUUUUCUUGGCUUUCUGCUACUUUGAGUUGUUCCGAAAUGGCUGAUCAAAUUCCAUUCGGUGUUGUGGAGCACAUUUUGACCAAGUUGGGGUCCAAGGCGUUUCAAGAAAUUGGAUCCAUGUAUGGUGUUCCAAAGGAGAUGACCAAGCUCAAUGGGAAACUGGGCACCAUCAAGGCUGUGCUUUUGGAUGCUGAGGAGAAGCAGCAACAGCAGAGCAAUCGUGCAGUCAAAGAUUGGGUCCGGAGGUUCAGAGGUGUUGUUUAUGACGCAGAUGACUUGGUGGAUGACUAUGCAACCCAUUAUCUUCAGCGAGGAGGAUUGGGAAGGCAGGUCAGUGACUUCUUCUCAUCUGAAAAUCAAGUUGCUUUUCGUUUAAACAUGAGUCAUAGACUCGAAGAUAUCAAAGAAAGGAUAGAUGAUAUUGCAAAAGAAAUCCCCAUGUUAAAUCUGACUCCACGGGACAUAGUACUACACACACGGGUGGAGAAUAGUGGGAGAGACACCCAUUCAUUCGUGUUAAAAUCUGAAAUGGUAGGAAGAGAAGAAAACAAAGAGGAGAUAAUAGGGAAGUUAUUGUCGUCCAAGGGUGAAGAAAAGCUUUCGGUUGUUGCCAUUGUAGGCAUUGGGGGGUUGGGUAAGACCACCCUUGCUCAAUUGGUAUACAAUGAUGAAAGAGUGGUCAAUCAUUUUGAGUUUAAGAUAUGGGCUUGCAUUUCUGAUGAUUCUGGUGAUGGUUUUGAUGUUAAUAUGUGGAUCAAAAAAAUUUUAAAAUCUCUGAAUGAUGGGGGUGCUGAAAGUCUGGAGACUAUGAAAACUAAGCUUCAUGAAAAAAUAAGUCAAAAGAGGUACUUGCUAGUCCUCGAUGAUGUUUGGAAUCAAAAUCCUCAACAAUGGGAUCACGUGAGAACUUUAUUAAUGGUUGGUGCUAUAGGUAGUAAAAUUGUAGUAACCACCAGAAAACCUAGAGUUGCAUCACUCAUGGGAGAUUAUUUUCCAAUUAAUUUGAAAGGUCUUGAUGAAAACGAUUCUUGGAGGUUGUUUUCAAAAAUCACAUUUAAAGAUGGAGAGAAGGAUGUGCAUACAAACAUCACCCAAAUUGGAAAAGAAAUUGCAAAAAUGUGUAAGGGAGUUCCUCUCAUUAUUAAGUCUUUAGCAAUGAUAUUGCGGUCUAAAAGAGAACCGGGGCAGUGGUUGUCUAUUAGAAACAAUAAAAAUUUGCUGUCACUCGGAGAUGAAAAUGAGAAUGUUGUAGGGGUGCUGAAAUUAAGUUAUGAUAAUUUGCCAACUCAUUUGAGACAAUGUUUUACAUAUUGUGCUUUAUUUCCAAAAGACUAUGAGAUUGAGAAAAAGUUGGUGGUACAACUAUGGAUAGCACAAGGUUAUAUUCAAUCUUCAAAUGAUAAUAAUGAGCAAUUAGAGGAUAUAGGGGAUCAAUAUUUUGAGGAAUUAUUGUCAAGGUCAUUGUUGGAAGAGGUUGAAGAUGAUUUUGCUAAUACAGUAAUGUAUAAAAUGCAUGACCUUAUACAUGAUCUUGCACAAUCAAUUGUAGGAUCUGAGAUCCUUGUUUUAAGAAGUGAUGUAAAUAAUAUUCCAAAAGAAGCUCAUCAUGUAUCAUUGUUUGAAGAGAUAAAUCUUAUGAUCAAGGCUCUAAAGGGAAAACCCAUAAGAACCUUUCUUUGUAAAUAUUCUUAUGAAGAUAGUACAAUUGUAAAUUCAUUUUUUUCGAGUUUUAUGUGUCUACGUGCGUUGAGUUUAGAUGAUAUGGAUAUAGAGAAGGUGCCAAAGUGUUUAAGUAAAUUGAGUCAUUUAAGGUAUCUUGAUCUUUCCUACAACAAUUUCGAGGUACUUCCAAAUGCUAUUACAAGGUUAAAGAAUUUGCAAACACUAAAACUCACAAGCUGUCGAAGAUUAAAAAGAAUUCCAGACAAUACAGGAGAAUUGAUCAAUCUUAGACACUUGGAGAAUGAUAGCUGUUAUAACUUGGCUCAUAUGCCACAUGGAAUCGGCAAGUUGACUUUACUUCAAAGUCUACCAUUGUUUGUGGUUGGGAAUGACAUAGGGUUAAGGAAUCACAAAAUUGGUAGCUUGAGUGAAUUGAAAGGCCUUAACCAACUAAGAGGAGGGUUAUGCAUAAGUAAUCUUCAAAACGUGAGGGAUGUUGAACUGGUAUCCAGGGGGGGAAUUUUGAAAGAAAAACAAUAUCUUCAGUCCUUGAGAUUGGAAUGGAAUCGGUGGGGCCAAGAUGGGGGGGAUGAGGGUGAUCAGUCAGUGAUGGAAGGCCUUCAACCACACCAACAUCUAAAGGAUAUCUUUAUAGACGGGUAUGGAGGUACGGAGUUUCCAAGUUGGAUGAUGAAUAGCCUGCUUCCUAACCUAAUUAAAAUUGAAAUUUGGGGAUGUUCAAGAUGCAAAAUUCUGCCACCCUUUUCUCAACUCCCUUCUCUCAAGUCUUUGGGGCUUCAUGAUAUGAAAGAAGUGGUGGAGUUAAAGGAGGGUUCAUUAACAACGCCACUCUUCCCAUCUCUUGAAUCGCUCGAACUCUCUUUCAUGCCAAAGUUGAAGGAAUUGUGGAGGAUGGACUUACUAGCAGAGGAAGGUCCUUCCUUUUCUCAUCUUUCUCAAUUAAAGAUCAGUUAUUGCCAUAACUUGGCAUCCUUGGAACUGCAUUCUUCUCCUUCUCUUUCUCAAUUAGAGAUCCAUUAUUGCCCAAACUUGACAUCCUUGGAACUGCCGUCAUCUCUUUGUCUUUCUAAUUUAUAUAUCGGAUAUUGCCCUAACUUGGCAUCCUUGGAACUGCAUUCUUCUCCUUGUCUUUCUCGAUUAGAAAUCAGGGAAUGCCCUAACUUGGCAUCCUUCAAAGUGGCUCCAUUACCUUAUCUUGAGACACUAUCUCUGUUCACAGUUAGAUAUGGUGUGAUAUGGCAGAUAAUGUCUGUCUCUGCUUCAUUGAAGUUUCUGUAUAUUGAAAGCAUAGAUGAUAUGAUAUCUCUCCCGAAGGAGCUACUUCAACAUGUUUCUGGCUUGGUAACGUUACAGAUCCGUGAGUGUCCUAACUUGCAAUCCUUGGAACUGCCCUCAUCUCCUUCUCUUUCUGAAUUAAGGAUCAUAAAUUGCCCUAACUUGGCAUCCUUCAAUGUGGCAUCAUUACCUCGUCUUGAGAAACUAAGCCUGCGUGGAGUCAGAGCAGAGGUACUGAGGCAGUUAAUAUUUGUCUCUGCUUCUUCUUCAUUGAAGUCUCUGCGUAUACGGGAGAUUGAUGGUAUGAUAUCUCUCCCAGAGGAGCCGCUUCAAUAUGUUUCCACUCUCGAAACUCUCUACAUUGUUAAGUGCUCUGGUUUGGCAACAUUACUACACUGGAUGGGCAGCCUUUCCUCGCUUACGGAACUUAUUAUUUAUGACUGCUCUGAAUUGACAUCACUGCCAGAAGAGAUCUGUUCCCUUAAAAAACUGCAGAAAUUUUAUUUCUGUGAUUAUCCACACCUAGAGAAAAGAUACAACAAGGAAACAGGUAAAGACCGGGCCAAGAUUGAUCAUAUCCCACGUAUUAAUUUCCAAAGUGAUCGAGUUAUGGAAUAUAAGGUCCGAAAUCCCUAACCUUUCUUCCCAUUUUUAUUAUUUAAGAAUCAAAAUGCUAUGUUUUCAUUUUAUUAUUAUGUUUUCACUGUAUCCUUGGCACCUCAUAUGUUUGUUUUUACUGCUCACAUUAAUAAUUUUGAAAUUUUUUUCCAGCUUGGAUGUGCUUUCCGAUGAUGUGCACUAAACUAACCAUUUUACUUGGAGUUGUACAUUCUAAGAGUUUGAGGAAAUACUGAGGUCUGAUAUGAUAACUCUAAAUCUUAAACGUUGUUUUGUGUUUGGAACGUUACUACACUUGAUACAUACCCUCACCUCACUUACAGAGCUUGGAAAUCGUGGCUGCCUUGAAUCGACGUCACUGUCAGAAUAUAUGUUCCCUCAAAAACCUGCAGACACUAAAUAAUCUGCAUCUGUUCACAGAAAGAUGCUGAAAGGAAAGGUGAAGACCAACCCAAGAUUGCUCAUAUGCCACAAAUUGAUAUCAUACAUCCAUGAAGAUUGAACUGAUACACAAUGCCUUUCAGGUCCGAAAUCCCUAACUUUUCUUCUCAUUUUCUAUGACUUCAUUUUCAUUAUCUUACUUUUAAAAUGCUCUGUUUUCAUUUGUUUUGGUAGUUCUUUGUAUUUGUGCCUUGUUUGAUUAAAUGCUUACUUCAAUUAAGUUUGAAAAUUUUUACAUCUUCAAAUUAUUUUAUUGUAAGUGUUUUGCAUUCUAAGAAUUUGAGGAAAUACUGAGCUCUAAUAUAACUAGUAGAGUCCACCAUUCCUAAGAAGCUUACCAUUGCCUAAUGCCCAAAGGAUCCCGAAAGGAGACAACUUUGGAUUGGCUUGAAGAUUUCACAUGGUCCAAAAAUUUGUAUUUACUAGACGCCUGAUACAAAAAGUAGUUUAAAUUUAGCCAUUAAUAAUAUAACUUUUUUAUUAGAGAAAUAAUUGCCAAACAAAUGCAAAAUAGAAAAUGGUGUUAAUGAAUUCAGUACUUCAUCUAUGUUGCAGUUUAGUAGCUUUUGUUAGAUAACGAGUAUGGGGUUGGGUUUAUCUGGUUACCAUUCCAAAUAUUCUUAAAAAAAUCAUCAAGGCUUUGUUUGGUUUCUUGAAAAUUUGAGGGAAAAAAUAGAGAGAAAAAGUGGAAGGAAAAAAAAAAGUGGAAGUCAAUAACUUGGCAUCCUUGGAACUGCAUUCUUCUCCUUGUCUUUCUCGAUUAGAAAUCAGGGAAUGCCCUAACUUGGCAUCCUUCAAAGUGGCUCCAUUACCUUAUCUUGAGACACUAUCUCUGUUCACAGUUAGAUAUGGUGUGAUAUGGCAGAUAAUGUCUGUCUCUGCUUCGUUGAAGUCUCUGUAUAUUGGAAGCAUAGAUGAUAUGAUAUCUCUCCAGAAGGAUCUACUUCAACAUGUUUCUGGCUUGGUAACGUUACAGAUCCGUGAGUGUCCUAACUUGCAAUCCUUGGAACUGCCCUCAUCUCCUUCUCUUUCUGAAUUAAGGAUCAUAAAUUGCCCUAACUUGGCAUCCUUCAAUGUGGCAUCAUUACCUCGUCUUGAGAAACUAAGCCUGCGUGGAGUCAGAGCAGAGGUACUGAGGCAGUUCAUGUUUGUCUCUGCUUCUUCUUCAUUGAAGUCUCUGCGUAUACGGGAGAUUGAUGGUAUGAUAUCUCUCCCAGAGGAGCCGCUUCAAUAUGUUUCCACUCUCGAAACUCUCUACAUUGUUAAGUGCUCUGGUUUGGCAACAUUACUACACUGGAUGGGCAGCCUUUCCUCGCUUACGGAACUUAUUAUUUAUGACUGCUCUGAAUUGACAUCACUGCCAGAAGAGAUCUAUUCCCUUAAAAAACUGCAGAAAUUUUAUUUCUGUGAUUAUCCAGACCUAGAGGAAAGAUACAACAAGGAAACAGGUAAAGACCGGGCCAAGAUUGCUCAUAUCCCACAUGUUCGUUUCAACAGUGAUUUGGAUAUGUAUGGGAAGGUAGGUCCGAAAUCCCUAACCUUUCUUCCCAUUUUUAUUAUUUAAGAAUCAAAAUGCUAUGUUUUCAUUUUGUCUCUGGUAAUUCUUUUAUGUUGGCACCUCAUAUGUUUGUUUAAAUGCUCACAUCAAUAACUUUUUGAAAAAUUUUCCAGAUUUGCUGAUGCUGUGUACUAAACUAAUCAUUUUACUUGCAGUUGUACAUUCUAAGAGUUUGAGGAAAUACUGAGGUCUGGUAUGAUAACUCUCAAUCCUUGGAACUGCAUUCAUCUCCUUCUCUUUCUCGAUUAACGAUCCAUGAUUGCCCAAACUUGGCAUCAUUACCUCGUCUUGAGGAACUAAGCCUGCGUGGAGUCAGAGCAGAGGUACCGAGGCAGUUCAUGUUUGUCUCUGCUUCUUCUUCAUUGAAGUCUUUGCAUAUACGGAAGAUUGAUGGUAUGAUAUCUCUCCCAGAGGAGCCGCUUCAAUAUGUUUCCACUCUCGAAACUCUACAUUGUUAAGUGCUCUGGCUUGGCAACAUUACUACACUGGAUGGGCAGCCCUUCCUCGCUUACGGAACUUAUUAUUUAUGACUGCUCUGAAUUGACAUCACUGCCAGAAGAGAUCUAUUCCCUUAAAAAACUGCAGAAAUUUUAUUUCUGUGAUUAUCCAGACCUGGAGGAAAGAUACAAGAAGGAAACAGGUAAAGACCGGGCCAAGAUUGCUCAUAUCCCACGUGUUCGUUUCAAGUGUGAUUUCAAAUUGAAAUGGAAGGUAGGUCCGAAAUCCCCAACCUUUCUUCCCAUUUUUAUUAUUUAAGAAUCAAAAUGCUAUGUUUUCAUUUUAUUAUUAUGUUUUCAUUGUAUCCCUGGCACCUCAUAUGUUUGUUUUUACUGCUCACAUUAAUAAUUUUGAAAUUUUUUUCCAGCUUGGAUGCGCUUUCCGAUGAUGUGCACUAAACUAACCAUUUUACUUGGAGUUGUACAUUCUUAGAGUUUGAGGAAAUACUGAGGUCUGAUAUGAUAACUCUCAAUCUUAAAUGUUGUUUUGUGUUUGGAACGUUACUACACUUGAUACAUACCCUCACCUCACCUCACUUACAGACCCAAGAAUACAUAGGGCCACACUUGGUGAAGGUUUCAUCAGUAAGGAGAACCAUUUCAAGUAUGAAAUCCUCCCUUCUCAUUUUCUGAUGACUUCAUUUUUAUUCAAUAUCCAUUUGAAAUUAUUUAAGUUCAUUUUCUUUAGAUAUUAUAUUUUCUUGCUUGCUCAAUAAUUUCAUUUAAGUAAGUUUUUUGGAUAUCACAUUUUCUUUGGGGUUUUUUUUCUUUUUAGAAUAAUUUCAAAAUGUCAUUUUUAACUAUUCACAAAAUUUGAUCAUAGUUGAGUGAUUAAAAUUCAAGUUUAUUCUUAUUAUCAUUAGUAGUUAUUUGAUAUGUUCGUUUGCUAAUACAAAAAUAAGACUAACAAGUAAUGUGCAUAGAGUUUGUAGAAGAGAAGAAAGAUUUGAUCCAAGAUAUUCCUAAAGAUCGGAAAAUUUCAAAGCCACCCAAGAUCGCACAGGUUGAAUUCGGAUUCAUCCAGUUUACAAUCCAUUAAUUCUACUUAUAUCAUCUUUGUUAUGUUACAAUUUGCCUUUACUUGUUAUGCAGCCUACCUUAAUAAUUUGGGGAGACCAAGAUAAGGUAUUCCUAGUAGAACUGGCUCACAAAUUGAAAAGGUAAACUUGUAUCACCUGCCUACAUGCCUACAACAAUACAAACACUAGCUCAUGUCUUUCUCACUAUUGAAAUUGUUAUUGCGUGCAGGCAUUUCAGGCGAGGAGACCCAACUUGUGAUCAUAGAGCAUACUUUUAUCAUAGAGAAGCCCAAGGAAAUAUUUAAGCACUUGAAAUCAUUUCUCAUUGAUUUGCUUCCACCUCCCAAGCAACACCUAGAACCACUCCCACCAUGACGAAGUUAAAAGGUACUAAUGCAACAUUCUCAAUAUAUUAGAAUAUAUCGAAGGAAGGGUGGCCACAUAUGAAGACCCUAUUCCAAGGUCAAAUUUUAGAUUUUUGUGUUUUUCCUAUCACUAUUCCUAUACUAUUACUAGUGCACCUUAUUUGUCAAGAUGAUUAAAAGGGAAUUCCCUAGGAUAAUUAGUGUCUCAAGUGAUCUUGAGGUUCAUAAAUUUUUGGUUUCCACAAGAUAGGUGCCAACUAUUUUUUUUUUUUUUUUUUUUACACCCAUGCAAUAUUCCAGUCAUCUAUUAACAAGGGCUAAAAUUUCUUGUAGAGAAUAGAAUAAAGAACUAAAUUACAUGAAAAUAGGACAUUAUUAUUCUAUUUACAAGUAAGGGCCAAAAAUUGUUGAGGGCCAUCAAGCACAUUGUUCCUAAAAUAAUAACAUCCAUGUUGUUGAGCAAAAGUUUUUUAUAUUGGCACCUCAGAUGUUUGUUUAAAUGCUCACAUCAAUAACUUUGAAAAUAUUUUCUAGAUUUUUGAAAAAUUGUAAUGUUGUGCACUAAACUAAUCAUUUUACUUGGAGUUCUACAUUCUAAGAGUUUGAGAAAAAACUGUCUGAUAUGACAACUCUCAAUCUUAAAUGUUGUUUUGUGUUUGGAAUAUUACUGCACUUGAUAGAUACCCUCACCUCUCUUACAGAACUUGGAAUUCAUGGCUACCCUGAAUUGACAUCCCUGGCAGAAGAUAUGUUCCCUCAAAAGCCUGUAGACACUAAAACAAUUUGCAUAUGUUCACACUUAGAGGAAAGAUGCUGAAAGGAAAAGUGAAGACUAAGCGAAGAUUGCUUAUAUCCCACAAAUUGAUAUCAUACAUCCAUGAAGAUUGAACUGAUACAAAAUGCCUUUCAGGUUCGAAAUCCCUAACUUUUCUUCUUAUUUUCUAUGACUUCAUUUUUAUUAUCUUACAUUCAAAAAUCCUAUGUUUUCAUUUGUUUUGGUAGUUCUUUUUAUUUGCACCUUAUUUGUUUUAUUAAAUGCUUACUCCAGUAAGUUUAAAAAUUUUUACAUCUUCAAAUCAUUUUGCUUGAGUGUUUUGCAUUCUAAGAGUUUGAGGAAAUAUUGAACUCUAAUAUAAAUAGUAUUGGUCAUAGAGUCUUCCUUUCUUAAGAAGCUUACCAUUAACCUAAUGGCCAAAGGAUCCCAAAAGGAAACAACUUUGGGUUGGCUUGAAGAUUUCACAUGGUCCAAACAUUCAUAUUUACUAGAUGCCUGAUAUAAAAUAAAUUUUGCUCUCUUUUCAAUUUAGCCAUUGAUGUAGUCUAAAUGUUUUAUUAGAGCAAUAAUUGUCCAGUAAAUGCAAAAUAGAGGAUGGUGUUAAUGAAUUCAGUACUUCAUCUAUGUUGUAGACUUGUAGUUUAGCAGCUUCUGUUGAUAAUGAGUGUGAGGUUGGCUUUAUCAUGUCACUGUUCCAAAUAUUCUUAAAAAAAAUCAUUUAAGCUCUAUUAGGUUCUUAGAAAAUUUAAGGGAAAAUGUGAGGAAAACAAAAUAGAGAAGAAAAGUGGAAGGAAAAAAAAGUGAAAGUCAAUGAAUUAUUUUUGUAUGCUACUUCAAACUCACUUCACUUUUUUUAACUCUUCAAUAUAAAGAUUCAAUCAUUUGAAAAAUGUGUAAAUUUCUAAUUAAUUUUAAUUAUAUUUGAUUUUCUUUGGAAUUCUCAUUUCUUCUCAUUUUCUUAUGACUUCAUUUUUAUUCAAUAUCUAUAUGAAAUUAUUUAUGUUCAUUUUCUUUAGAUAUUACAUUUUUUUGCUUUCUCAAUAAUUUCAUUCAAGUUCUUUUGGAUAUCACAUUUUCUUUGGUGUUUUUUUUAGAAUAAUUCAAAAUGUCUUUUUUAACGGUUCACAAAAUUUGAUCAUAGUUGAGUGAUUAAAAUUCAAGUUUAUUAUUAUUAUUAUUAUUAUUAUUAUUAUUAUUAUUAUUAUUAUUAUUGGCUAUUUGAUAUAUUUGUUUUCUUAUACAGAUAAAAGACUGGCAGCUAAUGUGCAUAGAAUUUGUAGAAGAGAAUAAAGAUUUGAUCUAAGUUAUUUCUAAUAGGUUGAGGAAUUCAUUCUUGUAAAAUUUGAGUGUUAAAGCCUUCAAGAGGUUUGAAUCUUGAAGAAAUUAUGUAAGAGCCCAUUGGAGCCAGAAUCCAAGUGUAAAGGAGAUUGGAAGCUUGGUUGAAGCUUCAAGUUAGUGAAACCCUCACUCGGUUAGGAGAUUGAGGAGAGUGGACGUAGGCAAGGAAAUGUCGAACCACUAUAAAAUCCAAGUUUAAAUUCUCUAACUCUAUCUCUUUAUUUUUUUUUAUUAUAUUGUACUUGAAUUUGUUGUGUUGAAAAAGUUUUUGAAAAACCCAAUUCACCCUCCUCUUAGGUGUUUUUCUCAUUUAAGCAUAGCCUUUAUUUUCUCACACUUGAAAUCCUUUCUCAUUAAUUUGCUUCCACCUCAUAAGCAACCCUCGAAACCACUUACACCAUGACAAGGUGAAAAGAAACUAAUGCUGCAUUCUCAAUAUAUAAGAAGAUAUCAAAGGAAGGUUGGCCACAUAUAAGGACCCUGUUUCUAAGGUAGAAUUUUAGAUUUUUGUGUUUUUCCUAUCACUACUCCUAUACUAUUACCAGUGCACCUUAUUUGUCAAGAUGAUUAAAAAGGAAUUCCCUAGGAUAACUAGUGUCUCAAGUGAUCUUGAGGUUCAUAAAUUUUUGGUUUCCACAAGAUAGGUGCCAACUAUUUUUUUUUUUUUUACACCCAUGCAAUAUUCCAGUCAUCUAUUAACAAGGGCUAAAAUUUCUUGUAGAGAAUAGAAUAAAGAACUAAAUUACAUGAAAAUAGGACAUUGUUAUUCUAUUUACAAGUAAGGGCCAAAAAUUGUUGAGGGUCAUCAAGUACAUUGUUCCUAAAAUAAUAGCAUCCAUGAAGAUUGAACUGAUACGAAAUGCCUUUCGAGUUUGAAAUCCCUAAAUUUUCUUCUUAUUUUCUAUGACUUCAUUUUUAUUAUCUUACAUUCAAAAAUCCUCUGUUUUCAUUUGUUUUGGUAGUUCUUUUUAUUUGCACCUUAUUUGUUUUAUUAUACUCCAGUAAGUUUGAAAAUUUUUACAUCUUCAAAUCAUUUUGCUUGAGUGUUUUGCAUUCUAAGAGUUUGAGGAAAUAUUGAGCUCUAAUAUAAAUAGUAUUGGUCAUAGAGUCUUCCUUUCUUAAGAAGCUUACCAUUGACCUAAUGGCCAAAGGAUCCCAAAAGAAAACGACUUUGGAUUGGCUUGAAAAUUUCACAUGGUCCAAACAUUCAUAUUUACUAGAUGCCAGAUACAAAAGAAAUUUUGCUCUCUUUUUAAUUUAGCCAUUGAUGUAGUCUAAAUGUUUUAUUAGAGCAAUAAUUGUCCACUAAAUGCAAAAUAGAGAAUGGUGUUAAUGAAUUCAGUACUUCAUCUAUGUUGUAGACUUGUAGUUUAGCAGCUUCUGUUGAUAAUGAGUGUGGGGUUGGCUUUAUCAUGUUACUGUUCCAAAUAUUCUUAAAAAAAAUCAUUUAAGCUUUGUUUGGUUCUUAGAAAAUUUGAGGGAAAAUGUGAGGAAAACAAAAUAGAGAGGAAAAGUGGAAGGAAAAAAAAGUGAAAGUCAAUGAAUUAUUUUUGUAUGCUACUUCAAACUCACUUCACUUUUUUUAACUCUUCAAUAUAAAGAUUAAAUCAUUUGAAAAAUGUGUAAAUUUCUAAUUAAUUUUAAAUAUAUUUGAUUUUCUUUGGUAUUUUCCAAAAGAUAAUCAAAUAUGAGAAAAUCAUUUUCCUUAACAUUUUUUUUUUCUUAGUACUUUUAGUGAACCAAACAUAACCUAAAUGUUUUAGUUUAGUAGUUUCAUCAAAUUAGAUAGACAACCUCACAUCUCUUAGUGAGCUCAGGUGCUAUGUCAAUUAAUGCUUUGUCUCUACUUCUUCAUUGAAGUCUCUAUUUAUUGGAUGCACAGAUGAUAUGAUCCAAACUCAAAUUGAACACUACUCUUGUUUUGCAACAUUACUGCACUCGAAAGACAACUUCAACUCACUUAUAGACCUUCUUAUUGGUGAUUGCACUAAAUCGACACCACUUUGGAAGAGAUGUGUUCCACAUAGAAAAUAUUUCAUUAUAUGCACCUACUCGCAAGAUACCAAAGGGAAACAAGUGAAUACUUGCCUAGGAAUACAAAGGCCAUACUUAGUGAAGGUUCCAUCAAUAAGGAGAACCAUUUCAAGUAUGGAAUUCUCAUUUAUUCUCAUUUUCUUAUGGCUUCAUUUUUAUUCAAUAUCUAUAUGAAAUUAUUUAUGUUCAUUUUCUUUAGAUAUCACAUUUUUUUGUUUUCUCAAUAAUUUCAUUCAAGUUCUUUGGAUAUCACAUUUUGUUUGGUGUUUUUUUUAGAAUAAUUCAAAAUGUCUUUUUUAACGAUUCACAAAAUUUGAUCACAGUUGAGUGAUUAAAAUUCAAGUUUAUUAUUAUUAUUAUUAUUGGUUAUUUGAUAUAUUUGUUUUCUAAUACAGACAAAAUACUAGCAGCUAAUGUGCAUAGAAUUUGUAGAUAGAAUUUGUAGAAGAGAAUAAAAAUUUGAUCUAAGCUAUUCCUAAAGACCAUAAACUUUUAGAGCUACCCAAGAUCUAACAGGUUAAAUUUUGAUUCACUUAGUUUACAAUCCACUAAUUAUCCUUAUGUCAUUUUUGUUAUGUUACAAAUUGCCUUUACUUGUUAUGCAACCUAUCUUAAUAAUUUGGGAAGACCAAGAUAACAUCUUCCUAGUAGAACUGGCUCAAAAAUUGAAAAGGUACACUCAUAUCACCUAUCUACAUGCCCACAACAUUAUAAACACUAGCUCAUGUGUUCCUCACUAUUGAGAUUGUUGUUGCAUGCAGGCAUUUUGGGCGAGGAGGCCCGACUUGUGAUCAUCAAUAACACAAGGCAUGCUUUUAUACAGAGAAUCCCAAAUAAACAUUUAAGCACUUUGUUAGCCCAAGGGUUCUCCUAAUCAGGUUUUGAUGAUAACAAACCAUGGUUAAGUGACUAAUUGGUUUGAAUGAUAAAGAAUCUUAGGUAUAAAUUUGGAAAUUCAUCAAAUGAUCAAAUGGAUACAAGAUCGAGACUUUUGGAAGACUUUUGAUCAUAGGAAACAAAUGUAAGAUGAAUGCAUGGGUGCACUUAGGUUUUACAUAUCUUUUCAUGAAUCUUUGAAAACUCGGUUUAUUCCUUAAAAUUACGAUUUCAUUAAAACCCGAGUUUUAUCAAAUGUACCUUAGGCAAAACAUUUCAAAAUUGGCAUAUUAAUUUACCUAAAGACCUUGCCUAAGUGUUAGAAAGGAAAAGAAUUGAAAAAUAUAGGUUUUCAGGGCCAAAAGGCUGAACUGAUCGAGGCACAUGCCAACCGGCUCAACCAACCAGGGAACCGGUCAAUCGGUUGCUCUUGCCCGAUCGAGAUCUGGUCGAGGAGUGUCAAAAACACUUUCUCUCAUCCAGUAACCUUCUCUUCCCAGUCGAGGUACUCUCCUUACCUCUGGUCGAGGUUCGGUCGAGGCAACGGUAACAUGCCAAAGCAUUAAAUGCUUCAACGACUAGUGAACCAAUCGACCCCCGGCUCGACCGGUUGAGGCUAUUUUUUGCUCUUUUUGGCUCCCGAGCUUAGAAACCAAUAAAUUGAGAGCUCCACUUCAUUUAUGACAUAGAGAAAACUUGCAAUCAAUUGUCUACCCACUUGUUCUUGCCUUAAAAGCUCUCAUUUAUUUCUUAGUGCAUUAAAUCCUCACUUGCAUAUCCUUUAGUACACCCUUGUGAAUCAUCCUAGCUUUGAUUUGUAUUUGAACUAUCAUUGAGGUAGAUUGAGGGAUUCAUUCUUGUAAAAAUUGAGUAUUAAAGCCUUCAAGAGGUUUGAAUCUUGAAGAGAUUAUGUAAGAGCCCAUUGGAGCCAGAAUCCAAGUGUAAAGAAGAUUGGAAGCUUUGUUGAAGCUUCAAGUUAGUGGAACCCUCACUCGAUUAGGAGAUUGAGGAGAGUGGACGUAGGCAAGGAAAUGUUGAACCACUAUAAAAUCCGAGUUUAAAUUCUCUAACUCUAUCUCUUUAUUUUUUAUUAUAUUGUGCUUGAAUUUGUUGUGUUGAAAAAGUUUUUGAAAAACCCAAUUCACCCAUUUCUUAGGUGUUUUUCUCAUUUAAGCAUAGCCUUUAUUUUCUCACUCUUGAAAUCCUUUCUCAUUAAUUUGCUUCCACCUCAUAAGAAACCGUCAAAACCACUUACACCAUGACAAGGUGAAAAGAAACUAAUGCAACAUUCUGAAUAUAUCAGAAGAUAUCAAAGGAAGGUUGGCCACAUAUGAGAACCUUGUUUCUAAGGUAGAAUUUUAGAUUUUUUUGUUUUUCUUGUCACUGUUUCUAUACCAUUACUAGUGCACCUUAUUUGUCAAGGUGAUUAAAAGGGAAUUCCCUAGGAUAACUAAUGUCUUAGAUGAUCUUAAGGUUCAUAAAUUUUUGGUUUCAACAAGAUAGGCGUCAAACCAUUUUUAUUUUUUUCUACACCCAUGCAAUAUUCCAUUCAUUUAUUAAUAAGGGCUAAAAUUUCUUGUAGAGAAUGGAAUAAAGAACUAGAUUAAAUUAAAUAAGACAUUAUUAGUCUAUUUACAAGUAAGGGCAAAAAAUUCUUGAGGGUCAUUAAGCACACUAUUCCUAAAAUAAUAACAUCCAUGUCGUCGAGCAAAAGUUUAUUGCAAUUACAUUAGCAUAUAAAACAAAACUAAUUUUUUUAUUAUUUAUGUUCACACCUUAUCCAUUUGAUAAAAUGCUUAAACAAGUAAGUUUGAAUUUUUUUUGUCUUCAAAUCAAUUUAAAUUUUACAUUCAAAAGUUGAAUUAAUUUUUUUUUUUGGAAAAUUUAACUGCACUUUAGAAGUUUGUGAUUAUUCUUUGGUCCAUCUUAAAAUGAGUUCCCGCAUUUUUCCAUUCCUGAAAUUAAAAUCACAAUAAAAAGUUUUAGAUUGACCUAAAAUUUUCUCAUGGCCUAGAAAUUCAUAUCUACUAGAUGGCUAAAGCAAAAAAACACUUCUAUCUUGUAUUUUAAGUAAUCCCUGCUUGCUAUUUGUUUAUUGAGAGCAUCAUACAAGUUGUGAUUAUAUUUCUUAAUUUUUUUAUAUGAUAAGACGGUAACUGGAUUGAGAAAGAUGCAACUUGUAGAGCAGAAAAUUUCUUGACUACUUUCCUUGUAUUUGCUUUGUGUGUAUCAACUGUUCUGUUAAUUAUUUUUUUAAAAUAUCACUAAAACAAACCUAUUAUGUCAAUGCUCUCUAUUGUUAUGUAUCAUAAUUUAGCUAUUUUUUCCCUAGAAAUCAUGCUUGUUAUUGUGUUAAUCAGUAGGUAGCAUAAGAACUAUUUUGUUCAAGUCAUUUUGUAUUGGCAUUCUUCAUGUUUUAAAAUAUUGUCAGACUAGCAAUUUUACUGCAGAUAUAAUGUUCUCAAAUCAAUGCAAAAAGGGACGUUGUGGGGCUUGGGCACAACCUUCCUUAAAUAGUUGAAUUGAGGGUUUCUAUAAACUAGGUCUCUAUAUCAACAGAUUCUACAUUUCAUCACUAUGGGGACCUUACAAUAAAUACCGCAAAAAACUUCAUUUACUACAUAGUAAGGAUAAUCCUAAGGACUUAAAAGCUUGAGUUGUCUUUUCCAUGGCAGCUUCAGAUCUCUUAAUAAGCUCCAAGUCAUUGUCUACCUUGAAUAUAAAUCACUGCUAGAAGUAUGUGCCCUCAACAUUCCCAUGUUCUCGAUAUUGACUAGAUAUUUGUUGCUAAUCCAUGAAGAAUUGAAGGGAUCUUUGAUAAUGACAUCUAUAAUGUACUUCAAGUUCAUGAUCCAAACCCUCUUCUUGCUUUCAAUAACUUCAUUUUUUUUUUAUAUUACUUUGUGGUCAAUGUUAUAAGGAUGUUGUAUUUUGUUUACCUGAUUCUCAUCCAUCAGCACACAUGAAAGGAAAAGUUUUACAUUGCUUUCCUUCCCUUUGCUCUGUGUUUGUAUAUGUUUAUGCAGCUAAUGCGAACUUCCACCAUAACUUUUUAAGUUUUUUCAUUCUUGAGUUUGGGAAACAACUGGAUUUGAUUGUAAUAUUUCUUGUAGAUAUCACCUUUCUUAAAAAGCUUGCAUUUAUUCACAUUUUCAAGAUGGCUAAGUCAUCUGAUUAUGCUUAUAACUUUUGGUUUCUAUUAAAUUCAGGUAUGAUGUUUGCAAUGCUAACCCCCUUACUCCUCUUGAAGACUACAUAAGUUUCUAGUGCUGUUACUUUAAUGGUUAUAGUCAAUGUAUCCUCUUGUUACUUCCUGCUUGCAUUCUAUAUGUUCAAGAGCUUUAUUAAAGUAAUUAUUUUAUUGAAGAUAUAAUUGUUUUCAGGUCAAAGCAAAAUUGAAUAAUGACGUGGUUUCAACAACUUCUCAAAAGUAAUUGGAAAGUAAGGAACUUUGUGGUAGUAUUCUGAUAUCACAUUGGGCCUUCAAAUUGUUGUCUUGAAUUGACAUAAAUAACAUAAUUUCUUUCCCAGUUAAGUUGCUUCAACAUGUUAUUAUGCUUCAAACUCUUUCAAUUAUGUGUUGUUUAGGUUUGGCAACAUUAGUACACUGGAUAUGUUGCCUCGAGUUACUUACACGACAUAAAAUUCAUCUUUGUUGUUAACUAGCAUCACUACCACAAGAUGAGUUCCCUCAGCAUUCUACAGACAACUAUAAUUUGGGACAAUUCUGGUUUGGCAACAUUAUCGGAGUUGAUAGGCAACCUAACAAAAACCUUUAAAUUUAUAUUUAUCCCGAACUAGCAUCACUGCUGGAAGACGUGCAUCCUUAGCACCCUAUAACCACUCAUAAUUGGAGACUGUUAUGGUUUGUAAACAUUCAACAGACUUGAUAGGUAACCUUGCACCAGUUACAGAGCUUCAAAUUCAUGGCUAUCUUGAAUUGACAUCACUUUCAAACUAGAUGGUUCAUCCAAACCUCAGUUGACACCCAUAAUUCAAGACUUCUCCAUUUUGGCAAUGAUAGCAGAUUUGAUAAGCAUCCCUACUUCACUUACAUACACUAAAAUUGAUAGCUACCUCGGAUUCACAUCAUUGUCACAAGAGAUUGGUUCCUUUAUAUCCCUGCAGACACUUGUGAUCUUUUAUCAUCCAUGUAUAUUAGAAAGACUUAAAAGGGAAAUAGAUGAAGAUAGGCCCAAUAAUCUUCAGUCCUAGAUAUUGAUAUGUGGUGAAGAUUGGACUAAUAUAGAGUUAGUUCAGGUUUGAAAUCCCAAUCUUUCUUCUCAUUUUUUAUGGUUUUGUUUUUAUCAAUAUGCUUUGUUUACAUUCUAUAUGGUAACUUUUGUAUGUAUUAGCAUAUAGAUCAAAAAGGACUUAGAUGAUUAAUUUGAAAAGUUUGCAUCCUCAAUUAAUUAGUAAUUAAAGACCAAACUAAUCAUAUUACUUUAAGUCUUGCAUUGUAAGAGUUUGGGAAAAUGUUAGGGUUGACUGAACUACUAUUUUAUAACAGAUUUUGCCUUACUCAAGAAUCUUGUGAUUAUUCCUUAGCACAAUCAUUUCUCGUGUCUAAGAAAUUCAUAUCUACUACAUGUCCAAAGAAUUUAGUAGCAUUCAAAAUUUAUGCUUUCUUUCAAGUCAGGUGUAUUGCUUGCAGUUCUAACAUGUUUCCUAUUUUGAACGUUGUAUUGUUAUUUUACUAUCAAUGUGUUAAGAGCAUUAUACUCUAUUUUCUAUAAUGUUGUUUACUUGUCAUAAGUAUUAAUUAUUUUAUUGCAAAUGUACUUGUUGCCAAGUUAAAGCAAAAGAGGAAAGUGAGGAUUUUUCAUGGACCAAUGCCUUUCUCAGUUGCUGCCACACUUGACUUCUCUCUAAGUUGUUGAAAAUUUAAAAGUGUGGUAGCAUAAAGUAUUCAGCUCAAGUGCUUUAGUGACUCACUACCCUUGAAGCUUUAGAAGUUGUCAAUACAAUUGGGGUUUCAACAUGUAACCAUUUUGGAAAUUCUAAGAAGUGUAAGUAUUAUGGUUUUACAACUUUAUUAGACUAGAUAGGCAACUUCAAAUUGCUGAAUGCCCUGAAUUAAAAUCACUACUAGAAGGAACCCAUGAGCACUCUAUAGAAACUCAUUGUAAGAGUUUGGGAAAAUGUUAGGGUUGACUGAACUACUAUUUUAUAACAGAUUUUGCCUUACUCAAGAAUCUUGUGAUUAUCCCUUGGCACAAUCAUUUCUCGUGUCUAAGAAAUUCAUAUCUACUACAUGGCCAAAGAAUUUAGUAGCAUUCAAAAUUUAUGUUUUCUUUCAAGUCAGGUGUAUUGCUUGCAAUUCUAACAUGUUUCCUAUUUUGAAUGUUGUAUUGUUAUUUUACUAUCAAUGUGUUAAGAGCAUUAUACUCUAUUUUCUAUAAUGUUGUUUACUUGUCAUAUGUAUUAAUUAUUUUAUUGCAAAUGUACUUGUUGCCAAGUUAAAGCAAAAGAGGAAAGUGAGGAUUUUUCAUGGACCAAUGCCUCUCUCAGUUGCUGCCACACUUGACUUCUCUCUAAGUUGUUGAAAAUUUAGAAGUGUGGUAGCAUAAAGUAUUCAGCUCAAGUGCUUUAGUGCCUCACUACCCUUGAAGCUUUAGAAGUUGUCAAUACAAUUGGGGUUUUAACAUGUAACCAUUUUGGAAAUUCUAAGAAGUGUAAGUAUUAUGGUUUUACAACUUUAUUAGACUAGAUAGGCAACUUCAAAUUGUUGAAUGCCUUGAAUUAAAAUCACUACUAGAAGGAACCCAUGAGCACUCUAUAGAAACUCAUUGUAAGAGUUUGGGAAAAUGUUAGGGUUGAUUGAACUACUAUUUUAUAACAGAUUUUGCCUUACUCAAGAAUCUUGUGAUUAUCCCUUAGCACAAUCAUUUCUCGUGUCUAAGAAAUUCAUAUCUACUACAUGGCCAAAGAAUUUAGUAGCAUUCAAAAUUUAUGUUUUCUUUCAAGUCAGGUGUAUUGCUUGCAAUUCUAACAUGUUUCCUAUUUUGAACGUUGUAUUGUUAUUUUACUAUCAAUGUGUUAAGAGCAUUAUACUUUAUUUUCUAUAAUGUUGUUUACUUGUCAUAUGUAUUAAUUAUUUUAUUGCAAAUGUACUUGUUGCCAAGUUAAAGCAAAAGAGGAAAGUGAGUAUUUUUCAUGGACCAAUGCCUCUCUUAGUUGCUGCCACACUUGACUUCUCUCUAAGUUGUUGAAAAUUUAGAAGUGUGGUAGCAUAAAGUAUUCAGCUCAAGUGCUUUAGUGCCUCACUACCCUUGAAGCUUUAGAAGCUGUCAAUACAAUUGGGGUUUUAACAUGUAACCAUUUUGGAAAUUCUAAGAAGUGUAAGUAUUAUGGUUUUACAAAUUUAUUAGACUAGAUAGGCAACUUCAAAUUGUUGAAUGCCUUGAAUUAAAAUCACUAUUAGAAGGAACCCAUGAGCACUCUAUAGAAACUCAUUGUAAGAGUUUGGGAAAAUGUUAGGGUUGAUUAAACUACUAUUUUAUAACAGAUUUUGCCUUACUCAAGAAUCUUGUGAUUAUCCCUUGGCACAAUCAUUUCUCGUGUCUAAGAAAUUCAUAUCUACUACAUGGCCAAAGAAUUUAGUAGCAUUCAAAAUUUAUGUUUUCUUUCAAGUCAGGUGUAUUGCUUGCAAUUCUAACAUGUUUCCUAUUUUGAACGUUGUAUUGCUAUUUUACUAUCAAUGUGUUAAGAGCAUUAUACUCUAUUUUCUAUAAUGUUGUUUACUUGUUAUAUGUAUUAAUUAUUUUAUUGCAAAUGUACUUGUUGCCAAGUUAAAGCAAAAGAGGAAAGUGAGGAUUUUUCAUGGACCAAUGCCUCUCUCAAUUGCUGCCACACUUGACUUCUCUCUAAGUUGUUGAAAAUUUAGAAGUGUGGUAGCAUAAAGUAUUCAGCUCAAGUGCUUUAGUGCCUUACUACCCUUGAAGCUUUAGAAGCUGUCAAUACAAUUGGGGUUUUAACAUGUAACCAUUUCUUUUUGUUCUUAUAGACAAUAGAACAAUGUGGUAAUUGCAUGACAUACAAUUUGUAAUAGAUGGUCAACUAUAUAUUAAGUAAUCUUUAAUUGCCUUGGAGUUGAAACGUUUGAUGUUGAUAAGGUUUGAUAAUUCUUGCUUUGGUGCUUUGUUGGAUUUCAAUUCAGGUAAUUAAUUGAUCUUGUUAUGAUUUUUUGAUUGUUAUUAUAACUAUCGUGAUAAUCAUUCUUAUUUUAUCGUGGUAAUUGACUUCACUGACUUUAUGCCCAACCUAUUAUUGUUAGUAUUCCAUUAACAUACCUCUAAUGCCACCACUAAUAAACAUCAUGUGUUUAUAUUUAUAACACGUUUCAUUACUGAAAUAAUUUAAUAUUUUCAAAUUUCUUUUUAGAGUGUGAGAAAUAACCAUUAAUCUUUACAACAGCAUAAGUAUCAUUGAUUUGAUAUUGCUUUCUUGAGUAAUUUGGCAAUUUAAUUAUGAAGUUUAGUUGGACAUUACUUGAGAUUCAUGUCUUAUGUAUAUGGUAUAUUUUCCAAACUUCAAUUAUAUUUAGUAGACUUGUAAGUGGUGUUUGUCUAUGAGUUUCAACUCUUGAAAACUAUUAUUGGAGUCUAAGUUCACUUUCAAUAAGGAAAAAAAAAAAUCAACCUUUUCCUCAAUUGUGUAAUUUUAUUCACUAUUGACAUGCCCUUAAAUGGCAUUGCUAUUAUUUGUAGGGAACAUUGUCAAGUUCCAUAUUUGUCUAGAAAGUUAGAAGAAGUAUUUAAUUUGACAUGGUUUGGACAUCUUGCUACUAUCUUUUUAAAUUAGUUAUCAAUAAUUUUUCAAAGUUGACCUUUUUGUUUAUCUCAUACUCCUUUUAUAUUAAAAGGUAUCGCAUGGGUAUUAUGUAGAGGAAUCAUGCCUUCUUUAAUUGAGGUGAGCCUCUUGCAAAAUAUUUCAGGUUUGCUCUCAUUCCAUUUGUUACUUCAUGUCUAUUUUUUUGUAAUCAAUCAAGCAAGAGUUUCUUACUUGUACAAUGGUGAACUUGCUUGCAUGAAUAAUACUCUUUUUACUAUUUUUUUCUUUCUUUAUUAUAUUCAUUGAUACGCUUAGAAGUGAAUAGUGAACCAGGUUUUUUGUUAAAAGAAAUCAAAUAUUGGUAAUUAUUUAGUAUCAUGUUUGUAAUAAUCAAUUAUUGAUUGUAAAGAUACUUGGCUUAAUCAAUUAUUAUAUUGAAAUCAAUUUAGUACUAUGACUAAUACCAAAAGGAUAAUAUUUAGUCUUGUUUGACCAUUAGUCACUAUUCUAGAGACAAAUGCUCACAAGUUUUGCAUCUUUGAAGCAUAUGAGAAAAGUUGGUUCAACUAUAUCACCAACUUACAAGCUCCUUAUAGUGUCCAUAUAUAUAACCUUCGUUGUUCAGGUUUAUGAUUCAUAUCUUUUUUUUUUUCAUCUUUUUAUUGUUUAUAAUUUUUUAAUUGAUUUGUUUAUAAAUUUUUAAACUUUAUUGGCAAUACUAAUUAUUUUUUUUUAUUCUCAUGUGCAAUAGAAUAAUAAGUUGAAUAAGAAGCAUAAACUACUUAAUUGGUAUAACCGUUUACUCAAUUCUCUUCUCAUAUAUUUUUGUUCAAGGUAAUCAAAGUAUCAUUCUUUUUAUUUUUAAAGGUACUUGAACUCAGUGAGGACCAUUCCCAAAACAAGCAAUCAUUACAGUUGGAUUACUGAUAUCAUAUCCUUGAUUGACAUCUAUGCCAUUACAUUUGCAUCUAAAGGAUUUAUAAUGAAAAAAUAUCUUUUUUAUUUCCAUUUUCCUUCCUUCUUUUGACCAUAAUUUGUGUGCUUAUUGAUAGCAUUCAUACCCUAAUAUAUUUGCUAGCAUAUAUAUGCAUAUCAUAAUCUAUUGAAUUUUUUAGCAUAAGGUCUUAGAGUAUUCACAUAUCUCUAGGUUCUAUAUAUUUAUAAUUUUUACAACAUCAAAUGAAGUAUAUGAACCUUAUCCUGAAGGUGAAGUCUCUUUAAAGGGAGUUUCAACAUGUUAGCAAUUACCUAACUUAAUAAUCUAACAAUUUGGCACUAUAUAUAAUUUUGCAACUCUUUCAUAAAGUAAUUGUGUUACCUUUAUUCACAUUUUCUAUCUUUAUUUUAAAAAAAAUGAAUUGGUAAUUGUGUGUCAAAUCUUGCUUACAAUCAUUAAUAGGUACUUAUAUGCUAAAUGGAUAAAGUUAUUUUACAAUUGUUUCAACAUAUUUGGAAUAUAUAUAUAUAUAUAUAUAUAUAUUUAUAGAUGUAAUCACUACCAAGCCAAUGCGAAAAGCUAUAACAAUGAGGAUUACAAAGCUUCAAUUAUGUCUUGGAGAUUCAUAUUGACAAGUUGUAAAUGGUGGGUGAAGUCUCUUUAAAAGGAGCUUCAACAUGUUAGCAGUUACCAAACUUAAGAAUCUAACAACUUGACACUAUAUAUCAUUUUGCAACUCUUUCAUAAAGUAAUUGUGUAACCUCUAUUCACAUUUUCUAUCUUUAUUUUAAAAAAAAAAAUGAAUUGGUAAUUGUGUGUCGAAUCUUGCUUACAAUCAUUAAUAGGUACUUAUAUGCUAAAUGGAUAAAGUUAUUUUACAAUUGUUUCAACAUAUUUGACACACAAGUACCUAUUAAUAAGUAUAUAUUUAUAGAUGUAAUCAUACCUAGCCAAUGCGAAAAGCUAUAACAAUGAGGAUUACAACGCUUCAAUUAUGUCUUAGAGAUUCAUAUUGACAAGUUGUAAAUGGUGGGUGAAGUCUCUUUAAAAGGAGCUUCAACAUGUUAGCAGUUACCAAACUUAAGAAUCUAACAACUUGGCACUAUAUAUCAUUUUCCAACUCUUUCAUAAAGUAAUUGUGUAACCUCUAUUCACAUGCUCUAUCUUUAAUUUUUUUUUUUUUUUAAAAAAAAUGAAUUGGUAAUUGUGUGUUGAAUCAUUCUUACAAUAUUUAAUAGGUACUUAUACACUAAAUUGAUAAAGUUAUUUUACAAUUGUUUCAACAUGUUCUGAAAACAAAAAAGAUUAAUAAGUAUAUUUUUUCUAGAUGUAAUCACUACCAAGCCAAUGUGAAAAGCUAUAACAAUGAGGCUUACAAAACUUCAAUUAUGUUUUGGAGAUUCAUAUUGAAAGUUGUAGAUUAUGGAUGUAUAGUAUAGGAGUUAGAUUGAGUUUAUCAUUCUAUCUUUGACAUCUUAGUUUUCUAUGUAUUGUCCAUCAUAUAUAUUUGUCAUCUAUUCUUUACAACCAAUUUUUUAAGGACUUCUAUGAUUUGUUUAAAUUUAUAUAUUUGUUUUUAUUUGUACUAGAACUUCACCAAGCUACAAAAGCAUCACAAGUAUUGCAAUUGGAGUUCAUGGAUCAGGUAUUUUAGUAGUUUUUGUACCUGAAAUUUUUUUAUGAUACUAAUGAGGAUGUUUACCUUGAUUAAUUUAACACUUAUAUUGCAAAUAUCUAUAUAGGAGUUCUAUACAUUUAUUUAAACAUUUAUAUACAUAUUUAUCCUCUUUCUAGCACAUUCUAAUGAUAUUUUUAACAUUGAUAUAAGUUGUUUGCUUGAAGGUUUCAACUAUUGAAAAUUAUUAUUCAAGCCUAAUGUUAAUCUUUUUCUAUAGUGGAUUUCAAAUAAUAAAUUCUUAUUUGAUUAUUUGUAGGGAAAAUAAACAACUUCUAUGUUUGAUAAGAAAGAAGAUAGAGUAGAUCAAUUUCACAAUAUACGAAUGCUACGCUUUCUAUACUUUUAAAGAUGGUUACAAUUGGCUUUCUAUACUUAACAAGUACAUCUUAGCUAAAAGUGAAAAAAUGUUUCUCUUUGCACAUGCCUUCACUACUAUUUUAAUUGCUAUCUUAAUAUGUUAUGGAAAAACCACGGCAAAUAACAAUAAUAAGGAGAAGAAAUAAAAGAACAAAAAUAUAAAACUUAUAAAGUAGGAUGAUCUAUGUGGUUUGGCCUAAACCUACAUUUAUAUGUGAAAAUGAAGAAGAACUUCCACUAUUAUUAAAGGAGAUUAAAAUCCUAAAGCUUUCAAAUCUCAUGAUUACACUAAAAAUGGACUUUUUUUUUUAAUCAAAAUCUCUUCCUUUAUUUUCUUGAUUAUAUAAGAAUAUUCCAUAGAGAAUUAAUUGUGUAAUUAUCAAAGAUAACUAUUCCUAAAAGAAAAAUCUUAUAAUAUGAUAUUUCCUUUAGAAUAAAAGAAAAAUCUCUUGUAUAAAUAUAUCAUAAUAGGAAAAUAUUAAAGACUUAUAAAUUGACUCAAAACAAUUUGAAAUAUUUUUCAACAAUCUCCACAUUGGCUCAAAUUCUCAAUAUUCAAAUAAACUCAAAAGUCUUCUAUGUUACUUUGCUCUUAUACACCCUUAAGGGAACUUCAAGUAAUAUCAAUACCAAUUAAGUCUAAGCAAUGCAUAAACUUAAUCAUAGAAAUAAGUUUAGCCAUCAUAUCUAUAAAAUUAUCAACUAUAGGGAUCUUUUUCAUUACAUUAGUACCUUGUUCAAUCACAUCUCUAAUAAAAUGCAUUCUAACAUCAAUAUGUUUGGUUCUCUCAUGUAACAUAUGAUUUUUAGUCAAAAGUAUGACACUUGGCUACCAUGAUAACAAUAAUCAAUGAUUGGAACCAAAUAAUUACAUUUUGUGUGCCUAAAAUUAGGCAUUCAUAUUUAAUAUCCAAUUCUAGUUUCAUCCCUUUACUCAAUUUUAUUCCUAAGUCCUUAAUUUUGGGUUUAAUGUAUUUUUUAAAUAUUUUCCUUCUUUUUUGGUAUAUUUAUAUCACAUUUUUGCUAGCCAUUAUAUUUUUCAUGUGUUGGUUGCUAAUUUUACACUACAUAGUUGUCACAUCAUCCAACUAAUGGUUGUUACAUUAUCCAACUAUGGGCUGCCACAUGCUCCAGCUACCUUAGCCUCCUUGCCAAGUAUUUUCCAUGCCAAAAAAAGAUUGACAACUAUUUCAAUUGGUUGGUAAAGUUGAGAAAAGCUUCCACCAACCUCGCCAUUAAGUUGUGCUCCUUGCUCCAAUUUCUAAUUUUGCUUUCUACCCUCUUGUGGAGUUAGUGUGGAAAUGACUUUAUACAAGGGAGAUGAAGGUUGGUUUUAAGUAAGGUAGCUUAUUUGUAAACUUGUAUUUCCUUCAUUCAGGCGGUAGUUCUCAUUUCUUAGCCUUGAUUUUCAAUUUUGAUCCUCUCAUCUUGCCUCUAUGAGUGGCCAACAUCCAAACCAAGGAAUAAUUUUUAAUAAAAUAUUAAUAUUAAUGUUCAAAUAAAAUCAUAUAUUUAUAUUCCUUAUCACAUUUAUAGGAAGAGAAAUAUUUGAGACUAGGCCCAGUUCACUUUUUAUAAUUAUAAAUAUCAUAAAAAUAUGAAUAUUAAUAUCCUUAUCCUCAUAAAAGCAUAAUUAAUUUAUUUUAUAAAAAAUUAAUAAUAAUAAUAAUAAUUACUAGUACGAUUUUAUUUUAAAUAGAUUUAAAAUUAAAUAAAGUUUAAUUUUUAAGGUAUACAUGCAUAAGUUUUUCAUUACAUAUACACAUUUAAUACUUAAUUAGUAAUAGUGUAUUCUAAAAUUUUUUUAUCUAGUCUAUAACUAAUUAAUCCAUUUUUUGGAAUUCUAAAUUGUUCUUAAAAAUUAAAAUAUUCAUUAAAGAAUUGAAAGUGUUUAUUAUGUUUAACUUAAUUUAAAUUUAUUUAUCUAGUGAGAAAAUUCAUAAAAUAUAGUUUUAUGUAUAAAGGAAAUAGUAACGACUUUACAUUUAACGAAUCUUUUAUUUUAUAUUGAUUCAUUUAAUAGUCUAUUAUAUAUAUUUAAAAUUUAUUAAACUCAUUAAUAAAUUCAAUACAAAGUUUUACUUAAUUUGAAAUUCAUCUCUCUAGUGAAAAAAUUGAAAAAAAAUAUUAUUUUGUGAAAAAAAAAUACAAUAAAAUCAUUCUAAACUAAUUUUUGUCCAUAGAUUUUUUGUAUUUAUUAGUUUAUUAUUUGAUUUUUAAAUUAAUUUAAAAAAUUAUUAGACUUAUUAAUGAAUCCAAUACAUUAUUUUUUUGUUUAAUUUAUUUAUCACACCAUCAAACAAACUUUUAUUAUUAGUAAAAGACCUCUCAAAAGAUGUUUUUUUUCUAAAUAAAAAAAAAUAUUAUAAACGAUGUUUGAUUCGAGAGUUUUUUAAAAAUAAAAAUUAUUUUAAAUUAUGUGUACAUAAUUGUUGCAAAUUUAUUUCUUUUUCCAUUACCAUUUUCAUUCCUACUUAACAUUGAAAUGAAAACAAAUAAUCAAUUAAACCUUACAUUUAUUCCUAAUCCAAUGACAAGAAUUGGUAUCACCGAAUUCAUUCCAUUCUCUAGUCUCAUGUAUCAAACAUAGUCGUAUAGUACCAAAAACUUCUUCUAAGUAAUGUGGAAUAUCACAUUCACUUUCAUACAGAUACAGUUUUUAUUGUAUCACAUGGAAUUGUGAGGCCUUUUAGUACCAUUUGUAAUGACCCACCUCCAAUUAUAUAAAUAUUAUUUGGUCUAAGUCCAAUGGACUCUAAUCGGUUUUAAAACUUGGCUAUACUGUUAAGAGAAGUCUACUAUGUAUACAAUCUUCUCCUAAUAAACAUGUGACAUAACAAAUGGUGGGACUCAAACUAAAGCAAGGCCUUUCAAACUGUCUACCAUCUUAGUUUCAGCAUGAAUUCAAUUUGUUCCAAACAACAUAACUCUGGAGUAUUUUAAACAAACGAUUUCCAUUUAAAACACAUUAUUAAAGUAUAAAGAAAACAAACCCGAUCUUCAAGCGGUUUUGGGGAUCACCUGUGGAAGAGCAGUGAAAUAGAAAUAUCCACUAAGUGUAUAGGGACCCAAGAUCAACACAUGCAACAGGAUAUCUAAUUCCUCCUAAUAUCAUCAGCAUGAAGAAAAUUGGCAUCAUUUCCACUGAGUUCUGAUGCCCUCUCUGAAAAAAAAAUAAAUGCAAAACAUUUGUUUUUUCUAAUCAUCGGUCAUCCAUACAUAGAAAAAUCUAUGUGUGAUCUUAAGCCAGAAAAGAUGUUGCAUCUAAUCAAAUUCACUAGACAUGAUGAUAUCUAUACUUUUUUUUUUUUUAAUUAUAUUCAUAUUUAUGUCAGAAAAUAAAUUUUUUAUUUUUUAUUUUUAGAACAUUAAACUUUUUAAAAGUCCUUUCUGGGAUAUUUUCUAGCUUUUUCCUUUUGCUAAUUUUUGUUAUUCAAACAAAUCUUAAGAAAGGAAUCAAGCUUGGACACAAUUAAAGAGCUUGGCAUCCUUGUUUUUAGAUUCCAAAGCAUAUAUAGAGAUUGGGGUAAAACACCUUGUACCUAAGAAAAAAAAAGGAAAAAAAAACACCACAACAAAAAAUUAACCAAAAAUCAGAAAACUAACUAGAAUAAAAAAUCAAGAAAAUAUUUUUUUCUGGGUUAAUAAUUAAUUAUAAUGAAAUCAAAAGAAAAAGAAAAAAUACAUACUUCUUCCUGGCUUUGCCUACACUGAAAGCCAUGAAAGAAUUGGAAAAGCAGUAAAGAACAAGAACAAGAACCACAUAUGGGGAAAGCAAAUCCUCUGUUGCCUUCUUCAGAUUAAAGGCAACUAAUAAACGGGUUAAGGGGUUAUGAGUUUGACUUGGUUGAGUUUGAAGCUACAAAAGUAAGAAAAAUGGUAGUAAUUUUGGAAGCAUUUCUAACUCUUCCAUAACUUGAAAGAUAAAAAAAUUUAAGCGUUAAAAAUGUUAAAAGAGCUUUUUAGAAUCACCCCAAAUGUACUCUAAAUUAUUUAUGACUUGAUGUCACCUUCACACUCAUUUUUCAGUGUCAUUUAAUUUUGGUGUUCCCAUAUUAAAGAUUUAGGGUAAUGUAAUAUUCAAGCCUUCGAAUUUUGCCUUCACUAACCUUUGAAUUUUAAUUAAAUUCUUUGAAGGAUAUUUGACCACUUCAUUGUCCAAAAAUGCUUAUAUUGCCAUUUUUUUGGGUCUUUUUCUAUAAUUCCAAUUUUACUAUUUUUCUUUUAUUUAUUCCUAUUAUUAUUUAGGCUAUUAUAUAUAAUAUUCUUAAUAUUAUAUUUAUAAUUGUUAAUAGUAUAAUUACUUUUUUUUCAUUUAUUUGUCAUUUAUAUUGCUUAUCUUAUCUUUAAUCAUGUAUAAGACUCAAAAACUGCAGAAAACAUUAAUAAGUAACUACUAAACUUCAAAGAGAUAAUAAAAUUCAACUACAUUGAUAUUACAAUAAUACAAAUGAAAUAUAUACCAACCAGCCCUUAAAGGGGCUUUUAAGAAAUAAUGAGUCUACUUCAGAUUGACAUUUAAAGUAGAAUCACCAUCUCUAUAGAUAAAUAUGAAGCCUAAAAAGAACAGAACAUCACUAAAUAAUAUUAAUAAAGCAACAAUUAGAUCAAUUGAUAGUGAAAAUAAAGGUUUACAAGAUGAAUCACAUAAAUAAGAACAACUAAAUUGAGAAACAAAUUACAUGUCUGACAAAUCUAAUGAGGGAAAACAUUGGAGCUAGGUGCCCAAUGAUUGGCUCCUUGAAGUUGACCUACCUCCUCAAUAGGUACAUAGGAGUCCUUACCUAAAAAAACAUUAAAAUCAAUAGGGCGAACAUAAGAUCUAAUAAAGGAUAUGAGUUUUCCUUUUUGUGCACCAAAGGAAGAUAAUGAAGUAGAAGAAAAUGAUGAGAAUUUUUUUUUUGGAAAAUAUGGGGAGUCGUUCUGUAAAUGAAGCAGAAGAGGAGAAGUUGUAAGUGUUGGAGAGAAAAAAGAAGAAGGACAUUUUUGUCUCAAUCAACAAUUUUGUUUUGUUUUUUAACCGGUGGGUUAUAUAUGCAAAUGUGGGGGUUAUUUUGACCCCUUUAACCAAAUAUCCCUCUUUUUUAUCGAGUUACAACUUUAAAUUAGGUGUAAAAAGAAAUUUUGAUAUGGUAGAUACUAUACAGUUAUAUAUUGAAAUUCCAUGGUUCAUUAGAUAAACCAUCCUUGAAUUUCUUUGGUUUCAAUCAAGAUGAUAGAUCAUCCUUCCACAGAGUGACCUAAUAUGACAUUGAUUUUCUAGGGCUUCAAACACGAAGGGUGUCAAUGACUAAGAACUCCGUUUGAUUGCCGAGAAAAUGAGGAAAAAAACCCUCAAAUAAAAUAUAAAUACAAUUAAGAAUUUCAAUUUUACAUUGUUAGGGACCCCAAAAAUGGGAACAUUCACUUAACUGAGCCUAAUCCAACCACCUACCUUAGUUCAAUCCAGUCCCCACUUUCUAGAAACCAAAACAAUAUAAACAUUCCUGUGUUUGACUAUUCAGAAAGCAUAUGAUAAGCAAAGAAAAGAACGGUGCCUCCUCAAUCAAACAAAUUUUUUUUUUUCCUUUUCUUUUCUUGCAUUUUCUUUUUUUCGGCAACCAAACAUAACUUUUUAAUUGAGCAUUGUUGUAUACAAUUUAGAUUUCUUUCCCUCGGUUUCUCCGUAACCAAACAGAAUUUUUCUCUAUUGAGCGAGAGUCUAGUAUAUCCUUCGUUUUCCUAUAACCAAACAGAACUUCCCUUGUUAUUUUUUUUAAUCUUUUCUUUGAAUUUCUCGGAAACCCAACGGAGUUUACUUCUGGUGCAACCGUGCAAGAAAAUGGUUUUACCUGAUCGCAGUUCACCGGACUAACUGAAGCAACAGAGGCUUAAGAAAAAGAGACUGAGCUUUGUUUGUUAGACCCCCUAUGUGAGUAUGCAAAGUAAGAAGAACUGAAGCUGAAAUUAGGCGGCUUCCAAACACGUCCUAGGAGUUGGUUUUAAAACCCAUUUUUCCCCUUUUUGGUUGCAAUCGGUCUGCAAAGAUGCCAUUAAAAGGUAACCGUAGUUGGUUGCAUGAAUAAGAAAAUGAAAAGAAAAGAAGUUAAAACUAAUUAAAAUUAUUUAAUAUUUACAUUGAAGAGUAAAAAUAAUUACAAUAUAUUUAAAUAAACACAUAAAAAUAAUAAUUUAUUAAUUUUAAAUCUAUUUUUAAAAUUUUCAAUUUUUCAUUUAUUUUAUUCCCUCUAAGCUUUCUAACUAAGGUCAUAAUUUGGACAAAUUGUUGGAUUCAUAACUAAUCUAAAUAAUCUAAUAGAGAUAAAUAAAUAAUUAAUUUAAGUUCAACCCAACCUCUAAGCUUUCUAACUAAGGUCAUAAUUUGGACAAAUUGUUGGAUUCAUAGCUAAUCUGAAUAAUCUAAUAGAGAUAAAUAAAUAAUUAAUUUAAGUUCAACCCAACCUCUAAGCUUUCUAACUAGGGUCAUAACUUGAACAAAUUGGAUGGUUAACAUACAACUUGGACAUAUUGGUGGGUUCAUAGCUAAUCUGAAUAAUUUAAUAGGGAUUAAUAAAUAAUUAAUUUAAGUUUAGCCCCACCUCUAAACAAAGGUAUUUAAUUCAAUCUCAACCAACUUCAUUUCUUCGAGCUCUGGUUGAUGAGGUUAAACUUGGGUUAGCCCUUGAUUGUAUAAUUCAAAAUACAUGUAGAAUGUUUUUUAAUAAAAAAAAAUUUAUAUACUUAUAUCAAAUUUUAAAUAGUAAGUAGGACAAAACUUUAAAAUAACAAAAAAAAAACAAAAAAAAAAAACAAAAGCAAAAACAAAGUUAUAUAUCUUUUUUAAAAAGUAAAAAAAUAUAUUAUAUAAUAUAAUUUGAUUUUUUAUUUAUAAAAAUUUAGAAAGAAUAAAAUUAUUAUAUAAAAUAACAUAUAUUGGAAAUAUUAUAAAAACACUAAAAGUUUGUUCAGUAGUUAUUCAAAUAAGUGUUUCUAUCCAUAAUUUAAACUUUGGUUUCAAUCUAACUUGAAUUGAAUUUGAGUUGAAAAAGUUUAACUUGAAUAUUAAAAAUAAUUGUCUAAACACGAUCAAAUAUCGGAUUGGAUUCGACUAAUCUGCCAAAGUUGCACUCCUACCAAGAACCAUACACAAUAAAAAGAUUUUAAGAUAUUUUUUGUUCUAGGAAAGUACUCAAAAAGGAGAAAUAAAGAAAAAAAAUGAUUCUAUAUGUAUAAUUAAAAUUAGUUAAAUUUUAUAUAUUUUAAAAUUAUUUAAUUUUUUUUAUAUGGAAAAGAAAAAAAAAGAGUGAAGUAAGUUUGAAAAAACAAGUAAAAAUGAUUUGUUAACUUUAAUAUUUUUUUUCUUUUCUUUUCUUCUAUUUUUUUCUUUUUAGUUUAUUUUUCUCAAAUUUUUCAAAAAAUAAACAUAGAAUUAAAAAAUAAGAAAUAAUUACAGAAUUGGAAACCAAUUUUAGAACUUGCUUAUAUGAUUGCAUUAGUUUGUGUAAAUAAUAAUUUUAUUGAAUGUUAAGAGAGUGGUAUUAAAUGCACAUUAUUUAAUAUUUUUAUUUCUAAAGAAAGUAAUCUUUACAUGGAUUGGACCAGUGUUUAUUUAUCCAUGUGGGCCAGCCCAUUAAAAACAUCAAACCAACAACUCAAGGGACGACCCUGGUCAUUCUCGGGGGCCCACAACCUUCAUCUCAAACAAAAGCCCAUGGGCAGGAUCACCUUCCACACACAUCUUCAUACCAGCCACCACGCUACCAACAAUCCUCCUCCAUGAAAGCCCACCUCCAUCACAGCAAGCAGAAAAUCCAACACGCCAACCAUCAACCUCCGCACAGACCUAACACUGCAUAGCCGUGUUUUAGGAGUGUUAGGACGUGAUUAGAGAGGAUCUACUUUGAGUGUUCAUGGAGUUUCGCUAUAAGAGGAAUCAGUUUACCAAAAAUUCUUCAUGAAACCAUCCAUUUAUCUCAGGGAACAUUUAUGAAGUAGAGUCAAAUAGAUUUACAAAUAAGAGAUGAUUGAUUCCUUUGAAUGAAAUAACCUUAUUUCAAAUUGCCCUAAUGUGGCCUAAUAAGCAAAAUUACUGGUUAUAUUUUGGACACAUCUCAGUAGAGGUUCGGGGGAGAAAAUAGAAGAAGCAGAGAUGCUUACUUACUUCAGAGGGGCCACUGCUCGCCACCACCACUUCAUGGCUGUGCCCAUUUCACUUGCCCAAGCCACUCUCUUCUCCAAACCCUCCAUUUUACUCCACAGAAAUGCCAUCAAUGGCUUCUCCUUUUUCAUUCCUUUCUCCUCUUCUUCUGCUCAGAAGAUUCAGACUCACAAGUGGAGGCAACCGGUGGUCUCGGUUCUGGAUCUUGGUGGAGUCAAGAUUGGCAGAGAUGGUAACAUACCCACAUCCCAGAAUUGCGUUUAAAAAGGAUCUUUAGCUUGAAUUUCGUGUGCCCAAUUUGCGUUUUUGCAGACAUUUGCACUCAAGUCGUGUCGUUUGUUUGCAAUUUCACAAUCUGAUUUCUUUUCUAUUGUGCGUUUUUUUUUCCUGCUAGGUUCGAAUUCAAGCAUCCAAUUUGCGUUUUUGUGGGUAGUCUUAUGCCCAACUUGUGUCAUUCAAUUUGCAAUUGUUGUUAUCAGACUUCCUUCUCUCUUUUGAGACUUACACAGUUAGAGACGUCAUUUCUGUGAAAUUAAGAAUGCAUGUUCCAACUUUCACUUCUUUCUCUCUCUCUCUCUUUUUUUUUUUUUUUGUGAAAUUGGAAUUCAAGAACUUAUUUUACGUUUUACAAGCUUAGCGGGUUACGUUUCUGUUCUAUUUGUUGUGCUGUUGGAGGUGUUUGGUGCAUUUAUAUAACUAGGCUUGCAAUUUCGCCCUCUGAUAAAGGUUAAAUUUUCUCCCUUUUUAUUUUAUAUUUUUUUAAUGGUGUAUUUGUUUUGGGUAUUUGGUGAAAUGAGGAUUUUGUACUGGGUUUAUGGCAUUUUUUCAAUUGGUUUGAUAUAUGUGAAUGUGGGUUUUGUAGGGAAGAUAUGCAAAUUUUUUGAAAGUAAGAAUGCAAUUACAACUCUGAUUUCCUUUAUAUUUAUAUUUUUUUAUGCUUAUUUGCAUAUUGGUUGAUGUCAAAAUUCAUCUAAUGGGUUGUUUUUUAUUGCUUUGGAUUGGUUUAAUGUAGUUGAAUGGUGGAUUUUGUUUCUAAAACUUAGGGUCAAUUUCAAUUUUUAUUUUAUUUUUUUAUUUUUUCAAUUUGAAGACCUGGGAGUCUAUGUGAUUGGAAUUGAUGUACUCGAGUUUUUGGAUUUUGCUGAUUGCCUUGAUAAACUUGGGAUGCAGAGCCUUAAAAAAUAAACUACAUUCACUAAGCUAUAUCUCUGAUUAUACUUCGUCAGAGCGUGAAAUGCAACUUGGAGUCUUUGUAUUUUUUAAAUUUUUUGGGUUAUUCUAUUCUGAAUAUUUGGUAAAAUUAGAAUUCAUGUACUGAACCUUUUUCAAGUUCUUUUGGUUGGCUUGAUAUAUUUGGUUGUGGGGUUUGUAGAUGUGGUGAGGGAUGAUCCUACAAACAAUGUCCCGGAUGCAAUUUUUUUGAAACUUGGAAUGCAGCUUCACAGGAGGGAUCAACACCCAGUUGGAAUUCUGAAGAAUGCAAUAUAUGAUUAUUUCAAUGCCAAUUACUCUAACAAAUUUGAUAAGUUGGAUGACCUUUGCCCAAUAGUCUCCACAAAAGAGGUUUGACCAUUAAGAAAUAAAAUAGAAAUUGUAUGCAUGUUUUUUUUUCACUGUUUUGAGCUAUACAUUGCACUAUUUGGAACUUGUAUUAUCUUUCUAUGACUGGUGCUUGACAUUUUGUUGCUGUUUAUAUUUAUUUUGCUGCUCAUUUCUUGUUGGUUAGUGUCCUGUCCUAGGUGUUUUAACAUUUAAGAAUCCAUGAAAGUGGUAUUUGCAUAUGUUGCCCAUUAUUCCAUCGACGAUGUUCUAAGUAGGGAACCUAGUAUCCAAACUUCCAUCCAAACUUACAUAUAAAAAAAAAGUCCAGAACAGGCAUUCAGUUUACCAGGUUUAUCAGUUCUCUCCAGUGUUUAUUCAACUCUUAAAUGCAGUAUUCUGGACAUACUCCAAAUUUGAAAUUCCUUUGGUAAAAUAAAGGCAUGGUACUUAUAGUGGUCUAUUAAGGAAAAGGUUUGUUUGACCUAGCUUUUGUACAAAAAAUUCAAGGAUAGUCUUGCAGAUAUGUAUCAUAUAGGUGUAUAUUUCUCUAUCAUGAUACAAGUGAGAAAAAAUUCAGGAAAGUUGUUUUGUUUAAAAAAAAAAUUGAAAGUUAAUUUAUGUUUUGAGAGGGACAUUAGGCAACCUAGGAUUCAAAGGGACAUAUUGUCUCUUAGGAAAAUAUAAUUCAUAGCAUUCUCAACCACUUACAGGUUAUUUCAGUCCUUUUAUAUUGAUUUAUUUAAUUUUUUUCUUUAUUGUAGGCAAGCAAAAAAGAAUUUUACAACACCUACUAUUAUCAUUAUUUUGGUAAUUAGCAUUGAUGGAGAUUGUAAAAAUUCUCUAAUAGUAUUGCAGGAGAAAAAUAAUAUUUAUGAAUUUUUGUUAAACACAAUUGUCAUAAUGAUAAUAAUUAAUUAGAAUAAUAUAAGUUUGUAAUUGGAAAAAUUUUAAAAAAUAAAAGCUUUUGGAAAUAGUUUGAAUAGGAGUAGAAAAUUCUUGGAUUUCAUGGAGAGCUUAGGUGGGAUCUAAAGCAUGGGGCUGUUUGCUAUCUAUUUUAGUAUUUGCUGCUCUUCUCUCUUAUAGGUGUUCAGCUGCAGCUUGUAUUCUCUGAGCGUACUUGGGUUGUGCCCCCUUUUGUGUUCUUCAAUAUAAUCUUCAGGCUCAUGACUAGUGCAAUUUCUACUAAUUGAACACUUUUCACUUCAAAUAAUAUUCAGUAAUCUAAAUAGCAUUUAUCAAAUUAUUCUAACCCGCCAUUAGAUUUAUAAAGAACCCAAAAUAUGAAAUUUUCUUCUUAGGCAUGAGAAAUUGUCAUUGUUAUAAACCCCAUGUUUGUCUUGUACUUACAAGCAUAAUUAUAAAGCAUGAUCUGCGUGUCUUAUCAUGAAAUAUAACAAUGUCAUAAAAUAGAUGAUUGAUAAAAUGUUAGAAGUCCAUUGCAAAUGCUUAAUGGAACUGAAAAUUAUUACAGAACAAGUGCAUAUUUCACUCAAACUUUUAUGCAGUAGUGGUAGCUUAUAAACUCACAACUUUGUAAUCAUGUGCUUGAAUCAAGCAAACUUAAUGGCUCUCAGCUACAACUGCUCUACAUUUUAACCAUUGUUUUAUGUUAUGGGAAUAGUGACUGAAUUACACAGUUCCAUCAUUAUAAUUUAUGCAUUGUAAUUUCAUUUGUGGGACUUAGUUUUCACAUGUGUUCACAUGUCAUAACUGUAAUUUCCCUAAUUUUAUGAGAAAGAAAAACUCUUUAAUUUUCCCUAUUUUGACUGAAACUUUUGGAACUUGGACUUUAUAUGGUGCAAAUGUAUGUUAUCAGCUAUUGCUUUUGACCAGUCAUGAGUAGAUACUAUUUAUAAAAAGACACAAAGGAGGAUAUAAUCCAAGUGCACUUGUAGUCAACAAGUUACUCUGGGCAUCAAAAUUGAAAGAAACAACAAUGAAGAAAAGCAGCAAGAAAGUGCCCCUACCUCCCAAACUCUCAAUGAACUAAUGGAAGGAUCUACUACUAUGCAAGAUAACUUCUUCUAAGCACAACUACACAUAACAAUACUUAGCCUGCGCUAUGGUGUCAAGUGGUAGGGUCAUUGGAACAUGCCUAUUUUGAUGGAUUUUAAUUUGUGGGGAUAGUUAAAGUGUAAAGUGUUUGAUAAAAUAAAUUUGCUAGUUUUAAUAAAUUGGAAUUACUACUGAAUGAAAUGUGAAGCUAGAUAUUAGGAGGAGAAAGAAAGAUAAUUAAUUUAUUUGUAUGACACUAUGACUUACACAUUGUGAAGCUUACUAGUAGGGAAUUGUUGAACAGGGGAACUUACUUAAUAGGGGAGAAAGAACCACACAUAUUUCUUGAUGAGUAAAUAUAAUUACAUUAGCCAAAGGCCAAAAAUAUAUGAGUAGUUCACUAAUUGCAUGUUAUUGGAAAGAGAGCUGAGCAACUAUGAUUCAUAAACUUUUUACAAUUUAAAGGCCUGGGUCCAAUGAGAUAUGUUGCAUCAUAUUACCUAAUGAACCAAUGAAGUUUAUGGAUUUCCAAAACUUCUUGGAGAGGUUCAUUAUUUUAUGGUUCUUUUUUUUUAGGGUUCUUUAUUUUCUCUUUGCUGAGAUAUCUAGAAUAUGGCAUGGUAGGUAUUUUUGCUCCAUACCUCUUUGGAGGUCGAUUCUUUGGCAAAGUAGGAGGAAAACAAAUUAGCAUCAACUUUGGCUUGACUUGAGAUCACAAAUCUGACUAGAGAUUUUGCAGUAGUGUGUUGAGGUCUAAUCUGAAUCCAGGUUGUGAUGUGUGCAUCAAAGAGUCUUUCCAUAAGCCAUGAAGCUUUGAGGUGUUUUGUGAUGGCAUGACUGGAUAAUGAGCUGCAUUUUGGUCUGGAAUUUGGAGUUCGGUUAUGCAUUUCUGUAUCUAUAUCUCCAAAAUUAUUAACUAAUUUUAAUUAUUUUAUCUAUUUUUCAAAAUAAACAUUCAAAAUUGAAAGUUUGUGUCACGAGUCUUCAGGCUUAUCCGGAAUAGAAUGCCCUGCAUUAACUCUUGCUGUUAAUGCAUAUAAUACCAGGUCAGUCAACACAGCCAUUCGCUUGCUUAUGUUGACUUUCAAUGGCUUAAAGUUUAUGGCUUCAAUGGUUAUUACCAUGCUAACACUCAAACUAAUUCUUUUUUUGAUAGGUAAAUAAGAGCUUGUAUUAGAAGCGCCUAGAAGUGGCGAAAACAGUACACAUGAAGUAUACAAACAGAUUGCCCAAGAAACUAGGCAAAGAAGACAAAAAACCUUUCCCCUAACUAGACAUAUGGCCACUCUAUAAAAUGGUCAUUGGUUUCCUCUUUCUCUUUACACAAGCAUAUUCAAACUAAUAACUAAUAGUUAUUGGAUUUAAAGCUUGUUUGUUAAUGUUCUUCAUGGUUGUGCUUCUAUUUUUAAUCGAUUCUCUUGGCCAUCACCGUUUCCCCCUUAUUAAGAUUGGAUAUUUAAGUUUCAACGAAACAGCCUACUAAAUCCUCCAGAUAGAUCCUAUUUAUAAGGCAUGGAAGUUUGGUCAAUGUCUGCUUCCAAGAUUCUUAUCCAUAUUUCUAUGAAUUCUUAUGCCAGAAAGUCUACUUCUUGCAGAAUUUUGAUGAUGUCUUGGUUCCUCCUGAUCACGUCAGUAGAAGUUACAAUGAUACAUACUACAUUGACUCCCAAACUGUCUUGAGGUGCCACACUAGUGCUCAUCUAGCAGAGCUAUUGAGGAGGGGACACACUCAUUUCCUUGUGACUGGAGAUGUUUAUCCUAGAGAUUCCAUUGAUUCAACUCACUACCCUGUUUUUCAUCAGGUUUCUUAUCUCUGAUUUUAUCAAUGAUUGUUUUCUAUUAACAAGUUUCUUAAUGUUUUCUUCAGUUCAAUAACUUAUCAUGCAGAUGGAAGGUGUUCGUGUCUUCUUUCCAGGUGAUUGGGAGACAUCUGGAAUGGAUGGCACGUCUUAUGCGGCUGAGGAUUUAAAGAAAUGUCUUGAGGGUUUGGUGCAGCACUUGUUUGGUAAACUUAGAUCAGGAGAUUGUCUUAAUCAGAUGCAAACUUAAUGCUAUCAGUUCAUGCUGCAGUGAGAAAUAUGAGUUAAGGAAUCAUUUAUCAGGUCGAAUAAUUCAAAAUCUGGGAAAUACUGCAAGUAAAAGGGGGGAAAAAUAAUGAAAUAAUAAAAUAAUAAAAUAAUAAAUUUAAGUGGGGAAAGCAAUUCAUUUUUUUUUUUUGAUCAGUAAGUAAUAUGUGUAUUGAAAAGAGGUGCUAAAGAAGCGACUCAAAAGUGGGAAAGCAAUUCAUGUUAUGCAAAAGCGGUAUAGGUUGGUCAUUUAGAAGUCAAAUCAAGAUAGUCCAGAAUAAUAUAGGGAAUUAUUUGUGAUUCUCAAGGUACUUGUUAAGAAUCAUUGAUAAAUUACGUAAGGAAACAUUUAAGAGUGCUAUUAUUCUUGAAAUUUCUGAAAUCUAUCAGAAAGGUAGUUUUCAUCUUGGGGUUUACCAUAUACUGUAUAGAAUCUGUGUGGGCUAAAUCUGUUGAAAUUUGCAGGUAAUGUGGAAAUGCGCUGGAUUGAUACAUAUUUCCCUUUCACCAACCCAUCAUUUGAACUUGAGAUAUAUUUUCAGGUAUGCUUUUGAUCUGGCUGGUGGUUGCAUUUUAGCACUAUAUAUUUCGAAUUUCUUUAAAACUUUGUUUUUGAACUAAUUUUAGUAGAAACAGGCUCCAUUUCAUUUUGCUGUUUUUACCUUUUGCAAGGAAGGGUAAAAAUCAUUUAAAAAAUGUGAACUUCAGUUUAUUCCAUUGCUGGCAUGUGUGGCUUUCAUCUGUUUUUGAAGACACUGAGAUUCAUAGACUGAUGAUAUUCCAAUGCUUAUAAUAACAGUAAUGUUGAUGAUAAAAUAAUAUAAAAGUAGAAACAAAAUUAGUUGUCUCCCUUUUUUUUUCUUUUAGUUUCUUUGUUCUUCUUACCCCUCUGUUGUGGGGAGGGGGUGUGGGGCUCUUUGUCGUUGCCAAAUGUGAAAAAGAAGAUGUAUUAUGUCCUUUUAUUUUGGACUUACAGGACCUAUUAUGAAGGCAUUGCUUUCUUCAAUGUAUAUUUAUGACUUCAAGACAUUUUUGUAUUUUAUUUUGUGGCAGCAUUUUUUAGUGUCACUAUUGAAGGAGAAAUUCAUAAACAUAUAUACACACAUGCUAGUGGGCAUACACAAACACUGAUGUUCCACACACUAAUUAAAAAAUUCUUGCUUUGAGUAGUAUCUUUUUCCAGAACUCAUGUCCAUGUCAGAUGGCAACAUGACAAUGACUAUUUGCCAGCAGAUGGAAUGCUGGCAACACUUUUAUGGAUUGAAUGUUUUCCUUUCCCUUUUCCUUGUAGUGAAUGAUGUGUACUUUAGUUGCUCUUACAUAUUUGAUGCAUUGUGCUUAUGCCCUAACUGAUGCAGAACAGAAAAGUACCAAAAAAAAUGAUGGGAGUCUAGGAAUUACUUCCAAAAACCUUAGGCUUCACAUAUAGGUUUCGUUUUCAUCACACAAAAAUGAAAACAUUGAAAGCUGGAAGGUUUUGUGUUUUCAUUCAUUGAUCCUUUUAGAAGAUAGAGUGAUCAGCUUUGGAAACUACAACCCUAAGACCCCUAAGACUCUUAAGACCCCUAACACUCUUUGGAACCAAUCACAGUAAUAAUUAAGCUGAGAAAUCAGAAACUUGAACUGAUAAAUAAAAAUUAAAAGGCACUUGGAAAUAUAAAGCAUUAAUGACUUUGAAAAUAAGAACACUCCAAUACCCACCCCCCGCCCUUCGGAAAACUCAACCUUGACAAGUUAAAGGCAUGGAGUUUCUCAUAAAGAUCACAAUUCAACUGCUGAAAUUCAUUGCUUGUGAUCCACAUACAAUCUCAAAGUGGCCUUUCUCUCCAUUCCACAAGAUACUUUUGAUAACCUCCUCUUCUGGUUGAAACAAUUUAGUGACCAACAACUUUUCAAUCUUCUCUUUCAAUCAAGGGGCUGGUAGAAGAUGACCAUUUGGACCAUUAAUUGAUGUAGCAGCUUUAGGAUUAGGAUAAAGGGUGCGGUCUUUAAUAUUAGAGAUCUUAUUAAUGCUCAUAUUUUCUGGCAAGUCAAGUACAUUAGCGUUGGGACUUGUUUUCCUGAGAAUUUUAUAGGGACCAACAUUCUUUGAGUGGAGUUUCUUAUAGGCACCUCUAGGAUAUUGUUCAGGCCUUAUUCACACAAUAACCAUAUCACCUUCAAUAAGUUGAGCAAAUUUUAUUUUCACAUCAUCGUAUGACUUAUUUAUUUAUUUGAUAGGCAAGCUGGAAAAACAUGUAUUCAUAUGACUUAUAAUUUCAUUGAUGAAAACAAUUUUCAUUGAACAUGAUGUUGUAUGUCAUCUAUAUGCUCACUAAAAGCAUCAGCUUCAAUGAUAGGUCAUGCAUCCAUUGGUAAAGGAACCAAAUCCAUAGGCUUUCUAGGAAGCGAUUCAGUCACAAUCUCAAAAGGACUGUGACCAAUAGACCUGUUCAGGGAGCUAUUAUUUGCAAAUUUGGCCAUUGAUCUGAUCUCUAGCUAGGCAGUGAAGUAAAUGAUCCAAGCUUCAAUUAACAACUUCUAUUUGGCCAUUUUUUUGAGGGUGAAAAGAAAAAGAAAACUUUAGUUUGGCAUUCGGUAUUUUCCAUAAAGUUCACCAGAAGUAACUCAUGGACCUACCAUCCAAUUUAGGAAAAUCAUGAAGGCGAACAAUUUCCUUGAAGAAGAGUUUUUUUUUUUUUUUUUGAUAGGUAUUCCUUGAAGAAGAGUUUAACAAUCAGGCAACAUCUUUAGUCCUUAAGCAUGGGAUAAAUUGUACCAUCUUGGAGUAAUGAUUUAUCGCUACAAGUAUACAAUCAUGUCUCUAAUAGUUUUUAGAAAACCAGGGACAAAAUCCAUGCACAGGUCUAGCCAUGGCUCAUGUGGCACAGAAGUGGCAUGUAUAGACCUAUAUUCUUCCUUUGCCUCUUUGAUAAUUUGCAGGUUCGAUGUCUGGAGACAUUCUUAGCCACAUUUUUUCAGACUUGGUCAAUAAAAAUGAUUUUCCACCAUUGUAAUGGUUUCAUCUCUUCCAAAAUGACCAGUUGUUUCUCCAGCAUGAAGUUCCAAUAUUACUUGCUCAUGAAAUGAUGUUUUGGGUAAGCAAAGCUGAGUCCCUUUGAAGCAAUAUCAAUCAUGUAAAAAAUCACCAUAUUCUCCCGAAUUUCUAGGCACUAAAGCAACACAUAUAGUGCUAAAAUCUUUGCAAGAAGGAUAAGGUCUAUUGAACGAGUCAAAUCCAACAACUUGUACUGCAAUAGAAGAAAGAGUGUAUGCCAAUUUGCUAAGGGCCACUGCAAAGAAUUCUUUGCCAUUGCAAAAUGUGCACAUAUAUGUUGUUGAAAAAGAUGUUUAGAGCAUGCAUUAAACCUCACAGAUAGGUUUUUUACAAUAUGGGUGUACACAUUGACAUUACUAUUCACAUCAAAAUGAAAGAGAUUAAAAUAUUAAAUAGCAUCAUUAUCAUUUAGAUUCUAUAUAUGUUUUACCUUCAACACACUUAAGUUGUUUGAAAUUUUCAUAAUAUAUCUAAUUUAAUGGUAAUAUAUUAUAAAGACCACACAAAGAAACUUAAGAUGAUUGAAAAUUUCAUAAUAUAUUUGGUUUUAUGACAAUAUAAUAUAAAGACUGAAAAAAUAAAAUAAUGUUUGACGUUCCAACCAUAAUACAUUGCUGUUACUUCAAAAAUUAGAAAAAAAAAACAUUCAUAAUUCAUUGCAAUAAAAACAAAUACAAGAUUCUAAAAACUUUAUCACCUAAAUUCUGCAUGUAGAACAAGAGCAAAGUUAGGAUCUUUCUGUGUGGUUAAGUGAAACUCGGUUUCUUAUCCUACUUUACAAUUUUUGGUUUCUUACUUAUUCAAAACAAAGGUCGAUAAUAUUAAUAGUGUACUUGAUAUAUAUGGAAUUACCAAAGACAACAAGAUUUGCAUAUGGAAUCAUAAAAGAACACUAGAAUGACAAUUAAUAAACAUAUAAAGAUGUACAUUUGAGUUGAGACACACCUUGAGGAGAGAUACAACAAAAAAACAUAAGCAAAUGCACCCAAGGAUUAUGGAAUUCUCCUCCUUUUUCCUCUGGCAAACCUCACUUUUCUACAUGAUAAUGAAUUUAUCAAAAAUACAAAUUGAUACUAAAACAUAAUAAUUAUAGUCAUAUCCCCUUAAGGCAUUAAAAUAUUAGAAAGUCUCUUGAUGAGCACAGAGGGUUAAAAUUAUGUUUAUUGCUUGGAUACAACAAAAUGAAGUUACAAGUAUACUAAAUAAUAUACUAGGAAAUAACAUAUCGACACCAUAUAUAAGAGUAGAAUUGAAGCUAAAACAAGAACUUUGAAUGCAUGUUUUGCACCCUUUGUGUGGCUUUGCCUUAUUAUAUAGUUCUAUACAUCAUGUAUACUUUAAAAAAAAAUUGUUUUGCAUGUUUUUUCUUAGGGGCCUUUUUAUGCAAUUUUAUUUUCUUAUCACAAGAAAGUUGAUUAGAGUUUUUGUAAUUUAUUUUCGUCAUAAUUUCAUUGUAAUAUAAAAAAGAAAAUUUGAGAUUUUUCCUAAUAUUUUUGCUUUACUCGAUACUUUUCAUGAUUUGAAUGGAGUUUUUUACUUUUUUGUGUGAGACUUGGACUCAUCAAUGUCUCAUAGUGUUCAAAAUGGAGCCUUUUGCAGAGGUAGAAGAAGCACCUACAACACUAAUGAUGGAGUUACUUCAGGAAACAUGACUUUCAUUCCUGUAAAAAUGGCUAAGACAUUUCAAUUUUUUGACCACUGCACAAAAACCAUGUUUUCUUAAUUUCUGAAGGAGUUGUAUUUUUUAAAUAAAUUUUAUACAUAAACAACACUUGAUCUCAAGAUCAACUCAAGUAAUCCAUGUCUAAUAAAAGGAUGUGAGAUACACCCUCCUCAACUUGAAGGAGUGUGAGCCAAUUGAAUAAGAGUGUUUUGAACAACUUGAAGACAAGCUAUACUAUAUGUUGUACCAUCCUUUUUGAUGGAACUCAUGAAAGGCUAGUGGAUAUGAGUCUUUGAGGAAUGAAUUAGGCUCAAUGCUGUUGUAUAUAAUUUAGAGUAGAUAUUUGAAAUGUAUGGAUAUUAUUUGUAGUACCAUCAUGGAUAUGAGUUGUGAUGUUUAUUUUCCUUGUAAUUUAUUUUAUGCAUUUAAGUGUCUUAUUUCAAAAAGGUAAAAUUUUUAUAUUUGAUUACAUUAGAGUUUAUAUUUAAUACUUUAAUUAGGAUGACUAAUGAUUAUAUAUUGAUGUAAAUAUUAUUUUUCACAAAGAUAGUUCAAAAGUUAUGUUUGGAACCAAAUCCCAAAGGAAAAGAAUUCUAAAAUUAGAUUUCAGUCUCUUGGUGAUCAUGAUUGGUAUGAGAAGGAAUUGAAAUGAAAACAAUUCUCUCGGGUCUGGUAUUAUAACGAGAAUAAAUAACUUUGGUGUACUAGUUUGACCAUGCUACAACAUAAAUAUGAAUGAUCUAAAUAUUAAUUCUUCUUAACUAAAAUCAACCUAAUUAUAAAUUUAAUUAUAAAAGUAAAUAAAUUUAUCAUAACAAAAGUAAUUAAGAAUGUCAUUUAUAUAAAAAUUACAGAAACAAUCAAUUUCAAUGAUUUAAAAUCACUUCUCAACAUUAAACUUAAAAAUCCCUCUAGCAUGAUCUAAAUUAUCUUAGAAUCGGCUUUUUAAUUCACUUAAAAUGCAAAGUAACUUACACUAGUUUUAAAAAAUUAAAAGAUUAUUAUCAUAAAAGAAUAUUUGUUUUUGUUUAAAUCCCUUUACUCCUCUAUUAAUAAUUAUAAAAAUAGAGAAAUAACUAAAAUAACUAAAAUAACAUGACAUAAAUGAUAAAAAAGAAAAAAAAAAAAGAUAUAUAACCAAUGUUUUAAAAACCGGACCAGUGAUCGAAUCGGAAAAGUUACCGGUUCACGGUUCACUGGUCGGACCGGCGGUUGAACCGCGGUCGAACCGGUGAUGUAAUAAAUAAUUAAAUAUAUAAUUUAUAUAUUAUAUAAAAUUAAAAAUAAUUAUAAAAAUUAAAAAUAUAUAAAAUUGCAAAUUUUAAUAAUGUUUGAUUCUUAUAUAUGGUAUAUUAAAUUAAAUGAUAAAGUUUAAUAUUUUAAAUUUUAUUAAAUAGAAAUAUGUAAUAUUUAAGAAAGAAAAUAUAUUUAAGAUAAAAAAUUUAUAAUAUUUAAUUUUAUCCUUUUGUCUUUGUAUUUUAUUGUUUUUAAAUUAUUCUAUUAAUUAAUUUAUAUUAUUUUUUAUAAUUAUUAUAAAAAUAAAGAAGAAUUAAAAUAUUUACAUUUUUUUAAAAGAUUUUAUAUGAUAAAAUUUUGAAAUAAAAUCAAAGUUCUAUGUGUCCAACCCUCAAGAGGCAAUGUUUUCCUCUAAUAGUCUCAUUCCCAAUCCCACAUCGAAAGCACAAGAAUUUGAUGUGCUCCAUGUGCUCUAUAAAUACCUUCCAACUUGCCUUUAACCCAAACAAGCUAGCAAGUUGGGCGUGGAAGCAUGGCUCAAGUGGAAGUGUUAUUUUAAAAUAAAAAAUGCAGCAAAUUGGGCUUGUAGACAUGGCCCAAAUAACAGUGUUAAUCUUAUCAUUGGACUAGGCCUAGUGGCUUGAACCAAAGAUGAGUUUGUAGGCAUUGGGCCUAGAAUGGGCCUUUUACAUAGUAAACAAAAACUUGUUAUCUAAGGUGUGACCUGCAAACCGGACGGGUUGUCCGAUUCGACGAUUCAACUGUCGGUUUGAACGAUUCAAUGUCGGUUUGAUCACAAAACGAUUCAUUGAGCGGAUCGAACCGGAUAGUUCACCGAUCGAUGGUUUGAUCGGUCGAUUUUUAAAACCAUGUAUAUAACUACAAUGAUAUAAGUGAAAUUAAUUAAAAUUGAGAAUUCACUCAAGUUAGAGAAUUAUUUAUUCUAAUAAAAAUAUUAAAGAAAUACAUUACUUAUUGUAACAAUUUUUUUUUCUUCUUGUAUUCUAUGUGAGCAUCUAUAAUAUUGAAAAUAGAAAUAAAAGAAUCCCCAUUCAUAUUUAAAAUAAUUUAUUUUAGAAGAUUCUACCUUUAAAAAGUCCAUUAAAGUUCAAAAAGAGAAAAAAGAUGAAAUGAAUAGUAUGUAAAGAAAAGAGAGUGAAAAAGACAAAAAUAUAUGUAUUAAUUUAAAUUUAAAGAGAAGAGGUAAGAGUAACAGGGCAACAUCGAAAAAGAGAAAGUUUACUUUAAUAAAAUUGAAAUCUCAUAAAUUAAAAACUCAAUUGCUAUUCGUAAUACCAUUUUUACUAAUGCGACAUUUUACAUUUCUAAACUACCCUCCCUUAUUAUUUCCCCUCUCUCUUUCAUCUCUCAUCUCUCCUCUUUCCCCUUUCUCUUCCCCAACCUCACGUCCCAAUUGCACCAUUUUUUAUUUUCUUUUUAUUUAUUUAUUUUUUCCCAACCCCCACCCCCACAUUUUAGCUUUCUUUUUAUUUUAUUUUAUUUUUAUUUUCCUUUUCAUCUCUACCCACCCAACCCCCCACUCCACGUAAACUUUUAUUUUUCUUUUCAUUUCUUUUAUUUUUUUUCACACUCUAUUGUUUUUCAUAUUCUUCUUAUAUUUUAAAACAAAAUAAUUUCUUUAAAUAAUAAAUUAUAAAAUGAUUUUUUCACCAAAAGUGCGUUAUAUAAAAUGAUUUUAUUAUAUUCAAUAUUUUAAUGUGAAAUUCAUAACUCAAUUUUUUAAAAUAAGAAUUAUUAUUAAAAUUUUAAAAUAAAAAAUAUUUAAUUGAAAUGGUUUAAAAAAAAAUAUUUUAAAAUAUAUAAUUCUUUAUAAAAAAAAAUGAAAGUUAUAAAUCUUAUUUGAAAAUUGUCAUCAGAUAUUGAAUUUCAUUAUUCAUUGUAUUUCGUGUGUGAUUCAUAGCCUUAAUUAAGUAGAAUUUAGGUUCGGUGUUGAAAAGAAGUUAGAGAAAGUUCUUUAUUAAAAAUGGUAUAUGUGGAAAAAAAAGUUUCCUUUAACACAACUUUCCAUUUAAAAUUCUUAAAAAGUUGUCUGCCAAAUCCUUUAAAAUUCUUUCCUUCUAAAAACCUCCACUAUUCCAAAUCCAUUCUUCCCUUUUUCCAUUUAAUUCCCUUGAUUCCAAAUAAAGUAGAAUAAUAACAAUCUUUCUAACAAGUUAAUAUCAUAUAAAAGCAAAUAAUAACAAUCUUCCUAAUAAAAUUCUUUCCUUCUAAAAAUCCCCGUUAUUCCAAAUCGAUUCUUCCCUUUUCCCAUUUAAUUCCCUUGAAGCAAAGUUACGAACAUUUGGAAAUACAUUACAAGAAUUUUGUGGAUUUCUUCAAGAAUGAUUAUAGAAGCAAAAGUUUAGAAACAUUAAAAGGGUAAUUUUUAAAAAUAAAUUAUAGAAAAAUCCAAUAAAUAAUUAUUUUUUUCCUUUAUUGAGGCAUAUUAAAAAAGUACAAUAUUCUAAAAAUAGGUAAUAGAAAAAAUAUUAUAACAAAAAGGUUUAUUUCUUUAGUUAUAUUAAAACAAAAAACAAAAAAUAACAAGGUUAGUUCAAAGAUUGAAAAAAAAAAAUACAUUAGAAAUAUUAUCAAUGUUUUAGUUUUAUUUUCAUACUCAUCUUGGGGUUUAUAUAAAAAUCAUUAAAUGAAAGUGGGUUCUAAAAGUCAAGAAAGGUUUAUUCCCUUAAAUGAAAGUAUUUUUAAAAUAUAAUUCUCAAAUAUAAAAUUCAAUUGCAUAACAAUCGUUAUUACCUUCAUAGAUACUUCUACUAAACAAACAAGUAAACUGCUAUCCUAUUAAAACAUAUGUUUGAAUUUUGUAUAGGCAUUUGAUAAAUAUAUAUAUAUAUAUAUAUAUAUAUAUAUAUAUAUAUAUAUUCACUUUGUGAAUAUAAGCUUCAAUGUUAUUUAAAUUUUCUUUUUUUAAAAAAUAAAUUAAACCCUUAUUAAGAUAUUGAAAACAAUAUUUUUAUUUUUAUUAUUCAUUAAAUCUUAUCGACACUCACUACUUAUUAAUACUCAUAUUUAAAUAACUUUAAAAAUUAUUACCCUUUUUUUUAUAAUAAGUGUCUAGUAAGUUUACAAAAUACAGGAGUUACUAAUUUUUCUAUUUUUCAAAACAAAAGAUAUAUUUACCAAUGGCAUAUUAAAAUUGUAUACCUCUUAACUAGUUUUGUAAGUGCACUAUUUUUUAAUUCCACUUUCAAUAUACUUCUCAUCAUAUAUUUUUAUAGUUAGAAUCAUUUAACAUUGACACAUUCAACAAAUCUUCAUCCAAACAAUGAAUAUGAAAAAUUAUAAAUUGAAUAAGUCUAUAUAUCGCCUAAAAUUGAUGAAAACACAAUAGAAUGGUAAUACUCUCCUCUUUCAUGUUCAUACAAACACAAUUUAACAUUUGGAUUAAACUUUUUGAAAUAUAAGUUUUUAUCAUUAAUUUGAAUUGAAACACCUUAUUGGAAAAUUGGGAGUCCUAUGAAGAAUUUACAAUACAGAAAAUUAUCGGUAAUUAUUAAGUAAUUACAUGGACUUAAAUAAAAAAGAAAAAAUUAGAGACAUGAAAUUGCUUUUAGAACUAAUCCAAUUGGUGGAAAUUUGAGAAAGCCUCCCAAUAGCCAAAGUAACAAACCCUAAACAUAAUAAUUAAUUCUUAGUACUAAGGGUAUGAAGACUUAAACCUCAUUCAAUGCAAACCAAAUCAUAUAGUGAGCUAUACUUUUUGUGGAGAAGUUAUUUUCUUGGACGCUAUAAUAAAAAUAUUUAGAUGGAUGACUUAGUACUUAAGAAAAAUUUUGUUUGUAAAUGUGAAUUCAUGUAAUCCAUAUAUCCUAAUGUUUUUAAUUUUUUAGUUUUAUUUUCAUAUUUAUCUUGGGGUUAUGUAAAAAGCAUUAACAAUAUUAUUUCGGAAUAACUAUUAAAAUGUUAAUUAUUUAUUUGUUGGUAUUAUAAUUUGGGAUGGUGAGAAUAGAGGAGCAAAGUACAAAGAGUCAGUGUAAGUAGGCCACGUGUAAUAUAUCUUUUCUCUUCCAACUUAGGCCCCACCCAAUAAUGGGCUUGGGGCAAAGCACCAACUAUUCAACUUGGAUUGGACUAGGCUAUCUAAGAAUUUGACAAUUUGUUGCUACUGCCUUAAUCUUUGUUUGUGGAUAUUUAAGAAUUUCAUUUUUUUUCCUUUAAAUACAAGAAUUCACCAAUUAAAACUAUGAACAUAUUUAUCUAUAACGAGGAAUUGGAAGAAAAGUGGGUUUAAAAGUCAAGAAUUUAACAAUAUAAAAAAAUUAUCUUUAUUUUUAAUAAAAAUAUUUUUUAAAUAUAAUUCUCAAGUAUAAAAUUCAAUUGAAUAACAAUGAUAAUUAUUACCUAAUCUACUAAACAAACAAUUUAAAUGCUAUCCUUUGAGAACACACAUUUGAAUUUUUUUUUAUAUGUAUUUCGUAAAAAGUUUUUUCUUUUUUACUUUGUUAAUAUAAGUGCUAAUAUUAUUAUUAUUUUUUUUAAAAGAUCAAACCCUUAUUAAGAUAUCAAAAACACUAUUUUUAUUUUUAUUUUUCAUUAAAUCUUAUUCACAUUCACUAUGUAUUCAUAGUAGCAUUUUUUAAGUAGCUUUAAAAAAUUAUUACCUUUGUAAAGUAAGUUUCCAUGAAGUCUGAGUUACUAUUUUUUUUUUUCUAUUUUUAAAAAUAGAAGAUGUAUUUAAAUGACACCCAAUUCAUUAAAAUUAUAUGCCUGACAACUAGUUUUGUCAAUGUGCUAUUUUUAAUUCCAUUUUCAGUAUACUUGUUAUCAUUUUUUUAAUGGUUGAAAUCAUUUAACAAUGAAUACAAAGCUUCACCCAAACAACGAAAAUGAAAAAAUUAACACAAAUUAACAUUUGGAUUGAUUAAACUUUCUCAAAUGUAAGUUUUUGUCAUUAAUUUGAAUCAAGAUGCUUGAUCGAAAAAUUGGGAGUCCUCAUAAGAACUUACAAUACAUAAAAUUAUAGGUAAUCAUUGAGUAAUUCUAUGGACUUGAAUGGAGAGAAAUUUUAUUCUAAAAAAAAAAGAGAAAAAAAUAGAAAAUUAAAGUCAUGUGAUUAUUUUCAAAACUAAUCCAAUUGAUGGAAAUUUGAGAAAGCCUCCUAACAGCUAAAGUAACUAACCCUAAACAUCAUAAUAAAGCACUAAGGGAAUAAGGACUGAAACUUGCUUGAUGCAAACUACUAUCUUUGCAUAUCUAAGUCUUCGAAUGGGCAAUAAUGCUUUUUGUGGAGAAAAUUGGACUUUUGCCCCUUAUGAUACACAAGCCAAGACUAAGAUUAAUUGCUCUCUUUAUUCCAAGUCUUUUGCAUAUCUAAGUCACACUAAGAUUAAUUGCUUUCUUUAUCCCAAGUCUUUUGCAUAUCUAAGUCAUCCAAUGGGCCACACUUUCUAUGGAGAAGACUAAACUUUUGCCCCUUGCGGUACGUAGGCCUCAUCCAAUGGGCCACACUUUUUAUGGAGAAUGCCAGACUUUUGUCCCUAGCAAUAUGAAUGCCAACACCAAUAUUAAUUGCUUUCUCUAUUCCAAGUCUUCUGCAUAUCUAAGUCCAUCCAAUGGGCCAUACUUUUUAUAGAUAAGACUAAACUUUUGCCCUUGUGAUAUGAAGACCAAGACUAAUUGGUUUCUUCAAUAUUCCAAGUUAUGUGCAUACUUCUAUGUAGGGUAAUAACAUAAGGAAGUUUCAUAUGGUUUUAUAAUGUGAGUCUAGAUUUGUUAUUCUGUUUUUUUUUCUUUACAUGCAUACACACACUUUUCCACUUAAAUAACAUAAUUUUUAUUUUUUCAAAUAAUCUUUGACAAAACUUUUAUCAUACCCCUUUUUAACUAUUAUACUAUUUUCCCAUAUCUAAAAUUUUCAAAGUACACAUUUUGUUUUGCAAUUAUUUCUUAACUACGUACAUUCCUUGGACACUACAAAAAUGAUUUUAUUUGAAAAUUAACCAAUAAAUAUAUUUAGAUGGAUGACUCAAAAUUUAAGGAAAAAAUUUGUUCAUCAAUACUAUUUCAUGUAGAAUAUAUAUGCAUAUGUAUCAAAGAAAAAUUUGUGGAUAUUUAAGAAUUUCAUUUUUUUUCUCUAAAUACAAGAAUUCACCUAUUAAAACUAUGAACAUAUUUAUCUAUAAUGAGGAAUUGGAAGAAAAGUGGGUUUAAAAGUCAAGAAUUUAACAAUAUAAAAAAAUUAUGUUUAUUUUUAAUAAAAAUAUUUUAAAAAUAUAAUUCUCAAGUAUAAAAUUCAAUUGAAUAACAAUUAUAAUUAUUACAUAAUCUACUAAACAAACAAGCUAAAUUCUGUCCUUUGAGAACACACAUUUGAAUUUUUUUUAUAUGUAUUUCGUAAAAAGUUUUUUUUUUUACUUUGUUAAUAUAAGUGCUAAUAUUAUUUUUUUUUUAAAAAUAUAGAUCAAACCCUUAUUAAGAUAUCAAAAACAAUAUUUUUAUUUUUAUUUUUCAUUAAAUCUUAUUGACAUUCACUAUGUAUUCAUAGUAGCAUUUUUUAAGUAGCUUUUGAAAAAUUAUUACCUUUGUAAAGUAAGUUUCUAUGAAGUCUGAGUUACUAUUUUUUUUUCUAUUUUUAAAAAUAGAAGAUGUAUUUAAAUGACACCCAAUUCCUUAAAAUUAUAUGCUUGACAACUAGUUUUGUUAAUGUGUUAUUUUUUAAUUCCAUUUUCAGUAUAGUUGUUAUCAUUUUUUUAAUGGUUGAAAUCAUUUUACAAUGAAUACAAAACUUCACCCAAACAACGAAUAUGAAAAAAUUAACACAAAUUAACAUUUGGAUUGAUUAAACUUUCUCAAAUGUAAGUUUUUGUCAUUAAUUUGAAUCAAGAUGCUUGAUCGAAAAUUGGGAGUCCUCAUAAGAACUUACAAUACAUAAAAUUAAAGGUAUUCAUUGAGUAAUUCUAUGGACUUGAAUGGAGAGAAAUUUUACUCUAAAAAAAUAGAGAAAAAGAAGAAGAAAAUUAAAGUCAUGUGAUUACUUUCAAAACUAAUCCAAUUGAUGGAAAUUUGAGAAAGCCUCCUAACAGCUAAAGUAACUAACCUUAAAUAUCAUAAUAAAGCACUAAGGGAAUGAGGACUGAAACUUUGCUUAAUGCAAACUACUAUCUUUGCAUAUCUAAUUCAUCCAAUGGGCAAUAAUACUUUUUGUGGAGAAAAUUGGACUUUUGCCCCUUGUGAUACACAAGCCAAGACUAAGAUUAAUUGUUGUCUUUAUUCCAAGUCUUUUGCAUAUCUAAGUCAUCCAAUGGGCCACACUUUCUAUGGAGAAGACUAAACUUUUGCCCCUUGCGGUAUGUAGGCCUCAUCCAAUGGGCCACACUUUUUAUGGAGAAUGCCAGACUUUUAUCCCUAGCAAUAUGAAUGCUAAGACCAAUAUUAAUUGCUUUCUCUAUUCCAAGUCUUCUACAUAUCUAAGUCCAUCCAAUGGGUCAUACUUUUUAUAGAUAAGACUAAAAUUUUGCCCUUGUGAUAUGAAGACCAAGACUAAUUGGUUUCUUCAAUAUUUCAAGUUAUGUGCAUACUUCUAUGUAGGGUAAUAAGAUAAGGAAGUUUCAUAUGGUUUUAUAAUGUGAGUUUAGAUUUGUUAUUUUGUUUUUUUUUUCUUUACAUGCAUACACACACUUUUCCUCUUAAAUAACAUAAUUUUUAUUUUUUCAAAUAAUCUUUGAAAAAACUUUUAUCAUACCCCUUUUUAACUAUUAUACUAUUUUCCCAUAUCUAAAAUUUUCAAAGUACACAUUUUGUUUUGCAAUUAUUUCUUAACUACGUACAUUCCUUGGACACUACAAAAAUGAUUUUAUUUGAAAAUUAACCAAUAAAUAUAUUUAGAUGGAUGACUCAAAAUUUAAGGAAAAAAUUUGUUCAUCAAUACUAUUUCAUGUAGAAUAUAUAUGCAUAUGUAUCAAAGAAAAACAUGAAAAAUUGAAAACUAUACAUGUAUAAAUAUUAAGAUAAGAUUCAUAUAUUGGUGCAAGUACAAAAGAAACAAUAUUUCAACAAUAAUGCUUUUUCCCUUUGAAACUUUACAUGGCUUUACUUGGAAACAACAUUUGGAUACAAGUACCAUAUACAAUUUUUUAAAAACCGUUCUUCAAAAAAUAAUUCUUAAAUUAAGACCGUUUAUGAUUUUACGUGGAAUUUGUGUUUUGAAAAAAUGGGUUUAAUAUAAUAAAAGUAAGCUUUUUAAAAAAAAAGAAAAAAAAGAAAAGACAAGUUAAGUAUAAAAAGUAGGAAUUACUCAUAUAUUGAAGAGAUAAAUUUAAUGUAAAAAAUAAAAAAAGUAAAAAAUAUUGUAUUCUUGUAUUUAUUUGUCAAACAACCAUUUUUAACAAUAUUCUUUUAAAAUAACAUUUUUUAAGAAAAAAUCCCAUGUUUUUUUUUUUUUUUGCCUCCCAAUUCAAUUUAAUAGACACCUUCGUCCUUUAAAAACUCAACUGCUUUAUAGAGAAGACCAAGACUUCUAGCUCGUGAUGUAGGGUUGUAUUUCGUAUUAUUUCUCAUUAAAAGAUAAGACUAACCCUAGAUGCUACUAACUAUGAAAGUUUUACUUUAGCUUAUGCAGGGACCUAUUUUAUGAUUAAAGAAACUUUUACAAACAAAUAUUCCCUUCUUUUUUUAAAAAAAAAAAAAAGAUUAUAUUUGGUUUCCAUUCCAUCUUUCACUUUAAGCUUAAAACAAAAAAUUAUCCUUAAUGAACCUUCUGCUAUACAUCUAUUCUUCAUAUUCUAAUUGCUUUAGGCAUGCUUAACUUUCUAAUUUAGUGAUUCACAUAGUAGUUAGAAAGCCAAACUCUAUCUUUAGGCUGAUAAGUUGUAAAAUCUAGUAGUCAUAGUUUUCACUUAAUUGUAGAUAAUUAAGAAGGAUGCAAGGUUAACUAAUAGUAAAAGAUAUAAUUGAAAGUGACAAAACUAAAUGGAUAUCAUUUGAGAAAUUAUUGUGGCCAAAGUGGAUAAGAAAUAUGAUCUCCUUUUUCUACUUAGUUGCCCUCCCACUUUUUCCAUGAAAUCUUAGCUUGUGAUUAAAAGUGGGCAAAAUAGUUCGACUCUUGAUCGGACAACCAACCCACGUUGUCAUUUUAAUGUGGAAGUGACUCUAAAUUUUUCUUUGAUUUGAAGUCAAUGGUCCCACAUUUGAAUUGGAAACUUCGAUGAAGUUUCUGAUAAUGAAAAUUUAAACUUAAAUUAUAAGGGAACCUUUGGGUAUAAAUUCAAGUCAUCUAUUAUUAUAUUUUUUCAUCACACACCAGCCAAUUUUUGUUAUAGCUUUUGAAGAUACGAUGUAUCGAAUCCUUUGCUUCCUCUUCUUUCUCUCAUAUUCUCCAGUUAUUUGUUUCUCUUUGUCUAAUUCUACAAAGCUGUGUCCUCAUCACCAGAAUGUUGCCUUGCUUCGACUUAAGCAAUUAUUUUCCAUAGAUGUCUCCGCUUCUUCUUCGGAUGAUUGCAAUUUAGCUUCUUUUGCCAAGACAGACACUUGGAAGGAAGGCACUAAUUGUUGCUCAUGGGAUGGUGUCACAUGCAAUAGGGUUACAGGCCUUAUAAUCGGGCUCGACCUUAGUUGCAGUGGCCUCUAUGGUACCAUUGAUUCCAACAGUAGCCUCUUCCUCUUGCCUCAUCUACGAAGGCUCAACCUCGCUUUCAAUGAUUUCAAUAAGUCAUCUAUUUCAGCUAAGUUUGGACAAUUCCGGAGAAUGACUCAUCUCAACCUUUCUUUCUCUGGAUUUUCAGGUGUAAUUGCUCCAGAAAUCUCCCACCUAUCCAACUUGGUUUCACUUGAUCUUUCCAUCUAUAGUGGAUUAGGACUUGAAACAAGUAGCUUCAUUGCACUUGCUCGAAACCUAACGAAGUUGCAGAAACUUCAUCUACGAGGUAUAAAUGUCUCUUCCAUUUUGCCUAUCUCCCUACUGAAUUUAUCUUCUUUGAGAUCUAUGGAUCUCUCUUCUUGUCAACUAUAUGGGAGAUUCCCUGACGAUGAUCUUCAACUGCCCAACCUUAAGGUUCUCAAGUUAAAGGGUAACCAUGAUCUCAGUGGGAAUUUCCCAAAGUUCAAUGAGAGUAAUUCCAUGCUGUUGUUGGAUCUUUCUUCUACAAAUUUCAGUGGGGAGCUUCCUAGUUCAAUAGGCAUUCUAAAGUCUUUAGAAAGUUUGGAUCUUUCUUCUACAAAAUUCAGUGGGGAGCUUCCUAGUUCAAUAGGUAGUCUAAAGUCUUUAGAAAGUUUGGAUCUCUCGCACUGCAAUUUCUCAGGUUCCAUUCCCUCGGUUUUAGGGAACCUCACACAAAUCACUCACUUGGACCUCUCAAGAAAUCAAUUUGAUGGUGAAAUUUCAAAUGUUUUCAAUAAGAUUAGAAAGCUAAUUGUAUUAGAUCUUUCCAGUAAUAGUUUCAGAGGUCAGUUCAUAGCAUCACUUGACAAUCUAACAGAACUUUCUUUCUUAGACCUUUCAAACAAUAACCUAGAAGGUAUCAUUCCUUCUCAUGUGAAGGAACUUUCAAGUCUAUCGGACAUCCAUUUGUCCAAUAACUUGUUGAAUGGGACAAUACCAUCUUGGUUGUUUAGUCUACCAUCAUUGAUAAGGUUAGAUCUCAGUCAUAACAAACUCAAUGGUCAUAUUGAUGAAUUCCAAUCCCCUUCAUUGGAGUCCAUUGAUUUGAGUAGUAAUGAGUUAGAUGGGCCAGUUCCAAGUUCCAUCUUUGAACUUGUAAAUCUUACAUAUCUCCAACUUUCUUCAAAUAACUUGGGUGGCAUUGUGGAGACAGACAUGUUCAUGAAUCUUGAAAAUCUUGUCUAUCUCGAUCUUUCAUAUAACAUUCUGACAUUGAGCAACUACAGCCAUUCCAACUGUGCGCUACCAUUCUUGGAAACAUUGUUGUUGUCUUCUUGCAACAUAAGUGAAUUCCCAAGAUUUUUAUGCAGUCAAGAGGUGUUGGAGUUUCUGGACCUUUCAAACAACAAGAUUUAUGGACAACUUCCGAAAUGGGCAUGGAAUAUGGGUACGGAGACACUGUCUUACUUCAAUCUUUCUCAAAACUUGCUAACCAGGUUUGAGAGAUUUCCAUGGAAGAAUAUGCUAUUUCUCGACCUUCAUUCCAACUUGCUUCAAGGACCACUUCCAUCAUUGAUUUGUGAAAUGAGUUAUAUUAGUGUUCUGGAUUUCUCUAAUAACAACUUGAGUGGAUUAAUUCCACAAUGUUUGGGAAACUUCAGUGAGUCUCUCUCUGUUUUGGAUUUGCGAAUGAAUCAGCUUCAUGGUAACAUUCCUGAAACGUUUUCGAAGGGCAAUUUUAUCAGGAAUCUUGGCUUCAAUGGAAAUCAAUUGGAAGGGCCUCUACCACGAUCUUUGAUCAAUUGUAGAAGGUUGCAAGUUUUAGACCUUGGAAAUAAUAGAAUAAAUGAUACAUUCCCUUAUUGGUUGGAAACUCUUCCAGAGCUACAAGUUUUGAUCUUGCGUUCUAAUAGGUUCCAUGGUCACAUAAGCGGUUCAAAUUUCCAAUUUCCAUUUCCCAAGUUACGAAUAAUGGAUCUUUCACGCAAUGAUUUCUCUGGUAGUUUACCGGAAAUGUAUUUGAAGAAUUUCAAGGCAAUGAUGAAUGUCACUGAGGAUAAAAUGAAACUGAAAUAUAUGGGGGAAUACUAUUAUCGAGAUUCGAUAAUGGGAACAAUCAAAGGAUUUGAUUUUGAAUUUGUAAUUUUGUCUACCUUCACAACAAUUGAUUUGUCCAGCAAUAGAUUCCAAGGAGAGAUUCUAGAUUUCAUUGGAAGUCUUAGUUCACUUCGAGAACUCAACUUGUCUCAUAACAAUCUUACAGGGCAUAUUCCAUCAUCAUUGGGGAAUCUAAUGGUGCUUGAAUCAUUAGACCUCUCUUCAAACAAGCUUAGUGGGAGAAUUCCAAGGGAGUUGACAAGUCUGACAUUUCUUGAAGUCUUAAAUCUUUCGAAAAAUCAUCUCACUGGAGUCAUUCCUCGAGGCAACCAAUUUGAUACAUUUGCAAAUAAUUCAUAUAGUGGGAAUAUAGGAUUAUGUGGACUUCCCUUGUCUAAGAAAUGUGUAGUUGAUGAAGCACCACAACCUCCCAAAGAAGAGGAGGUGGAAUCCGAUACUGGAUUUGAUUGGAAAGUCAUAUUGAUGGGGUAUGGUUGUGGACUAGUAGUUGGAUUGUUUAUGGGGUGCCUCGUCUUCUUAACAAGAAAACCUAAAUGGUUUGUAACAAUGAUUGAAGGAGAUAGACAUAAGAAGGUUAGAAGGUCAACAAGGAGCACUCGCAGGCAUGGAGCAAGAAGAAGUUAGGCCAUUUCUAUGAUAUCGUAUUUUGUGGUGAAUGAUACUAAUGAAUGUUGCAUUCUUAUGUAAACAAAUAACAUGUAUUGUGAUUAAUGAAGUAAGAGUCUUUGAAGUUGUAAAAAUAUUUGUUUUUAUUUUUUCUUUCUUGAAAUGGAAUAAUAUGUAGUAACAAUAUUUUCAAAUCAUCACUACCAUUUAACUUAUUUAUAUAUCAUGAUCGAAAGUAUUUUUAAAUGUUGGGUUAUGUAAUUAGUAAAGGUAGAACUCAUAAGGUUUUGCAAAGAAUUAGAAGCAAUUGAUUGCUUAUCACUAAAAGACUAACGAAUUUUUGUUAGGAACAAAGGGUGAUUUUUUACAAGAAUGAUAUUGAAAGGGUUGUAAAUUAAUGAAAUCCAAAUUCCAAUUUUAGGUUACAAAUGUUCACUAGACUCUCCUCCACAUAAUACAUUUAUCUUAACAUGAAACAUUUAACUGGUCUUUACUACGAGUCUUGCCUAUGGAAGACUAAUUAAGCAUUCAUAAAACAUUAAUUAAUUCAUGCUCAAAUUGGAUUAUGUUAUUAUUUUAGAGGUUACUUGCUUAUCACUUAUCUCACGAUUUAAAUGCAUUCAAAAGUUAUUUUCUUUUACUUCAACUCAAACUCUUCCCUAUCAAAAUAAUAUGAUCUUAUAUUAAAAAUAAUAUUUUUAUUAUAUAUUUAUAGUUAUUUAUUAGAUAGAAAAUUCCUUCUUUCAGAAUUCCUGAAUCUCUCUCUUAUAGGCUAGGUGGAGUAAUUUAAGAGCCCUUUUUUUCCUCUCUUUUUUUUUGUUGGGCUCCAGCCAGCCCAUCAGACAAUGAAUUCAAGGAUUGUUGGGCUCCUUUUGAGGGCCAAAGUUGGCUUUAAUGCUUGGAAGAGGACUCAAUCAGUUCCAUGCCAAUGAAUUUAUAUCAAGCUCUUGACUUUUAUCUCAUACGUACACAAAGCUUCUGUCAUUCAAACUUCUCUUUUUUAUUUAUUAUUAUUAUUAUUAUUUUAAUUUAAGUGUGUUUUAGCUUAUUCAUAGUCAAAUAAAAGAUUUUUAUUUUAAAAUAAAAUAAUGUGUCUUUCAAUUUUUAAAUUUUAUCUUUUAAAAAAUUGUUUAUCAUAUCAUCAUCAACAAAUGAGUGAGUGACAGGCGGACAGUUGAGGCCCAAAGGGGGUGCAGUGGGUUCUUUGGGCCCAGAUUCUGGCACAAGAGAGCACAUGCUAGCCCAAUCAUGAUUUAGCUAAACCCAUGAAAGAAGACUCUAUCUUACCUUAAGUUUAUUACUAUCUACCCAAUAACAUGGUGUGCUGGAUUUGGCAUCUUGAGUUGGAUUCUAAGCAUUAUUUUAAGGCUAUGUUGCUCGAAAGUGUUAAACAAAGGAGAAAAAUUUGCUAAAAAAAUAAAAAAAAGUAAUAAUAUACAUAUUAAGUUGUUUUAUUGAAAAAAUCAAUAUAUGUAUAAUAAAAUUUAUGAUAAUCCAUAAUAAUUUACAAUAUUUGAACUCAUAUUUAAUAUUUAGUUUAUAUAUAUUUAUGAUAAUGCAUAUAUAAUAAUCUUUUUUGAAAUAUAGAUUCAUUUAUUGUUUGAAAUAUUAUAUGGAUUGCUUUAUAAUAAUUUUUUUUUUUUUUUUUGGGGGAAUCAUUCAAUGAAUUUUUCUACUUUGGGGCAACGUUACCACACUGGAUAGGCAGCCUCAUCUCACUUACAGAGCUUGGAGUUCAUGAAUGCCGUCAAUUGAAAUCACUACCAAAAGAGAUGCGUUCCCUUAAAAACCUGCAGAAAUUCUAUAUCUGGGAUUGUCAACAUCUAGAGAAAAUAUGCCGACAGAAAACAGGGGAAGACUGGCCCAGGAUUGCUCAUAUCCCACAUAUUGAUUUCUACACUGAUCAGUGAAUAACAAGGGAGGUCCGAAAUCCCUAACCUUUCUUCUCAUUUUUAUUAUUUUUUCGAUCAAAAUGCAAGGUUUUCUCAUUCUCUCUUGGUAAUUCUUUUAUAUUGGCACUUCAUAUGUUUGUUAAAAUGCCCACAUCAGUAAAUCGAUUUUUUUUUUCCAGACCACAUAUACAGUCGAUGAUGAUGUACAUGAAACUCAUCAUUUUACUUGGGGUUGAGGCGAGAUUUGAUAUGAUAUCUCUCCCAGAGGAGCUGAUUCAACAUGUUUCCAUGAUCUAAAGUCUCAACAUUAGACAUCGCUCUGUUUUUGAAACAUUACAACACUGGAUAGGCAGCCUCCCCUCAGUUACAGAACUUGGAAUUCAUGGCUGCCAGAAGGUACGUUCCCUCGAAAACCUGUAGAUGCUCAAAAUCUACAUUGAAGUUAAUGAGGGCUGAGGUGCUGUGUCAGUUAAUGUUUCUCUCCCCUUCAUUGAAGUCUCUGUCUAUUGGAUGCUCAGGUGCUAUGAUGUCUCCCAGAGGAGCUGCCUCAGCAUGUUUCCAGGAUCCAAACUCUCAAAAUUGAAUUCUGCUCUGGUUUUGCAAUAUUACUGCCCUGGAUAGGUCGCUUCACCUCACUUAUGGACCUUCAUAUUUGUGACUGCGCUGAAUUGGCAUCACUUUCAGAAGAGAUGCAUUCCCUCAAAAACCUUCUGACACUAAAAAAUCUUUCAUUGUCGGCACCUGCUUGAAGAUGCCAAAAAGAAACAUUUCAGGUUCAAGAACACAGAGAGCCAUACUUGAUGGAGAUUUCAUCAAUAUAGAGAGGCAUUUCAAGUCUGAAAUCCACCCUUCUCAUUUCUUAUGGCUUCAUUUUGAUUUAAUUUCCUAAUUACAUGAAUUCUAUAUCUGUAAUCCCAGUAUGUAUUAGCACAUAAGUCAAAAGUGAUUUUGAUUUUUUUUAUGUCCACACCUUAUUCAUUUGAUGAAAUGCUUAAACAAGUUUGAAAUUUUUUCCCUUCAAAUCAAUUUCUAAUGCACCAUGAAUUGGUAAUUGAAGUUUGGAAAGAUGUUGGGUUGAUUUAAUUAUUAUUUUGUUGCAGAUUUCAACUUGCUUAAGACGCUUGUGAUUAUUUCUUCUUGGCUCAACUUGAAAUCACUGCCUACGUUCUUCCAUUUCCUACCUCAAAAUCACCUACCAAAAGUUUUGGAUUGGUUAAAAAUUUUCUCAUGGCCCAUAAAUUCGUAUCUAUCAGAUGGCUGAUAUACAAAGGUCCUGCUUUCCUUAGAAAUCAGGUCUACUCUCUGCCAUAUUUUUCAGGUAAUCUGUUGCCUGCUUUUAAUCUCUACAUCAUCUUUCGUUUUGAUAUCAAUUUUUGUCAGGAGUGUCAUACAAGUUGUAAUUAUAUUUGUGAACUUUCAUAUGCACUAUCAUUUUUUAUUGUUUUUUAAUAUAUAACUCCAACCAAACAUAUCAUAGACCAAAAACUUAUUAUGUCUGUCAAGUAGUUUGUUUUUUUCCCCCUUCAUUUGGUGAUGUUGUUUUGGGCCUAGAUAAUUUUUUAGAUUAAUUAAUGCAAAUGUAAUGUUGUCUAAUCAAUACAAAAACUAAUAGUUGUGAGGCUUGGAUACGUGGCUUCCUUGAUCAGUAACUGAAUUGAGUGUUUCUGUAGGCUGGUGUCUCUAUAUUUGGAAAUUCAGAGAGUUGCAAAUUCCAAGGAAUUGGAAGAUUGAGUCGCUGUCUCUACCAUUAGGGCUUCAAUGAGUUACCAUUCUGGAAAUUAUAAAAAAAAAACAUCAGAUUGCCUCAUAUCUUUGAAUCGAAAUCACUGCUAGAAGGAUGUGCUUCCCAACACUCUCAUGGGCUCUUUGACUUUGCCAUCUACAAUACAUCAGAGGUUCAUGAUCCAUCCUCUAUUCCUGCUUUGGGGGGCUUCAAUUUUUAUAUUAUUUUUCCGUUAAUACUCUAAAAAUGUUAUAUUCUAUUUUUAAUUCUUUUUACCUGAGUCUUAUGCAUUAGCACACAAGAGAAAAGUCAUAUAACACUUUCAUAAUGCAAUCAUUUUCCAUUGUUAGCCAUAUACUAUUUUUCUUAUAUAUAGCUAAGGCAUCCAAUAAAUAUGCCUACACUCACCAGAAAAAUACCCAUCUCGUCAUCUCCAACUCUGCUCUUUUGAGUUGCUGCUCAUGGCUCCAAAAUGAUGGGUGUUUUUCCAUUUUGUUUUUGUCUUCAGUGAGCUUAGAAGACGAGAUUUGAAGGACAGUGUUAGUGGGUUUUGGUGGGAAUGUAGAUUUGGUGGACCUAAUGCUACUGCUGUCUGGUUUUAAGAAAAGAGGGUUGCGGUGACGAGAAUGAGGUAAUUUUGGGUCGUGAAUGGAGAAAGAGACGAAUUUGAGGUUGAGGGUUUGAUGAAGGAAGCUACGUUGUGUGAGAUUAUGCUCUGAUCCUUGUUUAGAAUUUUGGGUCUAUUAAAUUCACGUAUAUUGUUUGCCAUUCCAACCCUCUUAUUGCUUUUGAAGACAAUAUUAUUUUUGUAAAAUCCUACCUUCAAAGAUACCAAUUCCUUGUAUUUUUACUUUAAUGGUUAUAAUCUGUAUGUGAUCUUCUUAUUUUAUAUUUGUAUUUUACAUGUUCGGAAAUUUUAGUUCAGGUGUUUAAGUGUUGCCAAGUCAAAGCAAUGCCAGAUAGUGAUGUACUUGUGACACCUUACUUCUCUAAAGCUACUCGAAAGUGGGGAUUGUUGCCUACCACAUCUCAUUUCUCUCAAGUCGUCGAAAAUUCAGUGAUGUGUCAAUAGCCUAAUGUCUUUGUCACAAGUGAUUUAGGGAUUCAGAUUGUUUCUCUGAAUUGACAUAAAUAAUAUGUUCUGGUUUGGUAACAUUAUCACACUCAAUGGACAACCUCCAUUUACUAACAUCUUCAAGUUUUUUAGGGAAAAAAACUGUGGAAAACUGUGUUUUGGCUCGCCCAUUUGGGCCUAAUAGCUUUUUGGUAACCCAACUUUCCAUAACCCAAAAAAUGUCCACUGUUGCCCAAAAAAAUAUCCCUUUCAUGCACUAUCCACUGUUUUAUAAUUUCAUUUCCAAAAUUACCCCUCCAGCCUUCCAUAUCAGCAGCCAUCUCCCUCUCCAUGUCACGGGUUGUGCUUUUAAAUAAACACAAAAAUCUUAAACAAGUUAGCAAAACCCACGCAAGACCCGACUCUGAAAUUUGGGGAAACCAGGUUAGGGCAAAAGGAGAGAAAGUCACAGAGAGUCCUUAGCUCCUUUCUCUUCUCUCUCUUUUCUCUCUGUUGUGUGAAUUUUUCAGUGAAAAAUCGAAAGCUUGUAAGCUGUAAUCGAAAGUUAGGUUCAGUGCUUUUUUGGUACUUUGUCGGAUGGCCCAAGCAGCCAGUAGCAGAUACUCAAAUUUUAUGCUUGGGUUUUACUUGAAUGCUCAUACAUUAGCUGUCAUCUUCAAGGUCCAUUUGGUUUUAAUGCAUCUGGAUCACGCAGCUGAGCAGAGGAAAGAGGAAAUGAAUCUGUUACUGGUUUGAUAUUUUUGGGGCUUAGGUGCUUACGAGUUGUACGGUGUAAGCAAAAUCCUCGUUAAAAGUCUAACUUAAGACAACUGGCUCUAAAUAGCAUAUGGCCUGGCGUUGAAAGUGGCUGUAGCCUACAAUCUCAAAUCAAGGGGUGAGUCCCGUACCAUUUAAAAGAAUUGUGACCUUCAGUGUCAGAAAUUUUCAGUUAAAUACAAAUGAAUUGCAUCUUCUUCACUGAAUUUUCAGCCUCCGGUUUCAUCUUUGCGAGGUGAGAUUCACAUUCAUUUUCCAUUGAUCGAAUUCCCCCUCCUCUGCCACAGCCUGGCUAGGGACUCGGUUAAGUUAAGAUGCUAACACUGAAUGAAAAUUGAUUCCAACAAUUUUCAUCAAUCAAUUCCUCAAGUACAAAAGCAGAUGGUGUAUGGUGGAUUGCAGUAAUAGACGAAGUUGGUUUAGUUUAUCCCUCCUUUGAUGGGCACAAGGAUAAAACCAUCUAUUGCUGGGCAAGGUAGCUAGAUGCAGCUUUCCCCAGAAGGCUCGAGGUAGCAGAAUGUCCAUUUUGGUCUCAAGUCGCUCAACAUUGCUGAAGUUCCUUUGCAAUCCUAAUGGAGACUGCCAUUGGGCAGUUUGUCUUAAUUGCGUUGGAGGCAAUGUGUGACCUGCUAACAGCAUAUCCCUCCUGCAACAACCAAAUCCAACAGAUGGACUGCAUCAGUUUCUGUAAACCAUUUGUUGGAGCUCCAGACCAUAGCAAAUAUCUCCAACUUCAAUUGGGAGUGAUCAGCUUCUAUAGAACAAUAAAAUGCCAUACCAUAUUAUAAUUUCCCCUUAUAUUUUUCCCAUUCUCCUAAGCUGGGGCUUGAUGAGUUUUUAGACCAAAAGACUUGUGCAAGUAAACAUCAUCUGGAUCAGGCAACAAAAAAAAAAAUUACCUGACUCUGUUUCUUGGCUAAUGACAAUUGAAAAGCCUCUAAAAGAGAACACUAGGAGGAUACCUUGUUCAGGGCGCUCAUCAUGGUCAUGAGGGGAGGAGAGUUUAUUUUUGCACGGCUUGCUACCUAGGAACAUAAGAGGAAAAUCAAUAAUGAAAUUGCAUUCAAUUUCCAAGCCAUGCAACAGAGCUUGAGAAUUAAUUCACAACCAAAUCAAGAAUCUAAAACACAAAAUUAUGUUAUUUGCAAGUAAACCUCAUCCAAUUUGAUGUAUCCAAAUGGUAAUUUAGGGUCACUCUCAUCGAUCAUUUGCUUCAGAAGUUUUCCCAGAUGAGUUUCAGUGUCAUUGCCAGUCCAUCCCCAUUGUUCAGCUAAAUUUAGCAUUUCUGUAAGGUAGGAAGCAUUAUGGCAGAGAUUAUCAAAUACAGUGGUUUUGCUUUUAAGUUGCUUAGGUACUACCUUAAUGACCUUUAGGUACUACCUUAGUGGCCUUCAGGUACUACCUUAAGGGACCCUAGGUACUACCUUAGCUAAACUUCAACCCAACCUCUCCCAAGCCUUUGUUCUUCAUUUGUGACCCUUAGACCAUGCCAUUAUAUGCUUCUCUUGAGUCCUCAAGUGGUCCACCAAUGGUUUUUUGCUACUGUUCCUUAGGUACUACCUUAGUGGCCUUAAGGUACUACCUUAAUGGCCUUCAGGUACUACCUUAAGGGACCUUAGGUACUACCUUAGCUAAACUUCAACUCAACCUCUCCCAAGCCUUGGGUCUUCAUUUGUGACCCUUAGACCAUGCCAUUAUAUGCUUCUCUUGAGUCCUCAAGUGGUCCACCAAUGGUUUUUUGCUACUGUUGCUUAGGUACUACCUUAAUGGCCUUUAGGUACUACCUUAGUGGCCUUCAGGUACUACCUUAAAGGACCCUAGGUACUACCCUAGCUAAACUUCAACUCAACCUCUUCCAAGCCUCGGGUCUUCAUUUGUGACCCUUAGACCAUGCCAUUAUAUGCUUCUCNNNNNNNNNNNNNNNNNNNNNNNNNNNNNNNNNNNNNNNNNNNNNNNNNNNNNNNNNNNNNNNNNNNNNNNNNNNNNNNNNNNNNNNNNNNNNNNNNNNNNNNNNNNNNNNNNNNNNNNNNNNNNNNNNNNNNNNNNNNNNNNNNNNNNNNNNNNNNNNNNNNNNNNNNNNNNNNNNNNNNNNNNNNNNNNNNNNNNNNNNNNNNNNNNNNNNNNNNNNNNNNNNNNNNNNNNNNNNNNNNNNNNNNNNNNNNNNNNNNNNNNNNNNNNNNNNNNNNNNNNNNNNNNNNNNNNNNNNNNNNNNNNNNNNNNNNNNNNNNNNNNNNNNNNNNNNNNNNNNNNNNNNNNNNNNNNNNNNNNNNNNNNNNNNNNNNNNNNNNNNNNNNNNNNNNNNNNNNNNNNNNNNNNNNNNNNNNNNNNNNNNNNNNNNNNNNNNNNNNNNNNNNNNNNNNNNNNNNNNNNNNNNNNNNNNNNNNNNNNNNNNNNNNNNNNNNNNNNNNNNNNNNNNNNNNNNNNNNNNNNNNNNNNNNNNNNNNNNNNNNNNNNNNNNNNNNNNNNNNNNNNNNNNNNNNNNNNNNNNNNNNNNNNNNNNNNNNNNNNNNNNNNNNNNNNNNNNNNNNNNNNNNNNNNNNNNNNNNNNNNNNNNNNNNNNNNNNNNNNNNNNNNNNNNNNNNNNNNNNNNNNNNNNNNNNNNNNNNNNNNNNNNNNNNNNNNNNNNNNNNNNNNNNNNNNNNNNNNNNNNNNNNNNNNNNNNNNNNNNNNNNNNNNNNNNNNNNNNNNNNNNNNNNNNNNNNNNNNNNNNNNNNNNNNNNNNNNNNNNNNNNNNNNNNNNNNNNNNNNNNNNNNNNNNNNNNNNNNNNNNNNNNNNNNNNNNNNNNNNNNNNNNNNNNNNNNNNNNNNNNNNNNNNNNNNNNNNNNNNNNNNNNNNNNNNNNNNNNNNNNNNNNNNNNNNNNNNNNNNNNNNNNNNNNNNNNNNNNNNNNNNNNNNNNNNNNNNNNNNNNNNNNNNNNNNNNNNNNNNNNNNNNNNNNNNNNNNNNNNNNNNNNNNNNNNNNNNNNNNNNNNNNNNNNNNNNNNNNNNNNNNNNNNNNNNNNNNNNNNNNNNNNNNNNNNNNNNNNNNNNNNNNNNNNNNNNNNNNNNNNNNNNNNNNNNNNNNNNNNNNNNNNNNNNNNNNNNNNNNNNNNNNNNNNNNNNNNNNNNNNNNNNNNNNNNNNNNNNNNNNNNNNNNNNNNNNNNNNNNNNNNNNNNNNNNNNNNNNNNNNNNNNNNNNNNNNNNNNNNNNNNNNNNNNNNNNNNNNNNNNNNNNNNNNNNNNNNNNNNNNNNNNNNNNNNNNNNNNNNNNNNNNNNNNNNNNNNNNNNNNNNNNNNNNNNNNNNNNNNNNNNNNNNNNNNNNNNNNNNNNNNNNNNNNNNNNNNNNNNNNNNNNNNNNNNNNNNNNNNNNNNNNNNNNNNNNNNNNNNNNNNNNNNNNNNNNNNNNNNNNNNNNNNNNNNNNNNNNNNNNNNNNNNNNNNNNNNNNNNNNNNNNNNNNNNNNNNNNNNNNNNNNNNNNNNNNNNNNNNNNNNNNNNNNNNNNNNNNNNNNNNNNNNNNNNNNNNNNNNNNNNNNNNNNNNNNNNNNNNNNNNNNNNNNNNNNNNNNNNNNNNNNNNNNNNNNNNNNNNNNNNNNNNNNNNNNNNNNNNNNNNNNNNNNNNNNNNNNNNNNNNNNNNNNNNNNNNNNNNNNNNNNNNNNNNNNNNNNNNNNNNNNNNNNNNNNNNNNNNNNNNNNNNNNNNNNNNNNNNNNNNNNNNNNNNNNNNNNNNNNNNNNNNNNNNNNNNNNNNNNNNNNNNNNNNNNNNNNNNNNNNNNNNNNNNNNNNNNNNNNNNNNNNNNNNNNNNNNNNNNNNNNNNNNNNNNNNNNNNNNNNNNNNNNNNNNNNNNNNNNNNNNNNNNNNNNNNNNNNNNNNNNNNNNNNNNNNNNNNNNNNNNNNNNNNNNNNNNNNNNNNNNNNNNNNNNNNNNNNNNNNNNNNNNNNNNNNNNNNNNNNNNNNNNNNNNNNNNNNNNNNNNNNNNNNNNNNNNNNNNNNNNNNNNNNNNNNNNNNNNNNNNNNNNNNNNNNNNNNNNNNNNNNNNNNNNNNNNNNNNNNNNNNNNNNNNNNNNNNNNNNNNNNNNNNNNNNNNNNNNNNNNNNNNNNNNNNNNNNNNNNNNNNNNNNNNNNNNNNNNNNNNNNNNNNNNNNNNNNNNNNNNNNNNNNNNNNNNNNNNNNNNNNNNNNNNNNNNNNNNNNNNNACCAUGCCAUUAUAUGCUUCUCUUGAGUCCUCAAGUGGUCCACCAAUGGUUUUUUGCUACUGUUGCUUAGGUACUACCUUAAUGGCCUUUAGGUACUACCUUAGUGGCCUUCAGGUACUACCUUAAAGGACCCUAGGUACUACCCUAGCUAAACUUCAACUCAACCUCUCCCAAGCCUCGGGUCUUCAUUUGUGACCCUUAGACCAUGCCAUUAUAUGCUUCUCUUGAGUCCUCAAGUGGUCCACCAAUGGUUUUUUGCUACUGUUGCUUAGGUACUACCUUAAUGGCCUUUAGGUACUACCUUAGUGGCCUUCAGGUACUACCUUAAGGGACCCUAGGUACUACCUUAGCUAAACUUCAACUCAACAUCUCCCAAGCCUCGGGUCUUCAUUUGUGACCCUUAGACCAUGCCAUUAUAUGCUUCUCUUGAGUCCUAAAGUGGUCCACCAAUGGUUUUUUGCUACUGUUGCUUAGGUACUACCUUAAUGGCCUUUAGGUACUACCUUAGUGGCCUUCAGGUACUACCUUAAGGGACCCUAGGUACUACCUUAGCUAAACUUCAACCCAACCUCUCCCAAGCCUCCGUUCUUCAUUUGUGACCCUUAGACCAUGCCAUUAUAUGCUUCUCUUGAGUCCUCAAGUGGUCCACUAAUGGUUUUUUGUUAAUGUUCCUUAGGUACUACCUUAAUGGCCUUAAGGUACUACCUUAGUAGCCUUCAGGUACUACCUUAAGGGACCCUAGGUACUACCUUAGCUAAACUUCAACUCAACAUCUCCCAAGCCUCGGGUCUUCCUUUGUCACCCUUAGACCAUGCCAUUAUAUGCUUCUCUUGAGUCCUCAAGUGGUCCACCAAUGGUUUUUUGCUACUAUUCCUCAGGUAGUACCUUAGUGGCCUUAAGGUAGUACCUUAGUGGCCUUAAGGUAGUACCUUAGUGGCCUUAAGGUAGUACCUUAGUGGCCUUCAGGUACUACCUUAAGGGACCCUAGGUACUACCUUAAGGUAAACUUAAACUCAACAUCUCCCAAGCCUCGGGUCUUCCUUGGUCACCCUUAGACCAUCCCAUUAUGUGGUUCUCUUCAUUCCUCAAGUCGUCCACCAAUGGUUUGUUGGGACUGUAGCUUAGGUACUACCUUAAGGGCCCUUAGGUACUACCUUAGUGGCCUUGAGGUACUACCUUAAGGGACCCUAGGUACUACCUUAAGGUAAAUUUCAACUCAACCUCUCCCAAGCCUCGGGUCUUCCUUGGUCACCCUUAGACCAUCCCAUAAUGUUGUUCUCUUCAUUCCUCAAGUGCUCCACCAAUGGUUUUUUGGGACUGUAGCUUAGGUACUACCUUAAGGGCCCUUAGGUACUACCUUAGUGGCCUUGAGGUACUACCUUAAGGGACCCUAGGUACUACCUUAAGGUAAACAUAAACUCAACCACUCCAAAGCCUUGGGUCUUCAUUGGUGACCCUUAGACCAUCCAAUUAUGUGGUUCUCUUCAUUCCUCAAGUCGUCCACCUAUGGUUUCUUGGGACAGUAGCUUAGGUACUACCUUAAGGGCCCUUAGGUACUACCUUAGUGGCCUUGAGGUACUACCUUAAGGGACCCUAGGUACUACCUUAAGGUAAACUUGAACUCAACCUCUCCCAAGCAUCAGGUCUUCCUUGGUGACCCUUAGACCAUCCAAUAAUGUGGUUCUCUUCAUUCCUCCAUUAAAGAUUAAACUUGUUAUCUCUAUGAAUGAACUUAAACUUCAUAUGAGGGGGAACGGGUUUGAAGGUGUUGAGCUAAGAAACAUCCAUGAUGCACUAAUUUUCACUAAUUAUUUAAUUUUCACAAUUGUUAAACAUGGUUUUAGGUCUCUAUGAACACGUUGAUUCAUGGUGCUCAAUUUCCUUGAAAGGAAAAAGAAAAAAAUUCAUGGUUCUGUUUGUCUAAGAUUGCAUCUAAGGAUUUCAUUUUUCUUGUGUGCUUUUCGGUAAUUAUUUUCUGUAGAAAUUUGAAGAUCUAGAUAUGUGUACUCUAGAAGAAUUAUAGGAUUCGAUUUGUCCUGAUCAUGAUCAUGUGCAAAUUUUGGUUUACUGAUUUUAGUUUUCUUUCAAAAUUUUCUUGUUAGGAAAUCUCAAAUUUCUCUUUUUCAUGUGCAAGUAUUUCAUAAGCAUUGAGCAAAAGUCAUCAGAAACCCAACUUGUGAAUUGUGAUGGCAGGUACACCCAUACACUUAUCGGAAUGAGAACCAGUUCUUACACUUUAACUUCCAUCAAGACCCAUAUGCAGAAUAUGAUUAUUGGAUAAACAAGAUAGGAGUUGAUGGACUCUUCACAUAUUUCACUGGCAGCCUCCAUGACUUUCAGGAAUGGACCUCUCCUCUCUCUCAAGAUGAUGGUGAUGAUGAUGGCAAUGCUGCUAAAUUGUUUCAUAAGAUUGCAACUUUAGUCUCUCCCUACAAGAAGGGAUGAUAGUGUAAAAUGCAACUUCUCAAGACUGUAGCUUAGGGUAGAAAUCUCUNNNNNNNNNNNNNNNNNNNNNNNNNNNNNNNNNNNNNNNNNNNNNNNNNNNNNNNNNNNNNNNNNNNNNNNNNNNNNNNNNNNNNNNNNNNNNNNNNNNNNNNNNNNNNNNNNNNNNNNNNNNNNNNNNNNNNNNNNNNNNNNNNNNNNNNNNNNNNNNNNNNNNNNNNNNNNNNNNNNNNNNNNNNNNNNNNNNNNNNNNNNNNNNNNNNNNNNNNNNNNNNNNNNNNNNNNNNNNNNNNNNNNNNNNNNNNNNNNNNNNNNNNNNNNNNNNNNNNNNNNNNNNNNNNNNNNNNNNNNNNNNNNNNNNNNNNNNNNNNNNNNNNNNNNNNNNNNNNNNNNNNNNNNNNNNNNNNNNNNNNNNNNNNNNNNNNNNNNNNNNNNNNNNNNNNNNNNNNNNNNNNNNNNNNNNNNNNNNNNNNNNNNNNNNNNNNNNNNNNNNNNNNNNNNNNNNNNNNNNNNNNNNNNNNNNNNNNNNNNNNNNNNNNNNNNNNNNNNNNNNNNNNNNNNNNNNNNNNNNNNNNNNNNNNNNNNNNNNNNNNNNNNNNNNNNNNNNNNNNNNNNNNNNNNNNNNNNNNNNNNNNNNNNNNNNNNNNNNNNNNNNNNNNNNNNNNNNNNNNNNNNNNNNNNNNNNNNNNNNNNNNNNNNNNNNNNNNNNNNNNNNNNNNNNNNNNNNNNNNNNNNNNNNNNNNNNNNNNNNNNNNNNNNNNNNNNNNNNNNNNNNNNNNNNNNNNNNNNNNNNNNNNNNNNNNNNNNNNNNNNNNNNNNNNNNNNNNNNNNNNNNNNNNNNNNNNNNNNNNNNNNNNNNNNNNNNNNNNNNNNNNNNNNNNNNNNNNNNNNNNNNNNNNNNNNNNNNNNNNNNNNNNNNNNNNNNNNNNNNNNNNNNNNNNNNNNNNNNNNNNNNNNNNNNNNNNNNNNNNNNNNNNNNNNNNNNNNNNNNNNNNNNNNNNNNNNNNNNNNNNNNNNNNNNNNNNNNNNNNNNNNNNNNNNNNNNNNNNNNNNNNNNNNNNNNNNNNNNNNNNNNNNNNNNNNNNNNNNNNNNNNNNNNNNNNNNNNNNNNNNNNNNNNNNNNNNNNCAAUGCAACAAAACGCCAUGUAUGUCUGCAAAACAUAUAUUACAAUAAUGGUAUGUGCAUUCCAAGUUAGGAUUAAGCUUCCUCUAUAUUCAAUGGGAUGUGUCUUAAGAUAUAGAGGGAACUGAAGGCAUACUGACUAAAUAUCAUUAUCCAAAGAACAAAAUAAACUAAGGAGCCUAUUGUGAAGUCUUCAUCUUUGAUAUCUCCUCCAACAGUAAUCUGGAUUCAGCUGCAAAAUCAACUGGAACAACAGCCCUGGCUGUUAUCCUCUGCCUUUUCUCGUUCAUGUACUCAUGUUGUGCAACACUAAUCCGGAAAAGCUGAGGGACCCAAAUAGCUUCCUUCAAUUUCUGUUGGAAUAGGUUCUCUUCUCCCUCCUGCAGAGAAGAUUGGGUUUUUUAAACAUCAGAUUUUGAAUGGCAGAAGUUCAUCAUUUAAAAAAAAAAAAAAUACAACCCAACUAGGCUACCAAAUAAGUAACCAACUACAUAUGAAUUAAUGCAUCAAUGAGCAACUCUUUCAAGUUAACUAAGAUUUGGACAAACUCAUAGAUAUUUCAAUAUUGUCAAGAGUUUACCUGUGAUUUCAGCUUAUCAAGCUCAUCAGCAGAGCACCCAAAUAUUCUCUCUGCUUGGUCAUUGAACAGAGAAAGCCAAUAGAAGCCAUUGAAGCUCCUUUACAUUCAGAAUCAUACCUGUGAAGAAGAACAUAUGGUCAGAAACACUUACUACAAGAACUAACAAGGUAAUAGGUCACUGGAUGAUUCCUUACCAGGAUAUCAACUUUUUUUAUUCGCGUGUAUCUGGAUUUACCAGUACAAUACUUUCACUCAAUGUUGACAGUGAUACAACUAAAACAAGAUAUGAAGAGAACAUUACAAAGAGGACUUCUUAUCAUUCUCAUGUUUUUUAGAAUUGCCAUAAUAAUACCAAAAUUCAAGAAAACAAGGGGAAUUACCUUGGAAGUCUCCAACUUUGAGAGAUUUAAUUGCAACAAUUGGAAAUUAAUCAGCAUUAUCCAACAAUUCCUGCCCUACAUUAGUAGCAUGAUCAUUCCACAAAGAGACCACAACAGAGAGAAAAGAGAGAGAAGAGAGAGAAGCUAAGGACCCUCCAUUUGGCACAAAGUAAGAAAACCUUUUUUGCUGUUUGAUGUGAAGCUCUAUGCAUUAAAAAAAGGAAAAACAAAUUAUAAACUUAAUUUUAAAAUAUAUCAUAAAAAACAGCUCUCUAGGUGGCAGGAGAGGUGGGUUUUGGUUCAAAUAGCUUAUACUGCCUCUGGCAUCUGUUCUUGAAUUCUCCAACUUUGUCUCCCAAACAUGUCCUAAUUCCCAAGAGCUCAUAUUGCCACACCUACUCAUUAGGGUUUGCAUCAGUUUCCAUUAACAUUUAACUAAAAAGAGUUUAAAAAUUCAAUCAAGGUCAAACAAAAUCAACCAUCCCACAGAGCAGAAGUUACAUAGAUAUUCGAGAAAAUAAGUCAUGUCACAAACUAAGCAUCUAAUCACACAGCAGAAGUUCAGAAGUUCAGCUUUCCUCAAUCCAACCAGCUUUGAAUACAUGCUUAUAGGCUUCUAUAAUCUGCUCCUUACCACCUUUAAACAAAACCCUUGAACGAAUUAAACCAAAAAACCCAGAAAAAAAGAAAAAAAAAAAAAAAAAGAAGCACAGAAAAUUAGGAUUAAAAUCAAUCAAUCCACACAAAGUGCUAAAAAAACAUUAAUAAACAAACACCCAACAUAAAAACAACAAGCUUUUAUUAAAAGAACACAAAAACAAAUAAAAUAAAAACAUACCCACAACUUUAUCUUACCUCAAGAACCAAAUCCAAGAGCAAAAAAAGAGUUUAAAAAUUCAAUCAAGGUCAAACAAAAUCAACCAUCCCACAGAGCAGAAAUUACAUAGGUAUUCGAGAAAAUCAGUCAUGUCACAAACUAAGCAUCUAAUCACAGAACAGAAGUUUAGAAAUUCAGCUUUCCUCGGGUGCUAAAUUGCAAUUAAAAAUAAAAACACUAAUUAAUUGUCAAUCUCAAGAGAACCUAAAUCCCAAAAAUUAGGCCAGAAACCUAAAUUACGUGCAUUGAAUAGUUCCAGAUGCAUGAAAUCAAUGAAAAAAAUUACCAAACAAAAAUAGUAAUCAGGAAAGACCAAGUAAAGAAUACACAAAAAUGUACAUAUUUAUCGUUCAUUCGUGUGGUCGCCGGAAGAAAAAAAACGGGAAUAAAGAACAAAGCUCGAGAUUUACAGCUGCGCCUAAACAUUUGCUCUCUUUCAUUGCAAAGAAACCAACAACAAUAGAAAAAAAAAUAAUCAUAUAAGUUUCGCCUCAUAUUUUCCUCAUUUACCUCAGUUUUCUGAGCAACCAAACAAAAACUAAAAGAUGGACUAGAAAGCGAAUCUAACUUGAAUAGUGUAAGAGAGCUCAUAACAGAGUGGAAAUCUCUAAAUGAAGGCGAGAACCUGGAGAUGAAAUCGCUUUAUCUGAAGAAAUUUGCGGAUCAGUAGUACGGCGACACGCGUGAAUCGAUUACAGCUUACAAGCUUUCAAUUUUUCAUUGAGAAAUUCACACAACAGAGAGAGAAGAGAGAGAAGAGAGCGAAGCUAAGGACUCUCUGUGACUUUCUCUCCUUUUGCCCUAACCUGGGUUCCCCAAAUUUCAGAGUCGAGUGUCGCGUGGGCUUUAUCUGAAGAAAUUUGCGGAUCAGUAGUAUGGAGACACGCGUGAAUCGAUUACAGCUUACAAGCUUUCGAUUUUUCACUGAGAAAUUCACCCAACAGAGAGAAAAGAGAGAGAAGAGAAAGAAGCUAAGGACUCUCUCUGACUUUCUCUCCUUUUGCCCUAACCUGGUUUCCCCAAAUUUCACAGUCGGGUGUUGUGUGGGUUUUGCUAACUUGUUUAAGAUUUUUGUGUUUAUUUAUUAAAAGCACAACCCGUGACAUGGAGAGGGAGAUGGCUGCUGACAUGGAUGUGGAGGGGUAAUUUUGGAAAUGAAAUUAUAAAACAGUACAUAGUGCAUGAAAAGGAUAAUUUUUUGGGCAACAGUAGACAUAUUUUGGGUUAUGGAAAGUUGGGUUAUGAAAAAGCUAUUAGGCCCAAAUGGGCGGGCCAAAACACAGUUUUCCCUAUAUUGUAUCAUAAGAAAAAGAAAGGAAAAAAAAAGAGUGGAGGGGGAGGGGGAGAGAUGGGGGGCUAUGUUGUAAACAACAGGGUAGCCUGUGUAAAGCCCCCAGUUUUUACUUAGAGACCUCAUUACCCAUUAGGAAAAGGGUCAGUGACCUAUUAUUAAUAAUGCAAAAUUACCCAAAGAUGGAUAUUUGAAUUUUUUUUUUUUUUUUGGAGAAUUUAAGAAUUGUUGACACAAUAUAGUGAAACUGCAUAUACAAAUAUUGGGGUCAUUAGUUCACAUGACUUAAGCGAUUAAGAACAUUGAAGAGGAGACAUGUUGCUUGAUAAGCCCACCUGUCUACAUCUUGAGCAGCCACAGUUUGUUGCUCAUGAGACUUUUUGGAAGACACCUCCAGGGAUAAGAUUGAGUAAUUUAAAUUCCAUUAACAGAGUUCCUCUCUUUCAUUAGCCUUUAGGCCCUUAGGAAUCAAGCUUAAACUCGAAAGAUUCUAAAAUCUUACUCCCUUCUAACCUCAGGAAAGUUUUGAGAGCUUAGGUAUCCACAAAUAUCUUGGUACAUUCUAACAAGUCCUAUACCACUUUCCACCAUUCAAUUUAUCCCAAAAUAGCAUAAAUGUCAAGGGGAUACAGGAGACCAGAACUAAUAAAGGCAAUGACAUUAAACGGGAGAAAAAAAUAUCAAAGCAUGAUAGAAGAGUUAAAUACUUAAACAAGUUAGUGUUGGUAUUUUAAUUAUAGUAUUCCAUUAAUACAGUACCAAAAUACUGGAUGCCAUAUACUUUUGUCUAACAAUGGAUGGAAUAAUAGAUAUACAAGCACAAGAAAUAUGUUUCACUAACAUGAAAAUGAAAUUUAUGAAAGGUGGCUAGAUUCGAGAAAUACAAACAGGAUAGAACACCUAUGAAGCAUGAAAUAUUUUUGAACACAAACUUUAACAAAUCCAUAACAUGAAUAAAUGUUUGGAACCACCACACUAGAUCAGCAAUCUGUAGCUUCUCAAUAUCAUAACUGUUACAGCUAUAUUCGACUUCUAACCAUAUAAGCUAAGCCUAUGUUUUGUUUCUAGAAAGUUUUAAGGAAAAAAAAUAGAGCAGAGAAAUAUAAGAAAAAAUUAUAAAAGUUUUCUUUUAUUUGAUUGUCCAUUGAAAAGUUGAAGGAAAGAAAAUUAAAUUGCUAAAGAAUGUAAUUUCCACUAACUUUCCUCAUUUUUUGUUAAGGAAAAUGGACACCACCACCACCCCAACCCUUUUCUUUCGUUUUUUUUUUCUUCAUCUUUCGCAUGGUACCCAAACAUGAGAAAACCAUUUUCACUAGCAUUUUUUCCUUUCCUUUUCUUAUUACUUUCCAAGAACCAAACAUAAGGUAAGUUUAUGACACCCUUUCUAACACAACCAUUAAUAGACGGCUCAAGGUACUUCUAACAGUGAAAGAAGAAUUUCACAAAUACUUAUAGUAAAUUACAGAAUAAGCCAAAAGUGAAGAUAACAUCUAUUAAUACCUGCCUUCUUCAUCUUCCAAAUUCUGAAGAUGUUGUUUUUCAUCUUCACUUAAGUCCAAUGCAACUUGGACGUAGGAAAAAUUAGAACAAAAAAAUAAUCAAGCAUUCUUUUCUCAGCAUCAUCAUGCAAAAUUUUCCACCAUAGCAUAAAAGGAAAUCAUGAAGAAAAAUAAAAAAUGAAAAAAUAAUACGCAUGCUCUCUACAAUAAUAACAAUAAAGGCAAACUACUCCAACAAAUUAUUAGAAAAAAUUGGAAAAAAUAAAAUUCAGAGAAUGGAAAUCCAUUUUCACCUCCAUAUAAAAUACACCAUGAAAAACAUUGGAAUCUAGUAAAGCUCUAGGUAAAAGAGGUAUUUCAGGCCAAUUUAAGAGCUCUAUCAGAAAUUCAAAUGCCCAUUCUGAAAUAGAAAAUUUAAAAUCUAAUUGAAACUUAACUUUGCAAUCCGAGUACCAUAAAAACAUUGAAAAAGUCACACAAAUACUCGCAUAAUCUUAUCAAUCGAAAGGUUAUAAUACAAGGUGCAAAACACCAGAAUCAGAAAUAAGUUUCACAUUCUACAAAACUUACACUAAAAAGAGAAAGUUAAAAGGUCACAGACAGUCGAAAAUAACCAGAAAAUAAAGGAAAAUAAAAGAAAAGGGACCUGUUUGGCGAUAAGUUCUCUCUUAGAGUGGGAUGGGAGUUGGGAGACACUCAUCUAAUAUAUAGGGAAAGUUGUGUUUUUUUUCCCUCCCUCUGUUUUCUGGAUCUAGGGGUCUCUUUGCUUUUGUGCCAUUUGAAUUAAAUUUCACAAACCCUAAACCCACGAUUUUUUUAGCCAGGCUGAAAAAUACCACCUUUGCCUGCAAAUCGUGAUCAGAUUACCAAAUAGCAUCUUAUUGUGCCAUUGGAAUUAAAUUUCACAAACCCUAACCCACGAUUUUUGAACCAGGCUCAAAAACACCACAUUUGCCUGGAAAUCGUGGUCAGAUUACCAAAUAGCAUCUUAUUGUGCCAUUGGAAUUAAAUUUCAAAAACCCUAAACCCACAAUUUUUGAGCCAGCCAGAAAAAUACCACCUUUGCUUGCAAAUCGUAAUCAGAUUACGAAAUAGCAUCUUAUGUUUUAAAUAAAAAAAAAAAUCAAAAAGCUUGGACAGCUCGUGAACAAUGCAAAACAACAUUUAGCCCAAAUUUUUUCUCAACAGCCAAACAAAUUGUUAAAUGGAAACUCACCUGCGAUUACUCCAAAAGGAAGACGAAGCUCCACCGCCGAUUCCAGAAACCACCCAUGAAAAUGCAGGCAAAAGGAGAGAAUAGGGCAAAAAGCGAGGAAGUCAGCGUUUCCCCAAAUUUUUGAGUCGGGUCGUGGGUUUUGCAAAUCCUAACUCUAAAGCUUAAUAUUUUUGUGUUCAAUUAUUAAAAACACAACUUCCCGUGCUGACACGGAUAAGGAGAUGGCUGCUGACAUGGUAGGCUGGAGGGGUAAUUUUGGAAAUGAAAUUAUAAACAGUGGAUAGUGCAUGAAAGGGAUAUUUUUUUGGGAGAAUUGUGUUUUGGGCCCAGCUGGGCCCAAAAAUUAACAAAUGGUCCAUCUAACUGACCUAAUUAAUGAUAAGGAUAUCAAAUGUUAACAGACGAAAAUGCCCUUUACAUUUCCAACUCAAAUUGUUGUAAAAUAAUGGGUUUUACAGCUGGUAAACGUGAAAUGCCAUGUCACCAGAGUGAAAAUUCUGAAUCUUCCUAAAAACCACUCACAUAUACCCUCUCCUUCUACUCUCUUUCUCGCCGGAGUUUCAGUUUCUCCGUUCAACCCCAACUCUUCUCCGGCCAAUUCUUACUCGUCCCACCAUUCUUUCCUUCAAUUCUCACCAGAGUUUGCCCCUUUUCCACCAAAGUUCACUCCUUUUUCACCAAAGCUCACAACUUUUUCCCACCCAAGAAACCAUUUUCCGCUCAAACAAACAGGAUUUUCUCCUUUUCUGGUUUAUGGGAUUUCGACAUAGUUCCUAAAAAGAGACACUUGAGAGGGAACUAAGGUUUUCUCUGUAUACACAAAAGGGUUUUUAGAGAGAGAAAACAGAGUGCAGUUUCACUGAGCCAUUUUUGUUUGCUUUGAAGGAAAUUUUUUAUGUGUUUUGGUGAAGAUUUUAGGGCCUAAAGCUUCAGAUUAUUUGUUUGGCAAUGCAGAAAAUAUAUUCUGGGUGAGUUUUUUCUCAUCUUCAUUUUUGAGAAAUUUUUUUCUCGUAUAUGGCUUUGAUUCUCAGAAAUUUAUUCUAAGGUUUGGAUUAUGUUGAUGAGAUUACCUUGAAGAACUAUGCUUAAUUACUGAAUAUUUUUAUGAAUUUAGGUUGUAAAUAUAUAAAUAUAUCAGUGAUUGAUUAAUUAAUUAAUUAAUUGAUUGAAUGAAUGAUUAAUUGACUGAUUGAUUAGGGGCUAGUUGUUAGAUUGUGUAUUCAAUGGGUGGAUUCAUGCAUGAUUUAAAUUUAUGAAAAAUGGGCCCACCAAAGUCAUUUCUUUAAUUCUUAGUUUUCAAUCACAUUCACCAUUGAUUAUGAUCAUUUUAAGAUCAUAUAUGCAUGGCAUACCCAAAAUUUUCUAUCCAAUUCUACCCAUUUACAAUUAUGUUUAUGGAAUCUAAUGAAAUUGAUGUAUUUGUUCAUGAAAAUGAGCUCAUUUGGUCUGAUUUGAUUCCAGGUCAUGGCAUUGCAGUGAGUUUAGGUGUGUUAUUGGUAUGAUUAUGUUAAUCAAAGAUUCGAAAUGGCCGAUUUCUUCAUGAAAAUGAGCUCAUUUGGUGUGAUUUGAUUUUGGGUCAUGGCAGUGUAGUGAGUUUAGAUGUAGUAAACAAACAAUUUGUUUGUGAAAAUGAACUCAUUUUAUUUGGUUUGAUUCCGGGUCAUGGCAUUGCAAUGAGUUUAGGUGUAUUAUUGAUUAUUUGAAUGAGGGCGAUUUGUUAUGGGAAAAUGAGCUCAUUUGGUGUGAUUAUGUGAAUCAAAAGGAUCUGAAAAUGCUCAGAUUGUUCAUGAAAAUGAGCUCAUUUGGUCCGAUUUGAUUCCGGGUCCUGGCAGUGCAGUGAGUUUUGGUGUAUUAGCAUGAUUGUAAUUUAUAUCAAUUAAACUAUUAGAAACACUAGAUUUCUUCACGAAAAUGAGCUCAUUUUAUGUGAUUAGGUUUCGGGUCACUGCAAUGCAGUGAGAUUUGGUGUAUUAGCAUGCGAUUGGAAAAAUGAUCUCAUUUCAUUUGAUUGAUCUCCGGCCAUGAUAUCACAAUGAGUCUAGGUCUACUACUGUGAUUAUAUCAAUCAAACGACUAAAAAUGCUUGAUUUAUUCAUGAAAAUGAGCUCAAUCCAUGUGAUUCCAUUUUGGGUCAUGACAAUGCAGUCAGUUUAGGUGUACCGUUCAUGCAUUGUGUAAUUAGUAGGUGAUUGGGUUUUUGAUUAAUUAAUCAAGCUUGUGUCAUUCNNNNNNNNNNNNNNNNNNNNNNNNNNNNNNNNNNNNNNNNNNNNNNNNNNNNNNNNNNNNNNNNNNNNNNNNNNNNNNNNNNNNNNNNNNNNNNNNNNNNNNNNNNNNNNNNNNNNNNNNNNNNNNNNNNNNNNNNNNNNNNNNNNNNNNNNNNNNNNNNNNNNNNNNNNNNNNNNNNNNNNNNNNNNNNNNNNNNNNNNNNNNNNNNNNNNNNNNNNNNNNNNNNNNNNNNNNNNNNNNNNNNNNNNNNNNNNNNNNNNNNNNNNNNNNNNNNNNNUAAUUGAUGUCUACCAUGUUCAUUCAUCCUAUUAGCUUCCCUAGUAAUGAUGAAUAUGAACCGAAAUUAGGGUCACCUUUUGUGUCAUUUUCCCUAGUCCAUGGUAAUGGAAACAUUGGUUACCCACCCAUAUUCACUUGGAAAUAUGUACCUAUUAGGGAUUUGGUGACUGGACAAGGCAUUUACACUAAGUGUACAAGGCCAAUGUACUAAAUGUACAAGGGUGUACAAGGGUGUGCAUCUUACUUUUUCCAAACGUGGGGAACAAUCCUCACACAUGUUGCUUGAUAACACACGCAUUGCAUGCAAUUUAAUUGAUGUCUACCAUGUUCAUUCAUCCUAUUAGCUUCCCUAGUAAUGAUGAAUAUGAACCGAAAUUAGGGUCACCUUUUGUGUCAUUUUCCCUAGUCCAUGGUAAUGGAAACAUUGGUUACCCACCCAUAUUCACUUGGAAAUAUGUACCUAUUAGGGAUUUGGUGACUGGACAAGGCAUUUACACUAAGUGUACAAGGCCAAUGUACUAAAUGUACAAGGGUGUACAAGGGUGCCUAUCUUGAAGGAUUUCAAAUGCAAAUGGUGGUUGCUCAUUGUGGCCGAUGUGCUGAACGUGUUGUGUUUGGCGAUGAGAUAACUGAUGGAGGAAGGGAUGACCUAGAAAAGAUCACGAAGGUAAUUGUACUUAACAUCAACUUGUUAUAAGUUCAAACUGAUCCUUCGAGGACAUGCUCCAUUGAUUAAAAAAAAUUAUAUUUAGCAGACACAAUACUAUUUGAGGCAGCACUUAAGGAGUUGCAUGCUUUGGUGCAUGAUUAUUUGCAUUUAUUAUGUGUUUGCUUUAAAAUGAACAAAUGGGGAAAAUAAGCUUCACUCAGGAAAGCAAAAUUCAUCAGGAUAAAAAUACAAAGUACAAAUAAAAGGAGGAAAUUUAUAAUAGAAGUGAAGACAGUUGCAUUUUGAACUUGGCUGUCUGUCAGUAGACUUAAGGUUCCUAAACCUCGCCCUUGAUAUGAGCUGGAAGCAAGGCUUACGAAAAUUCUUUGGGACAUGGAAUUCAAAUCUAGUAAUGCUCAUUCCAUGAUACUUGUUUUACCUUUAUGAUUUGCACUUUAUUUAGACACAUUGUUAUGAUUUUCAACUAACCCAUUACAUGGUUUCAUUACAUGUCAAUGUGGUUGAUGAUGGGAAACGGAUUUCCACAAUCCUCAAGGACCAUGUGGGAAGGAUUAUGUUGGGUUUUUUUCUAUUUAUAAAUCAAGUGUUUAUAUUCAAGAGAAAAGGCUUUCAUACUUGGUAUGUACCCAUAAGCAUCACUGAAAAUUCAACUUCUCUUUCUAUCUAGAUUGAUUACAGAAGCAGGCUACGUUUUUUUUCUAAUAGGAUCACAAUGUAAAUUAAUCAUGAAUGCACUUUAUAAUUUGAUGUGUUUAGAUUUAUGUACAAAACGGAUUUUUAUGCUGCUAGUAACUUCUGUUGGUGUUUAAAACAAACAUGGAAUUAACCAUAAUGUUCUCUGUGCUCUUUGCAAGAUACUGGUAUAUUGAGUUGUGGAUGAUCUUAUUUGGUUUAUAUGCCUUUCCAAUCCCUCAUGCUACUUGUUUUCUCACUUUGCAUGGUGCUUGUUUCUGUUUCUGAAACCUUCUUCCAUGGAGUUUGGCUCUAUUGUUAGUAGUGAUGGUAAUAAACGUCUAUUUCCUUGCAAUUUCUUCAGGAGGGACCCUUGCCUCACAACGAUCGGGUGAGAUAUCAGCCACUGGACCUAUAUCCUGCUCCACUCCACAUAUGUUAAAAGUGUUAACGGAACGACGCAGGGUUCUCCCUUCCUACCAUGUUGUCUUUGAUCCUAGUUUGGCUGCCAUCUAUCUGAGUCCAAGUUAGACAUUGAUUCGGGCUCCUGGGAGAAGAAAGAAACCCGGCUUUUGACACCAAUGCUCUGGUUCUUAGAUGCUGAAGCUAUUGAAUAUUGUCAGCUGACUCUUGAGUAGAAGGGUGAAAUGCCAAUGGAAUGUAUCUUAAGAUGAGGCUUAGGACUGUGGUUUACAACAGUUUUGUUGGCUUAUUUAUUACUGUUUUGAUGUUUCUGUACAAUGAAAUUGAAGUUAUAAGAAGGGUCGAUCUGUCUUCGUGUACAGAGAAAUCUGUAAUGAAAAUACUUUUUGCCCAUUAAUGUAUUGAACAUAGAAAAAUUGUGAAAUCUCGAGUUCUAGCGAACCCAUCCCUGUUGAAGUGAUCAAUACAGAAGUCCAAAGAGGAAACACCAGGAGUUUCUGAAAAUGUUUUUUAAUGUUUUGUAAAACAUUUUGUUUGAUAACUUGAAAUUUUUUUAACUUUUUUUUUUUAAAAAUUUUAAAUAUAUUUUUUUUAAAAAAUUUAUAUGUAAUGUUUUAUUUUUAAUAUUUUUUAUAUUUAUAUAAUAAUAUUUAAAAAACAAGUAAAAACAAUUAAAAUAUAUAAUUUAUAACUUUUCUAUCUUUAAACAUCUAAGAGUAUAAAAUUAUUUAUUGAUUGUCAAUUUUUUCCUAGAAAAUAAAAAAUUGGUUUUGAAAACAAUUAACAAAUAGGGUUUUAGAGUGAAUUUGACAACUGUUUUGAAAAACAAAAUUCUAAAAAAUAUAAAAUAGUUUUUCAACUUCAAAAACAACUAAUUAAAGAGUAAUACAUGUAACCGGUCGACCGGACAAUGAUAGGGGGUCGACCGGUUGUUGCAAAAACUCCUCAUAUAAUGUAGACCGGUCGCUGGCAACCGGUCGACCGGAUUACUUCAAAAAUUUUAUGCCAUCUCACUAUUACAAGAGACACAAAAUAUGCAAAUAUGUAAAUUUUUUUCAAAGUUAUUACUUCAAAAAUUUUAUCAGUUCUAAAACUAUUUUGAGAACUAACAUUUCAUGAGAGAAUGGAAUAUUUUUUCUUAUAUUGGAUGUUCUAAGAAAAUCAACUUGUUAAACAAUGCAAUGACAUGACUAAUAUUGGUAAUGUGGGAUUAGUUCAAACUUAUCUAAUACAUCAUUACAAUGUAGCCUUGAAAAACAUGACAUUAUGAAACAGUAUAUUAUUUCAUUUAUAUUUAUGCUUUUGGUAACCCUUUACUAUUAUAUUUAUGUGUCUUAAUUAUUUUGAACAUUCAAGUCUACUUCACUUACAUUACACAUUUGGGUGCGUGAUAAAUUGCAUAAAAGGUCUAACUCCUUCCAAGUUGAUGAGUUGUUCAUUGCUUACUCAUGGACUUAGGUAAUUUGCCGAAUGUUAAAGUUCAGUACCUCCUAAUAUGGAUGAGAUGACUUGGCGAUCUUGUAAAUAUUACUAAACAACAUAUAAUAAAGUAAAUAGCUGCUUAUAUAUAUAUAUAUAUAUAUUGAAUCCAAAUUAAAACGAAAUCAAAAACAUUUGCAUGCUGACACAACUCUAAAUAUACGUAUGCUAAUACAAAAUAUAUAUGUCCCAGUUUUGCAAGCUAAACAAAAUAACGACGUGGUCUCAAUGCAAUCAAGGUGCAGCGGGUGGCGGUGGGAACACGGCGCGGAGGUACGCCAUUAACUCCUCAUGCUGACGCUCUUGGCGAUCAAGCCUCUGUAGGAUAUGCUCAUGCGUAGCCUGCUGCUGAUCCAUGCGCUCCUCAAUACGAGUCCCAAGUGAGGUAAUCUGCGCAGACAACUCCAUCCAAGGCGCAUGCGCAGCGGCGUCAGGAGCCUGGCCAGGUGAUGUAUGGGUGUAAUGAGGCUCAGUAAAUGAUGGCUGACCAGAUGGUCCCGCUGUGUAACCCGUCUCAGUCAUCACCGCAUCUGAAAUAGUCGGGUCAAUGUGGCCACCCUUAGACUGGCGUGGAGGGAUAUCAAACUCAGCCUCUCUAUGCUCAAAAUCGGUCUGAGGGUGUACCCCACCCUCCAUCUCCCUAAUCUCCUCCUCUUCGUCUUCCUCUGCCUGUGGAUGUGGUACUGGUCGGUCCGCCCUCCUAAUCCAUGACCCAUCUGGGGCCUUCUCCAACUUCAUCCGCGCCAUCGACUGCUCAUCAUAUGUGUCAUAACUGCUGGGCGCCUCGACCUCCUGCUCCCUGCUCAAAUCCACCCCCGCAUCCUUGAACACUCGUGUCAUGAAGCGGCCAUAUGGGAGAAUGCGUUUGGGCCUCUCGCAGCAUGCCAUCAUGUGCAUCAUCAUGACAUACCCGACGUCAAUACGUCUCCCCGUCAUAAUCGAAUCAAUCAGAAAUGCCUCCAGAUAGGAAACCUCAUCUCGAUGACCGCCACGUGGUAGGAGGAUGUACGCUAUCAUGUGGUGAAGGACUCGGCAGGUCACUGUCAGGCUAUGGGCCGAUGGUUUGCCCAACCCCGGGGCAUCUGCAAGGCCGUAGAUCCUCUGAAUCGCCUCUCUCGGAUCGAAACCCGGCACCGUCGGCCAGGUCUUGGCAUCAUAUACUCGGAGUCCACCAGGAGGAAUGUCCAAAAUGCGGCAGAUGCUCUCCGGGUCCAGAUGGAUCUGAACCCCUCUAACGGUCGAAGUGAUCGGUCCUCCAUGUCCAAAUGUCACACGGGAAUAGAAUGCCCUGACUAAUGUCGGAAAAAUGGGCUCUGAAAUAGUGACUAAGGGCAGCCACCCCAUGCAUGCAAAGAGGCUCUCAAACCCGAAAUGUUGUAGAUGGGCGAAAUUUAUAUUUCUCCCUGCAACCACCUUCCUCUGGACGAAAUGCUGCUUGUACCUCUGGUAUUCGUCGACCGAAGUGAAAAGGCCGGUGUCGAACCUCGCCUUUCGGCGAGCCUCCGCCUGACCGUCCUGAGAAGCCUGAGCAGGGCGCUUGCCCAGUGCCUUCGACGCACCCCUAUCUCUCCUAGGCGCCAUGAAACACUACAAAGGGCUACCCCUAUGUCAAAACAAGGCCAAUGAAAGAGUCUGUGACGCGCGCGGGAAGAGAAGAGAACCCGCCUGUGACGCGCAAUGAAGGAGGACCAUUGCCAAACCUCACUCCCUAGGUCCGAAAUGUGAAGCCGCACCCCUCAAAACUCACUCCGAAGGCUUGCAACAGCUGGAAUCGCGUCCAAAGUGGGUGUGUGGCAGCUCAAUCGGUGGAUCCCUUCGACUGCCAGAGGAUAACACUGAAGAAAUUAAGCGCGGAAUGGUUUUUUAAACGUCACCCCGGCCGACCGGAUAUGAACCGGUUGACUCAGUAACAUGUUCCAUGGUGUUUUGCACUUUUUAAUAGGUAUAAUGCAAAACACUUGUGAUAUUCACUUUUUGUGGGGUUGCCUUAAAUAUUUUCUCCGUAUAUUUUAAAUAUUUUUAUAAAAUAGUUUUUAUAAAAACAAUAUAUGCAUUUUCUAUAAAAUAUUUUUAUUCUUAAAGGUAAAAAAUAAAAAUAUAUAUCCAAGUGCUACCUUAAUAAUUUAUUUUCUGUCCUCAAUUUUUCCACAAACAACCAUAUAAAAUUUCUUUAACUUUUUCUCUUUCCUUAUAUUUUCUUUUUUAAUUUUUUGGCUUCAAACUUUUUAGGAAUCCAACAUAAUAAAAGAUGGCGCUUUAAAGGUUUUUUUAAAGCAAUCCUAAAAACUUCUUAUUUUUUUAAGUGAGUUUUAUUAGCUUGAAUUUUAAAAUUUUUAGAAAUAAUUUUUGAAAAUAUAAGGUUUUUAAGUUAAUACCUUUUAUAAAAAGUUUCUAUUUUGUACAUAAAAAAAUUUUAUUUUGAAAAUUAGAAAUCAGAAAAUAUAAGGUUUUUAAGUUAAUACCUUUUAUAAAAAGUUUCUAUUUUUUACAUAAAAAAUUUUUAUUUUUAAAAAUAGAAAUCAGAAAAUAUAAGGUUUUUAAGUUAAUACCUUUUAUAAAAAGUUUCUAUUUUUUACAUAAUAAAUUUUUAUUUUUAAAAAUAGAAAUCAGAAAAUAUAAGGUUUUUAAGUUAAUACCUUUUAUAAAAAGUUCCUAUUUUUUACAUAAAAAAAUUUUAUUUUUAAAUAUAGAAAUCAGAAAAUAUAAGGUUUUUAAGUUAAUACCUUUUAUAAUUCCUUUGUCUAUUUAGCCUAUUUGAUUAUUAAUAUUUGUAUAUGAAGAAUUUAUUCGAUUUAUAAAAAAUAAAUAUGAAUAUAAUUAAAAUGUAAAUUCAAGAAAAAAAGAUAUUUAAUUAAAAAAUGAAAACAAAUCACAACAAAACAAUAUCACACAUCAAGAACAUGUUACUUUGUCAUAAUAUUUAUUGUUUUUGUUUUAGUUUUCAUAAAUUGAAUGGUUUUGGGUUUGGAAAAAUAUAAAUUAUGGUAAUAUAACUAAAAAGAUAAUUUUUAUCAAAAUAAUUUUUAAGGCUUGAAUGUUAUAUUAAUUGAAUUUAGGUGUUCUCCCACUGAGUAAUUUAUCCAAUAAGCAACUUGGCUUGGGUUUUGCUUCUGGUUUUUUUCAUUGACUUGAGGUUGACUUGAGGUACCAUUGCAACCCCUUCCCUGUAGGUAGGAAGCGGUCGCAGUAUAACACUAACACAAAUGUCCAUAUCUCUAUCCCAAUCAUUUACAUCUUUCAGAUCAUAUGAAAAAUUGCGACUAUAUGAAAAAAUCAACAUUAAAGGAAUGCGGGAGUUGGAAGAAUUACAGGAAUUGGGGGAGUACCCUUCCCUAGUUUUUUUAAAGAUCAGUUACUGCCGCAAUCUGAUGAAGUUGCCAUCCCACUUUCCUUAUUUAGAAGAUCUAAAGAUCAAACAUUGCGUCUCUCUCAACACCCUUGUUGUGACCCCACUUCUGAAAGUUCUCGUGCUAGUUGACAAUAUUUUUCUGGAAGAUUUGAAUGAAGUGAAGCAGUCAUUCUCUAGUCUUUUGGUAUUGAGAUUAAUUGUUGCCCAAAGCUGAAGGUAUUACCUCAAAUAUGUACCCCAGAUAAGAUGGAGAUUGGUGGGUCUAAUUUACUGGAAGCUCUCUCAGCCCGAGAUUACUCCCAACAUCUUGAGCACUUGAUCGUGGAUGAAUGCGAGGAUGAAACACUGGUAGUGGGGGCAAUACCAAGGAGGACUUCUCUAAACUCUUUGGUCAUUUCAAACAUCUCAAAGGCAACCUGUUUCCCCAAGUGGCCUCAUCUUCCUGGUCUCAAGGCUUUGCACAUCUGUCAUUGGAAAGAUCUGGUAACUUUAUCCCAAGAAGCAUCACCAUUCCAAGAUUUGACCUAUCUCAAACUGUUGUCAGUUGUCAAGUAUCUAAUCUAAAAUAGGUUCCAGCAUCGGAAAUUUGGCUGAAAAUUGUCCCCUUAAUUUAUAUAUAACCAUACUAUCCCAAUCAUUUAUAUUUUUCGAAAGUUAAAAAAUCCACUAUAUGAAAAAUUAGCAUUUAAGAAAAGAAAUCAUUUGUUUUCUAAAAAAAUUAAGUACUAAUAACUUGUAUAUUGUUUUAUCAUUUCUUAAAAUUUUGUCCAAAUUUAAAAAUAACCUCUUACUUUAAUUUGAGCCCCUUCUUAAUUAUAUUACAUUUUGAUUUUUUAAAUAAAACUAAGAAUUAUUUAAAAAUUUUAAAAUUUUGUCCAAUUCUCCAGGAACCGGUCGACCGAAACUGAUCGACCGGUCUAUAUCCGGACGAGGGUGCCAAAAUGCACCCUCUCUCAUCCAGUAGCUUGUCCAAACCUCCAAGAACCGGUCGACCGAAACUGAUCGACCGGUCUAUCUCCGGACGAGGGUGCCAAAAUGCACUCUCUCUCAUCCAGUAGGGUGUGCGCGACCGGCUGAAGAAAGGUUCGACCGGUUUACCAAUGGCUGAAGGACAAUAUCGACCGGUCGAACACUUUAUGCUUUCCGAUCCACGGGUCCAUCUAGACCGGUUCCUGGGUUGGCCAUAUAUACACCUGCAUUGUACUGUAUAAAUUGUAAACGAUAUGUACGAGAUUGUUGAUGAAAAGGUUUGUUAUAGGUUGUAAUGCCGGUGCCUUUUAUUAGAUGUUUUGAGAUAGUGAGGGAAAAUGCGACUUCAUCACAACCUUCAUUAAAUAUAUAAGCCAUAAAAUUGGCAAUACAAUGUCAGGAGUUGGUUUUUCCUGUAUAAUGUACAAUCAUCUUUAAUUCGCCCUAUUUACUUACAAUGCAUUGACAAGCAACUUAAGUAAAAAAACAAUCAAAUUCUGACUAAUCCCAUAAUCCCAGUGUUCAUUUCCGCAUAUGUCCACCAUAAAUUACAUACAAAUGUGCUAAUUUUAUACAGUUUUAUCACAAAUUACAAUCCCCUUUAAUCUCUCCGGACACGGUCUCGGUGUGCAUUUUGUGCUGAGAACAACAUACUCCCCAUGAUCUUCAACCUGUAAUGUUUCAAUUUCCCCUGCGUUCAUUCACGUUGAUAGCAACAAAUCAGCAAAUUAAUUAAUUAGGUUUUUCUAACUAUUUUAACAUUAAUGAGAUAGUCAUAGAUAAUUCCUCCUACGUACCACAUCGAUUGAUUUGGAGAACCCCCCCAUUGACCACAAUUCCAUGAAUUUCAUUACAAAAACUCCACAAUCGUGCCUACGUCAAUAUAAUUACCAAAACGUUAAUAAGUGUGGAAUUAUAAAUAAGAGAUGAACUUCAAAUAAAUUGCAAUCUUAUACAAUAUCCCGGACUGCAAGGUCAACACUCACUCAUUAGUUUGGAGGGGUACAUCAGGUGUUAUGAAAUUGAAUGUCCUCAAAUCAUAAGGUGAUACCUCUUUUUUGUGGGCAGCCAACCACAGGACAACCUUGGCCUGAAACAUUUAGUAACACAACAAUUGAAAUUUUAAUGGGAAGACAUACCUAUCAAAUUAUUACUUGUUGCUUGUUACUUUACCAGAUUUUGUUGGACUCCACUCAACAUUGUCUUCUUUCUACCAGGACGAGAAUCUAGCAGUUGGAUUCUCCUGUUUUCUAGGUCAUAUACAUACAAUGUCCAAUGGUUCUUUAUGAGAACCGGUAAGAAGACCUGCACCAAUAGACUGCCAUUAAACAUACAUCUAAAUAUUGUACAUUCAUGCAAUAAAAAUACAAAUCCAAGCAUUAAACAUAUGAAUCCACCUCGUUAACAUUGACAUAUGGAAUAUCAAUCUGAUACAGAUGUGGUUCAAAGCGUCUAAUAACUGCCUCCCUAACUAAGUUUUUUGCCUGGGAGUGGAUUACCAUUUCCUGCAUGUUAGAUACGGGAUAAUAUCAGGUUUCUCAUUGUAGGUGAUGCCUGGUUCAAGACAAAAAAUAAAGAUAAGCAAGGAUUUAAUGGAAUAGUCAUCAUUAUAGCUAUGUAGGGGGAUAGAAAAAGUUUCGACUUCGGUUCAUGUUGAUACUGCAACAAUCUACAGUAGGAAUCGACGACCUGAUUUCGUAUAUCAUAAAAGUGUAAGCAACAAAUUAAUUUAGAACCACACUUUCAUUUUCAAACUUAAAAUAAUGCAUAAAGAGGGAUAAGAAAUGAUAUGCACGUCGUUUCCUAUCCACCCAUUCCCUUGGAAGCAGCCCAAAUUGGCUCUGGUUAGAAUAGUGUCAUGCAUAGACACUAGUUCCUCACUGUUACAAAAAAAUACAAUUUAGUUUUUGUGUUUUAACUAUCAUACAAUGAGAGGAGUGUCACUCAAGUAUGUUACCUUGCAUCCAAAUCGUCUCCAAAUACCAGUGCAGCUCCUUGUUUUAGGUCGAUUUUGAUGGCAGAUUGUUUGGUUUGUGGUUGGGAUAUGUAUGGGGACAACAGGUUUGGAGCCAUGCGACGCACUCGACAUCUCCGGACGUUUCUAUUUGUGGGGACAACAUUACCUUCUGGUUGUUCUUCAGCAUCUGCAAUACGAGAUUUAGAACUAGUCAGCAAAGGUAUACAUUAUGAUUGGGUACAUGGGUUGUUAACCAUAUGGGUGUUUGCAUAAAUUUGAUCACUUACCGCUUACUACAUUAAUGGGUACACUGGGCUGCAACUCAUACUCAGGGGCGACAACGCGAUCUGGUGUGUCUAGCACAUGGUAUGCAGCAUGCGAAGCCAUGUACUCAUCACCAGGAAAUGCAUGGUCAUCGGCUGUGGGAGGGCUGGCUGGUGCAUAGCUAGAGUGACCACCCGCAUCUGAAUUUACCCCACUAUGUCUGCGAGUCCCUAACUUAUGCAUAAGGCCAUGCAUUAUUCUCAGCUGCUGCUGAAUGCCCCUUUGAUAUUGGUCGAUUGCUCGUUCUGCAUCAUGAUAUUGAUGCCAUAUUUCCUAUGACAUGAUAUUGUUGUCAAUCUUUGAGAACAGAAUGUGACAACAACAUAUUUCUUUGUAGUUAAGAAGUAAAAAUAAAUUACAAUGACAAUGAAAUGAACAUUUAUUAAGUUUUUGAAAAAUUCACAGCUUACAUCACUAUUUUCAGCAUCAACAUUUGUGUCAUGGUCCACAUUAGUCUCUGGCUCCAUAGUUCUCUCUACGGUUGGAGAUCUCUGGGACGCCUAUAAUUAGCACUGAAGAUUAGUACUUAAAUAAUGAGUGUUAUGCUAGUAAUGACAAUAUAUUUAUGCAUGCAUAACUUACAAAAUCACUCUCAGCAUGUCCGAAUGCUCCAAACUCCUUUAUCUCAGCGACUAGUCGUCGCUUAAUCAAAUCAUCAGUCCAUGCCAAUGCUGGGGGCACUGUAAUGGGGACUUGGACUGAAGGAAUUUGGAAUUUAAUGACAUAAUGCAGCUGCAAAAUAAAUAGAAACAUCAAUAAGCAAAUGUGAAUAUGUUGUGCAAUAAAAUUAGAUAAGAAAAUGGAAGACAAAGACUGAAUAAGUUCACUACCUGAAGAAAUAAAACGCAGCCAUGUACCCAAGAGGUCUUAGAUUGUUGGAAUCGCCUAAUUCCCUCAACCAGUUGGUCAAGCACAAACUGGGCCCAAUUAACAUCAUUUCGGAAUCCAUCCUCAUGGAUGGUAUGCCACAAGUUACGGCAACCAUUGAGCCUAGACGUGGGGGCCAACAAUGUGGCACAUGUGUAGUAAAUGAAUGCUCUACGGAACUCCUCGCCUACAGGUAAGUCUAGGAGUUUCUCCUCGCAUGCCCGAAUAGUCCCAAAUGGAUGAUCUGAUGAUGUGGAGGUCACCUGCAAAUUCCGUCCUUCUGUUGGGAGGCCUAAAAUGAGGCCAACAUCGGUGGCUGUAACAGGAUAGUGUUUAUGGGCUGAGAACUCUAUCCGUCUAAAUCCAACAUUGAAAUGUUGGAUUAGAAAGAUACAGAGGUUGUGGCGUACCUCUGUGCAGUUUAAGUUUAAGAGACCUCCAAAUUGGAGGUCUCUUAUGGCUUGAAUUUUUGCCUCUGGUAAUCGGUUGCACAGUUUCUUAAAUCUUGCAGCUGAGCAUCGUGUAAACAUUGAUGUGCCCUGCAUGCAAUGUUAGAAAACAUGGACAUGUUAGGAAUAGCAACAUUCUUGCAGUUGGUAAUGCAAUAAAAUAAGUGAAAAAGUAAAGCUGUCAUUUCUCAAAGUUACAAAGAUUUGUCUGCUUGUAUUUAGAAAUAAUAUACAGCAGGGUAAGACAUUAGAUGGGGUUGGGUGCUACUAACAGUGAGAUAUCCUGUAAGAGGGAGGAUUGAAAAUUUAUGAAUAAGGCUAUAUAGAAUAGGCAAUAACAGUCAAAAUGUACAGAAUAGACUAUAAAAGAAAAAAAUAAAUAUGAGAAUACUACAUGAUAUAUAAAAGAAAGAAAUCAAAUCAAUUUAUGUAAAUAAAUUGACUAAUUAUAUUAGAGAAAGAAACCAUCAACAAAUCAAUGAAUAAUCCUAUUUAACCUGCUCCUUUUGAUACUUCUGACAUACACAAAAUCUAGAGGAACUGCUAGAGCAAGCACUUUGCUACUGCCAUUGAACAUGGACAAGGUUUGGAAUCCAAGUUUCUGUUGAGAGUAUUCCCACAUGGUACUAACUAUCAGUGAAGAAUUGUACACUAUCAUUUGAUACCACGAAUCAUGUGUUUGACCAAAGUUCAUGCAUACCUAAGUUGUUAGCUGAGUGAGGAUUCAUGGGAAAAUAAAUGUAACAUAGGACUAUUAAUCUAAACUUGUGAAAGUUUUGAGGCUUGAAUCUGAUUCAAUGGCCAUAAUAAUCUAAAAUUUGCAGAAAAGAGGAAGUGGGCAUUUAAAAUAAGGUAAUGAUACACUAUGAAAUGCUACUACAUACUUUUUUGUAGAAUAGUAAACAAAGAGUAUGUUUACGCUUGAAAACAAGAAUAAAUAAGAUGAAUCCAUGAGUGUUGGAGAAUUAAAUGAAUGAAGAGGAGUUUGGAAACCAUACUUUAUGUUGGAGAAUAAAAGUUAUGUGCUAUGACUUUAUGUUUUUUUUUUCUGUUAACUUAUAGAAGUAUUUUCAUUGUUGUAAGGAUUCUGCAAGAAGAUAUACAUGAGCAAUUUUAAAUGUCUGUACUGCUCCUGGCAAAAGCCACAUUGGGUACAAGUUUGCCACAUCAGUUUGCUUGGUCAGUGCGUGAAUCACCGUAAAUGAAUUUAUGUAACUGGUUCAAAAUACUGGUAUAUGAAGUGUGUAGAGAGCUAUGCACCUUGCUUAAGUCAAUUGUUUGAAUCUUAGAGACAAAAAAUAAUACAGAAUUUGCCACCCGAAAAAAAUGUAUGUCCAGAGUCCAAGGCACUGAGAAAUUGGCAAGGCAUGGCUCUCCACCUUCAUAUUUAAAUCACUUAGAAAGUGAAGCAAAAAGAAGCCUAAUGUCUCAAUACCAUUGAGGUCCCCAUAAAUAAUUGUGAUCAUUUAACCCUGGGGACCUGGCUAAAGUGGCUACAGAGGUAAGGGUUACCUAUAACUCAAGUGGCUAAAGAGUUAAUCCCAUCCCCAUCACCAUUCCUACCAGAACACCUCUCUUUAUCCCUUCCUCUACCCUCCUCCCUCAUCAUAGAGGACAUGGUUUUUGCCUAUCCCCAUAGCUGUAUAGCGAAGACCAUUAGAUCCCUAAAGCAUAAUUGUAUAUGGUGUUAGUGAACCACAUUUUCUAUAUUACCAAAUUGAACACAAAUAUUACCCGACAACUUACAAAGCUGAUAUAAUAGUAUUUAAUAAAUAAACGUUGAAUUGUUAAAACUUCAAUAUUAGAGAACUUUCCAACAUAACUGAUACAUGGUAACUAUAAUAAGGGACAUGAAGAAAUCACUUAAAUUUAAUGCAUAAUAUAUAUAUAUAUACUAACUUAAAAGGUANNNNNNNNNNNNNNNNNNNNNNNNNNNNNNNNNNNNNNNNNNNNNNNNNNNNNNNNNNNNNNNNNNNNNNNNNNNNNNNNNNNNNNNNNNNNNNNNNNNNNNNNNNNNNNNNNNNNNNNNNNNNNNNNNNNNNNNNNNNNNNNNNNNNNNNNNNNNNNNNNNNNNNNNNNNNNNNNNNNNNNNNNNNNNNNNNNNNNNNNNNNNNNNNNNNNNNNNNNNNNNNNNNNNNNNNNNNNNNNNNNNNNNNNNNNNNNNNNNNNNNNNNNNNNNNNNNNNNNNNNNNNNNNNNNNNNNNNNNNNNNNNNNNNNNNNNNNNNNNNNNNNNNNNNNNNNNNNNNNNNNNNNNNNNNNNNNNNNNNNNNNNNNNNNNNNNNNNNNNNNNNNNNNNNNNNNNNNNNNNNNNNNNNNNNNNNNNNNNNNNNNNNNNNNNNNNNNNNNNNNNNNNNNNNNNNNNNNNNNNNNNNNNNNNNNNNNNNNNNNNNNNNNNNNNNNNNNNNNNNNNUACCCCAAACAACUCCGAAACACUACGCAAUAUCCCUUAAUGUCUAUCUGAUAUAAUAAUUACUUCUUGACCAUCUAGGAUCCCCUUCAAUUUCUCCAAGAACCAAUACCAAUCCUCAUAAUUUUCUGAACCAACCACACCCAAGGCUAGAGGGAACAUUCCAUCAUCUGCAUCAUAUGCAAUGGCAGACAAAAGAGCUCCUUUGUAUGGACCACUUAGGUGGCAAGAAUCAAUAGCCAAUACCGGUCGACACCCCAUGGUGAACCCUUGAAUUGAAAAUGCGUGGGCAAUGAACAAUUGCUUGAAGUGACCUUCAUGAGAAGUGUACUCGGCAAUAGUUCCAGGGUUAAUUUCCCUUAGUCUAUGGCAUAACCAAGGCAAAUACGCGUAGGACGCACGUGGAGAUCCAUAUACACGCUCUUUUGCCUUCUCUUUAAGAUGCCAUGCUUGGUUAUAAGUCAAUUGAACUCCAUGAUCACUUUCAAAAUCCUUGCAAAUUUGUCGAGGAAGGUAUUCUGGAGUUGUUCUAAACACGUCUUCAACAACAACAACACCUCUCUUGGAAGAAACCCGUACCUUAGAUGAACACUCAUCUUGAGCUAUAUGAUUAUGAUUAACUUGGUAAGUAUAAACUCGCAAUAUUUCAUUUCCUUCAACAGCAUGAGCUGUUAUCUUCCAAGGACAAUCCUCAACCGAACACUUUACUGACAUAUGAGUGGGUGAAUUUUUCUUGUACUUGUAUUGAAACCUUCCAGCUAAUGACAUUUGGUAUAUUGCAUUCCGAAACUCAUCUACAUUCUUAAAUGUAUGUCCGGAACCUAAUAUUGCCUCACGAAACCGAUUCGAUUCCAAAGGGGUGUACUCACUAUAUGCACAACGCGAUGCAAAACCUCUUGAUAACAUCAUAGUAUUAGGAUUUGCAUCGCAUGAUGCAUUAGACGAAGGAAACGUAGGAUGUGGACCUCUGCAUUUACAUUCAUAACCAAAAUUAGACUACAUAAUGCGUAAAAUUGAUAUUCAUAAAAUUUUAAAUAGACAUCCAAGUGAAAACGCAUUACCCAAGUGCCAACUGUGUAUUCGGUAUAUUUGCCUCUAUGGCUUCCACACCGGGUGACUCGACUAUGUACACAUUUGCAAAGUCAUCAUUGUGGGAAACCACGUUAUCCAAGUCAUCCUCAUCUUCUAAAUCUUGGAUGACUCUAGGGUUAAACUUGAGGGUGUAGUGCAUCCUCCUCACAUGAAGGGAAAUGUCGAAUUUUUCUAAGACCUUCUGAGUGAAUUCUUCAAAUGUCAUUCCUUUAUAAAUGUGAAUACCUUUGCUUCUUCCACCAACAUAUUCCCAAACGCCAUCAUUUUUUUGGACAAGUUUCCCUCCCACGAAAAUAUAACAGUAUAUUCUAUUUGUGGCAUCCAUCAACCUAUUGAAAUAAAGCACAAAUUUAUAUUGUUGAACAAACAAUAAUGCAUAUUCAAUGUGAUCUUAAAAGUUUUUUCAUUUCACAAUAUACUAUGUUCCCAUACGAAAAAGUUAUAUUUUAAAAAAUGUAUAUACAAAAAAAUGUAACUUUAAAGUCUUAAAAAAGAAUUUUUGUUGCUCUUUUUGAUUAUUCUAACCAUUGUCAACGGUAAGAUUAUUUUAAGAUAGGCACUAAUAAACAAACGCUGAGUUGAACUAAGAUAUGAAGACCGAGCUUCUCUCUUCUCUUGGACUAAUAAAUACUACCUAACCUAAACAAAACUAAAAAUAAUAAUAAAAAUAAAAAACAAAAAUGAGAAAUGUAAAACUGAAAUGGAAAUUAAAAGAUUGAAAUUAAUAGAUUAAAAAAAAUCAUUAAAUUAAAAACUAAGAAAGGCUAUAAAAGGAAAAAAAACAAAUCUCUAACUUAUUUUCCCUAUCAUUCCCCUUUACUUAUAUAUUCAUAGUUCACAUUUUUAUAAGCAAAAACCUCUCUCUCCAACUACUUUAGUGCUACCCAAUUUGACACUACUACUUACCUAUGCUAAUAAUCUAAUCGUGUCAAUACUUGGAACUUUAAGACAGAACAUCACAACAAUAUCUACUAAAGUAGGAGGAUUUUGUGUCUGAUUCGACUUAAUACUCCAGAACAUAUAUAUAUAUAUAUACACCAAAAACAUUGGAAUUAUGGAAGUAUAAGACAUUCAAUAGGAAAUAAUCCCCCACGUUUUAUUAAGCUCUGGCCUAUACUUACACUAGGUAGAAAACAAAUUCUCAUUCUCACUCAAACCCUUAGACAAUUUCUGUUGGUACUACUAUAUUAGACAUGCCUACAAACUUAUUCAAAGAGAAUGGAGAUAUUUAAAUAUUAAUUAUAAAGCGUUGCUUUUCAAAAUAAUAUGAAGAGAUAAUAGCCUAAAAAAUGUAACAAAUACAGAAUUCUCUUCUAAACUAUCAUGUCCUACUUUAGAUGAUUCAUACAAAACCAUAAGCAAUAGUUUAACACAUUUAAGGUUUAAGGGUCAAAAAAACUAAUAGAUAAAACGAGAUAAAUCUGUUACUUGUGCCUACAUCUCAAGCCAAUGCACCAUAAGAAAACUUUAGGGUUUUUAGGUUUUCCAUUUCCCCUUUCCAUUUUUCCUCUCCUGCUUUUCUAGCAACCAAUUAAACAAUUAUAAAUUAUUUUCAAGUAUAUAUGACAAAUUUUCACAAAUAUUUUUUUGAAUUUAAAAUAUACAAAUAGCAUGAAAAAAAAAAUCUAAAAAAAAUUACAAAAAUAUAAUCAGAUCGAUUAAGCCAUGAAUUAUGAGUUGCAGGUAAAGUGCAUUUUCUGUAUUCUCAAGGCUUAAAGAAAAAAUUAUGGUUCAAAAUUUUUCCUUUCUUUUUCUCAUUAUUUUCUCAGCAUCCAAAUAAUAGUAGCAAACCAAGAAGUCAAUUAUUGAAUGGAAACAGUAACUUGAACUCCGGAGAUCAAGUUGAACACAGUUUAGAGAUUUGGACUAAGAAAAUUUAGGUCGAGAUUUAGGCAAUCUACUAACCUCAAAUAUGCAACAACAGAGACCCAACUGAAAUCCAUACCUUAUUCAAUUUUUCGAGAGAGACGAAUGCGAGAAAAAAUGAAAGAGCCGCAGAGAUUGAGAUGCAAGAAAGCGAUGGAAGUGCUCGGGAGGAAGAGAAGAAAACGGUUUCUAGCCUUGAAAUGCUGAAGAGAGAACAAAAUUAGGGCAAAAUUCCAAAAAGCCACAGAGAUUGAGAUACAAGCGAUGGAGAAACUCGGGAGGAACAGAAAAAACGGCUUCUAAGCAGAGAAGAAAAUGACUUCUAGGCAGAGAAGAAAACGGCUUCUAGGCAAAGAAGAAAACGGCUUCUAGACAGAGAAGAAAACGACUUCUAGGCAGAGAAGAAAAUGGCUUAUAGGCUUGAAAUGCUGAAGAGAUCAAAAUUAGGGCAAAAUUCCCAAGAGCCGCAGAGAUUGAGAUGCAAACGGCUUGUAGGCUUGAAAUCUGAUGGAGGAACUCGGGACGAAGAGAAGAGACACCGACGCAAAGAUUGAGAUGCAAACGGCUUGUAGGCUUUAAAUCUGAUGGAGGAACUCGGGAGGAAGAGAAGAGACACCAAAUUUAGGGCAAAAUUCCAACCUGGAUUUUUUUGUUUAUUAUUAUUUUUUUUUCAUAAUCAGCAAAGGUUAUUUUUGGAAUUAAUAAAAGUGCAUAUCCUUCUUUUUAAUUUUGACACUUCCUAUGGGUUUUCAACUUAAAUGGGUCGGUUAGAUGGACCAUUUGUUAAUUUUUGGGCCCAGCUGGGCCCAAAACACAAUUCUCCCUAUUUUUUUGGGCAACAGUGGACAAUUUUUUGGGUUAUGGAAAGUUGGGUUACCAAAAAGCUAUUAGGCCCAAAUGGGCGAGCCAAAACACAGUUUUCCCAGUUUAUAAUUGUCCUGAACUGACAUGGCUGUCGGAAAACAUGCAUGUCCUCAACACCCUCUGGACACUCGUAAUUGAGUACUUUUUGGUUUGGCAACAUUAAUAGACUCAAUAGGCUUCCUUGCGUCACUUCAGAACUUCAAAUUCAUGAGUGCCUUUAAUUGACAUAACUUCUAGAGGAGAUGGCUCACUCAAUUCUCUACAAACACUUACAACAUUAACGGACUUUAUAGGCAGUCUUACCUCACUUGCAUGCCUUGAAAUUGAUAGCUACCCUGAAUUGACAUCAUCUCCUAAAGAGAUUAGUUUCUUCAGAUCCAUAUUGCCACAAUCUCUUAUUGUCCAUGACUAUUGGACAGAUAUGAGAGUGAAACAAGUGAAGAUUGGUCAAAGAUUGUUCACAUUACAGAAAGUUAUUCAGGUUUCAAAUCCCUGUCUUUCUUCUCAUUUGCUAUGGUUUCAUUUUAUCAAUAAGCUUUGUUUACCUUCUUUUUUGACAAUUCUAGUAUGCAUUAACAUAUAAAGCAAAAAAAAAAAAAAAAAAAGGCUGAGAUAAUAUUAAACAUAGUUGUUAUUUGGUUAUUAAAGACCAAACUAUUCAUGUUACUUUAAGUUUUGCACACUAAGAGUUUGGGAAUAAGCUAGUGUUAUGAAAAACGAGAAUAGGCAACAAAAAAUAAAUAAGAACACACACAGAUUUACGUGGAAAACCGUAGGCAGGAAAAACCACGAACAAAGGAGAAGAAUAAUCCACUAUGUCAAAAAUUGGUACAAAAGGGGAGAACAUUAAGCGGCUACAAUAUAAAUCCCUUAGAACCUAUACACCAUCCCCAUAUAUAUAUGGGAGAGAAAAAAAAAAAAUAAAGCUGAAGAAAUCUAUAAUUUUUUCUUCACCAUAUAUAUUGCAUCGUGAAGAUUUCGGGUUGGACCAAUAAAGGAAAUUAGGUCACCAAGCUCUAACUAUCUCCACCUUGACAUGAAUUCCAAUGUAAGGAAUAGGAAAAACAAACUCCAAUCUUCAACAAAAAAAAACUCUUCACCUCUUCCACAAACCCCAAAGGGUAAUUCAACAACGAAUACUAACCAAGUCCAAACAAUGCUCAAACUUGGAAAGAGGGAGUAUCUUCAUCAUCAUAUCAGUAGGAUUAUCAUGGGUGCUAAUUUUGGCCACAACAAUAUCACCAUGAGCAAUGAUAUCACACACAAAAUGAUACCACACAUCAAUGUGCUUUGUCUUCUCAUAAAACAUCUGAUCUUUUGUGAGGAAAAUAGCACUCUCUGACAAUCACAAAAAACUAUGGUAAUUUUCAAGUUGUCACUAAGUUCACUAAAUAGUCCUUUUAACCAAAUAGCUUCCUUACAAGCCUCUAUAAUAGCCAUGUACUCAGCCUCGAUAGUAGACAAAGCAACUAUAGUCUACAAAGUAGCUUUCCAACUGAUAGCACAACCACCAAUAGUAAAAACAUACCCUACAAGAGAUCUUCUUUUAUCAAGAUCACCAGCAAAAUCAUAAUCAACAUACCCAACAACUCCAUCUCUAGUUCACCCAAAAUGCAAAGAAACAUCAGUAGAACCACACAAGUAUCUAAAAAUCCACUAAACCGCUUUCCAAUGUUCUUUACCAGGAUUUGUCAUGUAUCUAUCGACUGAACUGACUGCAUAUGAUAAAUCUAGACGUGAACAAACUAUAGUAUACAUGAGAGACCCCACUACACUAGAAUAUGGAACUCGUGACUUAUAAUCAAUGUUAUCAUCUGAUUAUGGAGCUAAAACAGAUGCAAGUUUGAAAUGAGUCGCUAAUGGAGUACUAAUAGGUUUAGCAUUCUACAUAUUGAACCUGUGAAGAACUUUCUCAAUGUACCCUUUUUGACUUAGGUAUAAUUUACUUGUCUUUCUGUCUCUUAGAAUCUCCAUUCCAAGUAUCUUCUUUGUUGCUCCUAAGUUUUUCAUCUCAAACUCCUUAUUGAGUUGGACUUUUACCUUUCUUAUAUUUUCCUUAUCCUGGGCUACUAUUAACAUAUCAUCAACAUAUAAGAGGUUUGACUCAUUCAUGACCACUCAUGAUAUUAAUUAUUGUUUAUACCUAUUCCCUGAUGAAGUACAAAAUUUUGAUAUUAUGAAGUGAUGGAAAUCUCAUGAAUCCACUUUUUCUAAACUAUCUAAAAUGGAAUGUGAUUUACUAACCCCACCGGUGUCUACUGUAACUUUGGAAUAUUCUUUUUUUAUAGUAGCAAAUGUAAUAGGAGACAGGAGGACAACUCUUACAACAAAGAUGCUAGAAGUUUUGACAUGUUUGAAGGAUUAGGAAGAUGGAAGCAUGAGACUUCAAACUUUAGAGGAUGAAAUUAAAGAAGCCUUCGAGAAAUUGCAUCUCAAUGCAGACAAUGAUGUUUAAGAGAUUGAUGAUGAUUGAAGAUGUAAAAAAAGGAAUGAAGAUUGAAUAAGAAGACAAAAGUGAAUAUGAUAAUAGAAGAAUUAUAUGUUGUUCGUUUCUUUUAAAUCUAUUAAAUGUAACUAAUUUUUAAAGGUUGAGUAAUACAUAUGAUUGAUAGUUGGGUGGGUGCCAACCUAGUUGGGACGUGGUCAAACUAUAGUGAUGCAAUUCUCGCCUUUUUAUUUCUUCUUAUUUUUUAAUGUAAUUUGUUGAAAUAUUGAAUAAAAGAAUUAUUUUUUAUAUUUCAUUUCCUUUUAUAUUCCAUUAUUUUAAAUUUAUUGUUAUUUUGAUAAAAAAAAAUUCAAAUAUAACUUUUUUACUAUUUUUAAAAACAAAAAACUAACAUUUCUAUAAAUUUUACAAUUACAAUUAAAGAGUUUGAACUAUUAUACUGUGGAUAUGAACAAAUUAGCUGAUUUAAAUUUUUAUUAAUAUGAGCUUGCCCAUUUGGUUUUCUUCCCAAGUUUUAUCUGCACCCUUGUGCUUUAUGUGAAGAACUAAUUAAUUGAUUACAUCAAUAUGUUGUUUCUUCUCAUGCAUUAAUUUUCUCUAAAAUAUUGAGUGGUUCUAAAUUUCAUAUGAUAAGAAAAAAGAGAUCGACUUAUGCANNNNNNNNNNNNNNNNNNNNNNNNNNNNNNNNNNNNNNNNNNNNNNNNNNNNNNNNNNNNNNNNNNNNNNNNNNNNNNNNNNNNNNNNNNNNNNNNNNNNUGAAAGUUAGAACCACUCAAUAUUUUAGAGAAAAUUAAUGCAUGAGAAGAAACAACAUAUUGAUGUAAUCAAUUAAUUAGUUCUUCACAUAAAGCACAAGGGUGCAAAUAAAACUAUUGAGUGGUUCUAAAUUUCCUUACAAACUAAUAUUUUAAAUUAUGAAAACUUUGAAAUAUUAAUAUUUCUUUUUACUCAACCCUUAAUAAAUAAAAAGAAUUUGGCCAAUUUAAUUUUUGUAAUAUAUUAUGUUAUGUUUGAUUUCAGAAAAAAUACUAAAGAAACAAUAUAUAUAUAUAUAUAUAUAUAUAUUUUGAGGAAAAUAAUUUUCUCAUGUUUUUUUUUUGUUUUUUUAUGGAAAAUACAAAACAAAAUAAAGUAUUAUUCAAAUUAAUUAAUAAUUUUAUAUUUUAAUUUUUAAAAUUUUUGUAUGAAAUGAGAAAAAUAAAUUUAAUAAAUUUGAAGAAGUAUAAAAAAAUUAUUUAAAUCUUUAUUUUAUUUUCUUUCAAAUGUUUUCUUCAUGUAAAAAUUAAAUAUAAUUAAAAUUAGUUCAAAAUUUAUGUAUUUUCAAAAUUAGUUUAUUAUUAUUGAAAACAAAAAAAGAAGUAAAAUGAGUUUAAAAUGGUAUGUAAAAAUAAUUUAUUAAUUGUAAUUUUUUUUUUUAUUUGUCACUUUUUUAAACGCAUGCAAUAACUGGUUAGAGUCUCCUCACUUAAGGUCCCUGAAUAAUUUAUUAUUUGUCACUUUUUAAAAAUUUAUUUUUCUAUUUUUUCUAUGGCAUUUCUCUUAAAUCUUCCAACAACAAAACCUAACUUGGGGGUUUCAAUUUUUGCAUCAUAGCAUGUGUUUGAAUCGACCAAACAUCCAUCACAAAAUACUGAAUGUAAAGAAAAAUAAAUGAAAGAAGGACAAAAGUUAUAUUACAACUUGCAUGGCUUGUUGACUUGUCCGCCUAUUAAUCCAUAAUAAUAAUAAUUCACAUUUUAUAUUAGUACCAUGUGAUUUCCCCAAUGCUCACAAGCCCUAUAUAUCACUACUUUGCCCAGUAUUCUCCCCUCACAAUUCUCUUUUGAGUUCUCCUUUUCUUACUAUAUUUCCUUGCUCUUCUGCACUUCGAAUUCUUCUAACAUAUGGCUGACCAAAUUCCAUUCGGUGUUGUGGAUCACAUUUUGAUCAAGUCAGGGUCCCUGGCUGUUCAAGAAAUUCGAUCCAUGUAUGGUGUUCCAAAGGAGUUAACCAAGCUCUGUGGGAAACUUGGCACCAUCAAGGCUGUGCUUUUGGAUGCUGAGGAGAAGCAGCAGCAGAACAAUCAUGCAGUCAAAGAUUGGGUCUGGAGGCUUAAAGGCGUUGUGUAUGACGCAGAUGACUUGCUGGAUGACUAUGCAACCCAUUAUCUUCAGCGAGGAGGAUUGGCAAGGCAGGUCAGUGACUUCUUCUCAUCUGAAAAUCAAGUUGCUUUUCGUUUAUACAUGAGUCACAGACUCAAGGAUAUCAAAGAAAGGAUAGAUGAUAUUGCAAAAGACAUCCCCAUGUUAAAUCUUAUUCCACGGGACAUAGUACUACACACACGGGCAGAGAAUAGUUGGAGAGACACCCAUUCAUUCGUGUUAACAUCUGAAAUUGUAGGAAGAGAAGAAAACAAAGAGGAGAUAAUAGGGAAGUUGUUGUCGUCCGACGGUGAAGAAAAUCUUUCGGUUGUUGCCAUUGUAGGUAUUGGGGGGUUGGGUAAGACCACCCUUGCUCAAUUGGUAUACAAUGAUGGAAGAGUGAAAGAACAUUUUGAGCCUAAGAUAUGGGCUUGCAUUUCUGAUGAUUCUGGUGAUGGUUUUGAUGUUAAUACGUGGAUCAAAAAAGUUUUAAAAUCUGUGAAUGUUCGGUUUGAGGAAAGUCUGGAGGAUAUGAAAAAUAAGCUUCAUGAAAAAAUAAGUCAAAAGAGGUACUUGCUAGUCCUCGAUGAUGUUUGGAAUCAAAAUCCUCAAAAAUGGGAUGACGUGAGAACUUUAUUAAUGGUUGGGGCUAUUGGUAGUAAAAUUGUAGUGACCACCCGAAAACCAAGAGUUGCAUCAAUCAUGGGAGAUAAUUCUCCCAUUAGUUUGGAAGGUCUGGAACAAAAUCAGUCCUGGGAUUUAUUUUCAAAAAUUGCAUUUAGAGAAGGCCAGGAGAAUUUGCAUCCAGAAAUUCUAGAAAUUGGAGAAGAAAUUGCAAAAAUGUGCAAGGGAGUUCCUCUCAUCAUUAAGACUUUAGCAAUGAUAUUGCAGUCUAAAAGAGAACAGGGCGAAUGGUUGUCUAUUAGAAACAAUAAAAAUUUGUUGUCACUUGGCGAGGAAAAUGAGAAUGUUUUAUCUGUGCUAAAACUAAGUUAUGAUAAUUUGCCUACUCAUUUGAGACAAUGCUUUACAUAUUGUGUUGUAUUUCCAAAAGACUAUGAGAUUGAGAAAAAGUCGUUGGUACAACUAUGGAUAGCACAAGGUUAUAUUCAAUCUUCAAAUGAUAAUAAUGAGCAACUAGAAGAUAUAGGGGAUCGAUAUUUUCAGGAAUUAUUGUCAAGGUCAUUGUUGGAGAAGGCGGGAAACAAUCCUUUUACUGCUACAUUAAGGUAUAAAAUGCAUGACCUUAUACAUGAUCUUGCACAAUCAAUUAUAGGAUCUGAGGUCCUCAUUUUAAGAAAUGACAUAACAAACAUUUCAAAAGAAAUUCGUCAUGUAUCAUUGUUUAAAGAAACGAAUGUUAAGAUAAAAGAUAUAAAGGGAAAACCCAUAAGGACCUUUAUAGACUGUUGUGGACAUUGGAGAAAGGAUUCAUCAGCUAUAAGUGAAGUUCUUCCAAGCUUUAAGUCCCUACGUGUGUUGAGUGUGGAUAAUUUGGCUAUAGAGAAGGUGUCAAUGUGGGUAGACAAAUUGAGCCACUUAAGGUAUCUUGAUCUUUCUCUUCGUGAUUUUGAGGCACCUCCAAAUGCUAUUACAAGGUUAAAGAAUUUACAAACACUAAAACUCAAUGAGUGUUGGAGUUUGAAGAGAUUUCCAAAAGAUACAAGAAAAUUGAUCAAUCUUAGACACUUGGAGAAUGGUGGGUGUGCUAAUUUGACUCAUAUGCCACAUGGAAUAGGAGAAUUGACAUUACUUCAAAGUUUACCAUUGUUUGUUGUUGGGGAAGAGAAAGAGUUGUCCAGGGUUCAUACAAUUGGCAGCUUAAUUGAAUUGAAGAGGCUAAACCAACUAAGAGGAGGACUACUCAUAAAAAAUCUUCAAAAUGCACGGGUAUCAGAAGGAGAAAUUUUGAAAGAAAAGGAAUGCCUUGAGUCUUUGAGAUUAGAAUGGGCCCAAGAAGGUAACUGUGAUGUGGAUGAUGAGUUGGUGAUGAAAGGCCUCCAACCACACCGAAACCUAAAAGAGCUCUAUAUAGGUGGCUACCGAGGUGAAAGAUUUCCAAGUUGGAUGAUGAAUAGCCUGCUUCCUAACCUAAUUAAAAUUAAAAUUGCGGGAUGUUCAAGGUGUCAAAUUCUACCACCCUUUUCUCAACUCCCUUCUCUCCAGUCUUUGGAUCUUUGGAAUAUGGAAGAGGUGGAGGGCAUGAAAGAGGGUUCAUCAGCAACAAAUGCCGAAUUCUUCCCAGCUCUUCAAUUCCUCAAACUCAACAGGAUGCCGAAGUUGAAGGGAUUGUGGAGGAUGGAGUCAGGAGCAGAGCAAGGUCCCUCAUUUCCUCAUCUUUUCAAAUUAGAAAUUGAAGGAUGCCAUAACUUGACAUCCUUUGAAUUGCAUUCAUCUCCUUCUCUUUCUACUUCAAAGAUCAAAAAAUGCCCUCACUUGACAUCCUUUAAAUUGCAGUCCUCUCCUCGUCUUUCUACUUUAAAGAUUGAAGAGUGCCUUCUCUUGUCAUCCUUUGAAUUGCAUUCAUCUCCUUGUCUCUCUGAAUUUGAGAUCAGUGAUUGCCCAAACUUGACAUCCUUGGGACUGCAGUCAUCUCCUUCUCUUUCUAAAUUAGAGAUCCAUAGUUGCCCAAAUUUGACAUCCUUGGAAAUGCCUUCAUCUCUUGGUCUUUCUCAAUUACAGAUCAGAGAUCGCCGAAACUUUAAAUCCUUGGAACUGCAGUCAUGUUCUUCUCUUGCUAUAUCAACCAUACAGUCUUACGAUAAGCUGAAAUCCUUGGAAAUGCCUUCAUCUCUUGGUCUUUCUCGAUUAGAGAUCAGUGAUCGCCGAAACUUGAAAUCCUUGGAACUGCAGUCAUUUUCUUCUCUCUCUAUAUUAACCAUACUGUCUUGCGAUGAGCUGACAUCCUUGGAACUGCCUUCAUCUCCUCAUCUUUCUAGAUUACAAAUCAGUUUUUGUUGUAACUUGAAAUCCUUAGAACUGCCUUCAUCUCCUGGUCUUUCUCAAUUAGAGAUCGAAUAUUGUGAUAACUUCACAUCCUUGGAACUGCAGUCAGCUCCUCGUCUUUGUCAAGUACAGAUCAGACAUUGCCAAAACUUGACAUUCUUAAAAGAGGUUUCAUUACCUAGUCUUGAGAAACUAUUCCUAUCUACAGUCAGAAGGGUGGUGCUCAUAAUGUUUGUCUCUGCUUCUUCUUCACUGGAGUCUCUGUUUAUUAACAACAUAGAUGAUAUGGUAUCUCCCCCAGAGGAGCUGCUUCAACAUCUUUCCACUCUCCACAAUUUGAAGUGCUCUGGUUUGGCAACAUCACCACACUGGAUAGGCAGCCUCACCUCACUUUCUGAAUCAGAGAUCAGUGAUAGCCCAGACUUGACAUGCUUAGAACUGCCGUCAUCUCUGUGUCUUUCUAGUUUAAAGGUCAAUGAUUGCCCAAACUUGACAUGCUUAAAACUGCAGCCAUAUCCUUGUCUUUCUAGUUUAAAGAUUGGAAAAUGCCCGAAGUUUGCAUCCUUUGAAGUGGCUUCAUUACCUUGUCUUGAGGAACUAAGCCUGGGUGGAGUUGGAGCAAAGUUACUGUCAAAGUUAGUGUCCAUCUUUGCUUCUUCUUCAUUGAAGUCUCUGUAUAUAUGGGAGAUACAUGAUAUGAGAUCUCUCCCAAAGGAUCUGCUUCAACAUCUUUCCACUCUCCAAACUCUCCACAUUUUGAAAUGCUCUCGUUUGGAAACAUUAUCACACUGGAUAGGCAGCCUCAUCUCACUUAGAGAGCUUGGAGUUCAUGAAUGCUGUCAAUUGACAUCACUGCCAGAAGAGAUGCGUUCACUCAGAAACCUGCAGGAGUUAUAUCUCUGUGAUAGUCUAAUUCUACGGAUAAGAUGCAGUGUGACAACAGGUGGAAACUGGUCCAGGAUUGCUCAUAUCCCACAUAUUCAUUUCUUCGAUGAUAAGGGAAUAAAGUUUAAGGUCCGAAAUUCCUAACCUUUAUCCUCAUUUUUAUUAUUUUACGAUCAAAAUGCAAUGUUUUCCCAUUUGGUUUUGGUAAUUCUUUUAUAUUGACACUUCACAUGUUUGUUAAAAUGCUCACAUCAAUAAAUUUGAUUUCUUUUUGCAGACUAUAUGAUAGAUGAUGUGCACUAAACUGAUCAUUUUACUAGGUUCUACAUUCUAAGGGUUUGAGGAAAUACUGAGAUCUGAUAUGAUAUAUCUCCCAGAGGAGCUGCUUCAACAUGUUUCCAUGAUCUAAACUCUCACCAUUAGACAUUGCUGUUUUUGCAACAUUACAACACUGGAUAGGCAGCCUCCCCUCAGUUAUAGAACUUGGAACUCAUGGCUGCCAGAAGGUAUGUUCCCUCAAAAACUUGCAGAUGCUCAAAAUCUGCAUUGAAGUCUUAAUGAGGGCUGAGGUGCUGUGUCAGUCAAUGUUUCUCUCCACUUCUUCAUUGAAAUCUCUAUCUGUUGGAUCCUCAGAUGCUAUGAUGUCUCCCAGGGGAGGUACCUCAACAUGUUUCCAGGAUCCAAACUCUCAAAUUGAAUUAUGCUCUGGUUUUGCAAUAUUGCAGCCCUGGAUAGGCAGCUUCACCUCACUUAUGGACCUUCAUAUUUGUGACUGCGCUGAAUUGACAUCACGGUCGGAAGAGAUGCAUUCCCUCAAAAGCCUGCCAACACUCAAAACCUUUCAUUGUUGGAACCUACUUGAAGAUGCCAAAAGGAAACAUUUCAAGUUCAAGAAUAGAGAGAGCCAUGCUUGGUGCAGAUUCCAUCAAUAUAGAGAGACAUUUCAGGUCUGAAAUCCACCCUUCAAGUUGUAUUAGCAUAUAUAUCAUGAGUGAUUUUGUUAUUUAUGUCCACACCUUAUUCAUUUGAUGAAAUGCUUAAACAAGCAAGUUUUAAAAAAAAAAUUCUUCAAAUCACUUAUCAAAGAAAAAAAAAAAAAAGUUUCUCUUCAAAUCAAUUCUAAUGCGCCAUGAAUUGGUAAAUGAAGUUUGGGAAGAUGCUGGUUUGAUUUAAUUAUCAUUUGGUUGCAGAUUUCAUCUUGCAUUAGACGCGUGUGAAUAUUUCUUCUUGGCUCAACUUGAAAUCACUGCCUACAUUCUUCCAUUUCCCAGCUCAAAAUCACGUGGCAGAAGUUUUAAACUGCCAAAAAAUUUGUGAUGGCCCAUAAAUUCUUAUCUACCAGAUGACUAAUGGAGGAAGGUCCUGCUUUCUUUAGAAUUCAGGUCUACUCUUUGCCAUAGAUUACAGGUAAUCUGCUGCCUGCUAUUAAUUUGUACAUCGUCUUUCAUUUUGCCAUCCAUUUCUGUCAAGAGUGUCAUUCAAGUUGUGACUAUAUUUGUUGACUUUCACAUGCACAAAACUAGUAAACAGAUUGAACAAGUAAGCAAUAUGUGUCACUGUGAGUUUCGUUGUUAUUUAAAAUCACUCCAACUAAACAUGACAUAGACCAAAAACUCAUUAUCUCAGUCAAGUAGUUUAUUUUUUGUCCUUCAUUUGGUGAUGUUGUCUGGGUUUUUUAUUUUCUCUCUCUUCAUUGAUAGGCUUGUCCUCUCUGCAAUAUUAAUCACUGCAGAUGUAAUGUUGUCUAAUCAAUACAAAAAGCGAUAGUUGUGGGGCUUCCUUGAUCAGCAACUGCAUCGAGUGUUUCUAGACACUAAUGUCUCUAUAUUUUUGAAAAUUCAGAGAGUUGCAAAUUUCAAGGACUUAAAAGCUCGAGUAACUGUCUCUACCAUUAGGGCUUCAACAUGUUACCAUUCUGGAAAUUCUAAAAUACGUCAGAAUGCCCCACAUCCCUUAAUCGAAACCACUGCCAACACACUCAUGGGCUCUUUGACUUUGCCAUCUACAAUAUAUCAGAGGUUCAUGAUCCAUCCUCUAUUUCUGCUUUGGGUGGCUUCAAUUUUUUAUCUUACUUUUGUGUCAAUAUUCUAAAAAUGUUAUAUUCAAUUUACAAUUUUUUUUUAUCUGAUUCUCAUGCAUUCGCACAUGCUAAGAGACAAGUAAUAUAACACUUUCAUAAUGCAGGCCUUUUCCAUUGUUACUUCAUGUUUUUCACUUUACGAAUUUGAGAAAAUUUUGGGGUUGAUUUAAUUACUAUUUUCUCACAGAUUUCACCUUGCUUAGAAAGCCUAUGACUAUUCAUAUCUACUAGAUGGCUAAGGCAUCCAAUAAAUAUGCUUCACUCACCAGAAAAAUACCCAUCUCCUCAGCUCCAAACCCCUCUUUCUUCUCCUUCUCUUUUACUGUUUGCCAUUAUACCCUCUUACUGCUUUUGAAGACUGUAUUACUUUUGUAAAAUCCUUAGAUUAGUAAAAUUUGAAAUUGUAUUUUUAGUUUAAUGAUUAUAAUCUAUAUGUGAUCUUGUUAUUUCAUAUUUGUAGUUACAUGUUUCGAAAUUUUAUUAGGUUAACUACUUUGUUACAGAUGCAAGUGCUGCUGGGUCAAAGCAAAAUACCAGAUGGUAAUGUAGUUGUGACACCUUAUUUCUCUAAAGCAACUCAAAAGUGGGAAUUGUCAUAGAUUAAUAUUCUCUCAGUGGCGGCCACACCUCAUUUCUCUCAAGUAUUGAAAAUUCAGUGAUGUGCUAGUAGCUUAAUUAAUGUCUCUGUCACAAGUGAUUCAACAUCUCAUCCCACUUGAAGCCUUGGAAGCUAUCUCUAUAUUCAGGGACUCAGAUUGCCGCCCUAAAUUUGGUAACUUUAUCACACUCAAUGGACAACUUCCCUUUACUAACGUCUUCAAAUUUAUUGUUGUCCUGAAUUGAAAUCAUUGUUGGAAGAAGUGCAUGUCCUCAGCAUCUUUUGGACACUCAUAAUUGGGUACUUUCUUGUUUGGCAACAUUAACAGAUUCAUUAGGAAUCCUUACAUCACUUCAGACCUUCGAAUUUAUGAAUGCCUUGAAUUGACAUCACUUCUAGAAGAGAUGGUCCACUCAGGUCUCUGCAGACACAAUUCAGGACUUUUCUUUUUUGGCAACAACAAGAGACUUUAUAGGCAGUCUCACCUCACUUGCAUACCUUGAAAUCAAUAGUUGUCCUGAACUAACAUCAUCUCCAGAAGAGAUUGGUUCCUUCAGAUCCAUGCAGCCACCCAUAAUCUCUUAUUGUCCAUUGCAAUUGGAAAGAUGUCUAAGGGAAACAAUUGAAGAUUGGUCAAAGAUUGCUCAUGUUAUAGAAAGUUGUUUCAGGUUUGAAAUCCCUGCCUUUGUUCUCAUUUGCUAUGGUUUCAUGUUUAUCAAUAAGCUCUGUUUACCUUUUGUUUCGACAAUUCUGGUAUGCUUUAGCAUAUAAAGAAAAAAAGAAAAAAAAGAAAAACUGAGAUAAUCUUUUAAAAUUUUUUUCAUCUUCAAAUCAAAAUUGUUAAUUCCAUGUAUUAUUAAAUAUAGUUGUUAUUUGGUUAUUAAAGACCAAACCGAUCAUGUUACUUUAUGUUUUGAACACUAAGAGUUUGGGAAUAAACUAGGCUUUAUUUAAUUUCUGUUUUUAGCAUAUUUCACCUUGCUUAAGAAGCUUGUGAUUAUUCCUUGGACCAAAGAUUUCUUAUGAGUCAGAAUUUUUGCUCUCUUUCAAAUUCAGCUGCUUUGUUUGUAAUUCCAAUCCUUUUCCUGCCUUUGAACACUAGCACCAUUUUUAGUUAUUUAUCAAUGUGUUAGGAGCAUUAUCCUCUAGUUUUUAUAAUUUGUUGCCAAUUAUCAUAUAUAACAACACAUUAACCAAGUAGUGCAAAUGAACAUCUAUAAAGAGUCCAAUUAUGUUAAUUAGCAACUAUUAGAUAAAGUAGUUAUAGUAUUAUUUUUUUUGUUUGCUUCACAUGCUCUAUAAAAUCCAUAGAUUAGUAAUGUUUGAAUUUGGUAUCUUCAAAGAUAUCAAUUGCUACUUUGAUGGUUAUAAUCAAUGAUUUAACUGUCUGCCAAAGUGAUUAUAUUGUUAAUAACUUCGUGUUUCCAUUUUACAUGUUUGAAAAUUUAUGAAGUUAACUAUUUUAUUGCAAAUGUAAUAGUUGCUAAGUUAAAGCAAAAGUGGUAGUGAUGUGGUUGUGACACCAUACUCAUAUGAAGUAAUUGGAAAGUGAAGAUUGUCAUAGACUAAUGUCUAUUUUGGUGGCUACCACACCCUCGCUUCUCCUAAGUUAUUGAAAAUUCAUAAAUGUGGUAGCCAAAUGUCUCUCCCUCGUGUGAUUUAGCACAUUGCCCUCGAAAAUUUGGAAGUAUGUAAAUUCACUUUAGUGCCCUUGAAGAUUUAAAAGUUCUCCAUAUAGGUAGGGUUAACUGUUUUGGUUUUGCAACUUUGUCAAAUUAGAUGAGUUAACUUCAGAUCGAUAACUACCUUGUGUUGAAAUUAAUGCUAGAUGGGAUGCACCCAUGAGCACUCUAUAGAAAGUCAAUAACUUUCACUCCCAAAUCUUAUUAGAGAAAUGCCAAAAAGGAAAAGGUGAAGAUUAGCCAAAGAUGAUUUUAUGGUUGAUUCAUGCACUACUAUUGCAAUCCUUAAUUCAAGCAUGCAAUCUACAAUAUGUUUUAGGCUUGAAAUCCAACCUUUCUCUCAUUUUUUUUAUGGCUUUGGUUUAUUUUUAUACAUUGUUUAUGAUUCUAUUUUCUUGAUUCUCAUGUGCAUUAAGAUAUAUAAAGAAAAAAAAUUUCAUUGUUUGCUUUCUAUCUACUAUGUGUCGAUACAUAUAUGUUUUAAAAACCAAUUUCUAAUAGCGGUGCAACUUAGGCGAGUUGGCCCAACCUAGCUAGACCUUUGAGUGAGUUUGGACGAUCAUUUUUAAUGUUCGGAUUGAGUUUAUCUUAAGUGUUUUUUCAACAUAAAUUCAAUUUGGUUGGGCUUAAGCCAAGGUUUAGACAACUUAAGCCUAACCUAAACCUAAUUUAAUCCUUUUAUAAUACUUAUAAUUUAUAUUAUCCUAUAUAAUAAUAUUUAUAAUUUUUAUUUAUUUAUUGUUAUAAUUAAAAAAAAUCAAAAUAUAAUUGUAUCAUAUACUUUUUUGUUUCUCCAAAAUGAUAUAUUGAUUGACUUAUUAUUAUUAUUAUUAUUAUUAUUAUUAUUAUUAUUAUUACUAUUAUUGUAAUCUUGAAAAUUUGUCAUAUUUACUACUUAAAUUUGUGUGUGUGUGUGUAUGUGUAUGUGUAUAUAUUAAAAAAUAUUGUGAAUGCAUUUUGAAUCUGUUAGCCCAAAGGUUCUCCUAAUCGGGUUUUGAUGAUAACAAACUAUGGUUAAGUGACUAAUUGUUUUAAAUGAUAAAGAAUCUCAGGUAUAAAUUCGGAAAUUCAUUAAAGGACCAAAUAGAUACAAGAUCAAGACUUUGGGAAGACUUUUGAUCAUAGAAAACGAAUGUAAGAUGAAUGCAUGGGUGCACUUGGGAUUUUCAUACCAUUUCAUGCAUCUUAGAAAACUCGGUUUAUCCUUUAAAACUUCGAUUUCAUUAAAACUCGAGUUUGAUCAAAUGUACCUUAGGCAAAACGUUUUAAAAUUGACAUAUUAUUUCACCUAAAGACCUUGCUUAAGUGUUAGAAAAGAAAGGAAUUGAAAAAAAUAAGUUUUCGGGGCCAAAAGACCGAACCGAUCGAGGCUCUGGCCAACCGGCUCAACCGGUUGGGGAACGGUCGAGGAGUGCCAAAAACACUCUCUCUCAUCCAGUAGUUUCCUCUUCCCAGUUGAGGUUCACCCAUUCCCGGUUGAGGUCCAGUUGAGGCAAUGGUAACCUGCCAAGCAUUAAAUGCUCCAACAGCUAGCGAACCGGUCGACCCCUAGCUCGAUCGAUCGAGACUCCCUUUUGCCUUUUUUGACUUCCGAGCUUAGAAGCCUAUAAAUUGAGAGCUGCACUUCAUUUAUGAACAAGAGAACACUUGCAAUCAAUUGUCUACCUACCUAUUCUUGACCAAAAAACUCUCAUUUCUUUCUUAGUGCAUUAAAUCAUCACUUGCAUAUCCUUUAGUGCACCCUUGUGUGUUAUCCUAGUUUUGUCUUGUAUUUGAGCUAUCCUUAAGCUAGGCUGAGGGAUUCAUUCUUGUAAAAACUGAGUGUUAAAGCCUUUAAGAGGUUUGAAUCUUGAAGAGAUUGUGUAAGAGCCCAUUGGAGCCAGAAUCCAAGUGUAAGAAGAUUGGAAGCUUGGUUGAAGCUUCAAGUUAGUGGAACCCUCACUUAGUUAGGAGAUUGAGAAGAGUGGACGUAGACAAGGAAGUUUCGAACCACUAUAAAACCUGAGUUUGAAUUCUCUAACUCUAUCUCUUUAUUUUUGUUUAUAUUGUGCUUGAACUUAUUGUGUUUGAAAAGAUUUUUAAAAACCCAAUUCACCCUCCUCCCCCCAUUUUUGGGUGUUUUUCUUAAUUAAGUAUAGUCUUUAUUUUCUUAAUUGGUAUCAGAGGUAGACCUCUUGUUUAAGACCUAAUAGUCUAAGAGGAAAUGGCUAUUCUAUCAAGCUCAUCUCACACUAAAAUUUUUGCAAAACAUAGAGCUCCAUUUUUUAUGGGAACCGACUAUCCCUAUUGGAAAACUAAAAUGACUUGGUUUUUACAAUCAACCGAUUUAGACGUAUGGGAUGUUAUUGAAGAUGGCCCAACUUUUCCUACUAAACUAGUUGAUGGAGUUUUGGUUCCAAAACCCAAGCAAGAAUGGAAUGAGCUUGAUAGAAGAAAUUUUCAAUUAAAUGCUAAAGCUGUUUUUACUUUGCAAUGUGCUACAGAUAGAAAUGAAUAUAAUAGAAUAUGUCAAAUCAGCUAAAGAAAUUUGGAGAUUACUUGAGCUAACUCUUGAAGGAACAAAUCAAGUGAAAGAGUCAAAAAUUAAUUUACUUGUUCAUAACUAUGAAUUGUUUUCAAUGAAAGAAAAUGAGACUAUUGUUGAGAUAAUUACUAGGUUCACCGACAUUGUUGUGUUUGAAAAGAUUUUAAAAAACCCAAUUCACCCCCUCCCCCCAUUUUGGGUGUUUUUCUUAAUUAAGCAUAGUCUUUAUUUUCUUAGAAUCAUAUAAUGAACCAACCCGAACCCAACAAAAUGAGAUUAUGUUGGGCUUAGGUUAAGUAAAUUGGAUUAGAGGUUGGGUUGGGUUGGGUUGGUUUGGCUUAGGGUUAAGUGUUUCUUAGGUUUGGCUCGGAUCAAGUUGACCAUCAUCCAAACUCAACUCACCCAACUUGCAACCCAAAUUUCUAAGAAUAUGAUAUAUAUUCCAUUUACAAAUCUUUUUUUUUUGGUUCAUAUGGCUACUAGAACAUCAUGUUAAGUGCCUGAGAAACAUUUCCUAGUUGAUAUUUAGUUGUAGGUUAAUCUUCAAGUACCCUAGAGCUAAAACAUUUUAUAUUGUUAGGGUUUGAUGAUUCUUGUACUAGUGGUUGGGUCUCAUGUUGGAUUUCAGUUCAAGCGACUAAAUAAUCUUUUUCAAAUUAUUUGAUUGUAAUUAUGAUUACAUUUAUAAUUAUUAUUAUUUUUUAUUUUUAUAUCUUGGUAAUUGAUUUCAAUACCUUUUUAAUUAUUUUAUGAAAUGUCUAGCCUGCAUUUAGAGUCAAGGAUGUGUUUGUUUUGCAUGUUGGAUUGGAUUUAACUUUUCACUACUAGUAUUCUUUUAAUAGAGCUUCAAUGCUAAAAGCCUAAAACUAAAUCAUUUUGGUUGUUGAUAUAAGUUUACAAGAAGUACAAUACCUUUUGCAAGUGACACUGCCUUCAAGCCCUUUGAAAAUUUUGUGUAGUUACUAAUUAACUCUUUGUUGCUAAAAUAUAAUAUGUGAAGUUAUCUUAUAGUCAUAUAGCUAAUAAAAUUUUAAUGUUAUAUUACUUGAUUUAGUAUUUAAAAUAUUUAAGGUUUUGUGAAUUAAAGACCACCAUGUUAUCCAUAACAAAAGUUUUCUAUGGUUAGAUUGUAAUUGUUUUCUUGGUUAAUUUGACAAUUUAAUUGUGGAGUUCAAUUGAAUAUUCCUCGAGUUUCAUGCCUUAUGUAUCUGAUUUGUUUGUCAAGCUUCAAUGAUAUUCACUACACUUGCGAGUUGUGUUUGUUUAUAGUCUUCUACUCUAGAAAACUGAUAUUAGGGCCUAAGUUUAUAUUAGAUAAGGAAAUCAACCUUUUAUCAUUAAGUUUAGUGAUUAAAUGUAUUUCUUUUUACUCCACCCAUAAAGUUUCUAAGUGUUGCCUUGGACUUCCUAACUCCAUUACUGUUUGUAAAGAAAAUGGUUAAUUUUUUCAUUUUAUGUAGAAGUUAACAAAAGUGGUCAUUUUGACAUGAUUUGACAUUGUUAUUAUUAUCUUUUUAAAUUAGAUAUAAUAAUUUUCCAAAGUCAAUAUUUUGUUUGCAUGAUGCUCUUUUUAUAUUGAUAUGUAAUGGAUGGCUAAAGUGGAGAAAACUUACUUUAUUUAAGUCAAAUGUGUCUUCCACCAAAUAUUUAAGGUUUGUGUGGCAACCUCUCUUUCUAUUUGUUGCUUCAUCUUUACUGUUUUGAAGUCAAAGAAAGAAAAUGCUAUCUUUAAUACUCUUCAUGCAAAUAGGCUAGACAUGCAUGCUUGAAUACAAUAUUUUCUCUAUUGUUUGUUUAUUUUCUUGUCUUUAUUCUAUUCCACUUGUUAAUGUUAUUUAAAAUGACUAUCGUGAUGAUUAAUUGCAUAUUGUGAAAGUACUUGGCUUAACCAAUUAUUAAAUUGGAAUUAAGUUAAUAUCAUGACAAAUACCAAAAGAAUAAUUUUUAGUCUUACUUGAACAUUAUUCACUAUUCCAAAGUUAAGUAAUGUUGUCAAACAAGUUAUGGAUGGUUGAUGGAUAUGCAUCACCAAUAUUUGUUUAUAUUGAAGGGAUGGUGGAGGAGAGAUGUUGCAACUGCAAAGUCCUUGUCUUUCUCAAUUAGAUAUUAGUUAUUGUCAUAUGUUAACACAUUUUGCACUGCAUUACUUAACAUCCUUUUCCAUUAAUUACAUCUCAUUUUUCUAAAAUAGAGAUCAAAUACUAAGGUAAUUAGACAUACUUAUUUAUGCCUUCAUUUCCUUGCCUUUCUCACUUACUUAUCAAUGGAUUCCCUAACUUCAAAUCCUUCCCACUGCUUGUAGCUCAUUGUCUUGUUCGCAUAGAUAUUAGUAAGUGCCCUAACUUGAUAACCUUCAAAGUGCAUUUAUUAAUAUAAGUUGUUGGCUUUUUUGUUCUUCAUUGAAGUCUCUAUUUGGGACAUUCAUGAUUUGAUAUCUCUUCUAAAAGAAGGCUUGGCUUCAACAUUUUUCCAAUCUCCAAACUCUCACAAUUAAGAACUAUCAUGGUUUGGUAACAUUAUUGUGUUGGAUCUACAACCUUCAAUUACUUACCAAGCUUCAAGUUGAUCACUAUCUAGAAUCGAUAUCAUUGAUAGAAAUGAUACAUUCUCUCAAAAACCUUUAAAGACGCAAAAUCUAUUGUUGUCCACACCUAUUAGAAAGAUAUCAAAAGGAAACAAUUGAAGAUUAACCCAAGAUUGGUUGUCUCACAAAAUGAUAUUUAGUUGAGAUUAGAUUGAUAAAGAAUGUCAUUUUAGGCAUGAAAUUCCAAUCUUUCCUUUCAUUUUUUUAUGGAUUUAUUUAUUUUAAAAUUAUAUAUAAUCCUUUGUUUUCAUUUUGCUUUGGUCAAAUGCUUAGAUCAUUAAGUUUUUAAAGUUUUGUAUCUUUAAAUUACUAACCGCUAAUGAUGUGUAGCAACUUGAUUAUGUCUGUUACUUUCAAUUUUGCAUUCUAAGGGUUUGAGACAUGCCAAGGUUUGAUUUAAUAAUUAUUUUUUCAUGGUUUUUAACUUGAAAUCAUUGUCUAUUCAGGUUCAUUGCCCAGACUUAAAGUAACUGUCAUAAGAAACAAACUUCUAAUAGGCCUAAUGAUUUCUCAUGGCUAAUUCACAUCCAUUAGAUGCUUGAUAAUGAAAACACUUUUGCUCUCUUCUAAUUUCAGGUUUCUCUGCCUUAUAUUUUAUGUUCCAACUUUACACAUUUAUUAAAAUUAUUAGACUAGUUGAAAUUUAUAAUAUAUUUGUAAUAAUUCUAAGAGUUUGGGACAUGCCAAGGUUUGAUUUAAUAAUUAUUUUUUUCAUGGUUUUCAACUUGAAAUCAUUGUCUGUUUAGGUUCAUUGCCCAAACUUAAAGUCAUUGCCAUGAGGAAACAAACUUUUGAUAGGCCUAAUGAUUUCUCAUGGCUAAUUCAUAUCCACUAGAUGCUUGAUAAUGAAAACACUUCUGCUCUCUUCUAAAUUCAGGUUUCUUUGCCAUAUAUUUUAUGUUCCAACUUUACACAUUUGUUAAAAAUUUAUAACAUGCUUGUAAUAAUUCAUUGUUGACUAUUUGCACUCAUUAUGUUACUUGAUAUUUUGUUCUCAUACCAAGCUUAUACUAAAACGAUAAUGUUGAGAAUUGACUAAAUACGAUUCAAUAUUCCCACUAUAAAUGUUCACAAGUUAUGGAAAGUUGAUGCAUAUGGAAAGAGUAAUAUCAAUUUCCUGUUGUCUAUAAUAUGAUUACUUCAUCUCUUUCUUCGUUUAGUGUCAUGCUCAAUAACUUAUAACUUUCCAUUCAAUUUGUUAAGAAAUAUUGUACUCUAUUUGGAGUUAUGAUCUUAUGAUUCCAUAAUAUAGAAAACCUUGAACAUAAAGUAAUGGGUUAAGUUCGUAUAAGUUAUAGUGCACCUUAUCAAAGGGAAAUUCAAAGUCUUUAGUUGAUAAAAAGAAAUGGAGUUUGUAGCUCUUCCUUAUUUGACAAAUACUACAUAUUGAUUUACCUUUUGUCUUAGAUGAUACCAUUAAUAAUUGUUCUAUCUCUUCUAGAAAUUUUAAAUAUUUUACUUACAUCAUUUAUCAUGUUCAUCAUGACACCUAAAUUAGCAUAAAAGGCGGGGUCAAUUUUAUCUUCACUUAUUGUAGCCAAUGCUUAAGGAAUUUCUUUUGUGUGAUGUAAAUAGUCAAACAUGUUUUAACUAUCUUUUGGAAAUGAUUAGUCUUGUUAAAAAUUUGACAAACGAUAAUACCUCCAACUUUUGAGAGUUGUCACUUCUAUCAUUCUAGUUGAUUUGUUUUUCCAUUGAUUGUUGUCACACCAUUUGUUUUUGUUAUUCUAGUUUCCUCAAUCAUUGCCUCAAGAUCUUCUUGCAGGAGUGAAAACUCUUCCUCUCUAAUUAAAAUUAUUAUCAUGAUUUCUUCUACCAUGUUUGCUUAGAAAAACUUGCUCAUGAAUAAUUUGAUUUUUCCUAUCUUCAUCUUCAUUGAUUAGAUUUCCUAAUGUGAUCAUUAGAAUGAAUUAAUUGAAAGAUAGAGAAGGUGGUUUUGCAAGCAUGAAAACCCGAAAAAAGUAGUAUUUUGGUCGAAGUCCUCGAGGGAGUCGAAGCACCUUCUCAACAUUUUGCAUUAGAUUCUAAAUAAGUACUAAGUUAUCACUUAUGCCUUUAAAUUUUCAAAGAUUUUCAUCUAUAGAUAGAACCUCAUGAGGAAUCUAUUAUUUAAAAGGAUUUCCUUUUCAUAGGUAGCAAUCAUUUUGAGUCUAACAAGCCUCUCUAAGACUUCCUCUUUCAUAUUCCAAGAAGCUAGGGGUAAGAAGUCAAUUUGAUUGAGAUAUUGUAUAUCUUAUUGACAACCUUUUUUUUUUAUUCUUUUGAAUCUUAAGUUUCUUUUGGUCAUUUUCUACAUUCAGGGAGAUGAUGGAAUAUGUCAAGAUUCUAAAAUGAAGGAAGAACUUUCAAGCACCCAAACAUAAACUUUCAAGAUUUGUUCAUUAAUCAAAAGAUGAAAUGCUAGCAGUAUACCAAAAAGAGGUUAUUGGAUUUCUAUAUUAUUUCAUUAUUUUUAUAUAGACACUUUUCACUCAAUUCCUAGUCCUUGCAUUUUUCAUGUUUAGAAAUUUUCUUAGGUUAGGCUAUUUUGCUAUAGAUAUGAUUGUUGCUAAGUUUAUGCAAAAAAGCAUGCAAUAAUUUCUUCCAUAGUGAUCUUGUUGCCUUCUUGAAUAAGUGGAUGUUUGAUUUAUGUGGAACUGUUGAACUCUUUAAUUCAAGCAUGGUAUCAACAAUAUAUUUCAGGUUUUACAUCUAACUGUUAUCUCUUUUUUAUGACUUGGUUUUUUAUUUUCUUAUAUGGAUAUUGUAAGAGGUUAUGCUCCUUUUUAAUUCUAUUUUCAUGAUUCUCAUAUGAAUUAACACAAAUGAAGGAAAGGUUUUUUUAAUUAAGUUAAUUUAUUGAUGUUGGAAAAAUUAAUUGUUAGUUAUAUUCUAACUUUACAUGCUUGUUAAAAUGAUUAGACUAGUUAAUUUAAAAAUAUAUAUCAUUCUUGUAAUAAUUCACUAUUAAUUGUGUGGCUAAGUGAUCAUGUUCUUUCAUGUUUUCUUUUCAUAUCAGGUUGAUACUAAAGGGGUAUUAUUGAGAAUGAGUUGAGCAUUGUUCAAUUUCUCAAGAUAAAUGUUCAUAAGGUAUGGAUGUCUGAUGCAUAUAGAAAGAGUUAGUUCACUUGCUUAGUAUCUAUAAUAUGUACUCAUUCUUGAUGUUUGUGAUUACUUAAUUUCUAUCUUUCAUCUUUUGGUGUCUUGCUUGUUAAUUUAUACCUUUACAUUCAAUUUGUUAAGAACUAUUAUACUCUAUUUGAAGUUUGAUUUUAUGAUUCUCAUACACAAAAGAAUACCAACAAUUUGGGCAAGGACAUGAUACUAAAUCAUUUAUCAAUUUGGUUAUCUAUCUUUUCUCUAAUUUCUUAAGCUUGGGAAUCAAAAUGCUUUGGAAUACCAAGAAACAAUGGGGAUGAGUCUUUUCUUCAUCAUCUUGAGUUUUAUUGAUAGUCAACUUGUAGUAUCAUCCUUCAUAUUCCCUAAAGUACUCAAACUUGAUAGUUUGAAAUACUUAACUUGUUUACAAAAAUAUUCUUACUUCAUGUUUAGGUUUUGUAUAUUUGAAAAUUUAGUUAUGUUAAUUAUUUUAUUAUAGUCAUGACCAUUUUCAUGUCAAUGCAAAAGAGAUAGUGGUGAAGACUAGCAAAAUGUUACUCAUACCUUGAACAUAACUAUAAGUUAUUAACGGCUGGUGCACUGGAAAUGUCUCUCCCUCCUCUACUGUCUUUAGUUAGAAUAAAGGGUUCAUAUUAUGUUUUCAUUAUUUAGUUUUGUAAUUUCUACUUAUCAUCCCACUUUUUGUCUCUUAAUGAUUUAUCACUUAACAAUCAAAUUUUAAAAACAUGUUCUUAUAGGUGAUAGUGCAAUAACAUGUUAAAUUCAUGAAAAUUUUUCCAAAUUGAUAUUCAAGGUUUAGUUUAUCUUCAAGUGCCUUCUAGAUGUGGCUUUUGUGUUUUAUAAACCAAAACAUUGAUCUAUGUUCUUUGUGGCUAAGGCUUGGUGUAUUUUCAAGUACCUUGUGGUAGAAGCUUAGGCUUUCCUUCUCUUUCUUUUUGAGAAAAUAUAUUGAUGAUUGCUAGAGGAUUAGGUUGUCAAAAUUCAAUAUUGUAGAAAAUGUUUGGCGUUUUAAAAUUAUUUAAUGAAUUUGGUUGAGAAGUUACUUAAUAUAGAAAAACAUAUUUAUUUGAGAAACAGGGAAAUAAAAAUAUUUUUUGCACUACUUGCCUUAUGUUUGCAUGAUGUGUGCACACAAACAAAUCAUAGAAUUAAGAAUACAAAUUGUUUGCUCUCAUUUUUAUAAAUUAAUAAAACUAUAACCAAAAUGCAAUGUAGCCAAGUCACAUUUAUUGUAUUAGUCCUAAAAUAAUGUUUGAACUAUGUUAACUAGUAAGUAUUGGAAAAAGGAAUUAUGCCAUCUUUAUUUUCUAUUUACCUGGUUUAUAAAAUCCUUAGAUCAAUAAAGUUUGAAAUUUGUAUGCAGUUAAUUGCUAGAAUUAUAAAUUUUUGUAAUUAUAAUUAUUUUUAUGAUUUUAUUUUAUUUUAUUUAUGUUUACAUUUUUGUUUGAAAGUUUCUCAUAUAUGUUAGUCUUUCUAUCAUUAAUAUAAUAAUUAUCAAGAUUAUUCAAAAAGGAUAGAGGACUAGUGGUAUAUUGUUCACAUUUUAUAAAUAUAUGUUGACAAUGUGGUCUUUAGGUUUACAUUUUAAACUUUUUUCCUCACUAUUUAUCUUUUUAUCAUUUAUUACAUGGCAGUCAAUUUCUAAUACACAAUGAGUCUUCUCUUCCCUUUUUCAAGACCAUUCUUCUCAUUUUCAAAGGUACUUACAUUUAAAAAACUUAAGAUAAUGUUGAAGGGAGUUUCAUUAUGAGGACAUAUUACAACAACACUUGUUAAUAAUAUUGUUUUAUGAGUUGACAUCCAUGUCUAUGCAUUUACACUUAACAGGAUUCAUUAUACAAGAGUAUCUUAUACAUUGAACUCAAUGCAAGUUUAGAAAAAUGAUAUUAGGUUGGGUUUAGGUUGAGAAUUAGGUUGGGUUUGGCUAUGGUUAAGUGUUUCUUAGGUUUGGUUUGGAUCAGAUUGAGCAUCAACCAAACUCAACUCACCCAAGUUGCAACCUUAAUUUCCAAGAAAUUGAUAUAUAUUCCAUUUACAAAUAUUAUUUUUUUUGGUUCGUAUAGGCACGAGAACAUCAUGCUAAGUGCAUAAGAAACAUUUCCAAGUUGAUAUUUUGUUGUAGGUUAAUCUUCAAGUGCCUUAGAGCUAAAACAUUUUAUAUUAUUAGGGUUUGAUGAUUCUUGCACUAGUGCUUGGGUCUCAUGUUGGAUUUCAAAUCAAGUGACUAAUUAAUCUUUUGAAAAUAUUUGAUUGAUAUUAUAACUAAAUUGAUAAUAUUUUUUUAUAUAUAUUGGUAAUUGAUUUUAAUGUCUUUUUAAUUGUUCUAUGAAAUGUCUAACCUAUUCUUGUUAGGGUCAAGGAUGUGUUUGUUGCACAUGUUGGAUCAUAUUUAACUUUUCACUAUUAGUAUUCCUUUAAUAGAACUUCAAUGCUAAAACUAAAUCAUUUGGGUUGUUGGUAUAAGUUUACAAUGAGUACAAUACCUCUUGCAACUGAGAUUGCCUUCAAGCCCAUUGAAAUUUUUGUGUUGUUACUAAUUGAUUCUUUGUUGCUGAAAUAUAAUAUGUGAAGUUAUCUUAUAAUCAUAUAACUAAUAAAAUUUGAAUGUUAUAUGACAUGUUUUAUUAUUUUAAAAAAUUUAAUGUUUUGUGAAUUAAAGACCACCAUGUUAUCCAUAACAAAAGUUUUCUAUGGUUAAACUGUAAUUGUUUUCUUGGUUAAUGUGACAGUUUAACUGUGGAGUUCGGUUGAAUAUUCUUGAGUUUCAUGCCUUGUGUAUCUGAUUUGUUUGCCAAGCUUCAAUGAUAUUCACUACACUUGUGAGCUGUGUUUGUUUAUAGUCUUCAACUCUAGAAAACUGAUAUUGGGGCCUAAGUUCAUCGUAGGUAAGGAAAUCAACCUUUAUCAUUAAGUUUAGUGAGUAAAUGUAUUCCUUCUUACCCCAUAAAAUAAAGUUUCUAAACCUUGCCUUAGACAUCAUAACUCCAUUACUAUUUGUAAAGAAAAUGAUUAAGUUUUUCAUUUUAUGUAGAAGUAAAAAAAAAAAAAAAAAAAGUGGUCAUUUGGACACGAUUUGACAUUGUUAUUAUUUUCUUUAUAAAUUAGAUAUCAAUAAUUUUUCAAAGUCCAUAUUUUAUUUCCAGGAUGUUCUUUUUAUAUGGAUAGGUAAUAGAUGGCUAAAGUGGAGAAAACUUACUUUUUUUUUAAUUCAAGUACCUUCCACCAAAUAUUUAAGGUUUGUGUGUCAACCUCUCUUCCUAUUUGUUGCUUCAUCUUUACUAUUUUGAAGUCAAACAAAGAAAAUGCUAUCUUUAAUACUCCUCAUGCAAAUAGGCUAGACAUGCAUGCUUGAAUGCAAUAUUUUCUCUAUUGUUUGUUUACUUUCUUGUCUUUAUUCUAUCCCACUUGUUAAUGUUAUUUAAAAUCAUUUUUGUGAUGAUUAAUUAUCGAUUGUAAAAAUACUUGGCUUAGCCAAUUAUUGAAUUGAAAUUAAUUUAAUAUCAUGAAAAAUACCAAAAGAAUAAUGUUUAGUCUUACUUAAGGAUUAUUUACUAUUUCAGAGUUAAUUAAUGUUGUCAAACUUGACAAGUUAUGAAUGGUUAACGGAUACACAUCACCAAUAUUUGUUUAAAUUGAAGGGAUUGUGGAUGAGAGAGGUUGCAACAACAAAGUCCUUGUCUUUCUCAAUUAAAUAUCAGUUAUUGUAUAUGUUGACAUAAUUUGCACUGCAUUACUCAACAUUUUUUCCAUUACUUCCAUUUCCUCAAUUUUCCUAAACUAGAAAUCAAAUACUAAGGUAAUUAGACAUACUUAUUUAUGCCUUCAUUUCCUUGUCUUUCUCACUUACUUAUCAAUGGAUUCCCUAACAUCAAAUCCUUCCCACUGCCUUUAGCUCCUUGUCUUGCUCACAUAGACAUCAAUAAGUGCCCUAACUUGACAUCUUUCACAAUGCAUUCAUAAUAGAAGUUGUUCUAUUUUUGUUUUUCAUUAAUGCCUCUAUCUAUUUAGGAUAUACAUGAUUUGAUAUCUUUUCUAAAAGGAGGCUUAGCUUCAAUAUUUUACCACUCUCCAAACUCUCACAAUUAGGAACUAUCAUGGUUUGGUAACAUUACUAUAUUGGAUCUAAAACCUUCAAUCACUUACCGAGCUUCAAACUUAUCACUAUCUAGAAUUGAUUUCACUAACAAAAGUGAUACAUUCUCUCAAAAAUCUUAUAAGACUCAAAAUGUAUCAUUUUCCACAUCUAUUAGAAAGAUACCAAAAGAAAACAAUUGAAGAUUGGUCCAAGAUUUCUUAUGUCCCACAAAAUGAUAUUUAGCUAAGAUUAGAUUGAUAAAGAAUGUCAUUUCAGGUAUGAAAUUCCAAUCUUUCUUUUCAUUUUUUAUGGAUUUAUUUAUUUUAAAACCAUAUAUAUGUUGAAAGUAAGAACUAUAAAGCUAUGAACUCAUACAAAUCUAGAAUAACAUUCCCAGUUUUAUUGAACACUUAUUGGUGGCUUAUAUAGCCUUACAAGACAAGGAAUUAGAAAAACAUUGCAGCCCACAUCUUAUACCUAAAGACAUGGUAUUAGUUACUAAAAGAAUCAAAACCUAUCUACUGGUUCCUAACUAAUAGGAACUUAUCAACAGAACUUUCACAAAGCCAAACUUAAUAGAAACAAAUAAAUCCCAACAAUAAUUCCUCCCAUAAACUAAAACAAUAUGCAUUCAGUUUAAGUUUGGUACCUCACAUACCCCAAGCUUCUCACGCAACUUCAAGAACACUUCAAGCUUCAGUGGCUUUGUCAGGAUAUCAACCACUUGAUCAUUGGUGCCACAAUGAACCAACUUCACUACUUCCUCCUUAGUGAGGUCCCUCAAGAAAUGGAACCUCACAUCUAUAUGCUUGCUCCUACCAUGCAUAACCGGAUUCUUGGAUAACUUGAUCAUUGAACUGUUGUCACACAUAAUAGUAGUACACUUACUCUGUGAGUGCCCAAUCUUUUCUAACACUCUCCUCAUCCAUAUACAUUGACAAGCACAGAAAGCUGUUACCACAAAUUUUGCUUCAGUGGUACACAAAGUCACCACUGGUUGCUUCUUUGAGGCCCAAGAAACUGCUAUGCCACUCAAUAAAAACACAUAACCAGAUGUGCUCUUCUUAUCAUCAGUGUCUCCAGCAUAAUCGCUGUCAGUGUAAGCCAAUAGUUCUUCAACAUCUUCUCAUCUCUUAUAAAACACACCCAACUCCACAAUUCCUUUUAAAUAACGAAGAACUCUCUUUGUUGCUUGCAUAUGUAGGUCAGUAGGAUUGGCUAUAUACCUGCUCAAGAGACAUACUACGUACGUUAAAUUAGGUCUUGUUGUAGUAAUGUACAUGAGACUCCCAAUUAAUUGCUUAUAAACUGUAGCAUCAAUCCUAGCACCUUCUCCUUCCUCUGAUAGCUUGAAACCGGGCACAAUAGGAUUCUCCACUGAAUUGGCAUUUUGUAAACCAAACUUCUCAAGUAAUUCACAAGCAUACUUCUUCUGACUUAAGAAGAUACCCUCUGAAGUUUGCAAAACUUCAACACCAAGGAAGUACUUCAUCUUCCCUAAAUCUAUCAUAUCAAACUCAUCCUUCAUGGAACUCUUGAAGCUUUCAAACAUGCAUGCAUCAUUCCCAAUAAAGAUUAAGUCAUCCACAUACAAACUCACAAUUAAGAACCUCUUACCUCCUUCUUCUAUUUUGACAAAGAGAGUGUGCUCGUAAUCACAUCGUUCAAAUCCCUCAUUAACAAAAUAAGCUUCAAUUCUGCUAUACCAAGCACGUGGUGCUUGCUUCAACCCAUAUAAUGCCUUCUUAAGCUUGUAGACCUUUUUUUCUUCACCCUUUCGAAUAUAACCUAGUGGUUGCUCCACAUACACAUCUUCUUUCAACUCACCAUGAAGAAACACACUUUUGACGUCUAAUUGAUACACACUCCAUCCCUUUUGUGCUGCUAGGGCUAGAACCAUCUGAAUUGUGUCCCACCUUGCUACUGGAGCAAAGACUUCAUUAUAAUCAAUUCCUUGUCGCUGAGCAUAACUUUUAGCUACCAACUGGGCUUUGCACUUAUCAACCUCACCCUUUUCAUUCAAUUUGGUCUUAAAAACCCACUUCACACCAAUCUUCUUAGCACCUUUAGGCAAAGUAGUAAGCUGCUAGGUUUUAUUCUUCUCAAUUGCUUCAAUUUCCAAGUCCAUGGUCCUUCUCCAUUUCACAUCCCUCUUAGCUUCUUCAAAAGAUCCCGGAUCUUCAUGAGAGAUAAACAUUGCAAGAUUAUUCACAUCUGCAUCUUCUGACAGUUCUUCACCUGUUACAUAGUCCUGCAAGUAAGGAGGUGCUCUUCGAAUCCUUGUUUCAUCUUGAACUGGUGCAACUUCAUUGGAUGAUUCAAUCGAUGUUGGAGUUGUUGCUUCUGCUUCUUGAUUUGUAACCACUACUUCAAUACAUUCCACAACUUAUUCUUCACUCUCAGAGAAAGCAUCUUCACCUUCAACACUAUCUUCCCAGACCAGUAUAUCACGCUUCACUUCUUUAGUUGUCCUCCCCCAAUUCCAACCUUUAUCCUCUUCGAAACUCACAUUUCUGCUCACUAUAAUUCUUCUAGUAGCUGGAUCAAACAACCGAUAAGCUUUAGAUUCAUGACUUACUCCAAGUAAGACACACUAAAGACUUUUAUCAUCCAAUUUUGUUCUCUUCUGAUCUGGCACAUGUACAUGAGCUAGGCACCCAAAAACCCUUAAGUAGUCCACUUUGGGUUUAACUCCACUCCACAUCUCUUCUGGGGUCUUGUCUUUCACUACCAAUGUUGGACUCCUGUUGAGAACAUGCACUAUCCAUCUUGCAGCUUCUAGCCAGAAUGCUUUUGGCACUUGUUUGUCACAAAGCAUGCACUGAACCAUAUUCAUGAUAGUUUGAUUUUUGCGUUCAGCUACCCCAUUUUUUUGUGGGGUAUAAGAUGUUGUCAGCUGCCUGCUUAUACCAUUGAUUCUACAAAACUCAUUAAACUCAUUGGAGGUGAAUUCUCCUCCUCUAUCAGUGCUUAAACAAUAGAUAAGUUCACUCGACUCCUUCUCAACCAAGCUCUUACAGUUUUUGAAAGUUGUAAAUGUUUCAGACUUUGCAACCAAAAAAUAUAUCCAUACCUUUUUACUAAAAUCAUCGAUGAAGGUUAUAAUAUACCUUUUGCUACUGUUGGAUUCAGGAGUAAUAGGGCCACAUAUAUCAGCAUGAACGAGCUGCAAUUUUCGGGAAGCUCUCCACUGACUCUUCUUUGGAAUAGCAUUUCCGUGUUGCUUUCCCACAAAGCAUUCAUUGCAAGCUAUAGUUGACGCUCUGAGAAGUGGAAGACCCUUCACCAUCUCUUUGUAUUGCAAAGUCCUCAACCCUUUGUAACUCAAAUGCCCAAACCUACGGUGCCACAACUUUGAAUUAUCUUCUGUGACUGUUUACAGGCAUGUCGAGGUCUCAAGCACCACAUUAGCCAAUAACACAAACAUCCGAUUUGUUGUCAUUUUUGUCUGCAUAAUCAAUCCUCUUCUAGGGUGGUAUAACUUACAUUCCCCAUUUUGUAUAAUUAUAGCUAAACCCCUUUCUUGAAGUUGCCUUAUACUCAGCAAAUUAUUCUUCAAAGCAAGAACAUAGUAAACAUCAGUGACUACCUAAGUUGAGCCAUUAAUCUCAAGUCGGAUGUUGCCUUUGCCCAUCACUCCCAUCCUUGUAUUAUUGCCGAGCUUCACAGAGUGUUUGAAAGCCUCAUCAAUGUUAGAGAACCACUGCUUGUUCCCGCACAUGUGAUUGUUGCAACCUGAGUCGAGGAACCACACAUCUUCUCGUUUCGAGUUGUUGACUUCAACAUAAGACAUGAGGAACAUCUCUUCUUCUUCAUCUAACUCAGUAUAGUUUGCACUCUUCUCCCAACUAGGACAUUCGUAUUGGAAGUGCCCUAGUUUGUGGCAUUUAAAACACUCCAGUGUGGCCUUGUUUGCAAAGUAACUUCCUCUGCCUCUCCCGCGGCCUCGAACAUAACUUUGACCUCUGCCUCUUCCUUCAUACCUUUCUCCAUACAAAACCUUUAAAGCUUGUUCAUCCCUUGCAUUUCCAUUAUGACAAUUCAUUCUCUGUUCAUGAACCAAAAGGCUGCUUUGAAGCUCGUCAAUGGUCAUCGUGUCCACAUUAUUGGACUCUUCUAUUGAGCAUACCUCAUAGUCGAACCUGGGAGUCAUCGAUCUCAAGAUUUUCCCCACAAUCACGUUUUGCCCCAUUCUUUCUUCAUGUACUUUCAUCUUGUUUGCAAUAGUCAAAGCUCUGGCAAAGUACUCAUCAACCUUCUCACCCUCUUUCAUCUAUAGGAUCUCAAACUCUUUUCUAAGGGCUUGUAGUUGAGCUCGUUUAACUCUGGUGGAGCCCUGAUACUUCUGCCUCAUUGAAUCCCAUGUACUCUUUGUUGUGUUCUUAUCAAGAAUUGUCUCCAUAAUGGUCCUAUCAAUCGAUUGAAACAUGUAGUUCUUGAUCUUCAUAUCAUUUAGCCUCACCUCUUCAACUUCUUUUCUUUAUGCUUGAGUAGGCGUUGAUCCUUCGACUAUUGAAGGAAUUCCAUUUUCUACUAUGCUCCAGUACUUCUUUGAAUGGAGAAAAUUCUCCAUUAACAUGGCCCAAUGGUCAUAAUAAUCAUCAAAUCUUGGAAUUGCCGGAUGAGCAAAGUUUUCUGUCGCCAUGUUCACUCACUCCACCUUCCUUUCUUCUCUAUUCUCUCUUCUCACACUCUGUAAGAAAUCUGUAGUUUCUUACUUUCUUCAAUCAGGCCUCUUAGCGGAGCUCUGAUACCAGAUUGUUGAAAGCAAGAACUAUAAAGCUAUGAACUCAUACAAAUCUGGAAUAACAUCCCCUGUUUUAUUGAACACUUACUGGUGGCUUAUAUAGCUUUACAAGAUAAGGAAUUAGAAAAAUAUUGUAUCCCACGUCUUAUACCUAAAGACAUGGUAUUAGUUACUAAAAGAGUCAAAACCUAUCUACUGGUUCCUAACUAAUAGGAACUUAUUAACAGAACUUUGACAAAGCCAAACCUUAACAGAAACAAAUAAAUCCCAACAGUAUAAUCCUUUGUUUUCAUUUUGCCUUGGUAAAAUGCUUAGAUCAAUAAGUUUUGAAAGUUUUGCAUCUUCAAAUUACUAACUGCUAAUGAUAUGUAGCAACCUAAUCAUGUAUGUUACUUUCAAUAUUGCAUUCUAAGAGUUUGGGACAUGCCAAGGUUUGAUUUAAUAAUUAUUUCUUUCACGUUUUUAAAUUGGAAAUCAUUGUUUGUUCAGGUUCAUUGCCCAAGCUUAAAGUCUUUGCCAUAAGGAAACAAACUUUUGAUAGGCCUAAUGAUUUCUCAUGGCUAAUUCAUAUCUACUAGAUGUUUGAUACCGAAAGAACUUUUGCUCUAUUAUAAAUUUAGGUUUGUUUGCCAUAUAUUUUAUGUUCAAAUUUGUUAAAAUGAUUAAACUAGUUAAUUUUGAAAUUUAUAACAUGUUUAUAAUAAUUCAUUAUUGAUUGUUUGCACUCAUUAUGUUACUUGAUGUUUUCUUCUUAUACCAGACUUAUACUAAAAGGAUAAUGUUGAGAAUUGGCAUAAUACAAUUCAAUAUUCCCACUAUAAAUGUUCACAAGUUAUGGAUAGCUAAUGCAUAAGGAUAAAGUUAUUUCAUUUGCAUGUUGUAUGGAAGGUUGAUGCAUAUGGAAAGAGUAAGAUCAAUUUGUUGUUGUCUAUAAUAUAUAUGAUUACUUCGUCUCUUUCUUUGUUCAGUGUCAUGCUCAAUAACUUAUAAUUUUUCAUUUAAUUUGUUAAGAAAUACUAUACUCUAUUUGAAGUUAUGAUCUUAUGAUUCUCAUAAUAUAGAAAACCUUGAACAUAAUGUAAUGGGUCAGGUUCCCAUAAGUCAUAAUGCACCUUAUCAAGGGGAAAUUUGAAGUUUUUAGUUGAUAAAGAAAAACAAAAUUUGUAACUCUUCCUAAUUUGACAACUACUACAUAUUGAUUUAUCUUUUGUCUUUACUAAUAUCAUCGAUAAAUGUUCUAUUUCUUGUAAAAAAUUUAAAUAUUUUACCGAUAUCAUUUAUCAUGUUCACCUUGGCAUAGGCAAGGUCAUUUCGUCUUCAUAGACUUAUUGUAGUCAAUGCUUGGGGAAUUUCUUUUAAGCUAUAUGAAUAGUCAAACAUGUUUUAACAAUCUUUUGGAAGUGAUUAGUUUUAUUAAAAAUUUGACAAACAAUAAUACCUCCAGCUUUUGAGAGUUGUCAAUUCUAUCAUUCUAGUUGAGUUGUUUUUCCAUUGAUUGUUGUCAUGUCAUUUGUUUUUGUUAUUCUACUUGCCUCAACCAUUACCUUGAAAUCUUUCGCAUGAGUGAAAACUCUUCCUCUCUAAUUAAAAUGAUUGCCAUUAUUUUUUCUACUGUGUUUGCUUAGAAAGACUUGCUCAUGAAUAAUUUAAUUUUUCCUAUCUCUAGCUUCAUUGAUUAGCAUUUCUUAAUGUGAUCAUUAGGAUGAAUUAAUUGGAAGAUAGAUAAGGUGGUUUUGCAAGCAUGAAAACCUGAAAAAACUUGUAUUUCGGUCCAAGUCUUGAAGGGAGUUGAAGCACCUUAUCAAAAUCUUGCAUUUGUUUCUAAAUAGGUACUACAUUAUGACAUGUGCCUUUAAAUUUUGAAAGAUUUUCUUUUAAAGAUAGAACCUUAUGAGGAAUUUAUCAUUUGAAAGGAUUUCCUUUUCUUUCUUUUUUAUAUAGGUAGCAAUCAUUUCGAGUCCAACAAGCCUCUCUAAUUCUCACUCUUUCAUAUUCCAAGAAACCAGGGGUAAGAAGUCGAUCUAAUCAAGAUAUUCUACAUCUUAUUAACAACUUUUUUGCCUUUUGUAUUUUAACUUUCUUUUGGUCAUUUUGUGUAUUUAGGGAGAUGAUGGAAUAUUUGAAGACUCUAAAAUGAAAGAAGAACUCUUAAGUACCCUAACAAAAACUUCCAAGAUUUGUUCAUUGGUUCAAAGAUUAAAUGUUGAUAGUUGGUUCUUUGUUAAACAUGAUUGGUUGUUGAUAUCAAAAAGAGGUUAUUGGAUUUUUUAUAUUAUUUCAUUAUAUUUAUAUAGACACACCUCACUCAAUUCUUGGUGCCUGAAUUUUUCAUGUUUGGAAAUUUUCUUAGGUUAGGCUAUUUUGUUACAGAUAUGAUUGUUGCCAAGUCAAUGCAAAAUACAUGCAAUAACUUCUGUUACAAUAAUUUUGUUACUUUCUCGGGUAAAUGGAUGGCGGAUUCAUGUGGAGUUGUUGCACUCUUUAAUUCAAGCAUGAUAUCUACAAUAUGUAUUUUAGGUUUGUCAUCUAACUUUUAUCCUUUUUUUUAUGACUUAGUUUUUUAUUUUCUUAUAGGGAUAUUGUAAGAGGUUAUGCUCCUUUUUAAUUCUAUUUUCAUGAUUCUCAUAUAUAGUAGCACAAAUAAAGGAAAGGUUUUUUUUUAAUUAAAUUAAUUCAUCAAUGUUGGAAAAAUUAAUUGUUAGUUAUGUUUUGACUUUACAUGCUUGUUAAAAUGAUUAGAUUAGUUAAUUUUAAAACAUAUAUCAUUCUUGUAAUAAUUCACUAUUAAUUGUGUGGCUAAGUGAUCAUGUUCCGUCAUGUUUUCUUUUCAUAUCAAGUUGAUACUAAAGGGGUAAUAUUGAGAAUGAGUUGAGCAUCGUUCAAUUUCACAAGAUAAAUGUUCAUGAGGUAUGGAUGGUUGAUGCAUAUAGAAAGAGUUAGUUCACUUACUUAAUAUCUUUGAUAUGUACUCAUUCUUGAUGUUUGUGAUUGCUUCCUAUCUUUGUUAAUUUGGUGUCUUGCUUGUUAAUUUAUACUUUUACAUUCAAUUUGUUAAGAACUAUUAUAUUAUGUUUGAACUCAUUCUUGAUGUUUGUGAUUACUUCCUAUCUUUGUUCUUUUGGUGUCUUGCUUAUUAAUUUAUAACUUUACAUUCAAUUCAUUAAGAACUAUUAUAUUUUGUUUGAAGUUUUGAUUUUAUGAUUCUCAUACACAAAAGAAUGCCAACAAUUUGAGCAAGGAGGACAUGAUACUAAAGCAUUUAUCAAUUUGGUUAUUUUUCUUCUCUCUAAUUUCUUAAGCUUGGGAAUCAAAAUGCUUUGGAAUACACAAGAAACAAUGGGGAUGACUCUUUUCUUCGUUAUCUUUAGUUUUAUUGAUAGUCAACUUGUAUUAUCACCCUUCCUAUUCCCUAAAGUACUCAAACUUGAUAGUUUAAAAUGUUUAAUGUUUACAAAAAUAUUCUUACUUCAUGUUUAGGUUCUAUAUAUUUGGAAAAUUUAUUAUGUUAAUUCUUUUAUUCUAUUCAUGAUCAUUUUCAUGUCAAUUCAAACAAAAAAAAAGAUAGUGGUAAAGAUUAGCAAAAUGUUGCCCAUACCUUGAACAUAGGUACAAGCUAUUAAUGGUUGGUGGACGGAAAAAGUCUCUCCCCACUCUUCUACUAUCCUUAGUUAGCAUAAAGGGUUCAUAUUAUGUUUUUAUUAUUUAGCUUUUAAAUUUCUACUUCUUAUCCUACUUUUUGUCUCUUUAUGGUUUAUCACUUGACAAUCAAUUUUUAAAAACAUGUUCUUAGCAUCCAUAUAUAUAACCUUCGUUGUUCAAGUUUAUAAUUGUUCAAGUUUAUAAUCCCUAUCUCAUUUUUUUUUUCUUUUCAUUUCUUUAUUGUUUAUAAUUUUUGAAUUGAUUUGUUAAAAAUUUUUAAACUUUAUUUGCAAUACUGAUUUUUUUAUUCUCAUGUGCAAUAGAAUAAUAAGUUGAAUAAGAAGCAUAUACUACUUAAUUGGUAUAACCGUUUAGUCAAUUCUCUUGUCAAAUCUUUUUUGUUUUCAUCAUUUUUCUUCAAGGUAAUCAAAGUAUAAUUCUUUCUAUUUCUAAAGGUCUUGAACCCAUCUUUGAAAACUUAAAGACAAGUUAAAGUACUGGAAAACCAUUCCCAAAGCAAGUAAUAACUAUAGUUGGGUUCUAAUAUCAUAUCCUCGAUUGACAUCUAUGUCAUUGCAUUUGCAUCUAAACGAUUUAUGAUGAAAAAAAAACUAUCUUCUUCAUUUCCAUUUUCCUCCCUUCUUUUGACCAUAAUUUAUGUGCAUAUUGAAAGCAUUCAUAGCCCAAUAUAUUUGCUAGCAUAUAUAUGCAUGUCAUAAUCUAUUAAUUUUUUUGGCAUAAGAUCUUAGAGUAUUCACAUAUAUCUAGGUUCUAUAUAUUUAUAAUUUUUCCAACAUCAAAUGAAGUAUAUGAACCUUAUCCUAAAGGUGAAGUCUCUUUAAAAGGAGCUUCAACAUGUUAGUGGUUACCAAACUUUAUAAUCUAAUAACUUGACACUAUAUAUCACUCUGCAACUCUUUCAUAAAGUAAUUGUACUACCUCUAUUUACAUUUUCUAUCUUUAUUUAUAUAUAAAAUAAAAUAAAAAAUUGAUUUGGUAAGUGUGUGUUAAAUCAUGCUUACAAUCAUUAAUUAAUAGGUACUUAUAUGCUAAAUUGAUAAAGUUAUUUUACAAUUGUUUCAACAUGUUCGAAAAAAAAAAAGAUUAUUAAGUAUAUUUUUCUAGAUGUAAUCACUACCAAGCCAAUGUGAAAAGCUAUAGCAAUGAAGAUAUAAGCUUCAGUUAUGUUUUGGAGAUUCAUAUUGAAAGUUGUAGAUUGUGGAUGUAUAGUAUAGGAGUUAGCUUGAGUUUAUCAUUCUAUCUUUGAUAUCUUAGUUAUCAUCUAUUCUUUACAACCAAUUUUUUAAGGACUUCUAUGAUUUGUUUAUAAUUUAUAUAUUUGUUAUUUGUACUAGAACAUCCUGAAGCUACUAAAGCACCAUUACAGUGUACCCACCACAAGUCUAAUGGAGCAUGCUUCUCAACCUUCACAAUUACUUGUAAGUUGCUGAUAAGAUAAUUUUCUCUAUAAUUAGGAAAUCUUUGUUGCACUUAAAUCUUUUUACUGAGUCAAGCAUUAAAAGGUUGUGUUUGGUUAAAAAAGAAAAAGAAAAACUGAAUAAAGGAUUUAGAGUAAUAAGAGUUUGCCACAUAAAGUUUAUGAAGGUGAAGGCUAAUAAUAGGAGGGAAGUUAAAACUUCACAACCUAUUUGAAAUUAUAAAACAUGAUUAGCUAACAAUUCGUUAAAGGUUGUAUUCAUCUUGAGCUUCUCCAAUUACACUAUAAAAUGGCUCGAGAAGAAUGAGGUUUCUCCAUUGUUAAUUGCUUACGAGUUUUACCAAACAAAGCAGAAGAGAGGGACAAGGCAAAGAUGGGCCUAAAAAUGAAUAUCACAGCAACCUCUCUUCUGCUAUUGCUAGCAUCUUCUACAGAAGUGUUCGGUGAUACCAUUUUUUACGUUACCAAAUAUGAGGCCAAGGCUGAUGGAAACACUGAUAUUACCCAGGUGAGGGCAAUGCAAUUAUAAUAUUUGUAAGAUGUUAAAAUUGAAUUUUUGCUUAAUGGGUUCUCUGUGGAAUGUUUUCUUAGGCCUUACUUAAUGCUUGGCGAGAUGCUUGUGCGUCGCCUGUGGUGAGUACAGUUAUGAUUCCAGAUGGGACAUAUGCCCUAGGGCAAAUAACCAUUGGAGGCCCUUACAAGGCUCCUAUCAAUUUCAAUGUCCAAGGCACUGUGAAGUCCUCGAUGGAUACCAGCAGGUUCAAGGCUGAAGCUGGUUGGAUUGCUUUCCAACAAAUCGACCAGUUCAUAUUGUCUUAUGGUGGAGUUUUUUAUGGCCAAGCAAAACCUGUAUAGGGUAGAAAAUGCCCCAUUUCUGCAUAUUGCAACCAACUUCCCAUCGUAAGUUCAUGUGUAUAUAUAUAUAUAUAUAUAUAUAUAUAUAUAUAUAUAUAUAUGCUUACGUAAUUCUUUCAUUUUGUGUUCGUAAUGAGGACACUAGCUAACAGUAUAAGCUUUGGUGUCUUUUUUUUUUUUUUUUUGUUAAUUCAAAUAUCUAUAACAGAAUCUGAGAUUCAACUUCAUCACCAAUAGCAUGGUCAAGGACAUAACUUCAAGAGAUAGCAAACAGUUUCAAAUGAAUCUUUUGGGGUGCAAGAAUUUGACUUUCUACAACGUUGGAAUUAGUGCACCAGAAGUGAGCAUUAAUACAGAUGGAAUUCACAUUGGACGGUCCUCAGGGUUCAAUAUAACCAAUUCAACUGUAGAGACCGGAGAUGAUUGUGUCUCAAUUGGUGAUGGCAGUGAGCAAAUUAAUAUCCAAAGCGUAACCUGCGGACCCGGCUAUGGCAUCAGUGUGGGAAGUCUAGGAAAGUGCCCCAAUGAAGAACCUGUGGUUGGCAUUAGUGUCAAGAACUGUACCUUCACCCCCAGAAUGGCAUGAGAGUGAAGACAUGGCCUACGUCCCAUCAAGGCACUGCUUCUAAAAUGCAUUUUGAAGAUAUUGUCUGAAUGAUGUUGCCAAUCCCAAAAUCAAAGAUCAAGAGUACUGCCCCCAUAACCAAUGCAACUUGAAGGUACAUUUAAAGGAAACGAAAAAUUCCAUUUUUAUUGUUUACUUUCCCUCUUUUUCCCUUCAUUUUCAUUGGUCUGGAACUUAACUUUCCGUUGUUUUCAGAGUCCAUCACGCAUUAAGCUCAGUAAGCUUCAGAAACAUCCGGGGCACUACCUCAACUCAGGUUGUUGUCAAGCUUGUUUGUGAUCAGGGAGUCCCAUGCCAAGACGUGGAGCUUGGUGACAUCAACUUGAAAUACAACGAAAAUGAAGGCCCAGCCAUGUCAUAAUGCAAGAACAUUAAACCAAAUCUACUGGGCAAGCAACUGCCAAGGACUUGUGCCUAAGAUGCUUAAUCUUCUUUCGAAGUCUGAAAAAUUGUACUGCUUCUAUUAUAUAGCUACCUCUUCAUGCUUACGCGUCUGCUAGUUUAUUGGUGAAUAAACUACAAUGAACACACAAAAAUACAACACUCGUCUAUUUUGGAAGGUAUGUGCAGUUUGAUCCCAUGAGAAAAAACAAAUGUCUAUUCAGUCGUUUUUUACAUAAGCAUCCAAGUUUAGAUGAGGAUUGAGCUGCCGUAGUACAAAUUGUAGCUCCAAAGAAUAAUCUUAAUGUUAAUGCAGUUUGGAUUACCAAAUGUAGUCAAGUGAAUUAAAAUUCCUUUAGGGUGUAUUAUUUGAAAUUUAAUCUUUGGAUUACUAGAACCAAGAAAAAACUAUAGAUUGGUAUUUGGUGUGUUGGAAAUGCUUGAUGGUCAGUGAUCGAACUAAUGACUUCGAGAAAAGCUAAGAAUGAUAAACACAAUAGUAAUAAAUGGCAAGAACCGACAAAAAUAUUGAAGUUGUAAUUCUCUCAAGGUGUGUAGUUUGGGAUUUGAAUUAUAUGUAAAGAAGAAAUGCUCUUGGAAACUGCAGCACGAUGAAUCUUGAAUGGUUUUCCAUCAUAUGGCUUUGUUGUUUGGAGAUGACUAAGUAAUAUUAGUUUUACCAAUCCUCCGGCCUUAAGCUAGCAUGUGAAAGUUGUAGCAUUAGCGGAGAGUUGAUAACAGUUUCUCGGUAGUUGGAAGCUUGAACCCUGACAUAUUAGUGCAAGGACAUGAAGAUAUUAAAUCAUUCAUACAAUUUAUUGUCUGAGAGGAUAGAAAAAAUAUAUAAAACCACUUAAGAUCUUAAAAACAUCCUAUAUUUCUCCAUUUUUUGUAUUUACACUCUGAUCCAUGGACUUUCACCCCACAAAAUGUCUCACAUUCUUUUUCAAAUUUCUACCUACAUUUAAACUUCUCAUGUCUAUUUUCAUCUCAUAACUUUUUUCUCCUCAUGACCUAAUUAAAAUAUAUAUAGAGAUAAUCCUACCAACUUUUAUUUUAUACGCAAACCUAUUUAUAUAAGGAAUUAAUUGUAAAAUAUCCUAUAUAAGCUACCUUAGCAUAGUUGAAUUAGGUUAUAAAUUUUAUUUUGAUACAAUAAAUAACAAAAAUCCAUUUAUAAAAAUAUAUAAAAAUCCAAUAAUUGUAUAGGAGAAACCACACUUAUUUUAAAUAAAUAAUAAAGUACAUGCUCCAAGUAUUAAAAGGUUAUCUUUGGUGUGUAUGAUUUGGAGAGUCCCAGAUAAUGUGCAAGUAGAUGAGACCUUGAGUGAGAUGUUUUCUCUUUCAAAUCAAUUUCAAAGUUGCGAAAUCCAAAAUUUCAAGCUCUUUUUAGAAGUGUUUUAGAAAAUAGUUCAAAAAAAACACUUCUUGAAAAUAGCUUUUGAAAAUUAUUCUCUAAUAUUUUAUACCACAUAUGUUUGUUUGAGAACCUACAAUAUUCUUAACUUAUUUUGUAUAUUUUUAAAUACAUUUUAAAAAUAAUUUUCAUAUGCAUUGCUUUAUUUUUAGUCGUUCUCCAUAUUUGUAUAAUUAUUUUUAAAACAACCCUAGAAAAAAGUAAAAUGAAAUGAAAAUAACUAAAAGAUGUUCUUUUGAAACAUUGUAUUUUCUAUUUAAAAUCUUUUUUUUUCUAGUUGUUAAACAUACUUUCUUGUUUUUUUUUUUUUUAUAUAUUCUAGAUAAUUAAAAACUAUUUUCAAAGCAAGACCUGAAUUUUUACUAUGAAAAAUCGAAACGGUGCUCAAACUUAGACUUCAAAUUGAUUUUAACCAAAAUAUGUUUUUUCUCUUUUUUUUCCUAUCAAAUCAAAACUCCAAUUUCUAUCGUUGGACUAAGAACUUUAAAUCAUUUUCUAUUGGCAAUAGAGUCUUUGAUUUAAGGACACAAAAUACACAUGAAAAAUCUCAUAGCUAUGUCUGUGCGUGUACAUAACUCUGUGUGUGUGUGUGAUAUAUAUAAAAAAUGAUGGAUGAGGAAAUUGUGGAUAUGGCCAAAUCUGAAUCACUUGUAUUUAACAAUAGCAUGUGAUUUACAUGGAAACCUGUUGGUGGAAAGAGCCUAUAAAUAAAGGCCUUCUCUCCUCAUUCUAUUUAUCCUAGAAUUGAAAGAAAAAGAGUGGUCUAACUUUGAGUGAAAAAGUGAGGUUCUCUUGAGAAUUAAAGAAUUAUUAUUCUCUCGGGUGUAAUAGGGAUUUGGAUUGUGAGAAGUGAGUGCUUAUAAACACUUGUAGGGAGAAAAAUAACUACGUAAAUUUCGUGUUUUGUUUUGUCUACUCUAUUUUAUUAUCAUUUCCAUGUUUUUUUUUUAUUAACGACAUGUCCUAUGGUGUUCUAGGAGCUUAGUGGUACUAUAAGGAGGUUUUGUCUAAGGAGGUUGGAAUUUAAGAGGAACAAUUGUGACCCCUCCAAUUUUUCUUAGGAACUUUUAUUUAUGUCUAAGGAGACUAGGUCUUAAAUGGGAUCAUUGUGAUCCUUCCAAUCUUUCUUGGGAACUUUCUUACUAGUUUAAAGCUCUAGGUAGAAGUUUUUCUAUAAUUUUUAAUAGGUAUAAAGGUACUGUAAAAAGUACACUUUUUGUUGAAUUCCUAAGGAACCAGAUUUGAGUGGGAGUGAUGGCAACAGAUGAAGAAAGAACAUCAUAAUUGAGAAGUUCGAUGGUGAACAUUUUACCUUCUGGAAAAUGCAAAUUAAAGAUUAUCUAUAUAUGAAAGACAUGCAUUUCCCUUUUUUUUUUUUUAUGAGAAAAGCCAACCGAUAUGAAAGAUAAAGAGUGGGCUUUACUCGACAAACAGGCACUUGGAGUUAUCCAAUUAACGUUAUCUUGGAAUGUCGCUUUCAACAUAAUGAAGAAGAAGACCAUGACGGGUCUUAUGGCAGUUCUCUCUGACACGUAUAAGAAGUCAUAUACUUCAAAUAAAGUGCACUUUAUGAGGUUGUUAUUCAAUUUGUGAAUGACAUAAGGUGCAUCUGUAGUAGCUCAUAUCAAUGAAUUUAGUACAAUCACAACACAACUAAGUUUAGUGGAAAUCAAGUUCAAUGAUGAAGUUUGAGCUUUGAUCCUCCUAUCCUCUAUCUAAAAGUUGAAUCGCAAUGGUAACAAUAGUGAUCAAUUCUUUUGCGAGGAAGAAGAUGGUAUUUAAGGAUGUUCAAGGUCUAAUUCUAAGCGAAAAAAAUACACCAAAGAGAACUAGGGGAAACAUUAAGUUCCACCUUAAACAUCAAAUCUAGAGGUAGACACAAUGAUAGAAACUUAAAUCGGAGCAAAUUAAAUUCAAGAUGAAGCAAGUAUAGAUCUAAGAAGAAAGAGAAUAGCUGCUAGAACUGUGGUAAAAUGGUCACUUGAAGAGAGAUUGCAGAGCACCAAAAAAGAACAAUGGCAGUGCAAAGGAAUCCGUGAACGUGGCCGAAGAUACUGGCGAUGCUCUAAUCCUAAGUGUCAAUAGUCUAGUUGAAUCUUGGAUUUUGGAUUAUAGGGCAUCAUAUCACUACACCUCACAUUACGAAAUCAUGGAGAACUACAUCAAUGGUGAUUUUGGGAAGGUUUAUCUGGUUGAUGAUGGGACCAUGAAGAUUAUGAGGAAAGACGAUAUUCAAGUGAAGCGACCAAAUGGGACUGUCUGGAAGUUGAAAGACAUGAGAUUAAUUCCUAGUCUAAAAAGAAAUUUAAUCUCAGUGGAUCGACCUGAUCAAGAAGGUCAUCAUACAACCUUCUUAGGGAGUGAAUGGAAGAUCACCAAGGAAACUAUAGUCAUAACUUAUGAAAAGAAGAAUGGUACUCUCUAUGUUACUUCUAGCAUGGAGAAUAUUGUUGCAAUUGUAGAAUCAUAUGAGAAAUAGAAAAUCUAGCAGUAGAGACUCAAUCAUAUGAGCGAGACAAGGAUGAAGGUUCUUGUUUCAAAGAGGAAGCUGCCAAAUCUAAAAUCAGUAGACAUCGGUCUAUGCAAGGAUUGUAUUUUCGGCAAACAGAAAAUGGUCAAUUUCUCAAAGAUAGGCAAGCCACCCAAAGUAGAGAAGUUAGACCUAGUUCACACAGAUGUGUGGGGGUCAUCACCAAUUUCAUCUAUUGGAGGCUCAUAUUACUACGUCACCUUCAUUGAUGACUUUACUUGGAAAGUAUGGGUUUAUUUUCUGAAAAAGAAAUCAAAAGUUUGUGAUGUUUUCAAGAAAUGGAAAGCCAUGGUAAGAGCAAGACGGGCUUGAAAGUGAAGCAUUUGAAGUUCAACAAUGGAGGAAGGUACGAAGACGAGAAUCUUAAUGAGUUUUGUGUAGCCAAUGGAAUUAAAUUGGAAAAAACUAUUCCAAAGACACCUUAGCAUAAUGGUAUAGUACAACGCAUGAACAAAACUCUCAAUGAACAUGUUAAAAGCAUGAGAAUACAUGCAGGCUUACCUAAGAUGUUUUGGGCUAAAGUUGUUAGCAUAGCGACCUACCUUAUCAACCAUGAGCCUUUAGUGCCUUUUGGAGAAAAGUUACCUAAGGAAGUAUAGAGCGAUAAAGAGGUGAAAUUUUCACUUUAGAGAUUAUUUGGUUGUAUUUCUUUUGUGCAUAUUGACUUAUCUAAAAGGAGCAAGCUCGACACAAAGUCUAAGAAAUGUGCUUUUAUUCGAUAUGGCAUUAAUGAAUUUGGCUACUGAUUUUGGGAUUUUGAAAAUAAAAAAAUCAUCAGAAGCAGGGAUAUCAUCUUCAAUGAGAAAGCAAUGUACAAGGACAAGUCAUUUGUAGAAUCUAUCAACACAAAAGUCAAAACUGAAAAAAAAAAAAAGAGUACAUUAAGUUUGAGGAAAAAUCUAAGAAGGAAAUACAAUCAGGGGAUCAAAAGAAUCCUAUAAAUGAAGUAUCUCAAGAAAAACCACACACUCCUGUAGCAGAAGUGAGACACUUCUUGAGAACUCCUAAAUUGAUAUAAUGUUAUUCACCUUCUUUGCAUUAUUUAUUGUUGACUAACAAUAUAGAACUAGAGUGUUAUGAUGAAGUAAUUUAGGUUAAGGAUUCGGUCAAGUGGGAUUAUGCCAUAAAAUAUGAGAUGGACUCCCUGAUGUCAAAUAAGACAUAGGAUUUGAUUGAACUACCAAAAGGAAAGAAAGCUUUACGUAACAAAUGAGUUUUCAAGAUCAAAGAAGAGCAUGAUGGAAGCAAGCGUUACAAAACUAGGAUGGUAGUUAAAGGAUUUCAAUAGAAAGCAAGAAUCGAUUAUGCUGAGAUUUUCUCUCCAAUAAUGAAGUUGAUGACAAUCAGAUUGGUGCUAAAGAUGGUAGCUGUAGAAAAUUUGCAUAUUGAGCAGUUAGAUGUGAAGACAAUGUUCCUUCAUGGUGAUUUAGAGGAAGAGAUUUAUAUAAUGCAACCAAAAGGCUUCAUGAUCGUAAGCAAAAAAAGCUUUAAGUGCAAGCUGAAGAAGAUUCUAUACGGUCUGAAACAGGCUCCAAGAUAGUGGUACAAAAAGUUCAAUAGCUUCAUGAGUAGCAACGGUUUUACAAGAUGUCAAGUAGAUCAUUGUUGUCAUAUAAAAAAGUUUGACGACAACUUUAUUAUUUUACUUUUGUAUGUAGAUGAUAUGCUCAUUGCAGGUUCUGAUAUGCAAGAGAUAAAUAACUUAAAAAGAAAAUUAUUGAGGCGGUUUGCAAUGAAAGAUGUAGGUGCUACAAACUAGAUUCUUGGAAUUAAUGAGGAUUAGCAGGGACAAAGUAGCAAAGACUUUGAUGUUGUAACAAGUAGAGUACAUCAACAAAGUACUCUCUAGGUUCAACAUGUAGAAUGCUAAAUCAGUGAGCCUGUCUUUAGGUGCCUAUUUCAAAAUUUCCAAAGAGCAAUCACCAAAAAUAGAGGAAGAACGUGAUCACAUCAAAAAAGUUCCUUAUGCUUCAACCAUUGGAAGUUUGAUAUAUGUUAUGGUUUGUAUGAGACUAGAUAUUGUGCAAGUAGUAGGAGUGGUGAGCAGGUACAUGAACAAUUAUGGUAAGAUGCACUAGGAAGCGGUUAAAUGGAUCCUUAGAUAUUUUCAAAAUACCUAAAAAAUGUCACUCUAUUUAAGAAGUGGGGAUAUGAAAUUGGAAGGCUUUGUUGAUAGUGACCUAGGUGCCGGAGAUGUCGAAAACAGAAAGAGCACUAAAAGAUAUGUGUAUACUCUUAAAUGAACUAUAAUGAGUUGGGUUUCUCAAGAAAGUUGCAACUCUCUCCACUACCGAAGCAGAAUAUAUUGUUACUACGAAAGCCAAUAAGGAGAUGAUUUUCUCUUCAAGGUUUCUUGGAAGAGCUAGGAGAAAAAUAGGAGAACAAUGUCUUUUAUUCAAAUAAUCAGAGUGUGUUUCACUUGUGAAGAACCAUCCUUCCAUGCCAGAAUGAAGCAUAUUCAAACAAAGUAUCAUUUCAUUUGAUCUCUUUUGGAGGAAAAAGUUCUUAGACUUGAGAAGAUUGAUGGAAAUGAAAUCCCAGAUAUAUGCUAACAAAGACGGUGACAAUUCACAAACUAAAGUUAUGUUCGAUUUCAAUUGGCCUACAAACAUAGAAGAAGAAAGAUGAGUUGUUGCAUUGAUCUUGUGUGAAGACAUAAAGUAAGUACUCUUCAAGUGAGAGAACCACGUAAAGUUUGAGUGAACCAUGUAAAUUUUCAUAUGUUAUUUUUUCUACUCUAUUUUGUUAUUAUUUCCACAUUUUUUUAUUCGCUUCAUUAAUUUGGUCUUUUGGAAGGUUUAUUUCCUAACAUUUUUCAACUCAAUUUCUUAUCUAAAAUUGAAAUGGGAAUUGGUUUCAUCCUCAAUUCAAAUAGAUUUUUGGAACACUUCACCAUUCCCCUUCCACACUUUCCACCAUCCAAACAAUAAAUAUAAUUACUUAACUCAAUUACAUAUUUUUGCUUAUUUUCAUUUACAUUCAAAACUUGUUAGAAAGGAACCUUGAGUUUAGGAAGUUCCCAAUUAUUAGGAUUUGAUUUUGUUUUAUAAAAGUAAAUUAGAAUAUUUACAAAUUUGAGUGGUUGAUUUAAUUAUAUGUUUAUACAUAAGUCCUGCAAGUUAUUUUUUAUACUUUUUGUUAUUAAGAGUCUAUUUGUUAGAUAAAGGUGUCCAUAAAAAAAAAAAAAAAAAAAAAAGGAGUUAGUAUGAUAGUUGAACAAGAAUGGUGGAAAGUAAUGUCAUUUUCUUGAUUUUUCUCCAUUACUUAUUUCUCUCUAUGGAUUUGUUUAUGUGUUCUCAACUUUAUUCCUUGAACAAAUUAGGUCGUGAGAAAAAAAUGACAAGUAGGAUAUAUUUGUUAUAAGUCUUUUAGCUCAAUAAAAAUAAUUACAAUAAUUGGAGUAUGAAGAUAAAGACUUUACUUGAUUCACAAGAUGUAUGAAAGGUUGUAGAUGAAGGCUAUAAACAAAGAGCCUUGACAUAAAACCACUAUUCUAAAAUCAAAGUAAUUUUUUGAAAGGUAUAUGGAAAACAAAAAAAAAAAAAAAUGCCAAAAGGGAGGGAAGAAGAAAGCUCUUACCCUUAUCUAUCAAGCAAUAGAUAAAGGCAUGUUUGGAAAUUUUCCAAAUGCAACCAUGCACUACCAAGAAAGCAUGGACGAUAUUAGAAAAUGCACAUAAAGAAAUUGAUUAAUUAAGAAAAGUAUGUCUUUGUACCCUUAGAGGAGAAUUUAAAAGUUUGACCAUAAAAGAAGUAGAAUCAAUCUCCCAUUAAUUUUUCAAGAGUUAUAGUGAUCAGCCAUGAAUCAACUAAAAUGAAACAAUUAAAAUUUUAAAUCAUACUUGUGUGACUGAACAAAUAAUUCAGUCUAUUAGAUUCAAAGUUUGGUUGUUGUGCUCAUUAGAUAGUAAAAUGAUUUUCAUUGUAGCAUGAAGACAGAUUAAAAAAGAACCAAGAAAAAGUUCUUCAAACAAAACUUAAAUGACAAGAAACUGAAGAAAAUCUUAAUAAUAAAAGAAGUCAAAACGAUCGUGGAGUGGUUAUGACCAAGUAAACAUAGAAAGAUGUGGUUUUAUUUCAUCAAAUAAUCAAGAACACUAAUGUCAAAACCCAUAUUUUUUAAGAAGAUGUGAAAGAGAGCACAACUAAAGACAAAAUGAAAGGAGAAGUUAUGAGAAAUCUCAAGUUCAACCUUAUAACUAUAAAAAAUUUGGUCAUUAUGUGUAUGAAAUAAAAAGUACUACUAGCAAUAUGGAAAGAAAAGCCAAUCAUGUUAAAACAAAUAGGUAAAGAAAAACCUAGCCACUUUAUUUUUGGCAUAUAAAACACAAAGUAAUAAGGAGAAAAAUACAUGGUAUUCACUCGAUGGUGAAAACAGCCAUAUAUGUAGCUUCAAAAGUAUUUUCUUUGAAAUUGAUCAAUAUUCAAACACUAAUAAUGUUACUUUUGAAUCUAUUCAAAAUUCUCAAAAAAGGCAAAGGUAAAAUCUUAAUUUGUUCAAAAAAUGGAAGAUAUUAAUUUAUUUCAAAUAUCUAUUAUGUGCAGAUUAUGAAAAACAAUUAAUUAAGUUUGGAUUAACUUUUAAAAAAGAUAUAAUAUUCAUAAGAAAAAUCAAGUUCUCUCAAUAAGAUAUCAAUAUGUUGACUUCCUUGCAAAUGUAGUCAUGACAAGAAAUAUAAUGUUUCUGUAAUUAAAAUUGCUAAAAUUUUGUGUCAAUGUUCCCAUCUAGAUUUUCCACUUAAGAUAUCAACAUCUUAAUUUAGGAGGAUUGAAAUUGUUGAUCAAGAAAAAAAUGGUAUAAGGAUUGCCCUCUACAAAUCAUUUGGAUCAAUUAUAUAUGUGAAGGAUGCUUACUUGGAAAAUAUUCCUAUGAAAGUUUUCCAAAAGUUGGAAUUCAAGGUUUGGUAACUCCUUGAGGUUGUAAUGAUUUGCAGAUCCAGAGUUAUAGAAGAAAUUAAGAAAAUUUGGGAGAAAAAUGCAAAAUGUAUGAAGAAUAAAUUAUAUCUUCUCUCUCUCUAAUACAAUUGGAACUUAUCACAUUAUAUGGUACAAUGCAGGUUUUAAAUGGCAUGUAUGCCUAGACAUUGUUUUUACUUGGAACCAUUAAAAUAUAGUAUUACUAAUAGCAUUGUAAUAAAAUGGCAGAAGAUAGAUAUCAAUACAAGUCUAAUUAAGAAAGUUUCUCAAAGGCCACCUUCACAAUUACUUGUAAGCAGCUAAUAAGAUUUCCUCUAUAAUUAGGAAAAAUCUUCAUAUCAACUAUUCUUUGCACUUUAAUCUUUUUACUUAGUCAUUGAGAGGUUGUGAUCAGCCUUAAAAAAACUCGUCAAAAAAGGAUUUAGAGCAUAAAAUUUGAGACAGUUAAGGCCACUAAUAAGAGGGAAGUUGACCCAAACAUCACAACCUAUUUGAAACUAUAAAACUUAAUUAGAUAGUAAUUGUUUAAAUGUUUUAUUGGUGUUGAGAUUCUCCAAUUACACUAUAAAAUGGUUUGAGAAGAAUGAGGUUUCACUAUUGUUAAUUGCUUACAAGUUUUACCAAACAAAGGAGAAGAGAGAGACAAGGAAAAGAUGGACCUAAAAUUGAAUAUCACAGCAACCUCUCUUCUGCUAUUGCUAGCAUCUGCUGCAAAAGUGUCUGGUGAUAUCAUUUUUGAUGUUACCUGUUGGAAAUCAAGCCAGCAUCCUCUGUUUACUUCCCUAAUUAGUGUAAUGUACAACCUUUAUUAUAAUUGAUUUAGGAGUAAUUCUAGCAAGGUAGUUUAUUCACUUUCCAUGUAAGAGUAGUUUAUUCACUUCCCAUGUAAGAGUAGUUUAUUCACUUCCCAUGUAAGAGUUUAUUCACUUUCCAUGUAAGGGAAAUUCCAUUCCGGAAUUGUCUCAUAUCCGUAGGCUAUUUAUUUAUGCUUUCAUUCAUUGUAAAGUGAGGUAUCACAGAAUGAAUUGAGGUGUUCCUCCAUAUUUUGUCUUCAAAUUCUUCAUAUUUUUCUUCAAAUUCUUCAUGGUAUCAGAGCAGGUUUAAUCCUGUCUCAUCGUCUUCAUCUUUAAUGGAGAUGCUUCAGAAACUACUGUCUCCUCUUUUGUCAGUACAGUCACAAACUGGCUCAUCUUCCAACCAGGUCAUUGGUUCCGGAACCUUGGCUCACAAAGGUAAUUUUUUGAGUGCCUUCACUGCUGGUAAGAAACGUAAAAAACCUUGGAUAGUGGACUCAGGAGCAUCUGAUCAUAUGACGGGAGAUGCGACAAUUUUUGAUACAUAUAGCUCAUGUCCAAAUAAUUUAACAGUCCGAAUAGCAGAUGGUUCACUAUCAAAGGUUGUCGGAACAGGUUCAGUUGUGCUAUCAAGGGAUCUUACUCUCAACUCUGUUCUCCUUGUUCCUAACUUGGACUGUAAUCUAUUGUCAAUUAGUAAACUCACUAAGGAAAAGAGGUGUAUUACUAAUUUUUCCUCCACUCACUGUGAAUUUCAGGAUUUGGAUUCAGGGAAGACGAUUGGCAAUGCUGAGGAAUGCUCUGGACUCUACAUCCUUAAGGAGCGCCACGAUCCACAAGAACAACCUCAAAUGACAGUUGGUAGUAAUUCUUUUUCGGUUUCAUGUCAAAAUAACGAUAGUGCAAUUAGGUUGUGGCACUAUCGCUUAGGUCAUCCAAAUGUUAUGUAUCUCAAGCAUUUAUUUCCUUCAUUAUUUAAUAAAAAUCCAAAAUCCUUUGAGUGUGAAAUCUGUCAAUUAUCAAAGCAAGUCCGGUCUCAUUUUCCCAUUCAACCCUAUAAAGAGUCUAGUCCAUUCUCAAUGAUUCAUAGCGAUAUCUAGGGUCCGUCAAGAAUAAAAAAUGUAACUGGUACUAGGUGGUUUGUCUCAUUCAUAGAUGAUCACACUAGAUUAACUUGGGUAUUCCUCAUGAAAGAAAAAUCUGAAACGAGUCAAAUUUUCAAAAAUUUUAAAAAUAUGAUUCAGACCCAAUUCCAGUCAAAAAUACAAAUUCUAAAGUCUGAUAAUGCUAGGGAUUAUUUCAACUCCAUUCUAGGAGAAUUUCUAGCACAAGAAGGGAUAGUUCACUUAAGUUCAUGUGUUGAUACCCACAACAAAACGGAAUCGCUGAAAGGAAAAAUAGGCAUUUGUUAGAGGUGGCUAGAUCACUAAUGUUCUCCAUGAAUGUUCCAAAAUUAUUCUGGGGGCAAGCUGUCCUUACGGCAGCCUACCUCAUCAAUAGGAUGCCGUCUAGGGUACUAAAAUUCCAAACACCUUGUCAAACACUCCUAAAAUCCUUUCCGACUACUCGUCUCAUCUCCACCGUCCCACCCAAAAUUUUCGGGUGCUCUGUCUUUGUUCAUAUCAAUCAACAACAUAGAAGUAAACUUGAUCCUAGGUCACUCAAGUGCAUCUUUCUUGGAUAUUCUUCAAAUCAAAAAGGGUAUAAGUGUUACUCUCCGGUCACAAGAAAAUUCUACAAUUCAAUGGAUGUCACCUUUUUUGAAACCCAGCCUUACUAUCCCAAAAACGAUAUUCAGGGGGAGAAUUCAACCCAGGAAUAUCAAUUUUGGGAUCUUGAGUCAUUCAGUGAGUCACCCAUCACCACUGAAAAUCACAUUCCUCCAGAGUCAUUUAAUCAACCCGAGUCCAUUGUUGACUUGUGGGAUAAGGAGCACAUCCAAGAGGAAACGGAGGAAAGAGCACUUUCUCAACAAACCCAUGAGGCAGAACCGGGUCCUAAUCCAAGCAAACUUCCAGGUAACAACGCUCCUGAUGGUACUGUUGAUUCCGAGUUAGAAAAUGAUAUUCUUAAUAUGCCCAUAGCUUGGAGGAAAGGAGUUAGAUCAUGCACUCAGCAUCCCAUUGGAAAUUUUAUUUCUUAUGAUAAGUUAUCACCUACGUUUCGUGCAUUCACUUCUAGCAUCACAGAGAUACAAGUUCCUCAGAAUAUUCAGGAAGCUUUCAAGUAUCCUAAGUGGAAGGCGGCAGUCGAUGAGGAAGUUUGGGCGCUAGAAAAGAAUGGUACGUGGGAAAUUACUGACCUCCCAAGAGGUAAGAAACCAGUUGGGUGUAAGUGGAUUUUCACAGUAAAGUACAAGGCAGAUGGUAAUGUGGACAGGUAUAAGGCUCGGUUGGUUGCCAAAGGAUUCACCCAAUCUUAUGGCAUUGACUAUCAAGAAACUUUUGCUCCAGUUGCCAAGCUCAAUACUGUUCGUGUACUUUUAUCCUUGGCAGCUAAUCUCGAUUGGUCUCUUCACCAACUUGAUGUGAAGAAUGCCUUCCUCAAUGGUGACUUAGAGGAAGAAGUUUACAUGGACAUUCCUGCUGGACUUGAGACGACAUCAAAUUUCAACAAGGUUUGCAGACUCCGAAAAUCCUUGUAUGGUCUCAAACAAUCUCCCAGGGCCUGGUUUGAACGGUUCACUAAGGUAGUGAAAGGGUACGGAUUCGUUCAAUGUCAAUCCGAUCACACAUUAUUUGUGAAACACUUCCCAAAAGGGAAACUGGCAAUUAUCAUUGUAUAUGUGGACGACAUAAUUUUGACAGGUGAUCAUGAAGAGAAAAUUGACUUACUUAAAAAAUUACUGACAAAGGAAUUUGAGAUCAAGGAUCUUGGAAACCUCAAGUACUUUCUCGGAAUGGAGAUUGCUAGGUCAAAGAAAGGUAUAGCAGUCUCACAACGCAAAUACGUUCUGGACUUAUUGAAUGAAACAGGAAUGCUAGGAUGCAAGCCGGCAGAAACACCUAUGGAUACAACUGUCAAACUGGAAGAAAGUGAUGGAAGUGCGCCAGUUGAUAAAGGAAGAUAUCAACGUCUUGUGGGGAAACUCAUCUAUCUUUCUCAUACAAGGCCAGACAUCGGCUUCUCCGUUAGUGUGGUAAGUCAAUUCAUGAAUAAUCCAACCGAAAAACACAUGACUGCUGUGAUCAGAAUAUUGAGAUACCUCAAGAUGACACCGGGAAAGGGUCUCUUCUUUCAAAGAACAACAAAUAAAGAGAUUGAGAUUUUUUCAGAUGCAGAUUGGGCAGGUUCAGUGACUGAUCGGAGAUCAACUUCAGGCUAUUGUUCAUUUGUCUGGGGGAACUUGGUUACAUGGCGAAGCAAGAAACAGUCAGUGGUAGCCCGUAGCAGUGCUGAGGCAGAAUUUCGUGCUAUGGCACAAGGUAUCUGCGAAGGAAUCUGGUUGAACAGGCUGUUAGAAGAAUUACGGGUUCCAUUGAAGCAUCCCGUGGUGUUAUACUGCGACAAUCAAGUUGCCAUCAGUAUCGCUAAGAAUCCGGUUCAUCAUGAUCGAACUAAGCACGUGGAGAUAGAUCGACACUUUAUCAAGGAAAAGAUUGAAGAAGGAGUUUUCAAAGUCAGCUACACUCCGACAAACUGUCAAACGGCUGACAUUCUCACAAAAGCUCUUGCUCGAGUUAACUUCGAAGAUCUGACAGAAAAACUUGGAAUGAUCAACAUCUACAACGCGGCUUGAGGGGGAGUGUUGGAAAUCAAGCCAGCAUCCUCUGUUUACUUCCCUAAUUAGUGUAAUGUACAGCCUUUAUUAUAAUUGAUUUAGGAGUAAUUCUAGCAAGGUAGUUUAUUCACUUUCCAUGUAAGAGUAGUUUAUUCACUUCCCAUGUAAGAGUAGUUUAUUCACUUCCCAUGUAAGAGUUUAUUCACUUUCCAUGUAAGGGAAAUUCCAUUCCGGAAUUGUCUCAUAUCCGUAGGCUAUUUAUUUAUGCUUUCAUUCAUUGUAAAGUGAGGUAUCACAGAAUGAAUUGAGGUGUUCCUCCAUAUUUUGUCUUCAAAUUCUUCAUAUUUUUCUUCAAAUUCUUCAUUACCAAAUAUGGUGCCCGGGCUGACGGAAACUCCGAUAUCAGCCAGGCGAGGACAAUUCAAUUAUAAUAUUGUAAGAUAUAUCUUAAACUUAAAUUUCUGCUAAAUGGGUCCUCUAUUGAAUGUUUCUUAGGCCUUACUUAAAGCUUGCGGAAAUGCUUGUGCAUCGCCUAUGGCAAGUACAGUUAUGAUUCCAGAAGGGACAUAUGCACUAGGCCAAAUAACCAUUGGAGGCCCUUGCAAGGCUCCUAUCAAUUUCAUUGUCCAAGGCACUAUGAAGGCCCCGGUGGAUACCAGCAGGUUCAAGGCUGAAGCUGGUUGGAUUGCUUUCCAACAAAUCGACCAAUUCACGUUGUUUGGUGGUGGAGUUUUUUAUGGCCAAGGAAAAACUGUAUGGGGCAGAAAAAGCCCCCGUUCUGCAUAUUGCAACCAACUUCCCAUUGUAAGUUCAUGUAUAUAUAUUCUUGUGUAAUUCUUUCAUUUUGUGUGCAUAAUGAGGACAUGACAGUAUAAGCUUUGGUGUCUCUUUUUUUGACUUGAAAUAUCUAUAACAGAAUCUGAGGUUCAACUUCAUCACCAAUAGCAUGGUCAACGACAUAACUUCAAGAGACAGCAAACAGUUUCAUAUUAAUCUUUUAGGGUGCAAGAAUUUGACUUUCUACAACAUUGCAAUUAGUGCACCAGAAGAGAGCCUUAACACAGAUCGAUGGAAAUCACAUUGGACGUUCCUCAGGGAUCAAUAUCACCGAUUCAACCAUAGAAACCGGAGAUGAUUGUGUCUCAAUUGGUAAUGGCAGUGAGCAAAUUAAUAUCCAAAGUAUAACCUGUGGGCCUGAACAUGGCAUCAGCAUGGGAAGUCUUGGAAAGUACUCCAAUGAAGAACCUGUGGUUGGCAUUAGUGUCAAGAACUGUACCUUCACCAACACCCAGAAUGGCGUGAGAGUGAAGACAUGGCCUGCUUCCCAUCAAGGCACUGCCUUUGAAAUGCAUUUUGAAGAUAUUGCUAUGAAUAAUGUUGGCAAUCCCAUAAUCAUAGAUCAAGAGUACUGCCCCCAUAACCAAUGCAACUUGAAGGUACUUUUAAAGGAAAUGAAAAGUGUCAUUUUUAUUGCUUAUUUUUCCCAUUUUUCCCAUUUUUCCCUUCAUUUUCAUCGGUCUAGAAAUUAAGGGUUCAUUUGGUCAUGUUUUCUAAAACUUAUUUUUAAAAACUGUUUUUAAGUUAAAGAACAAAAAAUAGUUUUUCAAACUAAUGAAAACGAUUUCUACUUGUUCUCUAAAAAUUGUUCUCUAUCUCAUUUUAAAAAAAAAAAAUUAUUUCUAGAAAACAAUAGCUAAACAAUAUUAGGAAUUUUUCAAAACAUUUUUCUAUUUUUAAAAACAAAAAACUGUUUUUAAAUCACAUAGUCAAACAGGCUGUAACUUUCCAUUGUUUCUAGAUUCCAUCACGCAUUAAGCUCAACAAUGUUAGCUUCAGAAACAUCUGAGGCACUACCUCAACUUAGGUUGCUGUCAAGCUUGUUUGCAGCCAGGAAGUACCAUGCCAAGACGUCGAGCUUGGUGACAUCAACUUGAAAUACAAUGGAAGCGAAGGCCCUACCAUGUCACAAUGUAAAAACAUUAAGCCAAAUCUACUCGGCACGCAACUGCCAAGGACUUGUGCCUAAUUAAGCUACUUAAAUCUUCUUUCAAAGUCUGAACAAAUUGUACUGCUUCUACGAUUUUUAUAUAGCUACCUCAUGUGUUUUCUAGUUGAUUGCUGAAAAACCACCUCCACAUAGUAAAAGUAAAACACAAUAAAUAGGGAUUUAUAAAUUAUUAAAGAUUAUUUUUCUCCAAAAGAGGUUACAUUUUAUGUUUUUAAAAAAGGUUAGUCAUUCUUCCGAAUUUGGUUUUCUAUAGGAAUAUUUAAUUAAAAGGGGUAAGUAAAAUAACCCAUAAUUUGUAAAAGUAGCCUUCAUUAUCUCUCAAAUCAAAUAGAAAAAAUAUAUAUAUAAUAAAGAACCUUCUAAAUUCAAAUCCCUUUCUUCUUCUCUCUCUUCACCACCUUUGAAAUCUCUUUCUUUCUUUCUCUUCAUUGCCUUUUUUUAUUUCUGUGUGGUAGCCACAUCCUGCCACAUCCAAUUCACCUUCCAUUGAUGCAAUGACUCCUUUGAUUCGUCACAAUUAGUCAAAGCGCUUGGCUAAUGUACUCCACUUGGAGGCUAUUUAACCACAUCCUUCAUACCAUGGCAUCAUACUAUUUAACCACUUCAUCUUUGCCACAUUUCAAAAUCACUAUAUAUGAGAAAUAACACUUAUUUUGAAUAAUAAUGGACAUACUCCAUAUAUCAAAUUAUCACAAACAAACAAUUGACCUCAUAUUUCUAGACCCCUAAUUUUGUUCUCUAGUAUUACAAUACAUACAUACUCCACAUUUAUCCCCAUGUAUUUGAGUUGAUGAGGAAUAUUGAUCAUAUAUUUCAAGUGUUUUGAAGUUUUAAAAGGUUCUAGAUAAUUUGGAAAAUAAAAAUGAACUCGAGUUUCAAAUUUGAGAAAAUAAAGGCUAAUAUUAAAAGAGAAAAACACCCAAGAGAGGGGUGAAUUGGGUUUUUCAAAAUCUUUUUCAACACAACAAAUUCAAGCACAAUAGAAGAAAAUAUAAAGAGAUAAAGUUAGAGAUAUCAAAGUAAGAUUUUAUAGUGGUUCGGCACUUCCUUGCCUACGUCCACUCUCCUCAAGCUCCUAACUGAGUGGGGGUUCCACUAACUUGAAGCUUCAACCAAGCUUCUAAUCUCUUUUACACUUGAAUUCCGAAUCCAAUGGGCUCUUACACAAUCUCUUCAAGAUUCAACUCACUUGAAGGCUUUAACACUCAAUUUUACAAGAAUGAAUCCCUCAACCUAGCUCAAUGAUAGCUAAAAUACAAAUCAAAGCUAGGAUGAAUCACAAAGGUGCACUAAAGGAUAUGCAAGUGAAGAUUUAAUGCACUAAGAAAGAAAUGAGAGUUUUUAAGGCAAGAACAAGUGAGUAGACAAAUAAAUGCAAGUGUUUUCUAUGUCAUAAAUAAAGUGGAGCUCUCAAUUUAUAGGUUUCUAACCUUGGGAGCCAAGAAAAACAAAAAGCAGCCUCAACCAGUCAAGUUGAGGAUCGAUCGAUUCACUAACAGUUGGAACAUUUAAUGUUUUGGCAGGUUACCGUUGCUUCAACCGGACCUCAACCGGAGGUCGACCAGGAAGGGAAGGCUACUGGAAGAGAGAGAGUGUUUUUGCACUCCUCGACCGGGCAAAGGGAACUAGUCGACCGGUACCUUGGCCGAUUGAGCCGAUUGGCUCAGUGCCUUGAUCGGUUCAACAUUUUGGCCUCAAAAACCUAUUUUUUUCUAUUCUUUUCUCUUCUAACACUUAGGCAAGGUCUUUAGGUUAAUUAAUAUGCCAAUUUUGAAACGUUUUACCUAAGGUACAUUUGAUAAAACUUGGGUUUUAAUGAAACUGUAACUUUAAAGAACAAACCGAGUUUUCCAAAUAUGCAUGAAAUGAUAUGUAAACCCUAAGUGCACCCAUGCAUUCAUCUUACAUUUGUUUCCUAUGAAUAAAGGUCUUCCAAACGUCUUGAUUUUGUAUCCAUUAGGUCAUUUGAUGAAUUUCCAAAUUAAUACUUGAGAUUAUUUACAAAUCAAACCAAUUAGUAACUUAACCAUAGUUUGUUAUCAUCAAAACCUAAUUAGGAAAACACUUGGGCUAACAAAAUUGAUUAUCAAGUAGAUUCUCGAUUAGAAAUCAAAAUCCAAAUAUGUUUUUCUCUUUUACCCUGACAAAUCAAAAUUCCAAUUUAUCUCUUGUACAAAUAUGAAAUUUAUGCUAUUCGAAUCAAAACUCCAAAUCAUUUUCUAAGUCAGAUUCUCUUCUAAAAUUAAAAUGGAAAUCUAUUUCAUCUUUGUGGUUCAAAUUGAUCUUUGGAAUACUUGCACAUUCGAAAGGAAAAUAGUGUCACGAGUUUUGCAGUUGGAGUUCAUGGAUCAGGCAUUUUAGGAGUUCUUGUACCUAAUGAGAACGUUUACCUUGAUUAAUUUAACACUUAUAUUGCAAAGAUCUACAUAGGAGUUCUAUAGAUUUAUUUAAACAUUUAUGGGCAUAUUUAUCCUAUUUGUAGCAUAUUCUAAUGAUAUUUUUAAACAUUAAUAUAAAUUGUUUGCUUGAAGGUUUCAACUAUUGAAAAUUAUUGUUCAAGCCUAAUGUUAAUCUUUUUCUAUGGUGGAUUUCAAAUAAUUAAUAAAUUCUUAUUUGAUUAUUUGUAGGGAAAAUAAAUACCUUCUAUGUUUGAUAGGAAAGAAGAUAGAGUAGAUCACUUUCACAAUACAUGGAUGCUACUCUUUCUAUACUUUUAAAGAUGGUUACAAUUGGCUUUAUGAGGGAUAAUGAUUUUCUAGUUCUUUUAAUACUUACUAGUAAAGGCUCACAUGCCAUGCACAUACAUUGAGUAUAAUUUCUCAAUAGAUGUAGGGAACCUUGCAAUCAUGCUUAAAAUAUAAAAUUAACCAGUAUAUUAAAUGAAAUUUUUGUUUAGGAAAUAUGAUUACACAAGAAAAGGAAAUAAGAUUGUUAAAGUGUUGGAAACCUCUCUGGUUCAAAGCCCUAAGCAUCAAAUGGAUGAUAAUAACAAUUAUCAUAGGAAAAAUAGGAAAGGAAAAGAAUAUAUAAAUAUUUUUUUUUCCUAAACAAGGGAUUUCCCAUUUUAUAAGAAUGACCAAUAUAUAUAUAUAAAAGAAUUGUUUAAAUUACUAUAAAAAAUUUAUGUACUUUACAAUAAUUAUGUAAUCUAUAACUAUGCGUUAAAAUAUAAAAUUAAUAUACUUAUAAUGUAAAAUUAAUGUCCUUAUAUAAAACAUAUCACUCAAACUAGAUUAAAAAAAAUUCAAAACAUAGACAAACCAUUUAAAGAAAAUACAACAUUAACAAACUAAAAUAAUGUUCUAUGGAAUAAUAUUGAAAAAGCAACAUCCCUGAUAAAAUAGGUUAUCUCUAAACAUGAAGAUUAUCAUAUUUCUCAAAUUUGAAGAUGGUCAAGAAAAAUUUUCUGUAGACCCCUUUUGCAGACGACCUGGGAAUUGAAAAUUUUUCAUUUUUUGAAGUGGGGGGACCUCUUUCUGGAGGGGGCGAGCCGCAUGGGACAUGUGGCAAAGAUGGCAUGGUGGUAGCAGGGAGCAGGUGAAGACUCGUGGGAGAAGAAAAACAGAGGGGAGUGUCUUCAUGUUUUUAGGGGGGUGAGCUAGUUUUCGUGGGGGAGGGGGUCCGGAAACAGAGAGAAGAAAGAAGAAAGGAUAGGAGGUUUUUCUGGCGUUUAAGAGGAUUCCGAAAAUUUUUCGGGGCUUGGUUGGAGAAGCAAUCUUGCCUGGAGGAAAAUUUGAGGAGCUUGAGAAGAAACUAGUGAGGGUGGAUAGCUUGGGGAUAGAGGAUUUCCUGGAGGGAGCAGAAAACAGAGCUCAGAGUCAGGCGAGCUUUCCUUUGAAAAGCUGCCCUUCAGGUGAGAUUAGUUUUUGUUGAAUUUGAUAACUUUUCCAGCGCAAUACAUCCCGAUAUUUUAUUUCGAUUCGCUGCAUCGAUUGCCUUGCCGGUGAAUUUUACAUUCGUAGCCCCUUUUGUGCACUCAAUUUCCUAUAUUUUUAUUCCCUCUGAUGCUUUCUUUAUAUGUUUCUUCAACUGUAUGUGUUUUUGCCUGAAGAUUUGAUUGUGCCAGUGAAAUUUGUGGCUCAUCUGUGUCUCUAAAGUGUCGGGUACCUUAAGUGUCUUUCUUACUUCGACCUGUGAAAAUAUAUACUCUGGAGUUUACACAUCUUGUAUGCAUAUACUAUUAUAGUAUCAUAAAAUGAAAAAUUAUGUAUAUCCAAUUUUAAUUGAUCUCAAUUGAUUCUUCGUUACUGCUCAGAGGAGAAGUAAUAGGUAGGGAUGACAGGAUUUGAACCCGUGACAUUUUGUACCCAAAACAAACGCGCUACCAAGCUGCGCUACAUCCCUUUCAAUUGGUCUACAGUGUCAUUGUAGAGAAUACCUGUCUUGUUUUCCACAUCCUAGCAUUGAAUAGACUGGGUAUUCACCUUAUCAAUAUCUCAAAAUGAUGGGUUCUAUUUGGCGCUUAAAUUAAAUGGGCACCCAAAUCGGACCGAAUCAGUUCCGAUACGUAGACCAAAUGAUACAAUGCAAGCAAAAGUUCCUAGAUUCAUGGAGAUAUAGAACAGCAUAUAAGUUAUCAUGCUUGCAUAUCCACCAUUUAAGUCUCCAACAAUUAUUCCAAAUUGAGGCUUUUUUACAGUGAAAACCUCAAAAGGGGGAUUUUGGGGAAUAAGUGUUUGUGUAUUUUUUUUUUUCUUCCUAUGGAGAAGGAAGAGUGAAGAAUUUGUGAAAUGGCAAACCGUUAUUGGUCUGUUUCUAUUGAGCGGCGUUUCAGCUAUGUGGUUCUCAUCCCAUUUAUGCAGCAUUGAGUUUGAAUGCCGAGAAAUAUCUCUUUGAUCGGUGUGGGGAAAAUAGGAAAGGGGUUAGAUGGCCCCUAAUUGGUCAUUGCUCCUCUUUCUACUCUCUCAAACUGGGCAAAUGAAAUAGCAAGGUUUGUGCCUUCAAUAAUUGCAAUCAUCUACCAUGGCAAUAGGAAAGAAAGAGAUCAAAUACGAAUGAAGUAUAUGCCAGGAAAAAUUAGCCCCAAAUUUCCUAUAAUUCCGACUUCUUAUGAGGUUGCAUUAAAUGAUGCUAGAAAAUAUCUAAGGCAUUACAAUUGGAAAUAUCUUGUAGUUGAUGGUGGGGCCACGGAUGUAAAUUCAUGAUGUGCACCUUGCAACACUCUGUUUUAUUUUUCUUUGGGCUGCCAGGAUGUUCAAACAUCAUUUGAAAACCUUUUUUUUUUCACUUUGGCCACCUCUAAGUGUGGUCACUUUGGCACAUGGCCCUAGUAAGUUUUUGACUUUUUAUUUAUUUUCUUAUGAUUUUAACAGUUUUCCUUACUCCAAUUUUCCAAAAUUCAUUUCAUGAUUCCACUUUUCAAAUAAUUUUUAAAGCUUUCAUUUUAGAUUAGUCUUCCGGAAUUCCCAUUUCCAUAUUUAUUUAUUUAAUCAUUAUUCUUUUUUUAUUAUUAUUAUUUUAUUUAUUCACUUUUAAAAUUCUAUCUUUAAGUAAUUCUUAAAAUUCCGAUUUCCGAAUUUAAUUUCCAAUCAUUAAAAUUCAAUUCUUCAAAAGUCUGACUUCCAAAUUUAAUUUUCAAUCUAAAAAAUUUCACUAUUCACGUUCAUUCGUUUAAAUAUUAUUUUUGUUAUUAUUAUUAUUAUUCCAUAUUUAUUUAUUUAUUUUUUACAAAAGUUCCAAUCAUUAAAGUUCAAUUCUUCAAAAAUUUGACUUCCAAAUUUAACUUUCAAUCUCAAAAAUUCCACCAUUCACGUUCAUUCGUUUAAAUAUUAUUUUUUUUAUUAUUAUUAUUAUUCCAUAUUUAUUCAUUUAUUUAUUUUAAAAAUUCCAAUCAUUAAAGUUCAAUUCUUCAAAAAUCUGACUUCCAAAUUUAAUUUUCAAUCUAAAAAAUUCCACUAUUCACGUUCAUUUGUUUAAAUAUUAUUUUCGUUAUUAUUAUUAUUCCAUGUUUAUUCAUUUAUUUCUUUUAAAAAUUCCAAUCUUUAAAAUUCAAUUCUUCAAAAAUCCGACUUCCAAAUUUAACUUUCAAUCUCAAAAAUUUCACUAUUCACGUUCAUUCGUUUAAAUAUUAUAUUCGUUAUUAUUAUUAUUAUUCCAUAUUUAUUUAUUUAUUUAUUUAUUUAUUUAUUUUAAAAAUUCCAAUCAUUAAAGUUCAAUUCUUCAAAAAUCCGACUUCCAAAUUCAAUUUUCAAUCUCAAAAAUUCCACUAUUCACGUUCAUUCAUUUAAAUAUUAUUUUUGUUAUUAUUAUCAUUAUUUAAUUUAUUUAUUUGUUUAUUUCCUUUAAAAAUUCUAAUCAUUAAAGUUCAAUUUUUCAAAAUUCCGUUUUCCAAAUUUCAUUUUCAAUCUUAAAAAUUUUACUAUUCAUGUUCAUUCGUUUAAGUAUUAUUUUUUAUAUUAUUCUUAUUAUUCCGUUCACUUACUUAUUUAUUUCUUUUUAAAAAAAAAAAUAUCCGUCUUUAAACAAUUCUUAAAAAAUCUGACUUCCAAAUCUAAUUUCCAAUCUCAAAAAUUCAACUAUUCACAUUCAUUUGUUUAAUGAUUAUUUUCGUUAUUAUUAUUAUUUCAUUCAUUUACUUAUUCACUUAUUCACUUAUUCAUAUAUUUAAAAUCGCAUCUCUAAAUAAUCCUUCGAAUUUCCAAUCUCUAAAUUCAAUUUCCAAUUUCUAAAAUUCUAACUUUCGCAAUUAUUUAUCCAAUCAUUAUUAUUUUCGUUAUUCUAUUCAUUUAUUUAUUCAUUUGUUCGUUUAUUUAAAAUUUCAUCUCUAAAUAAUUCUUUAAAUUUCCAAUCCCUAAGUUCAAUUUCCAAUUUCCAAAAUUCUAACUUUCACAAUUAUUUAUCCAAUCAUUAUUAUUUCGUCAUUAUUAUUAUUUCAUUCAUUGAUUUAUUCACUUAUUCAUUUAUUUAAAAUUCCGUCUUUAAAUAAUUCUUCAAAAUUCCAAUUUCCAAAUUUAGUUCUCUGAAAUUCCAAUUUUCUUAUCACCGAACUUAAUUUUCAGUUUCCAAUAUUUCAAUUCUCGCAUUUAUUCGGUUACUCAUUUAUUAUUAUCAUUAUCAUUUUAUUCAUUCAUUUCUAAAAAUUCCAUCUUCGAAUGAUUUCCAAGAUUUCCAAUUUUUAUAAUUCAAUCUUCAUAGUUUCUACUUCUCAAAUAAUUUUCAAUUCUAAUUUCUUUCAAAAUUUAAUUUCCAAAGUCCCAAUUUUUGUAAUUUAAUUUUUUUAAAAUCCCAAACUCUCAAAUAAUUUUCAAAAUUCCAAUUUCUUUCAAAUUUAAUUUCUAAAUUUCUCAUUCUUACAUUUAAUUUCUAAAAAUCCUAUUUUCAAAUAAAUUUCAAAAAUCUAGUUUUCCCUCGAAUAGUUUUAAUUUCUAUUUGGUGAUGCAUGUGAUAUUUUUUGUGCUCUUUAUUGUACAUUGACCCCAUUUUUAUGAUAGCGCAUUGCUUGUUCGUGGCCCAGGUACGCAUCCAUUCCCAUUCUAGUCAUUCUCUAUGCAUGUUUUGAUUCCCAUAUGUGCAUGAUCGAUUUGAGUAUCCAUUGAUUUUCCUAUUGAUUGUUACGUCAGCUUCAUUUUAUUAGUAGAGACCCGACUUUAAAGACUUAGAGGGGUGCUACGGUCUUUACCGUACCUUCUUGAUAAGUAACCUAACCCUUGAGCCCAAUCCGGUUUUUCACAGACCAUAUUUUCCAAAAUAAGGAGUCACACUUAGAGUUUUCUUUUUUAUUUUGUUUAUACCCUUUUAAAAAUAAAACAAAAAUAAGUGGCGGCUCCAAGUCAUUUUUUUUAAUAAAUAAAAUCAUUUUCAAAUAAAAAUCGAGUUCGUCAUCGAGUGAAAAAUGCAUGAGCCGAAAUGCGGGGUCCACAAAAUGGCGACUCCACUGGGGAACGUUUAGAGGGUCAAGCUUGAACUUAAGAUGAAGUAAAUGUGGCAUUUGAUGAGUCGAUUAGUGGGCACCUAUCUCUUGAUUACAUAUUGAGAGUUCCCGAUACCAUUGGAUGCAUGCUUGGUUGUUUGUUUUCAUUUGGGACAUUGACAUGUUGAUUGUGUUGGUUGAUUAUCUUGGUUGGGGACUUUAAUAUAGUGAUUUUCUCUAUGCUUCAUUGGUAUAUUUGUUUGAUAUAUUUGACAUGCUGAUUGUGAUGAUUGAUUUGUCUUGAUUGAGGAUUCCGAGAUAGCUAUUUCUUCAGUACUUCAUUGUUAUAUUUGCUUGAGAUAUUGACAUUCUAAUUACAUUGAUUGCUUAUCUUAUUUUGCUUGGCAUAGUAACUCUGAUUUUGACAUGUUUAUUCUCAUCUCUUCCCAUAUAUAGACUCACCAUUGCAUAUCGCUUGACUUGCCAUAUUGUUUCUUUGUAUUGUAUAUUCUCUUGAUUGUCUUCGAGCAUGAUAUCUGCAUCAUUUCUCAUCUAAUUUUCAUAGUUUGUAUGUGGAUAUGAGCUAUAUAUUCUGUACUCUACUUGACUGUAUGUCACAUGACUGCCCUUCUUAUGCGUGAUUGUAUGUCGUUUGUCCGUGUGGGCCGCACAUCUAUCCCCUUACCUCCAACUCUCUUGGUUUUGGUCAUUCCCUUCAUUCUAGUUUUCACUUUUGCAAGUGUGAGGUCUUUUGUGUGUUUGUUUCUUUAACCGAGAUAGCGAUUAGGAGUAGGGUCUAGUGACGGGCUAUACCGAUGUUUGGGAGCAUCCUGUAAUUGAUCGACACUUUGAUGUCAAUUAGAGUUCGAUUGUUGAAAACUUGUAUAGCCCAGAGCUAGGUUUCAUGGAUAUUUGUACAGCUAGUAUGUUUCAUAUUCUGUAUUAGCUUCAUAGGGUUAUCGGAUGCACCCACACCGUUUAUUGUGCACUCUAAUUGACCACUGAGCGUUGAGAGUUCGAGAGGUUUCACCAUAGGAAACCCCCAUGGGAUGCCGAGAUAGUGUAUGUGUGGAGAUGAUGACCACCUUGCAUGGAAGCGCCCCGUUUCUUCAGAGGCGUGCAAAGGGUUGCAUACCACGGGAGGGUAUGAUCACUUCUGCUAGGGAUCCUUUAAAGUCCACAAAAUUUCUUUUUAGAGUCACCUUGACAUUGUAGGUUAAGCCUUAGAUCCUUCGAUCAAGACUUUCUUCCCUACACAUGGGUGCAUCUGAGGGCCUUUAGAGUCUCUUUAGUUACAGUUUGGAUCCCAAACUCCAUCUUUUGGUCUCCAGUUGAGAGUGCUUAGAUAUUAGUGCGAGUUUGAGUAUUAAUUGGACCACCUCUUGUUGUAUGAUUUUGGUUUCUUCCUGUCACUCAUCGAGUUUGCCACACUUUCUUCUUAGGGGUUUUAGAUAGAUUUCCUUUCUUGAGUUAGCAUUAUUUCCAUUUGUUGUCACUUUCUACUUGACGUUUUGGGAUAUGCUCAUUGAUUAUGCUCACUUUUUCACAUUCUCCACAUGUCAUGCGCUCAAUACUUCAUUCUUUGGUUGAUUUGCCUAUUUCAAUUUUCAACCCAAUAUUUUCAUUACAGAGAGGUGAAAGGCAUGUUUUCACAUUCACACCAGUUUUGAGAGGUUCGCCUUUGUCACCUUAUCAUUUUUCUUUAUGGAGCUCGGGUUGAAAGUGAAUCAAGGAUAUUUUGUUAUAGAUGGAAUAUCGAUCUAAUGACAGUGUUGUUUUUUCACGCCUCAUUCAUUUUCUGGAUUACUGAUAAAGAUUAUUUACUCACAUUUGUAGCCAUCUCACAAUGGACACCUCUAUGACUUUAGAGUUUUUGUCAUUUAUCCAGUUUUAGAUUGCUACCACAGGACCAUAUAUCAUAUGAUGUGUUGUACUUUUGAUUUGAGACAUCUCUUCACUUGCACCUUGAGGUCUUAAGGUUUGACCUAUCAUGGAGGACAUUGAGCCUAUUAACCUAGGAUCGGAGAUUUGACUUAGGAAGUUUCAGACUAUGACCCAUCUUCUUAUGAUCAGAGCAGUGUCUUACCCACUCUCACACCUUGACUUUGUUUUGACCUACAUCCAUCCAUUGUGAGCGUUACACAGCGUCACCCUUGAGACCAUUACAUGACCUUUCCAUCCCUAAUUGUUCUAGCUUUGUAUAUUAUUUCUUUGAUCCAACCAGGUAGAGUGUGAGGAGUUUGAGCCUAGGGUUGAUCUCGCGUGGCGAGGGAUGGCUUACGAUUUUUGGGUGGCUUACGACAUGAGGAUUGGUCGAUUACUUGAUGGACUGUCACUUAUUCUGCCAUGAGUAUAGAGAUUGAUAUUGUAUGAUGAGAGUUAGCUUGUGAUGAGCAGUUGUGCUUGAUGAGAUCGUCAUUUACUUUGCUUUGAGAGGAUUACCUUUGAGAUUAUUAUGGAGCAUUUGCAGUAUGGUUUGGCACAUGAUUCUAGAGGGUUGAUGUGGUUAUGUCAGAUGGAUAUUGAUCUUUAGUAUAGAUCAUUUAAGGGUUUGAGAGCACAAUGUUUGAGACUAUGGUUGCAAGAUGUGUGGCCUGUAUUUCGGUUAGCCAUGUACCCUUUCACCCUUUUGAUAUAUAUAGUCUGUUGCUAGCCCAUUGAGCCUCGCACGUGCAUUAUAACCUUUCUUUCUUAUCGCCUUGCUCACAUUUUUCACACCGGGAUAGGGGCCUUUUAGUAUAUGCAUUCAUUGUUUGGGAGUUCCAUGAGCCUUAGACCUAAGGGUGCAUUCUUCUCAUUAUCUCUUCUCAUCAUUGCAUCACUGCAUUCCAUUGUAUCUCAUUGUUUGUGUUCUUCGUCUCUUCUUCUUUAUUUUAUCUACUACUUGUUUUGCUUCAUAUUCUUUUCACCCUGAGAUGGUGUCUAUCCAUUAUCGACAUCAUCCUUGGGGUUCAUUUGUUCAUGUUCAGGGUAUGUACAUCUGUAUGUUAAAAAAAUGAAGUGAAAAAAAAAAUGAAAUGAAAAAAAAAACGCAUGUGUGUAUUAUUUUUUAUCAUUGAGUGUGUAUAUCAAUAUUCUAGGGUCACUUGAUUGAGUAUGUUUGUUGAUGGGAGUUCGUAUGUAAGCUUUCCGAGACCCUUCAUGCUUUGUAUUCAUCUUAUUGUAUAUUUUGAGAGCGAGAUGAGUGACCUUCUCUUAAGAGUUCUAGGUCAUUGUCCCUUCCAUCAUUACGUUCAUUGUUGAUGUGACUUCACUCCAUGUCUGAUUUGAGUUGAUCACUACUCCUCUUUAUGUUAUUUGUUUCAUCAUUAUCCUCGUUUUCGCUUCUGAUUCAUCAUUUUCACUUCACGUCUUAUUCUUUUCUUACAGCAACCCAUCUAGGGUUUGAUACUCUCUUCGCGUCAUCAUUACACAUAUCACUAUCAAUUCAUUUUGCUUCAUUGGUCUCCUCAUCGACAUCUUAUUCACGUUAGGCAUCCUCAUGUCCAUGGCUCACGGGAUUUACUAUACAUGGUGCAUUUCAUAUAUGAGGGCAUGGGUUUCUGAUCAUUGGGUAUUUGAGCCCUGUUUCCUUUCAUUUCUUUCACCUUAUUACCUUAGCCUACAUUACGUCCUAGGUCUUAAGAGCACCCUGAGGCCAUGAUAUCAUGCAUCGUGUUUUGAUAGCUCUCAUGUGGGCGAUACUUGGAAUUGGUUGGAGAGCAUUUUGAUUAUGAUAGGCCAUGAGUUGUGGUAUGACCCUAUACUGGGGCAUAGCCACCUCAGAGAGUUUUUUUUUUAUCGGGUAUGCAACCAUUCUGUUUGAUACAUCGCAUUGGGGCACACCUUUCUUGGUUGAGGUUUGAUUUUUUAGAUGGCCAUUAUGCCAGGGCAUACUUCUCUCAGUCGAUGAUGGAUUUUUGAGUCAUGGCCACCCUUCAGAGGAGAUCAAACAUCAUUUUUCACAUUGGAGCAUGAGGCAUGAUUGGUAUAUUUCAUCUGGUGUACUUUGCAUAGGGGCAUAUUUCUUAGUCGAUGAUGGUUUUUGAGGCAUAGCUGUUCCUUGGGGGUGAUUAGAUUCCUUUCACAUUGGGGUAUGAGAUAUGAUUGGGUGCUUUGAAUAGAUGUGUUUAUAGGAGCGUAACCUUCUCAUCGUUGUUGACAAAUGUUUGAGAUGAUUGGAUCAAGAUACUGACACUUAUGAGAGCAUGCAGCGGAGUUUAGUCAUUUUAGAGAUUGCAUUAUACUGGGGCAUAAUCCUUUCAUUGGUGAUUGAUCUUAGAGAUAUCAACUUACAUUUGGGCAUGAUCAUGUCAGAGCGCAUUUUGUUGAGGCAUGUCACUUUGAUUGAUCUUUUUCAUAUUGGGACAUGCUCUUUCUUUAGAUGAGGUCGGAUACUCUCUUUAUACCACCACGAUGACUUUGAGGAGUGGAGAUUCAUUUUGAUUAGAUGAUGUAUGAUUGGUUGUACUCCUCUCAUCGAUGUUUUAUUACAUUGGGGCAUUGCCCACCCAUCGACGAUGGAUUUUGUGAGAUGACGGUUUAUGCCAAACACAUGUUAUUCGGAUAUUAUCUUGCAUUGAGGGCUUACCCAUUUUGAGAGAAUGCAUUCAUACUGGGGCAUAGCCACCUUGCUGAUUUUGACAUUGAGACUCCACCUCCUAUUUAUGAUAGCUAGUUUUGAUGGAUCGUAGAGUUGUUGACACUUUGGGUUCAGACUUCUUAACAUACUUGGUUCGACUUGGAUACCCACUUUCCUUUGUUACACACUCAUACAUCUUACAUCCAGCACCAUUAUACCUGCAUCCAUCUUGUCAGAGUCUCACAUCUUUUGAGUUUCAUCUAGGGCAUACCCCAUUUCCAGAGAUAGUUGUGUCCUCAUUUUUUAGUGAGUUGAUCAUCCUGAUUUUAGUCACCCUUCAGUGGUUUGACUUAGAGUCAUAGACUACAAUCUCCCAUUUUGGGCGUACAAUGCCCCUCUUCAUGGAGUCACAUGACUCUCAUCACUCACGAGAUCAUGUCGAGUUGAUAGCCAAUUGUUAUCUUAUCAUGAUCCCCUAGUGGAGUCUUUCUUAGGCCAUUUAGUCAGACUCACACUUUUUAGCAUUUAGAUAUCAUCAUGCUUUUUCUUCUGGGAGACGUUUAUUUGAUCUACAAAUUCGAUUAAGUUGUGGACGUGGGUGGUUAGGAUUACACACUUGGUGAUGGAUGAUUUGAUGACAUCUAGUUUUCUGAUCUACCAUGCAUUUGAUGCCAUACUGGGGCACAUUCUGUUUCGGAUGAGAUUUAUGGAUUUUCAUGGAAGUUGCAUGCUUAUCUCCACUUUUGAGUUAUGGACGUGGAUGACCGGGAUUGCAUAGUUGAUGAUUUGGUGUCACCUGACUUUUGGAUCUACCACACAUUUGAUGCCAUACUGGGGCAUAUUCCAUUACAGUUGAGAUUCGUAGAUUUUCAUGGAGUUGCGCGAUCAUCAUCACUUACUGGUCGCACACUGAGAUGCUGACAUGUUCGUUACCUUAUCAUGAUACCUCGGUGGACCCUCUUUGGAUCCAUUUAGUCGGACCCUCAUUUUUUGACAUUUGGUUUCCGGCAUGAUACUUAUUCCGAGAGACAUUCCCUAGAUAUAUGGAUUUGAUUUAUAUCACAGAGAUCACAUGUUCGAUGAUAGAUAGUCUCAUGUCAUCUGAUUUCCGAUUCGUCAUACAUCUGAUGCCAUACUAGGGCAUAUUUCCAUUUUGGGUGAGGUUUACAGAUCUUCAUGGGGUUGUAUGAUCACCCCCACUUACGGGAUGCGCACCGAGGCGAUGACGUGCUCAUUAUUUUUACGAGGAUUUCUCGGUGGAGCCUCUCGGGAGUCAUCCAGUUAAGCCCGCACUUCUUGGCACUUAGAUUUCAUCAUGCUUCUCCAUCCGAGAAAUACCUCUUGGAUUUGUGGGUUUGAUUCUGUUAUGGACAUGGAUGACUAGGACCGUGCAUUUGAUGACAGAUGAUUUGAUGUCAUCUGAUUUUUCGACCCGUCACACAUUUGAUGCCAUACUGGGGCAUAUUUCCCUUUCGAUUGAGAUUUGUACAUCCCCACCGAUUCGCAUGAUCAUCCCUAGUUAUGAGAUACGCGCUAGGUUGAUGAUUCGAUUUCAUUUUGUCAUGACACUCUGGGGAGCCUUUCUUGAGUCAUUCAGUCAGGCUCAUACUUUUUGAUAUUGUUGUGAUUCUUAGACAGAGUUAUCUCAGACGCAUGGAUUCCCACAUCACCAUUUCAGUGGAGUACAUGUUAGAUCUCUUGCGCAUCCCCAUUGAGUUAUUUGCGAGUCAUCAGGGCAGACCUGGUACAUCUGAUGCCAUACUAGGGCAUAUUUCCCUCAUUCAGCUGUAGAGAUGAUGGUUUUCUCAUAGAUCUGAUGCAGCCGCCUUCAUCGCUCCACCGAGAAAUAUUUUAUUUGCUUUAUUGGCCACUAUUCCCGUGAUUUUCGUCGAGAUAAGCCUUCAGUAGAGCACAACAUUCAGGUUUUGACUGUCUCGCUAUCCAUGAUUCUUUAGUAGAUUGUUGUGAUGAGAUCAUGGUGGUUACCCCAACAAACUAUUCUCUUGAGACUCCCUAGUGGAUCAUUCGUUUCAGAUGACGAUGGACUCCUACAGUAGAGUAUUUCGAGUUAGAGUCAUCUAACUCGUCAAGCAUCGCGGUCCAAUCAGAUGGGUUGUGAGACUAUGUUCACAGUCGAUUUAAUCAUUCUAACUCGCUAGUAGAGCAUAUUUCGAGACUCAUGGAGUCUUUUUCAGACCUUUCUAGUGGAUUGAGAGUUAUGACGACAUGCUACACUGGGGCAUAUUCCCCCUUCAUCAUUUCCUUGCAAUUCUGGCGUUCAGAGCCACCAUACAUGCUCGGUUACGACAUUCAGAGUCGCCCUUUUUUAGCUUGGCAUUCAAAGCCACCAUGUCUUCUCGUUUAUGACCUUCAGAGUCGUAUCUCUCGGCUUGACUUUCAUAGCUACUGUUUCAGUUUGGUGCUUAGAGCCACCAUGUCCUCUCAACCAUGACGUUCAGAGCCUUUCUCAGAUUGGCAUUCCUAGUUAUCAGUUUAGUUUGGUGUUCAGAGCCGUUGUUUCUGCUUGGGAUUCAUAACUAUUAUCUUCGGUUUGGUGUUCAGAGCCACUUUCACAUUUCGACGUUCAUAGCUGUUGUUUUAGUUUGGCAUUCAGAGCCAUGGUUUAGGUUGACAUUUAGAGUUGUCAUCGUCUUUCCAUUCGGUGUUCUGAGCCACAUUUUUUGUUUCGGCGUUCAGAGUCAUUCUUCAUUUUCAUUUUGGCGUUCAGAGCCAUUGUUCAUUUUUCUUUUGCCAUUCAAAGCCACAUUUUCGUUUCGGUGUUCAGAGCGAUCGUUCAUCUUCCGUUUGGCAUUCAGAGUCAUUGUUCGUUUUCCGUUUGGCGUUCAAAGCCGUAGUUCAUCCUCAGUUUGGUGUUUAGAGUCGUUGAUCAUUUUUGUUAGGCGUUCAGAUUCAUGUCGUCAUCUUGGUGUUCAGAGCCGCAUUGUCAUCUUGGCAUUUAGAGUCGUAUCUUCAGUUUGGCAUUUAGAGUCGUAUCUUCAGUUUGGCAUUCAGAGUUGUUGUUUAUCUUUAGUUCGAUAUCUAGAGCCAUUUUCAGAUUGGUGUUCAGAGUCGUUAUUCCCUUUAGUUCGAUAUUCAGAGCUACACCUUCAAUUCAAUGUCUAGAGUCACAUUUUUUUCGUUUGGUGUUAAGAGUUGUUGUUCACUUCAUUUUGGCAUUCAGAGCCACAUCUUCAUUUUGGUGUUCAGAGUCGCAUUUUUAGUUUGGUGUUCAGAGUCGUUGUUCAUCUUCAUUUUGGCGUUUAGAGCCGCAUUCUCAUCUUGGGAUUCAGACCCACAUCUUCUUUCGGUUUGGCGUUCAGAGCCGCAUUUCCAUUUCGAUGUUUAGAGCUACCAUCAUUCUCAGUUUCGGCAUUCAGAGCCACUGUCUCUUCUCAAUUCGCCGUUCAGAGCCAGAUCUCCAGUUUCAGCGUUUAGAGCCACUAUCCCUUCUUAUUUUGGCAUUCAGAGCCACCAUUUCUGCCCAAUUUCAGCGUUUAGAGCCACCAUCCCUUCUUAUUUUGGCGUUCAAAGCCACCAUUUCUACCCAGUUUGGCGUUCAGAGUCACCAUCCCUUCUCAGUUUGGCUUUCAGAGCCACCGUCUCUUUUCAAUUUGGCGUUCAGAGUCACAUCUUCAUUUGGCACUCAGAGCCAUUACUUGUCUUCUAGUUUGGUGCUCAGAGCCACAUCAUUCAUUUCAGCAUUCAGAGUCACAUCUUUAGUUUGAUGUACAAAGUCGAUGUCUUCUAGUUUGGCGUUCGGAGCCACAUUCUCAGUUUGACACUCUAAGUCCUCAUGUCUAUCUUUCAUUCAAUCCAUCACCACUUCCCUCUAUUCUGGCAUUCAAAGCCAUUAGGCACACUCUUUCGGGCCUUUUUGAGUCAUUUCUUUUUUUUAAUUUUGGUGUGCAGAGCCGUUUUUUAUACCCAUUCAUGCAUCUUGAGUAAUUUCUUUUCUUAGUUUUGGCAUUUAGAGCCAUUGUUUUGUUUAGCAUUCGACGCCACCAUCUUUCUUCAGUUUGGUGUUCAGAGCCAUUGUACAUAUCCGUUCAGGCACCUUGAGUCACCAUCUUUCUGUGUUUUUGAUGUUUAGAUUUCCCCUCAACUGUCCAUGGCAUUCAUAUUCACUGGCAUUACACAUCUUGCCUUCAUAGGUUUGCAUUUAUCCUUAUUUUUCUCACCUUGUUACCCUGUGCUUAUCGUUCAUUCGUCAUUGCUUUUCUAGAUUUCCCUUUUCACUGCCCAUGACAAAGUCCUUUGAGUUCACGACACAUACUUCAGUCAUGUUGUUGGGCACCCUGCACUUAGCAUUCUCAUGUGGUUCACAUAUGAUAGUCUCAUUUAGGCACAUUCGUUCUUACACUCCAAAGUGGUUCGACCAUUACUCAUCUGUGAUAUGGUUUUCCAAGUCACUUUUGGAGACGUCUUAGAGGGAGUCUAGAUCCUUAGUGUGGCUUCAGAGGCACUUUGAGAUAUCAUUUUCUUUUAGGAUUAGAGCAUUUGUGUUCAUUCCUUGGUUUGGGCGAGUUCGUGUUCUACUUGUGCACCUUUAGGGGUCUUUCUUUUUCUUUGGUAGAGUUUACUCCAUUCCACUCACUAUUCACACUUUCUUUUCACUCUAGUGUUCAUAUUUCUUACGCUCGUGAACUCUACCGAAGAGGGGCAUAUUUGUAGAACCCUUUUGCGGACGACCCGGGAAUUGAAAUAUUUUCAUUUUUGGAAGUGAGGGGACCUCUUUCUAGAGGGGGCGAGCCACAUGGGACAUGUGGCAAAGACGACAUGGUGGUAGCAGGGAGCAGGUGAAGACUUGUGGGAAAAGAAAAACAGAGGGAAGUGUCUUCAUGUUUUUAGGGGGGUGAGCUAGCGGUUGUGGAGGUGGGGGUGUCUGGAAACAGAGAGAAGAAAGAAGAAAGGAUAUGAGGUUUUUCUGGCAUUUAAGAGGAUUCCGAAAAUUUUUUGGGGCUUGGCUGGAGGAGUAAUCUUGCCUGGAGGAAAAUUUGAGGAGCUUGAGAAGAAACUAGUGAGGGUGGAUAGCUUAGGGAUAGAGGAUUUCCUGGAUGGAACAUAAAAUAAAGCUCAGAGUCAGGCGAGCUUUCCUUUGAAAAGUGGCCCUUGAGGUGAGAUCAGUUUUUACUGAAUUUGACGACUUUUACAGUGUAAUUCAUCCCGAUAUUUUAUUUCGAUUCUCUGCAUCGAUUGCCUUGCCGUGGAAUUUUACAUUCGUAGCCCCUUUUGUGCACUCAAUUUCCUAUAUUUUAUUCCCUCUGAUGCUUUCUUUAUAUGUUUCUUCAACUGUAUGCGUUUUUGCCUGAAGAUUUGAUUGUGCUAGUGAAAUUUGUUGCUCAUCUGUGUCUCUAAAGUGUUGGGUACCUUAAUUGAGGCAUUUUUACAGUGAAAACCUCAAAAGGGAGAUUUUGGGGAAUAAGCGUUUGUGUAUUUUUUUUUUUUUUCUUCCUAUGGAGAAGAAAGAGUGAAGAAUUUGUGAAAUGGCAAACCGUUAUUGGUCUGUUUCUAUUGAGCGGCAUUUCGGCUAUGUGGUUCUCAUCCCAUUUAUGCAGCAUUGAGUUUGAAUGCCCAGAAAGAUCUCUUUGAUCAGUGUGGGGAAAAUAGGAAAAGGGUUAGAUGGCCCUUAAUUGGUCAUUACUCCUCUUUCUACUCUCUCAAACUGGGCAAAUGAAAUAGCAAGGUUUGUGCCCUCAAUAAUUGCAAUCAUCUAAGAUGGCAAUAGGAAAGAAAGAGAUCAAAUACGAAUGACGUAUAUGCCAGGAAAAAUCAGCCCCAAAUUUCCUAUAAUUCUGACUUCUUAUGAGGUUGCAUUAAAUGAUGCUAGAAAGUAUCUAAGGAAAUAUCUUGUAGUUGAUGGUGGGGCCACAGAUGUAAAUUCAUGAUGUGCACCUUGCAACACUUUGUUUUAUUUUUCUUUGGGCUACCAGGAUGUUCAAACAUCAUUUGAAAACCUUAAGUGUGGUCACUUUGGCACAUGGCCCCGGUAAGUUUUUGACUUUUUAUUUAUUUUCUUAUGAUUUUAACAGUUUUCCUUACUCCAAUUUUCCAAAAUUCCUUUCAUGAUUCCACUUCUCAAAUAAUUUUUAAAGCUUUCAUUUUAGAAUAGUCUUCUAGAAUUCCCAUUUUCAUAUUUAUUUAUUUAAUCAUUAUUCUUUUUUUAUUAUUAUUAUUUUAUUUAUUCACUUUUAAAAUUCUAUCUUUAAGUAAUUCUUAAAAUUCUGAUUUCCGAAUUUAAUUUCCAAUCAUUAAAGUUCAAUUCUUCAAAAGUCUAACUUCCAAAUUUAAUUUUCAAUCUCAAAAAUUCCACUAUUCAUGUUCAUUCGUUUAAAUAUUAUUUUCGUUAUUAUUAUUAUUAUUAUUCCAUAUUUAUUUAUUUAGUUAUUUAAAAAAAAUUCAAUCAUUAAAAUUCAAUUCUUCAAAAAUCUGAUUUCCAAAUUUAACUUUCAAUCUCAAAAAUUCCACUAUUCACGUUUAUUUGUUUAAAUAUUAUUUUUGUUAUUAUUAUUAUUAUUAUUCCAUAUUUAUUUUAAAAAUUCCAACCAUUAAAGUUCAAUUCUUUAAAAAUCUAACUUCCAAAUUUAAUUUUUAAUCUAAAAAAUUCCACUAUUCACGUUCAUUCGUUUAAAUAUUAUUUUUGUUAUUAUUAUCAUUAUUUCAUUUAUUUAUUUGUUUAUUUCCUUUAAAAAUUCUAAUCAUUAAAGUUCAAUUUUUCAAAAUUCCGUUUUCCAAAUUUCAUUUUCAAUCUUAAAAAUUUUACUAUUCAUGUUCAUUCGUUUAAGUAUUAUUUUCGAUAUUAUUAUUAUUAUUCUAUUAAUUUACUUAUUUAUUUCUUUUUUAAAAAAAAUAUCCGUCUUUAAACAAUUCUUCAAAAAUCUUACUUACAAAUCUAAUUUCCAAUCUCAAAAAUUCCACUAUUCACAUUCAUUUGUUUAAUGAUUAUUUUCGUUAUUAUUAUUAUUCCAUUCAUUUACUUAUUCACUUAUUCAUAUAUUUAAAAUCUCAUCUCUAAAUAAUCAUUCGAAUUUCCAAUCUCUAAAUUCAAUUUUCAGUUUCUAAAAUUCUAACUUUCGCAAUUAUUUAUCCAAUCGUUAUUAUUUUCGUUAUUCUAUUCAUUUAUUUAUUCAUUUGUUCGUUUAUUUAAAAUUUCAUCUCUAAAUAAUUCUUUAAAUUUCCAAUCCCUAAGUUCAAUUUCCAAAUUUCAAAAUUCUAACUUUCACAAUUAUUUAUCCAAUCAUUAUUAUUUCGUCAUUAUUAUUAUUCCAUUCAUUGAUUUAUUCACUUAUUCAUCUAUUUAAAAUUUCGUCUUUAAAUAAGUUUUCAAAAUUCUGAUUUCCAAAUUUAGUACUCUAAAAUUCCAAUGUUCCCAUCACUGAACUUAAUUUUCAAUUUCCAAUAUUUCAAUUCUUGCAUUUAUUCAGCUACUCAUUUAUUAUUAUCAUUAUCAUUUUAUUCAUUCAUUUCUAAAAAUUCCGCCUUCGAAUGAUUUCCAAGAUUUCCAAUUUUUAUAAUUCAAUUUUUGUAGUUUCUACUUCUCAAAUAAUUUUCAAUUCUGAUUUCUUUUAAAAUUUAAUUUUUUUAAAAUCCCAAACUCUCAAAUAAUUUUCAAAAUUCCAAUUUCUUUCAAAUUUAAUUUCUAAAAUUCUCAUUCUUACAUUUAAUUUCUAAAAAUCCAAUUUUCAAAUAAUCUCUAAAACUUCAAUUUUCAAAUAAUCUCUAAGACUCCAAUUUUCAAAUAAAUUUCAAAAAUCCAAUUUUCCCUCGAACAGUUUUAAUUUCUGUUUAGUGAUGCAUCUGAUAUGUUUUGUGCUCUUUAUCGUACACUGACCCCAUUUUUAUGAUAGUGCAUUGCUCGUUCGUAGCCCAGGUACGCAUCCAUUCCCAUUCUGGUCAUUCUCUAUGCAUGUUUUGAUUUCCAUAUGUGCAUGAUCGAUUUGAGUAUUCAUUGAUUUUCCUAUUGAUUGUCAUGUUAGCUUCAUUUUAGUAGUAGAGGCCCGACUUUAGGAACUUAAAGGGGUGCUACAGUCUUUACCGUACCUUCUCGAUAAGUAACCUGACCCUCGAGUCCAAUCCGGUUUUUCACAGAUCACCUUUUCCAAAAUAAGGAGUCAUACUUAGGGUUUUCUUUCUUAUUUUGUUUACCCUUUUAAAAAUAAAACAAAAAUAAGUGGCGACUCCAAGUCAUUUUUUUUAAUAAAUAAAAUCAUUUUCAAAUAAAAAUCGAACUCGUCAUCAAGUGGAAAACACAUUAGCCGAAAUGCGAGGUCCAUAGUUUCCCAUCAUGUUUCUAUUUUGUUGGAAUUUGAAUAAGUACAUAAUAAUUUUGUUUUAUUUUAUGGAUGAUAACUUCAUUUAACAUGUUAGUAUUCAUCAUCUUUCAUUUUGCCAUCCAUUUUUAGAGACUUUAAAUGCUUUCUUUAGAUACCCAUUUUUCAAUUUCAGUGAAUAAAUUGGGUAUAAGAGAUUUGCUAACUUCACUCAACAACUUCUAUUUAAGAUUUAGAAACUUGUGAACCUCAUGUUUUCCCCUUUGAAAACAUUGAAAUUUUGAUAUGGAAAGUUAAAAUAUCACAUAAACAAUCAAUUUUAAUUAUUUAAAUUCACUUCUCAAAAUUAAAAUUAAAAAUCCCUCUUGUAUGAUCUAAAUUAUCUUAGAUUUCAACUUUUUAAUUCACUUAAAGUAUUGAAUAAGUUAAAAAAAAUAAAAUAUUAUUAAUUAUGAUUAUAUAUAUAUAUAUAUAUAUAUAUAUAUUUGUUUUUGUUUAACUAUUAAUAAUUAUAAAAAUAGAGAGAUAACUAAAAUGACAUGACAUAAGUGAUAUAAAAAUAGAUAACAACUACAAUGAUACAAGUGAGAUUAAAAUUGGGAAUUCACUCAAGUUGGAGAAUUAUUUAUUCUAAUAAAAAUACUAAGAAAAUACGUUAAUUAUUGUAGCAAAUUCUUUUUUUCUUCCACUCUAUUUGGGCAUCUAUUAUAUUGAAAAAAGAAAUAAAAGAAACCUCAUACAUAUUUAAAAUAAUUUAUUUGAGAAGAUUCUAUCAUUAAAAAUUCCACAAAAGUUCCAAAAAAAAAAAAAAGAUGCCAGAAAUAGUAUGUAUAGAGAAAAGAGUACAAAAGACAAAUAUAUAUAUAUAUAUAUAUAUAUAUAUAUAUAUAUAUAUUAAUUUAAAUUUAAAGAGAAAAGGUAAGAGUAAUAAGUCAGCAUUGAAAAAAAGAAAGUUUACUUUAAUAAAAUUAUAAUCUCAUAAAUUAAAAACUUCAAAAGUAUCCAAUCAAAUCCUUUAAAAUUCUUUCCUUCUAAAAAUUCCCUCUAUUCCAAAUCCAUUAUUUCCUUUUUCAUUUAAAUCCCUUCAUUCCAGAGUGUAAAAAGAAAUAAUAACAAUCUUCCUAAUAAGUUAUUAAUAUAUAAAAUAAAAAAUAAAAAAUAACACUUUUUUAAUAAUUUAGGAUAUAUUAAUUUUUUUUCUUCAAGAAAGAUGUAAUUUUUUCUUUUAUCUAAAUAUAUUACAUUUAGAAAUAAUUGCUCUUCUAAUAUCGAAAAUUAAGAAAUAUUAGAAGAUCGAGUAAUUUUUUAAUAAAUUAUAAAAAGAUCCAAUAAAAAAAAAAAUUAUUCCUUUAUUCAGGCAUAUUAAAAAAAGACAAUAUUCUAAAAAUAGGUAAUAGAAAAAAUAUCACAAUUAAAAGGUUUAUUUCUUUUAGUUAUAUUAAAAAAAGAAACAAGGUUAUUUCAAAGAUAGAAAAAAAAAAAUACAUUAGAAAUAUUAUCAGUUUUUUAGUUUUAUUUUCAUAUUCAUCUUGGGGUUUUGUGAAUAAUUAUUAAACUGUUAAUUAUUUAUUUGGUGGUAUUAUAAUCUGAGAUGGUGAGAUUAGGGGAGUAAAGCACAGGUCACUUCUGAUGAAAUAUAUCUUUUCUCUUCCAACUAAGGCCCAAAUAAAUAAUGGGCUUGGGGCAAAGCCCUAAUACUCAACUGAAUGGACUGGGCUUGGUUAUCUAAGAAUUUGUUGCUAGUGCCAUCAUCUUUAUUUGUGGGUAUCUAAGAAUUUCAUUUAACCAUGAAGAUAUUUCUUUACAACAAGGGAUUGGAAGAGUUUUUUAAAAGCAAGCCUCUGGUAGUUUUUUCUAAAAUUAUAUACCUUCCAACUAGUUUUGUAUUGUGCUAUUUUUAAUUCCACUUUCAAUAUAAUGCUUCUUAUCAAUUUUUUUUUUCAAAAAAAAAAAAAAAAUUAUGGUAGGAAUCGUUUAACAUUGAAUACAUAUUCAACAAAACUUCAAUUAGGUGAAUAUGAAAAAUUAUAAAUUGAAUGGGGCCUAGAUAUUGUCGAACCCUUGUGAAAAUACAAUAGGAAGGUAAUACUAUUGUAAUCCUCUCCUUUUUAUAGGUCGGAUCAUACUCAUACAAACAUAAAUUAAAUUUGGAUUGGACUUUCCAAAAUAUAAUUUUUCAUCAUUANNNNNNNNNNNNNNNNNNNNNNNNNNNNNNNNNNNNNNNNNNNNNNNNNNNNNNNNNNNNNNNNNNNNNNNNNNNNNNNNNNNNNNNNNNNNNNNNNNNNUAAUCAUUAAUAAAGUGGAAAGAAAUUUUAUUUUUUUAAAAUAUCAAGAUGAGAAAGAGAAAAUUAAAGUCAUGGAAUUACUUUUAGAGCUAAUCCAAUUGAUGGAAAUUUGAGAAAACCUCCUAACAGGCAAAGUAAUCAACCCUAAACAUAAAAAUAAAGCAUUAAGGGCAUGAGGACUUAAACUUCACUCAGGCUACUAUCUAGAUUUUUGUCCCUUGUGAUGUGAUCACCAAGACAAAUUGCUUCCAAGUCUUCUACUCUAAGUCAUCCACUGGCCCACAUCUUUUAUGGAUAAGGCUAGACUUUUACACUUACAAGUCAUGUGCAUACACUUCUAUAUAUAUAUAUAUAUAUAUAUUUCACUUUUCCUUCAAAUAAUCUUUAACAAAACUUUUAUCAUAUUUAUUUUUUCAAGUAUUCUAUCAUGCCCAUUUAUAGUAUACAGUUGAGACAAUGAUUGAAUCACUAUUUUUAAUUAUUUCCUACGAAAUGUUACCUGAAACCCAUCUAAAGUAUUGAAAUUUGUUGGGUGUGGAUCAAUAGUGGGUUGACAUGUGUUUGAUUUUUUAAAUUUUGUAUUUAUUUUUACUAUCUUUAUUGGAUUAGAUAGCUCUUAAGGAUUUUGAAACAUAAGAUGUUGAUUGAAUGAUAAGAAAGUAAUUUUUUUCUUCCACGACUCUGUAUCCCAUAUUUAAUAAAUAUUUGUGUGGUCUAGAUCUAACAAAAUAAUUGAAGUUCCGUGUUAUAAAAGGAAUAAAUAAAUAAAAAGACAAGGACUUGUUGAUAUUCUCGAGGUCUUGAUGUUUGAUUGAUGCAGACUGGAAAGAGAGAAAUAGAAGAACCUUCAAGAUUGUCGAUAAAUUAAAGCUCUUGGUGAAAAAUAUAAUUCUUUACUCGUUGCCACCAUCAAAUAUGCUUAUGAUGUGAUUGGUUUUUAUUUUGUAAAAAAUUACGAUACAUGGCAUUGAAUAAUACUAUGCACAAAAUAUUUUUCUAGCACAAAUACGUAUUUUUGUAUGCAUAAGAUACUAUUUAAGUAUAAUAUAAUUAUUAUUAUUAUUUAAAUAAUUUGCCUAAAUAUAAUAUAUCAUUUGUAGAUAAAGAAUUGAAAUAUCAAGAAAAAGUGAUCCUAAUUUAGGGUUAUAUAAAUUACUCUUUCAUUAAAUGUCUUGAUAAAGAUUGAAUAUUGUUAGGAUUAGGACACCCAACAAAUAUUGGUUCAUACAAGCCCCAAAUCAAUGCCAUUAGUUGGCCUUUGAAAGAUCCAAACAACACUUAUAAUUUUUUAAUUAUAUUUUUAUUUAUCUAUAGGUCAAAUACUUGCUACACAAGUGAUUUCAAAUAUAAUAUUAGUAUGGAAUGGUUUAUAUUAGAAAGUUUACAAUAAAUUUAUUUAAGAAAAUAUAUCUAAAGAAAAAUUAUAAAUAUACAUGAUAAAUGUUAAGAUUCCUACAUCGAUACAAGUACAAAACAAACAAUUCAACAACAAAACUUUCUCCCUUUGAAAGUGAAGAUUAUUUUUACUUGGAAACAACAUUUAUAUACAAUGAAGUUUUUCAACCUUAAGUUUUUGUCUCUCAAUCUAAUCCACUAGACACGUUUGUGCUUUAAAAGUUAGAACUACUUUAUAGGGAAGACCAAGACUUCUAGCUAUUGAUAUAGAGUUUUCUUUAAAAGAUAAUACUAAGACUACAUAAUUCUUACUUGUAGAUUUGUACACAAAUCAAUCACAUGAAAAGGUAGAAUCCACAUUGUUAACCAAACUUUCAUAAACUUUAUAUGAAAAUAAUUAUUUUGAAAAUAAUUUUGGAUACAUAAAACAAAAUAAUUUAUAAGUGCUAAAAUAAUAAUUAUAUUCUUGCAUUAAUCCAUGAAGUGAGAUUGAGUCACCUUGUAAAUUGUAUUGUAAAGGUCUUCAACUCACUACUGUCAUAUAGUGGAUGGGUCAUUUGUGUGGUGUAUGUUGUUAAAAAUAAACAAUAAGAAAAAAAAAGAUAUAAGAAUGAGAGUGUGGCUUGAGACCUCAAUUUAUAAUAAGUUGUACAUCUCUUAGUCUUCCCAUUAAAGACUAUGUGGGAGUUAUACUCAUUAUUUACACUUAUUAUGUAUAAAUUAAUGGGUAAUGGUGGGUUAUGAACUUGAAUACAUCUAUAUAAUUGCAUAGGUUAUACAUUUUCAUUUUCCUCCAUUACUCAUAAACAUAAUGUACAAAUAAAUUUCAUAAUGAUGGGGUUACAAAAGUUGUAACACCACAUUCAUAUGAGUUAAAUUUUAUAACUUUCCAUUUGUAAUUUGAGUCUUCCAUACAUAAGACUUUUGGAUGCCCAAUCAAUUGAUUCACCUACCUAUCAAUUGAUACCCUUAAAUAAUAUUCAUAUAAAUAUAAUUAUAUAUGACCACACAUUAUAGGAAAAAAGCUAACACACACAACUUUGUGGAUGGAAAUCAAGAUUUUCGGCUCCUUUCUUUUUCUUUCUUUUUAGUGUCUAAGGUUUAAGUUUGUGUUUUAGAUACAUAACUUAAAACACAAAAUAAAUGACCAACCAAACUAUGAUUAUCUAGAUAGUAUUUUAAAAAAUAUAUAAAUUUAUAAUUUAAUCAAUUUGAUCUCAAUUAUGUAUAGGCACUUUGAAUCACAUUCAUCUUUGUCAUCCAGAUAAAAAAAAAAAAAAAAUUCAAAUCCAUAAUUAUGCAUCCUAAUCUCUUUUUAAACAUGAGGGAUUUAUAACCCCCACUACUUGAUGGACCCUUUCCUAAAGGUGAUUCAAUGCCACUUUGUUUGAUCUUCACAAUCUUUAUCACAUUCUUUGAUCUUUUGCAUUCUUUGAAUAAUUCAAUAUUAUUGAGGGGUCAUUCUCAUUAAAUGAGAAUAUUGAAAAAUCUAACCCUUUUGGAAGGGUAUGAAGAAGGUUUCAUAUCAGGGGACCCAUGUCUUACUUUUCCACCCAAAGCAUCGUAAUGCAUUCUAACUUUUUUUUGGCAGGAAAAGUAUUUGUAAUGUCAAUCUCUAACCGUGGCCAUAAAAGGGUGAGAUUUAGAGCCACACAAGUCAUAUCAUAUUCUGCAGAUUGUAGCCUCACAAGUCAAGUCCACAGGAUAUAUAUCAUCUAUAUAUUCUGCAGAUUCUGUCAUAUUUUUUUCUUUCGUGGACAGCCCAGUCACCAAUGAGUAUCACACUUUCAUAUCAUAUUUCUUUUUAAGAAUCCAAACAUUUUAAAACGGGUUAUGGGUGAUCCAGCAAAAAUUUACUAUGGUGGCAUUUUUUUUUUUUUUUUUUAAUUUGAAGUUUGAAAUCUAAAUAGAAAAUGAUGGAAAACUGUUAUUUAGACUUGAAAUUUCAUUAAAAAAAAUUAUUUGAACAAAAUAUCUAAAAAAAAAUUAACUUAAAAAGGAAAUGGUUUUGUCAUUAACUUUAAUAAUAUUUAAUUUUAUAUAACUAAUGGUAAUUGGAUCAUGGAUCCCACCAAUCAAAUAAUUUUUUGGAUUCAUUCAUUGUGCUAUUUGAUUAUAAAAAUCAAAUAUUUAAUUUUUUUUAUAUAUAUACUUUUUAUUGUAAUUUUGUAUUACUUUUACAAGGUUGAGUUUUUUUUUUUAGAAACUUUUCAAAAAAUACAAGAGAAAAAAAUAAAAAGAAAAAUAAAAUAUAAAAAAAGUAUAUAAAAGUAAAAAAAAAAAAGAUUUAAAACUAAUAAAUUAUUUUUAAUUGAUUUCUCAAACUCAUUUUAUGUAUUUUCUUUAUUUAUAUAAAAUUAAAUAAUUUAAAAAUAUACAAUUAUUUUAAUUAUUUUGAUUUGAUUUUUCUAUUAUAAAUCAAAUACAUAAAAUAAUUUUUCUUAGUUUCUAUAUAUCUUCCAUGUGUUUGUUCUUUUUUAGAAAUAUCCCAUAAAAUAUGGACCUUUUCUAAUCAACCAAACACCCAGGAGGAACAAAAAGGAAAAGAAUGAGAGAGAGAGAACUUAGAGAAAAAUAAAAUGAAAAAACCGCUAAAGAUAGUAUACAUUUUAUAUAAAGUUGGAAUAUAAAUCAAUGGAGCCACACCCCUUCAACAACCCUAAUCAUGUUGUAUCCAUAAUAAUAAUUCACAUUUUUUUAUUUUUUUUUCAUAUCAGUACACAUUUGACCUGAUCAUGAGCAAUAAUAAAUGUCCACAUUUUAAUAGAUUUGAAAUCUUCACCCAUUAAUUUAAGUUCUUCAUCUAAUGAAUAAUAAAUGUCCAUAUUUUUCUACGAGGCCACAUAGGACUUUGAAUAGUUUAAAGUGAACAUGUUACCUCAUUAAUUUGGAGACUUUACAUACUCUAUAAUACUAUAAAAUGUUGGAUAGAUCACUAACCUCAUUUAAAUAAUAAAAUCUUCUAAUUCUUUUUUUUUUUUUUGUUCUGAUUUUUACAUGAUUGUGCUUUAUUUUAUAAAUUAAUUAAUAAUUAUAUUUAUUUAUCUUGGCUUCCCGUACAUAUUUUACGAAAAUAUUAUCCAUGUAUGUAAUACACAAGAUGAAUGCACCCUUACAACUAAAUUCAUCUUUUAAAUUUGAAAAAAAAAAAACUAAAAAUUAAUAUUUUUUUAAUUAACAUUUAAGUAAUAAAAAUAACAUAACCAAUUUAAUUUUUGGUUUUUCAUUUUUAAAAUAUUACUCUUAUAUUUCAUAACUUUUCAUCCUUAAUGUGCUACAAAUCUUUUUACCACUAUAAGGGUUAUGACAUGAAAAUUAUGUGUAUGGAAUAAAUAAGAAAAAGAAAAUUAAAUUGUCUUAUUAUUUUGCAAUGUAGUUUCGAUUCCCAAACUUUCCUCAAAUCUCUUUGGUUAUAUUUGAUUAUUGGAAAAUGACAAUAAAAAAUAUAAAAAAAAAUAUUAUUCUCUAAUGUUUGGUUUUCAUAUUGAAGAUAUCGGAUAUAAUUAAAAUUAGUUAAAAUUUUUGGUAUUUUUAAAUUAUUUAUUUUUUAUGUUGAAAAGUUAAAAUAAAUAAAAUGAGUUUAAAGAACCUACAAAAUAAUUUAUUAAAUUAAAAACUAUCUUUAAUUUUUAUUCAUUUUUUUCUUCACAUUUUCUAUUAAACUUACGGAGAACCAAACACAUCCUUAGUAUUUUCCUUCUUUUUUUGUUAAUGUUGUUUUCCCUUGUCUUUUUCCAUAGUAUUUAAAAAUAAUAAAUUUGUUCCCCUUUCUUUUACAUGUAAAAAUAUUUACAUAAUCACAUAGAUUAAUCAUACAUGAUUAAAGGAUACUAACAAUAGGAAAUCACUAUAAAGAACAUACCUGUUUGAGCCAUGAUAAAAAAAACGUGAUUGAUUGUUGUAACCAAGUCUUCCUCUCUAUGAUCUUGAUAAUAGCUAUGGUGGCUCUAUGGGAAAACAAAUAAACCCUUUUUAUCUAGAUUAGAGAGGGGACUUAGCAUAACUCAAAUUGGAUUCUCAUUGGGCCCUCCCAUAAUGGGCUUCAAUGAGACCCAUAGCCUACACUUGCCACUCAACUGAGCUUCUACUCAAAAGAUGCAAAACCCAAUCCAAAAUGUGAUCACUAGUUAAUUGGGCACAUUAUAGAAUAUACUAUCCAUUAACCCGUUUUUGCAAAUACAAAUUAUUCAAUUAAUGUUAGCCCAUAUAAAAAAUUUCCAACAUUCUCCCACUUGGGCUACAUUAAUUGUUUUUGAGGAUUCAUUAAAUUCAUUUUGAAAAUAAGACUCUCGGGUUAAGUACAAAAAAGUUUAUUUUGUGUGGCCACACCUUUUUUUUUUUUGAAAGAAAUGAUAGUCUAUAAGUAGCAUCUUGUUAAACUUUUCUGGUCCAACAUAGUCUUAAUAUUAGACUAUAAUGGUCUAUAUGUUAAUCUCAACAAACAUAAUGCCCCUUAUAGUCACGAAUAUUUAUAACCAUAUCGACAUGGAUCGUAAACUCAGUAGUGUAGUAAGAAAUCAAUGCCAACAUGUGAUCAUCAUCUAUAUGCAUUGUUUCUUAUCAGUCCUCAUUACAAUUUACCAACAAAAUGAAAUUGUAAUUACAAUUUCUCAACAAAAUGAAAUUGUUGCAAUUUCUAAACAAUAUGAAAUUGCUUGACUUUAACAAGUCAUAUGUCACCAACAAUGCACCACAAAAUCUCAAAAUAGUGGUAUUUGUGACAUCCAAUAGUAUACAACUGUAAUUCUUAAGGUUCAAUAUCUCAAGAUACCAUGUUGUACGUAAUUCAAUUACGACAUGCUAUAAUAUAAUACUUAAUUAUGAUGAUCAUAAUAAAAAGAUUUUAAUUUUGCAAGUUGCAGAACAAUAAUGAUCAAUGUUUGCAUAAAACAAUAAUUGAAAUAAGGGAAAUCACAAAAGCUCCCACUAAACCAAAGAAUCAAAAGACUUAAUGACACCCAUAUUCACAACAUGUUCCUUGAACGUUAUGGGCUUUAAACCUUUGAUUAGAGGAUCAGCUAGCAUGGACUCAGUUCUUAUGUGCUCAAUCACAAUAUCUCCUUUCUUCACUAAGUCCUUGACUGUAAGGUACUUGAUUUCCAUAUGCUUAGAACCCGUACUAAUCUUAUUGUUCUUAGAGUAGAACACAACUGCAUUAUUGUCACAAUAAAUCACAAUAUCCAUCAUUCCUAAAACAAACUCUAUGUCUAAUCUCCAUCUCUUAUAGUUCGACCCACUUAGAAUUUCAAUUGUAGCAUUAUUGUUGUUCACAGCAAAGGAAACUGAUUGACAAAAUUUUGCAACUAGAUCAAUUAUGGGCAAUAGGUAAAAAAAACUUAAAUAAUCAUAAGCAAUACAAUACAAGAAUCAAUUGUACUAUCAUAAACUCCCCUUUGGGCAGAGUCCACAAUAAACAACUAUUCUCUAAGCAUGAAGAUCAACAAAUAAUUCAUUAAAAUUUAUUUCCUUUGGGCAAAUAAAUUUAUCAAAUUAUUUAUCUCAUUAAAUAUCCUCAUGUUGUUAAAUUAAUUUGCACAAUAACCCCCUUUGGGCAGGCGAUUGUACAAAUUAAUCUAAAAUUUUCCCCAUCAACAAAAUAGGAACUCAUAAACUUGCAAAUUUUGAUGGUUAAAUCACUUUGGUAAAAUAACCUCAACAAUUCACAGGCAACGUUCCAAAAUUGGGUAAAUUAAAAAAAAUUGCCCAACAACAAUAGUGCAUAUUUGCGAUAUAUAUGCAUAUGAUCAAUUAUAGUUGCAAGAAUUUGAACAACAAUUUUUAUUUAUUUAUUACACUUUAAAUUAAUUAUUAACUAGUUUAUGUGAUUUAGAACAAGUAGGAGAGUAUGCAUGAAAAAGUUUCAAUCUAGAGAGAGUGAGUACUACACUCCUAUUCCAUAUAUAUUAGCAUAAUUUCUGGUAAAUUCUCAACAGAAAAUUAUACCAAAAAAUAAUUUUAAGCUAAUUAAAUCACAUAAAUAAGUAAUAAUUAUUUAAUAAAUAUUUUUGACCCCCCAAAAAUAAAAUAAUAUAUCUAGAAAAAUAUAUUACAAAAAAACGAGCGCACAGGAAAAAACGGAGCUCAAAAUGGACACUGGAUGAGGUUAUACGCACCUCACACACUUGACCUGCGAGUGGGGAACGUGUGGCACAUGUGGCAUGUGUGGCAUGUGCUGGAGGUCAUCUUCAACCUCCAGCAUUGGGUCCAAAAUUCUGCAAUACGGGUCAAAUGAGCCGGUUGCAACCUGGAUUGCAAACAAUUGAAAAAAAUGUUUCUUUUGAUCGGGAUCUUGAGGGCUUUUAAACUUUAGGUUGUUUCUAACAAUUUUAGGACAUUUAAUCAUAAAAAAAAAACAACUUAAAGAUCUCCAUAAUUGAUUAACAAAAUUCGGUUUUUCUUACCUCCAUAGCUAAGAUUCAAAAACUCUAUUUUAACACCUAUUUCGGUCUCAUUUUACAUGUAUUUUUACAUUAACAAUAUAAGAAGUCUCUUUACAACAAUUAAUUAAACAAAAAAAAAAAAAAUUCUCAAUCUUGCUCAAUUUUUUUUUUUUUUUUAAAAAAAACGAAUUUUCUAGGGUUCAUACCCAUAUUUUCAAAUUUUCAAUUUUCACCAAAUUGAGCCAAAAAACCGAAAUUAAUGCUACAUAUCAACUAUAAUAUAUGUAAACAACAAAAUCUAAGAGUUUAAUUUGAGUAUAACACAAUAAUUUGAUCAAAUAAAAUUUUUCUUGAAUCUUUAAACAAGAAAAUUCCGAAAAUUUAAAAAUUUAGUUACUCCCAAUUUAAACAACGAAAUUGCACAUAUGAUAUAUCAAUUUGAAGUUUGUGACAAGAGGAACAAAAACCCUAAAGUUUCACAAUCAAAAGAAACUAAAAAAAAAACAUGCACAUUCAUGGAUCACAUAUUUGGCUUCGAAAAGAAAAUAAAAUAAGAAACUAAAAAUUUUAUUUUCGAUUUCCAAAUGUAGAUCCUAAAUCAUGUAAAUCAGACUCUGAUACCACAUGUAAAAUAUUUACAUAAUCACAUAGAUUAAUCAUACAUGAUUAAAGGAUACUAACAAUAGGAAAUCACUAUAAAGAACAUACCUGUUUGAGCAAUGAUAAAAAAAUGUGAUUGAUUGUUGUAGCCAAGUCUUCCUCUCUAUGAUCUUGAUAACAGCUAUGGUGGCUCUAUGGAAAAACAGAUAAACCCUUUUAUCUAGAUUAGAGAGGGGACUUAGCAUAACUCAAAUUGGAUUCUCAUUGGGUCCUCCCAUAAUGGGCUUCAAUGAGACCCAUAGCCUACACUUGCCACUCAACUGAGCUUCUACUCAAAAGAUGCAAAACCCAAUCCAAAAUGUGAUCACUAGUUAAUUGGGCUCAUUAUAGAAUAGACUAUCCAUUAACCCGUUUUUGCAAAUACAAAUUAUUCAAUUAAUGUUAGCCCAUAUAAAAAUUUUCCAACAUUACCAUGUAAAAUAUUUACAUAAUCACAUAGAUUAAUCAUACAUGAUUAAAGGAUACUAACAAUAGGAAAUCACUAUAAAGAAAAUACCUAUUUGAGUCAUGAUAAAAAAAACGUGAUUGAUUGUUGUAGCCAAGUCUUCCUCUCUAUGAUCUUGAUAAUAGCUAUGGUGGCUCAAUGGGAAAACAGAUAAACCCUUUUUAUCUAGAUUAGAGAGGGGACUUAGCAUAACUCAAAUUGGAUUCUCAUUGGGCCCUCCCAUAAUGGGCUUCAAUGAGACCCAUAGCCUACACUUGCCAUUCAACUGAGCUUCUACUCAAAAGAUGCAAAACCCAAUCUAAAAUGUGAUCACUAAUUAAUUGGGCUCAUUAUAGAAUAGACUAUCCAUUAACCCGUUUUUGCAAAUACAAAUUAUUCAAUUAAUGUUAGCCCAUAUAAAAAUUUUCCAACAUUCUCCCACUUGGGCUACAUUAAUUGUUUUUGAGGAUUCAUUAAAUUCAUUUUGAAAAUAAGACUCUCGGGUUAAAUAUAGAAAAGUUUAUUUUGUGUGGCCACACCUUUUUGUUUUUUUUGAAAGAAAUGAUAGUCUAUAAAUAGCAUCUUGUUAAACUUAUCCGGUCCAACAUGUUCUUAAUAUUGGACUAUAAUGGUCUAUAUGUUAAUCUCAACAAACAUAAUGCCCCUUAUAGUCACGAAUAUUUAUAACCAUAUCGACAUGGAUCGCAAACCCAGUAGUGUAGUAAGAAAUCAAUGCCAACAUGUGAUCAUCAUCUAUAUGCAUUGUUUCUUAUCAGUCCUCAUUACAAUUUACCAGCAAAAUGAAAUUGUAAUUGCAAUUUCUCAACAAAAUGAAAUUGCUGCAAUUUCUAAACAAUAUGAAAUUGCUUGACUUUAACAAGUCAUAUGUCACCAACAAUGCACCACAAAAUCUCAAAAUAGUGGUAUUUGUGACAUCCAAUAGUAUACAACUGUAAUUCUUAAGGUUCAAUAUCUCAAGAUACCAUAUUGUAUGUAAUUCAAUUACGACAUACUAUAAUAUAAUACAUAAUUAUGAUGAUCAUAAUAAAAAGAUUUUAAUUUUGCAAGUUGCAGAACAAUAAUGAUCAAUGUUUGCAUAAAACAAUAAUUGAAAUAAGGGAAAUCACAAAAGCUCCCACUAAACCAAAGAAUCAAAAGACUUAAUGACACCCAUAUUCACAACAUGUUCCUUGAACGUUAUGGGCUUUAAACCUUUGGUUAGAGGAUCAGCUAGCAUGGACUCAGUUCUUAUGUGCUCAAUCACAAUAUCUCCUUUCUUCACUAAGUCCUUGACUGUAAGGUACUUGAUUUCCAUAUGCUUAGAACCCGUACUAAUCUUAUUGUUCUUAGAGUAGAACACAACUGCAUUAUUGUCACAAUAAAUCACAAUAUCCAUCAUUCCUAAAACAAACUCUAUGUCUGAUCUCCAUCUCUUAUAGUUCGACCCACUUAGAAUUUCAAUUGUAGCAUUAUUGUUCACAACAAAGGAAACUGAUUGACAAAAUUUUUCAACUAGAUCAAUUAUGGGCAAUAGGUAAAAAAAACUUAAAUAAGCAUAAGCAAUACAAUACAAGAAUCAAUUGUACUAUCAUAAACUCCCCUUUGGGCAAAGUCCACAAUAAACAACUAUUCUUUAAGCAUGAAGAUCAACAAAUAAUUCAUUAAAAUUUAUUUCCUUUGGGCAAAUAAAUUUAUCAAAUUAUUUAUCUCAUUCAAUAUCCUCAUGUUGUUAAAUUAAUUUGCACAAUAACCCCCUUUGGGCAGGCGAUUGUACAAAUUAAUCUAAAAUUUUCCCCAUCAACAAAAUAGAAACUCAUAAACUUGCAAAUUUUGAUGGUUAAAUCACUUUGGUAAAAUAACCUCAACAAUUCACAUGCAACGUUCCAAAAUUGGGUAAAUUAAAAAAAAAAAUUGCCCAACAACAAUAGUGCAUAUUAGCGAUAUAUAUGCAUAUGAUCAAUUAUAGUUGCAAGAAUUUGAACAACAAUUAUUUAUUUAUUUAUUACACUUUAAAUUAAUUAUUUAACUAGUUUAUGUGAUUUAGACCAAGUAGGAGAGUAUGCAUGAAAAAGUUUCAAUCUAGAGAGAGUGAGUACUACACUCCUAUUCCAUAUAUAUUAACAUAAUUUCUGGUAAAUUCUCAAUAGAAAAUUAUACCAAAAAAAUAAUUUUAAGCUAAUCAAAUGACAUAAAUAAGUAAUAAUUAUUUAAUAAAUAUUUUAGACCCCCCAAAAAUAAAAUAAUAUAUCUAGAAAAAUAGAUUACAAAAAAACGAGCGCACAAGAAAAAACGGAGCUCAAAACGAACACCAGAUGAGGUUAUACGCACCUUACACACUUGACUCGCGAGUGGGGAACGUGUGACACAUGUGGCACGUGUGGCAUGUGUUGGAGGUCAUCUUCAACCUCCAGCAUUGGGUCCAAAAUUCUGAAAUACGGGUCAAAUGACCCGGUUGCAACUCGGAUUACAAACAAUUGAAAAAAAUGUUUUUUUUUUAUCGGGAUCUUGAGGGCUUUUAAACUUUAGGUUGUUUCUAACAAUUCUAGGACAUUUAAUCAUAAAAAAAAACAACUUAAAGAUCUCCAUAAUUGAUUAACAAAAUUUGGUUUUUCAUAUCUCCAUAGCCAAGAUUGAAAAACUCUAUUUUAACACCUAUUUCAGCCUCAUUUUACAUGUAUUUUUACAUUAACAAUAUAAGAAGUCUCUUUACAACAAUUAAUUAAAAAAAAAAAAAAUUCUCAAUCUUGCUCAAUUUUUUUUUUUAAAAAAUAAAAUAAAAUGAAUUUUCUAGGGUUCAUACCCAUAUUUUCAAAUUUUCAAUUUUCACCAAAUUGAGUCAAAAAACCGAAAUUGAUGCUACAUAUCAACUAUAAUAUAUGUAAACAACAAAAUCUAAGAGUUUAAUUUGAGUAAAACACAAUAAUUUGAUCAAAUAAAAUUUUUCUUGAAUCUUUAAACAAGAAAAUUCCGAAAAUUUAAAAAUUUAAUUACUCCCAAUUUAAACAACGAAAUUGCACAUAUGAUAUAUCAAUCUGAAGCUUGUGACAAGAGGAACAAAAACCCUAAAGUUUCACAAUCAAAAGAAACUAAAAAAAAUAGGCACAUUCAUGGAUCACAGAUUUGGCUUUGAAAAGAAAAUAAAACGAGAAACUAAAAAUUUUAUUUUUGAUUUCCAAAUGUAGAUCCUAAAUCAUGUAAAUCAGACUUUGAUACCACAUGUAAAAAUAUUUACAUAAUCACAUAGAUUACUCAUACAUGAUUAAAGAAUACUAACAAUAGGAAAUCACUAUAAAGAACAUACCUGUUUGAGCAAUGAUAAAAAAACGUGAUUGAUUGUUGUAGCCAAGUCUUCCUCUCUAUGAUCUUGAUAAUAGCUAUGGUGGCUCAAUGGGAAAACAGAUAAACCCUUUUUAUCUAGAUUAGAGAGGGGACUUAGCAUAACUCAAAUUGGAUUCUCAUUGGGCCCUCCCAUAAUGGGCUUCAAUGAGACUCAUAGCCUACACUGGCCACUCAACUGAGCUUCUACUCAAAAGAUGCAAAACCCAAUCUAAAAUGUGAUCACUAAUUAAUUGGGCUCAUUAUAGAAUAGACUAUCCAUUAACCCGUUUUUGCAAAUACAAAUUAUUCAAUUAAUGUUAGCCCAUAUAAAAAUUUAUGUUUGGUUUUUGGAAAAUUUGAGGGAAAAAAAAUAAAGAGAAAAAAUAAAAUAAAAGAAAAAAUAAAUAAAAAUAAAUAAAUUUAAAAUUAAUAAAUUAUUUUUAUAUGUUUCUUCAAAUUUAUUUCACUUAAUUUCUUUCAAAAUAAUUUUAAAAUGCAUAAGUUUUUAAUUAUAUAUAUAUAUAUUUUUUAAAUUUAUAGUGAAACCAAAGAGAAAACCUUUAUUUAUUUAUUUUCCCUAAGAACCAAACCUAACCUUUGCAUUUUUCCAAAUUUCGGAUCCAAAAGUAACUGAAUGUUACGAAAAAAAAAAAGGAGAAUUGUGUUUUGGGCCCAGAUGGGCCCAAAAAUUAAUAUUUGGUCCAUAUAACUUCCAUAAUUGAUGGAAAUGAUAUAAAAUGUUAAAAGACCAAUAUAUUUUUCAAAUUUCUAUAUAUUAUCUUUUAAGGAUAUAAAAUAGUGAUGGACUAAAAUACCCAAUGACUUUUCACAUAAGCUUUUUUUGUCUUUAUUGUGUCACUAUUCAUGCAACCAUAAUAAUUCUAUUUUAACAAUUUGGAUUUUUCAUUGUUUUUAAUUUUUUUUAUAAAUAAUUGAAAAUCAGCAUUAUUUUCUAUUUUAAAUUAUAAAUAAAGAAAAAUUAUGUUUAAAAACUAUUUUAAAAAAUACUUUCUAAAAAAAUGGUAAUACGAUUUAUAUUUUUUAUAUUUUCUUUUUGAAAAAACAUUUAAUUAAAAAAUGAAAACUAUUUUUAAAAAUAAAAAUUGAAAACCUUGUUUAACACUAUUUUUUAUAUGAAAAUAAUAAAAAGAAUUAAAUUUCAUUAAUUGAUUAUCCAAUUUUUUUUCCAUUAGUUAUUUUAAUAAUAAUAAAAAAUAUAGUAUGUUUACAAUUAAACAAAGAAAUUGAUCAAUUAUGGGUUUUUUGUGGAACUAUCUUUUACAUGAAAAAUAAUUAAAUAAUUAAAUUAUAUAUAUUUAUUACUCUUUUUAACUUUAUUUUCUUUAUUUAUUUUUUGUCUAAUAGAAAAUUUUAAUAUAUCCAUAAUUAACAAAGUAAUAAAUCAAUUUUGCACAUUUUAAUCUAUUAAAAUAAAUUACUUUCUAAUUUAAAUAAAUAAAAUGAAAUAAGUAAAUAAAUUUGAGGUUAUUUCUAUUUUUUAACAUAUCUUAUAUCAAUAUUUUUUAUGGUUAAAUAAAUUUUUUAUUUUUUAUUUCUUUAAUUCCAAAAAUAAAAUGAAAUAAAUAAAUAAAUUUGGUAUUUUCCAACUGAUCUUAUAUUCAUAUUUCUUAUGGUUAAAUAAAAUUUUUUAUUCUUUUUUCUUUAUUUCCAAAAAUAAAAGGAAAUAAAUAAAUAAACUUGGCUUAAAUAAUAGUUUUUAAGUAAUUUCUUUGUCUUAUUUUUAAUUACAUUUUGCAUUGAAAGUAAAAUAAAAUAACGUUUUAUUUGAGUCACUGUACAAGAUAUUUAUAUUAAGUGUACAUGACAAAUAUACUAACUGUACAAGGAUGUACAAGACUAUUAUUUGUGAAGGAUUUUAAGUGAUACUGAAAAAGUUGUUUGUUUAUUUCCCCUAACCGAGGAUAAAUGACAUUCUUUACACACAUUGGUUAAGCAUACAUUCAUCUCAUGCACUUUAUCUAACUUGUAUAUAGUCAUUUGAAUAGGUACCUCACUUAUGAUGAUUGUAAAAUAAAAUUAUACAACAAUUUUUCUUCUUUUUUAAAAUCAAACCAAUGCAACACAUGAUUAACCGAGCUAUUAUUAGAUAUUCAUGAGAUGAUGUAUGAAAUUUGAGUUAUUGUAUAAGGGUAUUACACUAACUGUACAAGAGAAAUUUACUAAUUGUAUAAGGGUGUACAAGACUACUUUUUGUUAAGGAUUUCAAGUGAUUUUGAAAAACUUUCCCAUUUUUUUCCACUCAAAGAUUUUUUCCCCACUCAAAUUCUCUCACUCAAGAAUUGUUUCGAAUUUUAUUUUUAAAUUUCAUCAUCAAAUUUUUGUAAUUGCAUAUUUUGUUUUUGUAGUUUUAGCAAUGUUUUUUCUUUCCACUAUUUUUUUAAAAAAUUUUUAUCCAAAUGAAUCUAUAUUUAAAAUUAUAAUCAUAUUUAUCAAUUUUUUUUUACUAAGAUUAUCUUUAAUUCUUCUAAUAUAUUUAUACUCAUUUAUUUAAAAAAUGAAAAACCAAUUUUUUUUUGUAAACAUAUUCUAUUACGGAAGUAAAAAAUUAGAUAAGUUUGAAAGUCAAUAAAAAAAAAAUUAAAUACCACUUUUAAUAAUUUUUAGAUAAAAUUUUAUAUAAUAUAUUUUAUUUGAAAUUUAAUUUCUAAAGUUUUACUAAAAAAUUGUAUUGACAAUUUUCUUGUUGUGAAUUAAAAUACUUUGCAUUAGUCUAUCUAAAUAAGAAAAAUUAUUAAUAUAAUAUUAGAACUUCAUAUCUUAAUUAUUUUUUUUCAAUAAAUUUAUCUUUUUAAAAAUUUUAAAAUAAAAAUAUUAAAAAUUAAAAAGGUAAAAGGAUAUAUCUAUAUAUAUAUAAUAAAUUGAAGUAAUAGUCAAGUUUAAAAUUUUUUAAAAUAUGGUUAAUGUAGAAAAUAUAAAAAAUAAUUAAAAAUAAGAGAAAAAUAUAAAUGAAAAGGUAAUAUAAAUUUAAAAUAAAAAAAUGAAAAAUUAAACUAAAAGAUAAAUAUAAAAAAAGAUAAAAAAUAUUUGGAUGAAAAAUCCCAAAAUUUUUAUCAUUGCUAAUAAGAGCAAAAAGAUUCAAUAUCUUUAAAAAUGAAAAACAAAAAAACAUUAUUACUUUUUAUUUGAUAUAAAAUAGAAAUAUAGAUUAGAAGAAAAAGAAAAAAAAAGUUAGAAAUGAGUAAUAUUUAAUAGGGAAUAGAAAAAGGAAAAAAAACACAAAAAAAUUAAAAUUCACACUCACUUGUGCUAUGUAAGGAUUAAGGGUAUUUUAGAGAUUAACUAAGGACAAUAUCCUUCAUCUUAAUUUUCAUAUUUUAUUUGAGUCUUAGGCUUAAAUAUGUAUGAUAUAUGUAUCAAAUGUUAAUUUUUGAGUUUAAUUGGAUAACACGAUUCUUCAAAAAAAAAUAAAAAUAAAAUGAAUGAAGUACAGGAGCAUAAAUGGUACAUCAAUUUUAUAUUGACUACCUUCUGAACCUUUAAUUGCAGCGUGUUGACUUGUCCACCGAAUCCAUAAUAUCAGCCAGUACCCAUGUGACUUGGCCCAUCCCAUCCCAUAUCUCUUACUUUGUUCCCUAUUCUCUCACAAUUCCCUCAGCUUCUCAUCUUGUACGUGCUGUAUUUUCUUGGCUUUCUGCAACUUUGAGUUGUUCCAAAAUGGCUUACCAAAUUCCAUUCGGUGUUGUGGAGCACAUUUUGACCAACUUGGGGUCCUCGGCGUUUCAAGAAAUUGGAUCCAUGUAUGGUGUUCCAAAGGAGAUAACCAAGCUCAAUGGGAAACUGGGCACCAUCAAGGCUGUGCUUUUGGAUGCUCAGGAGAAGCAGCAGCAGCAGAGCAAUCGUGCAGUCAAAGAUUGGGUCCGGAGGCUCAGGGGUGUUGUUUAUGACGCAGAUGACUUGCUGGAUGACUAUGCAACCCAUUAUCUUCAGCGAGGAGGAUUGGCAAGACAGGUCAGUGACUUCUUCUCAUCUGAAAAUCAAGUUGCUUUUCGUUUUAAGAUGAGUCAUAGACUCGAGGAUAUCAAAGAAAGGCUAGAUGAUGUUGCAAACGACAUCCCCAUGUUAAAUCUCAUUCCACGGGACAUAGUACUACACACAGGGGAAGAGAAUAGUUGGAGAGAAACCCACUCAUUCUCGUUGCCAUCUGAAAUUGUGGGAAGAGAAGAAAACAAAGAGGAGAUAAUAAGGAAGCUGUCAUCUAACAAUGAAGAAAUUCUUUCCGUUGUUGCCAUUGUUGGCUUUGGGGGAUUGGGUAAGACCACCCUCACUCAAUUGGUAUACAAUGAUGAAAGAGUAAAACAUUUCGAGCAUAAGACAUGGGUUUGCAUUUCUGAUGAUUCUGGUGAUGGUCUUGACGUCAAACUGUGGGUCAAAAAGAUUUUAAAAUCUAUGGGAGUUCAGGGUGUGGAGAGUAUGACCUUGGAUGGUUUGAAAGACAAGCUUCACGAAAAAAUAAGUCAAAAGAAGUACUUGUUAGUACUUGAUGAUGUUUGGAACGAAAAUCCUAGAAAAUGGUAUGAAGUGAAAAAAUUGUUGAUGGUUGGUGCUAAAGGUAGUAAAAUUAUAGUAACCACCCGAAAACUUAAUGUUGCAUCCAUUAUGGAAGAUAAGUCUCCCGUUAGUUUGAAAGGUCUAGGAGAAAAGGAGUCUUGGGAUUUAUUUUCAAAAUUUGCAUUUAGAGAACAGGAGAUUUUGAAGCCAGAAAUUGUAGAAAUUGGAGAAGAAAUUGCAAAAAUGUGCAAGGGAGUUCCUCUCGUUAUCAAGUCUUUAGCAAUGAUAUUGCAGUCUAAAAGAGAACUGGGGCAGUGGUUGUCUAUUAGAAACAAUAAAAAUUUGCUGUCACUUGGAGAUGAAAAUGAGAAUGUUCUAGGGGUGCUGAAAUUAAGUUAUGAUAAUUUGUCAACUCAUUUGAGACAAUGUUUUACAUAUUGUGCUUUAUUUCCAAAAGACUAUGAGAUUGAGAAAAAGUUGGUGGUACAACUAUGGAUAGCACAAGGUUAUAUUCAAUCUUCAAAUGAUAAUAAUGAGCAAUUAGAGGAUAUAGGGGAUCAAUAUUUUGAGGAAUUAUUGUCAAGGUCAUUGUUGGAGAAGGCGGGAAGCAAUCAUCUUACUAAUACAUUAAGGUAUAAAAUGCAUGACCUUAUACAUGAUCUUGCACAAUCAAUUAUAGGAUCUGAGGUCCUCAUUUUAAGAAAUGAUGUAAAAAACAUUUCAAAAGAAGUUCGUCAUGUAUCAUCGUUUGAAAAGGUGAAUCCUAUAAUAGAGGCUCUAAAGGAAAAACCUAUAAGGACCUUUUUAUACCAAUAUAGAUAUAAUUUUGAAUAUGAUAGUAAAGUUGUGAAUUCAUUUAUUUCAAGUUUUAUGUGUUUACGUGUGUUGAGCUUAAAUGGCUUCCUAUCAAAGAAGGUGCCAAACUGUUUAGGUAAAUUGAGUCAUUUAAGGUAUCUUGAUCUUUCCUACAAUACUUUUGAGGUACUUCCGAAUGCUAUUACAAGGUUAAAGAAUUUGCAAACACUGAAACUCAAAGUGUGUCCGAAUUUGAAAAAACUUCCAAAAAAUAUAAGGCAACUUAUCAAUCUUAGACACUUGGAGAAUGAGAGAUGGAGCGACUUGACUCAUAUGCCACGUGGAAUAGGAAAGUUGACUUUACUUCAAAGUCUACCAUUGUUUGUUGUUGGGAAUGAGACAGGGAGGUUAAGGAAUCACAAAAUUGGUAGCUUGAUUGAGUUGGAAAGCCUGAACCAUCUAAGAGGAGGGUUAUGCAUAAGUAAUCUUCAAAACGUGAGGGAUGUUGAACUGGUAUCCAGGGGAGAAAUUUUGAAAGGAAAACAAUAUCUUCAGUCCUUGAGAUUGGAAUGGAAUCGGUCGGGCCAAGAUGGGGGGGAUGAGGGUGAUAAGUCAGUGAUGGAAGGCCUUCAACCACACCCACAAUUAAAGGAUAUCUUUAUAGAAGGUUAUGGAGGUACGGAGUUUCCAAGUUGGAUGAUGAAUGAUAGGUUGGGUUCCCUGCUUCCCGACUUAAUUAAAAUUGAAAUUUCGGGAUGUUCAAGAUGCAAAAUUCUGCCACCCUUUUCUCAACUCCCUUCUCUCAAGUCUUUGAAGCUGGAUGAUAUGAAAGAAGUGGUGGAGAUAAAGGAGGGUUCAUUGGCAACGCCACUUUUCCCAUCUCUUGAAUCGCUCGAACUCUCUCACAUGCCAAAGUUGAAGGAAUUGUGGAGGAUGGACUUACUAGCAGAGGAAGGUCCUUCAUUUGCUCAUCUUUCAAAGUUGCAUAUUCAUAAAUGCUCUGGUUUGGCAUCACUGCAUUCUUCUCCUUCUCUUUCUCAAUUAGAGAUCAGAAAUUGCCAUAACUUGGCAUCCUUGGAACUGCCGCCGUCCCAUUGUCUUUCUAAAUUAAAGAUCGUAAAAUGCCCUAACUUGGCAUCCUUCAAUGUGGCUUCAUUACCUCGUCUUGAGGAAUUAAGCCUGCGUGGAGUCAGAGCAGAGGUACUGAGGCAGUUAAUGUUUGUCUCUGCUUCUUCUUCAUUGAAGUCUUUGCAUAUACGGAAGAUUGAUGGUAUGAUAUCUAUCCCAGAGGAGCCGCUUCAAUGUGUUUCCACUCUCGAAACUCUCUACAUUGUUGAGUGCUCUGGUUUGGCAACAUUACUACACUGGAUGGGCAGCCUUUCCUCGCUUACGAAACUUAUUAUUUAUUACUGCUCUGAAUUGACAUCACUGCCAGAAGAGAUCUAUUCCCUUAAAAAACUGCAGACAUUUUAUUUCUGUGAUUAUCCACACCUAGAGGAAAGAUACAAGAAGGAAACAGG